rnacentral:lncRNA from 1 species
ACCAGCCAGUAGUUUAAACCUUCUUCACUUGUUCCGUAUCCGACAACGGUGACUGCAUGGGAGAGAGCAUUGCCACAAUCUCCGGUAAACACUCCCCCGCUGUAAAACCGAAAGUCUUGUCCAUGGCCUUCGAUUGCAACUGAGACAGGUUGACUUGCGACGACCAUAAGCAACGCUUCUUCGUCGUUUUCAGGCACCAUUUGAUAUUCAUUGAUGGUGGCGACUUUGUUUAUCUGUUUCUCAGUGUCGCAAGUUUCUUGCGUUUCUUGAUAUGGGUAGCUUUCUUCAGUAGUUAUUCCUUGGUUUCGGAUAACGUAUUCGAAAGCAUUUACCAUUUGUCCACCAUCGCAACCUCUGUUUCCUCCAUCUGUGCUGCAAUCCAACAAUUGUUGUUCAGAUAAUGAGAUUAAACUACCAGUUUUGAUUUGGACUAUCCCUUCAAUGGCUGCCACUGCUGAAAAUGCCCAACAACAUCCUGCGAAGUAAACCAACAAUAACCCUUUGUUAAGUAUAAAACAAUUACUGAAAAAAAUAAAUGAAUGCUUCUUGGCUGAGCAAAAUUUAUAAAAUAUUUUAUAGGAGUUGGGUUAGCAUACUAACAUAUUGUACGGAAAAAUCAAAUAGUUACACGUGGUUGUUAAAAAGUAAAUAAGUCUUAUUGAGCAAAAUUAAUUUUUAUAUAUUGAAUUAAAAAGUAAAUAAGUUUUUUGUGUUUAAAAUUUAAUUCAUUUGUACUAUUAAAAACUGUCGUGACUGACAAAAUAACCAAAUAAUGACACAUGGCUUGCCAUGUGUGUUGAUAUAUAAAGACCAAUUUUUCAUAAUAAAAAUGAAUGAAAUUUUUAAGAGACGAGUUUGCUAUUUGAUUAACGUGCGAAGAUUCAUUUGCCCAUAUUUUGAGUAGAGAGGACAACAUGCAAUUCGACUCCUAAUAUAAGAGUCUCCAUAAACUUUUACCUCUUUUAUUUAAAAAUACUUUUUUUAAAUAUUAUAAUUAUACAUCAAUGUUAAAGUAAGUUUGCAUUUUCUUACCACUUUAUAUGAUAUAUGUUUUAAUUUGGAAUCGAUCUAAUAUUUCUAUCAUAUCAUUUAAAAAAUUAAUUUUUUUUCAAAAUAUAUCGAAGGAUUGAAAGAUUUGUAUAUUAAUUAAAUAAUUUGACAUUUUUAAUUUACUUAAACCUUGACUAAUAUUAUUUAUGUUAAUACAACAUCACAUAUGAUGUUGAAUUAAGCAAAUAUAUUGCAGAUAAUUAUUUCUUUUCUACAAUGAUGUAAAAUUAACUUAGGGUGGGUUUAAAUGGGUGAUUGGGUGCUGUGUGUUUAACUUACUUUUUGUCUCAUACUACAGUAUCGCUACAGUAUCUAAUCUCACCGUCACUGUUGUUUUUAUAGUAAUGGUAGGUAAACGCACCACCCAUCCAAACUCACUCUUAGUUUUAUAGUAAUAUAAGUGAAUUCCCUACAUAUAUAUACAUUAGAUUAUGAGAUAUCUAUGAUGUCGAUGAAAGAUAUUUAUGUAAAAAAUAUAUUAACUAAAAUUUUAUAUAAAAAUUAAAUAAAAUUUUAAUUAAAAUAAUAAAAUUAAAGGUUUAAAAACUAAUGCUUUAAGCUUAAAUCCCAUAAUGGGUACUUUUAAUGAUUUUAUAUACAAAAAAACUCUUAUAAUAAUACAAGUUAGAUUGUAAAAAGAUGACUUUUUAAUUAAUUUCGACUGCAUUUGUGUUCGAUUGAUUUGUAAUGUUAACUUAAUAAAUGGUUGUAUGUAAAUUGAGACUUACCACAUUGACCUUGAAACUUAACAGGAGUGACAGCACCUUGGGCCCUCCAAUCCAAGUUUGUUGGAACAUCUGAGACGUUUUGAUACAUAAAAGAUGUUGAUUCGGACAGUGUGGGAUUGCCUUGCAUCUUGUAUCCGGUAUGAGCUGCAAUGAAUUUAUCUUGUGUCAUGUCUGCAAAUUCAUUGAGACUUAACUUAAAACUCCUAUUUCCGCCAUUGUUGAAGCUCUCAAUAUAUUCCAAGUUUUCCUUGAAUAUAUUAAGACGCUUCUCCUUCUCUAAUUUGCUCUCAUAUUUUCGAUUAUAAUCAACCAUCCAUUGCUCAUGUUUGUCAACAAUGAAGGUUUCAUGGAUUGUUCGGGACAUGGCAAGAGAUGCCAAUGUCCCAAAAAUUAAAAACAAAAAAACAUGGAUUAAACUCAUCAUUGUUUGGCAGAGAUACUACGCUAAUUGAAAGAUCUAGCACUCAAUGAAUCUAUAUAUACUACAAAAUUUGAUUAAAAUAACUAUUUUUAAUGAAGUCAUCUUAUGAAAAAUCCAAAUAAAAGGCCAAUAAAAUAUUUGAUUUAAAUAAAUAUUUUUAAUUGAUUAACCCUACUACAAGUUUGUUUGUAUUUGUUUUUCUUCCUUGAGUUGAAAAAAUUCAACACUCCCAUUAUGUUAAGGGUAAAUUGCAUAAUAGUCACCAAAUUAUUAAUAAAUUUCAUUUUUGGUUGCCCAACUAUGAAAAUUUAUAAAAUAAUCGCUCGACUAUUCAAUUUUGGUCAUUUUCUAUCACCAGCCGGCUAAUUGGCAUAAUAAUAACUUUAACCCUCAACAUCUAGACAUUGUUAUUAGACCAAUAAAAAGUCCACAUUUGACUUUCAUUACUGAGUUGACGAUAACUAAUAAGUGAGUGAUUGAAAUAUUUAAUUUAAAAAAAUCAAGUGACUAAAUAAAAAAAAUUAAUAGGUGGGUGACCAAAAUAGAACCAAGUGCAUAGUUGGAUGACUAUAUUUUUAGUUUACCCAUUAUUCAUAGUUGCUGACAUUCAAAAUUGACAUGGAUUAAAUUGCACAAAUUUUUUAGAGGGACGAGCUUACUCAAUUUCUUGUAGACAGUUGUGAUUUUUAUAAUUUUUUUUAAACUCAAAUAAAUUGUAAAAACUUGUUUUUAAAAUGAUUUUUUUUUAAAUAAAACCAAUUUGAUUAAAGUGUUGCAAUUGAUAAGGGGAAAUCUCAUUACCUUCGCCUACAAUUAUUUUAAACAUAGGUUAACACGUAAUUUGAGGACGAACUGAGAGAAAAACUUAUUAAACCAGAGUUAAAUAUUCAUCCCUUCAUUGCUGUUUUCCAGUUGUAUUGCUGCAUGCAAACACUUCACUUGGAUUUAACCAUCAACCUUCCAACUUCCCCACUAUGUACGAUUAAAAUAUCACACAAGUGAAGAGAUAUUUUAAAGGAGAAAAGGAUUGUUGGAAAAAUAUCCACCUAAGAAAGUUAAUCUAAAUUAAAAGUGAUCUAAUUUAAUUAAAAUUUAUUGAGCUUUAAUUAUUAAAUAAAAUAUGAAUCAAAUAUUAAUUUCUAACUAAUACUGGGCUGAUUAGGAAUUAAAGUAGAUUUAACUUUUUUAAAUUACUUAUCUACUAUUUUAAAAGAUUAAAACUACAAAAUUCAAAGAUCUCAUAAAAUCGAUAGAUUUAAGUACGCUUUUGUAUUUUAUUUUGCUCUUGACUAAACAAAUUUUACUUUAUUAAAUUUUGUAUCUUAAAAAAAUGGUUGGUUUGCAUUUAAUUUAUAUAUUUCUUAAGUUAGGCAAUUAAAUUAUUGACUUUGAUUGGCAUUUUAUGUAGAUAUUUCAUAAUUUUGUAAAGUCAAUUUUUAAAAAUUGGCUUACUUCGCAUUUAUGAUGUUAUUUUAUUCAAAUAAAUUUAAUGAAUGUGAGAUGCGUAUAAUUUUGAUAUAAAAUUUAAUUGUAAUCUCUGUAUGUUAGAGAUUUUAGCUCCAAAUGUUGGCAGAUAUUGGAUUGAAAUAAGAUGUGAGAGAUUUGGAAGAAUUGUGGAUAUAUUGAUAGCAGAAAAGAUCGAAGGUGAUACGAUAUUUGUAAAUAAAUAAUCAUUUAUUCAUUAUAUAGAUAAAAGGUUGGCAAGAGUGCAGGACUCAUAGUUCCAAACAAACCACAAACAUCAACACCAUAUGAAAGGAAGAAAAACACAACAUAUAUCUUAGACCAUUUGACACGGCUAACUAAUUGUAGUAAUAUGAACUUAUGCAGUUGGAUACGAAGCUUUCAUGGCGAUACCACAUAAGCCACCUUGCCUUUCCACAUUCCUUUGAAUCUUCAUAUACCCAUUUUCACCCCAACUUUGUCCCCAUGAAUUCUUAAUCAGCAAAUAGUUUAAACCUUUUUUACUUGUCCCAUAUCCAACAAUGGUGACUGCAUGGGUGAGAGAAUUUCCACAAUCUCCUGUAAACACUCCACCAUUGUAAAACUGAAAGUCUCGUCCAUGGCCUUCAAGUGCAACCGACACCGGUUGAUUCGCGACGGCCUUAAGCAAUGCUUCUUCGUCGUUUUCCGGUACCAUUCGAUAGCCACUGAUGGUGGCAACUUUGUUUGUCUGUGUGUCGCAAUUUUUUUGCAUUUGUUGAUAUGGGUACCUUUUUUCAGUGGUUAUUCCUUGGUUUUGGCUAAUGUAAUCGAAAGCAUUCAUCAUCCAUCCUCCUUUGCAACCUUGGUUUCCUCCAUUUCUACUGCAAUCCAACAGUUGUUGCUCAGAUAAUGGGAUUAAUUUACCAGUUUUGAUUUUGAUUAACCUUUCAACAGCUGCCACUGCUGAAAAUGCCCAACAACAUCCUGCAAAGUAAACCAACAAAUAACCCUUUUCAAGUAUUAGUGAAUAAAUAAAUGCUCGGGGGAGCAGUAUAUAUAAUUAUUUUAAAUUUUUAAUUAAUUUUAGUGUUACCUAUCAACUGAAAACUAACGCACACUACAGCAGAACAGGUUUUUAGCGGCGGUUUUUUAGGUCUUUAGCGGCACUUUUUAACGCCACUAACUCCAUUUUCAGCGCUUCUACAAGCGCCACAAAAAAUGCCGCUAACGACAACGUCGCUAACUAUUGCGGCGCUUACAUAAAGAAACGCCGCUAAAGAUCAUGUUCUUUAGCGGCGCUUAGAAAAAAACGCCGCUGAAGAUCAUGUUUUUUAGCGGCGCUUAAAAAAAACGCCGCUAAAGAUAAUGUUCUUUAGCGGCGCUUAGAAAAAAAGCCCCUAAAGAUCAUGUUCUUUAGCGGCGCUUUAAAAAAACGCCCCUAAAGAUCAUGUUCUUUAGCAGCACUUAGAAAAAAAUGCCGCUAAAGAUCAUGUUCUUUAGCGGCGCUUAGGAAAAAAUGCCGCUAAAGAUCAUGUUCUUUAGCGGCGCUUAGAAAAAAAUGCCGCUAAAGCUCAUGUUCUUUAGCGGCCUUUUGGAAGAAAACGCCUCUAAAAGUAAUGUUCUAUAGCCGCGCUUCUUCAAAAACGCCGCUAAAAGUAGUGUUCUUUAGCGGCGCUUAUUUCACAAACGCCACUGUUUUGAUAUGACUUUUAGCGGCGCUUUUUUAAAAAACACCACUAAUGUUGGAAUUUUUUUAAAAUUAAAUUUUUUAUUUUUUUCAGCCCUCCUGCAACAGCAAAUCAAAAGCAACCAAAUCUAAACUAACCAAAAACAAUAAAUUUAUAUAAUAUUUCAAAUUAAAUGACUAAAAUAAUAUUAAUUGAUAAAUAAAAGUGAAUUCAUACUUUUCUUUACAAAAGCGUUAAAAGUAUUUAUGCAACAUACACUAUGACAAUGGAAGUUACGACUACUGAAACAUCUUCAUCAUAAUCUGAAGCUGCUGUUGAAGUUCGUCGUACUUUUUGCUCUGCUCUGCUUCUCUCGAUGCCGCAUCUUUUUGAAGUCGUAGCUAUAGUUCUUCAUAUUUCUUUUGAACCUCUGCUUCUAUUGCUGCUUCUCUCGCUGCGGCCUCUGCUUCUCUUGCUGUAGCCUCUGCUUCCCUCGCUGCCGCCUCUGCUUUAAGUUGCUGCUGAAGUUCUUCAUAUUUCCUUUGAACCUCAAAUGUGGUCGCUUGCAUCUGAGCCAUCUGGUCUUUUAACCUCUGAACUUCAGCUUGAGAUUGACUCCCCGAAGCCAUGUAUUGGUGCGAGCUGGAUCCAAAAUAUUGGGUUGGGCUGAUAAAAUAUCAUUGAAAUCGAACCCGACCAUACUUUUCAGGACACAAAACUUUAGUAAUAAUCUGGUUAUCAAUGUCUUCAAGAUGAACAGAACUAUCACUAGAAGCAAUCGCUUCGUACUCCGUCUUUUUUUCCUUUAGUUUUUCCUAAUAAAUAAAUCACAUAGUUAGGAACGCAAUAUAUAGUAAAAAAAAAUGCAAUAUAACAAUAGUCGCAUUACAUGCAAUGAAUUAAACCAUUAGAUAAAAACACUAUAAAUAACUAAAACAAGUGAAACCGUAUUAAGUAAACGUACCAUAAUUUCACCAGCUUCAGGAGUCAUAGCAGAUCCAUCUUUCUUCUUAUGUGUAAUUUCAAAAAGUUGUAGGCGUCCAACUUUUUGACCGGACUACCGUUCCUAUAAUAUAGUAGUAAAAAUAUUAUUUAAUAUAAAUUUAUACACAUUUGAGAAUAUUAAAAAAUUAAAAAUACCUCCGCCUCAGCUACACAUGAAAAACUUCUCGACCCGGCUGUGUGAGUGAAUUUUUGUUGCUGCCGGCUGCUUUUUCCAACUCGUUCACGAUCCUACGUUAUAAAAUUUUUAGUACGUAAAUAGUAAAUACUAUAAACCAAAAUAAUUACAAUAGUUUGGAAGUACGUCGUACCUCGCCUUUCUAAGAAUGCCAAAAUCUAACCGCAUCUUCCCAUUGGUACCUCAACAUACCCGGCGGGACAUUUUGCAAUUUCUCAUCGAGGGUGGUUUUUUUCUUAUAAUAAUUUUUCUUCAAAGUACUUUUAUUGUCUCUCCAUCUUUUUCCCAAUGCCUUCUUUACAUAAACAUCGGAGACCUCUAAAGCAAACCUCGCCUACAAAAAAAUACAAGUUAAUAAAGUAAAUAUAAAUGAAACUAUUUCCCAUAAUUGGUUAUGACAUUAACAUUUUGUUACCUUAAUAUUAUCGAGGGCUUGGUUUUUGUUGCUAUCGGGCAUUUGACGCCAUGACUCGUAGUUGAUAGGCAACAUAUUCGGAUUUCGUGCUAAAAUGCCCAUGUAUCCUGCUAAAAGUCGAGCUUCUGAUCCAACAGGCUGACCAAAACUAUUUCUGCAUACCUUGACACGCUCGACUGGAUCUAACUCGUAUAACUCUCUAAGUAUCACACGUCCUCGACCUCUACGCGUCCCAUCAUUUUCAGCUACAAAUGGUAUAUUAUAAUAUAAGAAUUUGAAAAAUAAAUCAAUUAUAAGUCAACACGCAUGGAAUUAAUGUAAGUUACUUUGAACUUCCGUAGGAUCCUCGUGUGUAAUCGGAACAUUCGAAGAUCCAAUUGCUGUCUGUUGUUCAGUACUAUUUGUUUCUGUCGAUUUUGGAUCAUUUUGAACAAUGCUUUCCCUUAUAAUUUUUCUUCUAGGCAUUUUAUUUGCAAUACACAUAAAAUGUAAUUAAACUUAAUAACUAAUUACAACAAUAACAGCACAUAUAAAAUAGUUGAGUUAUAUAAUAAGACCAAGAUUUAAUACUAAUGUAAGUUACAUAUAAUUAAACAAUCGUAAAAUCUUACUACAUCAUUAUUCGUAAAUAUCUUCAUCCGUAUCCUGACGAACCCAUUGAAAUUGUGCACUAGUACUAGGGAUAUUAUCGUUUAAGUUUUGUUCUGGAAAUGAAAAAGUUUCUGAUCUGUCGUCGAUGUUAUCUCUACUUCCACUGCCCAUGUCAAACAAGUCUCUAGGGAUGUUACGGAGUACAACGUACCAACCCUCAUCAGUUGGAUCUUUUGAGUAAAAAACUUGUUUAACUUGUCUUGAGAAUACAUACGGCUCAUCUAUCAGUUGUUGUCCUGUGUGAAUCAAUCGGUCAAAGUUCACCAUUGUAAAACCAAAUUGAUCUUGCUUGAUUCCACGAGCUGUAUUAACAUCGGCCCAAUCAGCUCGAAAUAGGACAACUUUCCAUUUGCCGUAGUAAUCCAACUCAAUUAUGUCAGUAAGCUGUCCGAAAUAUUCCACAUUUCCCUCGACAGGAUUAUUGUCCCUGCGCUAGCAUAACUUGUAAUUGCAGAAUUAACAACUAUUCCACAAUUUUGCGUUCUCCUCAACCUCUCGCGAUAUUUUGUAUGAAAUCUGAAUCCGUUGAUGAGGAACGCACUAUAUCUUUUAACCACUCGAUUUGGACCUUGGGAGAGCCAUUUAACUUCGUCGUUUACGCUCUUCCCAUUCCAAACCUAUUGAAUGGAAAGUAAACUAAGUAAUUAAAAAUGUUAUGAGAAAGCAUUAUAAUUUGUAAGCAAAGCUCCAACCACAUACCGUUUGGCUUAACCAUUCAUAAAAAGAUUCUAUAAACAACUUAUUGAUAUCUUGAUGUUGUGUUCUUCGGGAGCGCGCACGAGAUCUCAAUAUUUGUUUGUACUCACUAUGUUAAAAAAUGUGAUCUUUGUUAGAAGAUAAACAAUUUUUAGUUUGAUAAAUAUUUAUAAAAUUUGUAGAACUUACUUCCGUAAAGGUUCCAAUGAUUCGUGGUGAAACAGAACAUAUCGAUGUGCUUGUACCCACGAUAAAUUAUCUAAUUCCGCAAUUUCAACUUUGCCGAUUGGUUGUCCAAAACUUUGGAACAAAUAAGUAUCGGUUAAGUCAUAGUCCGUGAGUCCAGCAUUCCUAUUUGGUCUGUUCAACCUUGUUUCGACAUCUUCCAAAUAUCUCGAGCAGAAGGUCAUACAUUCCUCUGCCAAGUAGCCUUCAGCAAUCGAUCCUUCUGGAUAUCGCUUGUUGCGGCAGUAAGACUUUAAUUUGGAUAGGAACCUAAACACAAUAUACAACAUUAUCAAAAGUUGUAACUAAAGGCAUUGAGGUGAAUGAAGGAAAAUUUUAAAAAUAAUUCUUUAAGACCUUUCUAUGGGAUACAUCCAUCGAUAGGAAACGGGUCCACCAAGAAUUGCUUCGUACGGGAGAUAAAUUAUCAAGUGAACCAUAAUGGUGAAGAAGGAAGGUGGGAAGAUUUUCUCCAUGUUGCAUAAAGUCAAAGCGGAUCGAUCCUAUACCUUCUGAAGUUCUUGAACAUCCAAAACUUUGCCACAAAUGGCUUUCAUUAUGUUGGAUAGUUCAAUGAUACAAGACGUCACCUUCUUGGACAUACAACAUCGUAGAGCAACUGGCAUUAAAUCUUACAUCAAGAUGUGAUAGUCAUGUGAUUUUAGCGAAUAUAAUCUUCGAUCUUUAACACUAACACAUCGAGAUAUAUUUGAUGCAUAUGCAUCCGAAACCUUUAUAUCCUUCAACACUAUGCAAAACAGUUCUUUCUCCGUCUUGGACAUUGAGAAAAUAGAAGGCGGCAACCGAUAUUUCCCAUUCGGAAGUGGAUUGGGAUGAAGAUCAGGCCGAAUUCCCAUUUGGACUAAAUCAAGUCGACUCUGAAGAUUGUCUUUUGAUUUUCCAUCGACGUUCAAAAUUGUACUCACAAUGUUCUCGCAGACAUUUUUCUCAAUGUGCAUAACAUCAAGAUUAUGUCGUAAAAGGUGAUGCUCCCAAUAAGGCAACUAAAAAAAUACUUCUUUUUUUCCACAAGUCUGCCUCAUUAGGAUCGUCCUCUUCGUCGGAGCUUUCAUCGGCUUCAUCAUUUGAUCUUCUGUUUCUCUGUGUGUUUGGCGGUUGGUUCAUCUUCCCAUAAAUGAAAUUCAUAUCUUCCAACAUGAACAAGAUUUUAGAGCCACUGGUCUAGGAAGGAGCUUCUCUGAACUUUUCAGUGCCGUCAAAUACAGAACUCUGAAAUCUAAAUCUAUGAUUUUUCGGUAACCACUGACGAUGCCCCAUGUAACAGGACUUCUUCCCAUUGUACAACCAUUGCGAGCAUGUUUGUGUAGCACAACAAGGACACGCAUAACGACCCUUAGUACUCCAACUGGAUAAAUUGGCAUAAGCAGGAAAGUCAUUUAUGGUCCACAUCAAAGCUGCACGUAAAUUAAAGUUCUCCUUUCUCAGCACAUCGUACGUCUCGACACCAGCCCAUAAUUGUUUUAACUUUUCAAUAAGUGGCUGUAAAUAAAUGUCGAUAUCAUUCCCGGGCCCUUUCUCUCCAGGGAUAAUCAUAGAUAAGAUAAGGGAAGAUUGCUUCAUGCAAAUCCACGGAGGCAGAUUGUAAGGAACAAGCACUACUGGCCAAGUACUGUAGGCAGUGCUCAUGAUCUUGAAAGGAUUAAAUCCAUCAGAUGCUAGCCCAAGCCUCACACUCCUAGGAUCACUUGCAAAGUUUGGAAAUUUAUUGUCAAAUGCUUUCCAAGCUAAAGAAUCUGCCGGAUGUCUUAGUAAUCCAUCAUCGAUUCGUCCAUCAUGGUGCCACGUCAUUGACUCCGCUGUCUUCGAUGACAUGAAAAUCCUUUGAAGCCUUGGUAUCAACGGAAAAUACCGCAAAAUCUUAACUGGCUUCUUCCUCGACUGUGCAUAAUUUUCAUCGUCGUUCCUGUCUUCUGUGUUUCUAUUUAUCCAACGGGAUUGGCCGCAUACAUGACAGCACUGUUGGUUUUUUCGAUCGCCCCAAUACAACAAGUAGUCAUUUGGGCAACUAUAGAUUUUGUUGUACCCAAGGCCUAAAUCUUUUAUCAUUUUCUUCAUAUCCUUGCAUGACUGAGGGAUUUUUUCAAACGGGAACAUCUCUCUCAAAAACUCUAAUAGCAUUGUCAACGAGUUUCCGGUCCACCCUCCCAAACAUUUUAACUGAAAAAGACGAACACAGAAGGCCAUUUUUGAAAAUUUUGAUCCCUCAUACAGUUCUUCGUUCAUGUCACUAAGUAGAGCGUAGAACUUUGCCGCUUCUCCAUUUGGCUCUUCAUGAGGUACACUACUUCCCGGUUCGGUAAAAGCAGUUCCACCAAUAUUACAAUCAUCAGAUCGAAUAAAAUCCCCUGGGAACAAUUGCACACCAUGAUUGUGCAUAUUAAAUGCAUCCCGCAACAUACCUUCCAUGUCAUCUCCUCUAUCAGACUGAUGGUAAGCAGUACCAGGAUAAGAUACCUCCAUCGUUGAAGAGGAAGUACUUCUAGGGCAUUCUCCAUGAAAAAGCCAUUGCUUAUAACCCUUAACAAACCCAUCAACAAUUAGAUGCUCGUAUACAACCUCACGAUAAUGCCAGUUUAUGUUGACACACUUCUUACAUGGGCAAAGAAUCAUGUUCUCUUGGCUUGCAUAUUGAAAUGCAUAAUUUAGCAAACUCUGCACCCCAUUUCGAUAACUGUUGCUAACCCUUGACAAAUUCAUCCAAGACCGGUCCAUUUCUUAAUUCUUGAAGUCUGACGUUGACGUAAAUUUGCACAGGUUAGUCAAAACGCCAGUUAUAACUAUAAAUGAGUUAUGUAAGUUAUGUACUAAGUUAUGUAUUAAACAAUAAUGUAAGUUAGGAAGGUUAUGUAUUAUGUAAGUUAUGUAAGUUAUGUAAGUUAUGUAAGUUAUUUAAUUUAUGUAAGUUAUGUAAGAUAUGUAAGAUAUGUAAGUUAUUUAAUUUAUGUAAGUUAUGUAAGCUAUGUAAGUUUAUAUAAAAAAAAAUUAUAAGUUAUGUAUUAUGUAAGUUUAUAUUAAAAAAUUUUAUAAGUUAUGUAUUAUGUAAGUUAAAAGUAAUGUAUUAUGUAAGUUUACAUAUAUGUAAACUUGCUUAAAUUUUAGUAAGUAAUAAUUUUAAGUAACAUACUUAAAUUUUACAUAUAAGUAAACUUACUUAAAUUUUACAUAUAAGUAAACUUGCUUAAAUUUUAGUAAGUAAUAAUUUUAAGUAACAUACUUAAAUUUUACAUAUAAGUAAACUUACUUAAAUUUUACAUAUAAGUAAACUUACUUAAAUUUUAGUAAGUAAUGUAUUUAAGUAACAUACUUAAAUUUUAGAUAUAAGUAAACUUACUUAAAUUUUACAUAUAAGUAAACUUACUUAAAUUUUAGUAAGUAAUAACAUACUUAAAUUUUACAUAUAAGUAAACUUACUUAUGUAAGUUAUGUAAGUAAUGUAUUUAAGUAACAUAUUUGAGUAAUAAAUUUAAUAUAUAUAUUAGUAAUAAGUUAAAUGAAAUUGUAAAAAUAUAUUAAAAAUAUAAUAAAUUUGAAUUUUAACUUUAAUUUAUGUAUGUUAUGUGAAUUUUAACUUCAAAACAAAUAAAAAAUAACUUUGAAUUAACUUAUAUAUGUUAUGUUAGUUUUAACUAAAUUUUUGAAAGUUAUCUAAAAUUAAACUUAAAAAAAAUUGAAAGUUUGAAAUUUUUUUCCAUGAUUCAAAUUAAAUAAAAGAAAACAAAACAAAGUAAAUUUCCGUGAUUAAAAUAGCAACUAAAGGAAAAACCAAAAUUUUGGAGGAAAACAUAUAAAUAUUUGCAAACUAUAUACAAGCUUUUAGCCAAAUGUUUAUAUUAUUUAGACAUAAAUAACCUUCAUUUUUGAAAUAAUUUAGUUGCGAUAUGGAAUAAUAUGUAUACAACAAAUAAGCAUAUUUGAUAUCAAUGAAACUUAGAUGUGAAAAGAAAGUGAAUUAAUUUGUUUUUUAAUGUAACGUAUAGUUAAGAAAUUUCGAAUAAUUUUAAAAUAAACAAAUUUAAUCCAAUUCCCAAUACAAUUUAUUAAAUUGCUUCUAUUUUGCUCAACAUAUAUAGCAUUCGUUGAUGGAUGAUAACAGAAAACAUAAGUCAGAAAAGUACAUGGCAAAAGUAAAAUAAGUAAAAUGAAACAUAAGCUAAAGGAAAACAUCCAAAACCAAUUACAUAUAUACAAAACAAGAGCCCCAAAAGAAACAUUUUUCCCUAAACAUCAUGAUAAAACUAUUACUGAUUUAAGUUAUGAACUAAAACAUACCUUAAUAUUUCACUCAACUUUGUCUACUUCACUCUCACCAGCAAAUAGAGACUGCUGUGAGAAUUAUAAAUUUUGUUAACUGAUUUGGGAGAAUGCAUAUAAAUAAGGGAAAAACUGUCAAAUUUUAACAUGUACCUGCCGAAACAAUAGUUCAGCCAAAACACAGGCAGCAAACCAGAUGUCAAUGGUCAGAUAUGUAUUAAGUUGCACCAAAUAUUAAUUCUGCCUACAAUAGAUAAACCAUGAUCAGUUAGCAGCAAAUAUGUUUUCAUUUUAGCUAUCAAAUAUGUAAAAGUUUAUCGAUAUCACAACCAAAUAUUACUUGGAAACAUUAAAUGGCAGCUUAAAACUUUACCAAUUUUAAAAAAAAUUCAAAUACUUAGAAAAUAUUGGGUUCCAUCCACUGCAGUAUUUCACGUUUGCAAAUUAAACAAUCAUAUUAUAUACACUACAUGAUGAAUUGCUACUUUAACAGUAUCCUCCUGUGUAUGUAUCAUAUAAUCUACAGCAUUCUUACAUUUUCAUAUUUUACCAUUCCUAUUGGUAGAGAUAUUGCUUUAUAACUAAAAUUUAUUAUUGCAAACAUUCUUACAUUUUCAUAUUUUACCAUCUACAAAUUUAAAAAAAUUAUUACAGAAACAUAUCUAAAUUUGUAUUAUAAUAUUUAGGUAGAUGAUAAAUUGAAAUUGAGCAGAAUGGUUAUUGGAUUAGAUAUUGAUAUUUAUUAAUAAAAUUUAAUAUUUAAAUAAACUUGUUAUUAUUGUUAUUACUUGAAAUACAUUAUAUAGUACUAUAAAAAAAUGUUUAAAAACUAUUUCCUCAACAUUAAAUUAAAAAAUAUUAAAAAGAUAUUAAAAAUUUAUUUUGCAAUUUAACAUGCGGGAUGAGAACUGAACCAAACAAUGGAUUGGCAAUCACCAUUUUCAUGUCUACUGUAUAAACAAUGGAUUGGCUUCAACUCAACCAAACAAGUAUUAAAUCACUGACAGUCACCAGACCAAAUAAGUGGAUUCAAAACAGUAGCUUUAUACCUUGGAAAGUGUAUCGGCCAAAACUGAAGAUGGAGUCCAAAAAGCUUCUGGGAAAGUUGAAGCUUCAAAUCGUCGGUAACUGAAAGAAAGGAGCCGCUUUAGCCUUCACUGGAAGCCGGAUGAGAGGAAAGGGAAAAAUAAAAAUAAAAACAGUUAGUUGCUUAAAAGGACGAACUUACAGAUGGUUGCGGCACCGGAGACGGACGGAGAAUGUGAUGCAGCACAGGAGACGGCAGAGUACCAGGUGGUCGGGUUUGGGGAGCUGUUAGGGAUUAGGGGAGAUUUUAGGGAUUUGGGGGGAGAAAGAAUUUUGGGGGAAAUCUGGGGGAGAAAGAAUUUUGGGAUAACGGAUGAAAAAAAACGAUCGGGUUCCAAUUUUGGUCAGAAUGAUGGAAAAAAAUGACGCCGUUUUCAUCUAAAAAAUUAACCAUUUUGCGGCGUUUAUAUUAAGCGCCACUAACUAUAAGUCGAAACGCAGUCGUUUCAUCAACAAAUAGCGCACACCUGUGGCGUUUUUGAAUAAACGCCACUAAUAAUACAGCGACACGGCCUCGUAUCGAUAAAUGUUAAAACAUUUUUGCGGCGUUUUAAUUAAAGCGCCACUAACUAUAAAUCAAAACACAGUCGCUUCAUCAAUACUUACCUCAAACUCGUGGCGUUAAAAAAAUCGCCACUAAUAACAUUUAAAAAACGGCAGCGUUUUUAUAAAUGUUAGAAUAAUGUUGAGGCAUUUUAAGCAAAGCGCCACUAAAUAUAAGAUCAAACGAUGUCAUUUCCCCAACAUUUAACUCAAGCUUGUGGCGUUUCCAAACAAACGCCACUAAUACCAUUGACAAAACGACAACAUUUCGAUAAACAUAAAUACAAAUUUGCGGCGUUUCAUGUAAAGCGCCACUAAAUAUAAGAUCAAACGAUGUCGUUUCCCCAACAUUGAACUCAAGCUUGUGGCGUUUCCAAACAAACGCCACUAAUACCAUUGACAAAACGACAACAUUUUGAUAAACAUAAAUACAAUUUUGCGGCGUUUCAUGUAAAGCGCCACUAAAUAUAAGAUCAAACAAUGUUGUUUCCCCAACAUUUAACUCAAGCUUGUGGCAUUUCCAAACAAACGCCACUAAAAUAAAACAUAUAAAACGUAACGUUUUACAGUAUCAGACACAAAUUUUGCGGCGCGUUUUAUAAAAAGCCACGAAUUUCUAACCUUUUGUGGCGUGCGGUUGAAAACGCCACUGAGGACACUGAUCAAAACGCAACGUUUUGCCAUUUCUGAAACAAAGUUGCGGCGUUUUUAUAUAAACGCCACCAUGAAAACAGAGUAAAACGGCAUCGUUUUUCAUACUAAUCCAUAUUUGUGGCAUUUUUUACUAAAACGCCACUAAUGCAUAAACACUAAAAUAAAUUUAAUUUCUAUCCUUUUUUAUUAACCUUAAACCCUUAGAACCAUAAAUAGUAAGACAUUAACUAUAAAAAACUAAACCCUAAACCGUAAACCCAAAAUCUAAAUAAUAAACAUUAACCACUGACCUAAAAUACUAAACCCUAAACUGUAAUAUACCCUAUAACACCCUAAACUUAAUUUAAACCAUAAAUAUAUAUUAUAAGUUACAAUUAAAAGUAAUUAAAAAGAAUCGUAUAUUGCUUGUUUAAACCCUAAAAAAUAACUUUUCUUUAUAUUUUUUUAUCAAAUCCCUAACCCUACUUAAACCCUAAUACCAACUUAACCCUUAAACCAUAAUUAAACACUAAGACUCUGACUAUAAAAACUAAACUCCAAACAAUAAACUUUAAAACACUAAAUAUCCCAAACCCAAUAUAACAUACCGGCCUAAACCUUAACCUACAAUACAUUAAUAUAGUACUAAACAUUAAACCUUAAACCCUAAACCCCUUAAACUAUAGCCCUUAAACCCUCUUAAACCCUAAAAUUUUUUAAUCAAUAUUAAGUACUGCUUCCAUAAUUCUUUAUAAACAUAUAUGACCUUUUACAUUAAUAUAUAUAUCUAUAUGUGUAUAUACAUGUACAUCAAUAUCCACAUGAAAUUUUUAGGGGUUUAGGGUUUUAAAGAUUAUGUUUUUAGAGUUUAAGGGUUUUGAGAAAGCAAUAUGGUCGGCAUCGAUUUUAACAGCUUAAUGGUAACUUAAAUGAAAACUUCUAAUUAUAAUUAAUAUAAAUAAAUCAAUUAAAUAACAAAUAGAAAAAUAAUUAUUUUGCGGCGCUUAUCAAUAAACACCGCUAAAUCACCCAAAUACUAAGUAAAACGAUCGCAUUGGGCUUAUGUUAUUGGCGGCGCUUAUCCAAAACGCCGUUAAAACCCCGAAUACUCAGAGAACGAUGUCGUUCGGCUUAUAUUUAUUUGCGGCGCUUUCGUAGAAACGCCGCUAAAGUACUGAACAUUAGCGGCGCUACCUCAAAAACGUCGCUAGAUUAUCGAAUGCUCAGAAAACAACGUCGUUGGUCUUAGGUUUGUUUGCGGCGAUUUAUCAAAAACGCCGCUAAAUCCCCGAAUGCCCUGAAAACGACGUCGUUGGGCUGAGGUUUUGCGGCGCUUUAUAGAAAUCGCCGCUAAUGCUUUUUCUUCAGCGGCAUUUUCCGUUAAGCGCCGCUAAUGAUUGAUCUGGAGCGGCAUUUGUUAUUCAAACGCCGCUAGAAACGCCGCUAAAAUCCUGUUUUGGUGUAGUGGCAGUUGUGAAAUUAUUAAAAUAUUCUCGUAACACCAAUUUAAUUAUAUGUAUUAUUGAGACUUACCAUAUUUACCCUGAUUCUUAAUAGGAGUAACGGCAUUUUGGUCCCUCCAAUUGAAGCUUUUCGGAGGGUUUAAGUAGUUUUCAUACAUAAACGAUGUUGAUUCCAACCAUGUGGGAUUGUUCUGCAUCUUGUAUCCAGUGUGAGUUGCAAUGAAUUCAUCCUGUGUCAUGUCUGCAAAUUCAUUGAGGCCUAGCUUAAAACUCCUAUUUCCGCCAUUGUUGAAGCUCUCAAUAUAUUCCAAGUUGUCUUUGAAUAUAUCAAGACGCUUCUCCUUCUCCAAUUGUCUCUCAUAUUUUCGACUGAAAUCAACCAUCCAUUGCUCAUGUUUGUCAACAAUGGUGCUUUCAAGAAUUGUUCGACACAUGGCAAGAGAUACCAAUGUCCCAAGAAUUAAAAACAAAAACACAUGGAUUAAACUCAUCAUUUUUUUUUUUGCAAUACAAGCAGAGAUACUCCACUAAUUUAAGGGCUUUUUUCUUUUCUAAUUGCUAAGUUGUGAGGAACUAGCACUCAAUGAACGUAUAUAUAUACUACAAAAAAAUUAUUGAAAUAAAUAUUUUUUUAAUUAAGUCAUCUAAUGAAAAUUCAACUAAAAUGCCAAUCAAGUCUUUUUUUUUUUAAAAAAAAAAAGAACAACAGUAUUUUUUUCUUAGCAAAAUCCAAAUUUGACAAAUAAAAACUCUGUUCACAAUAUAAUAUGAAAGAGAAAAUUGUAAUCUUUCUAAUUGAUGAACCCUACUCACAAUAUUUUCUAUUUUUCUUUCUCUUGAAUUGAAAAUCGAUUUUAGGAAAACACCCAAAGUUCACAUUAUGUUAAUUACUACUACAUAUUUUCAUUUUUGGACCUUCUAAUCUCUAUUAUUUUGUUAGAAUUGUAACUUUGUGAAACUAUAUACACGUUAAUUAUUUUAAUAAGAUUAUGUUUUGUAAUAUAAUUAGGGAAUGUAAGAUGAUGAGUAAUUCCCUUGUUUGGCUCAUUUGAAUGGAAUAUAAGAUUCAAAUGGUUGAUUUACAGAAUGUAAGAUUAUUUAGAAGCAUAUUUUAUUAAAUUAUAUUUGUUAUAAAUUUUUUUAACAAGUAUAGUUUCUUUAAUAGUUUUUAGUCUAAAUUUUCAGAAAUUAAUAAUAAAUUAUUAUAUUUUUUAUUACAAUCUAUAUACUAAUAAGUAUAUAAUAGUUAAAUAAAUUUAUAAAUCAUAAUUAUAAUAAUUAAUGAAAAAUAAUUACGUCACCAAUCAUAAUUAUAACUAUAAUUAAUAUAGUAAUAAAUAAGUUAUUACUGUAAAUAUAGUAAUUAUAGUUUUAAAGUAUGAUAACUGUUGUUUCACGAUUUAUUAAAAACUUUAAUUUUAUUAAAAUAAUAAAAACAAAGAGUAAAUAUGCCCGAAAUUCAAGAUUAUAUCCAUAAUCUAAGAUAACUUAAUAAAUGAAUUGUAUUAAGAUUUCGAUAUCUUGAUACUAUUUGAAGAUGUAAGAUUAAGGGAUGAUUAGAAUAUUGAGAAUCCAAAUAAGAUAAUCUUCUUCUAGAAUGUAACAUUACAUGCAAUAAUGUAAGAUUGAGCCAAUUAAACAUUACAUGAAGUCUUUAGUGAAAUCAUCUAGGCCUUCAUUAUCGUCUCUUACGCCCCACUACAUAAUUGGCGCGCCGAUGAAGCAAAUGAGAAUGUUGACAAGCAGGAUUUGCGCUAUUUUUUCUCUUAAUUUCUUAUGUUUGAUAGUUGCUGCGUGGAAUAGAAAGAUAGACCAGAUGCAAGUCACGGUCAACUGCCCUUAUUUGCAAGAGAGCCAGGGUGAUUUUUUUAUUAAUUUAUUUUGAAUAUUUUUAUUAAAAUAAUGCGUGAACGGACAAAACAAAAUUUUAUUGUGGAUUCAGUUAUUAUAGUAUUUUGAGUUUAAGGUAAUUAAGAUACGAACAAUUUCCUCUGGUUUGCAAAAGUUAUUUCAUCAAUGGUAGUGGGACAUUUAGACUUCACCAUCAUGAGUCGUAGAAUAAUACAUAUUCGUAUAUUAAGAAAGAGGAAUAAAUAAAACAGAAGCAAACCCAGUGAUUGUUUCCUCUGUAGGGAGCACAAGCAAUCUAAGGAUAAGAAAAUGGUUAAAACUUCAAGUUAUCCCAAAGCGAACAAAAGAAGUAUAAAAACUUAUUAAAAUCUAACUAUUUUUAUCAACAAGUGUUGGUUACAAUGGUAAAGUAUAUUGCAUUGCAGACGACAUUGUUGGAAGGGACAGUCAUAAACCUAGAACAUAGACCAUAAAACAUACAUGAAUAAUACCCCAAAAAAGGUCCAAGUGUUUCUUUUGUAAGAACAAAAAGAUCACUGCAAGGAAAAAUGCAAAGAGUGUAAGGAUUACCUAGCCUCUAAGGGUAAAGGUAUGAAACUCUUGAUUAUUGAAACUUGUUUAGCGAAAGACUUAAUAGACCACUAAGUCAUUUAUUAUAGAGUCACUAGUCAUGUUUGUAUUUCUUUGUAGGGGUUUAAGGAAAUGAAAGAUCUUCAAGAUAAGAAUCUACCAUUGCGAGCCGGAGAUGGGAGCUAUGUGGCUACAAAAACAAUCUGAGAAGUACAUCUUUAUUUUGAUAGUUUUAGGAAGAUUGCUUUGGGAGAUGUUUUCUAUGUACCAAACUUUAGAAGAAAUGUAAUUUAUGUUGCAUGUUUAUUUAAAGACGAUUAUACUGUGACUUACUGUAAUGGUAUUGCAAUUCAUAGAAAUCAAUCUCUUAUCUCUAAUGGAGGGAUGCAAAAUAAUAUUUAUUUUAUCAAACCAAAUGUGCACUUACUGCUAGAAAUUGAACUCGUAAAUAAGAAACUUGAAACUUCUCUCUAAUGAAGCAUACUCAUGGCAUCUAAGACUUUAUCAUAUUAAUGAAGAUAGAAUCACUACAUCUUUCAUAAUGAGAGUCAUUCCUUAAAGGCAAAAUGAUCAAGUGACCUUUUAAUGCAAAAGAUACACAAAUCGUUCAACCCUUAGAACUUGUGCACGCUGAUGUAUGCGGUCUCAUGAACAUUAGUGCUUGAUAUGGUUACGAUUAUCAUGUAACUUUUAUAGAUGAUUAUUCCAAAUAUGAUUUGGUGUACCUAAUACACCGCAAGAGCAAAAUCUACAAUAAAUUCCAAGAGUUUCAUGCAGAAGUGAAUAAACUAUUAGAUUUUCCCAUUAAGGCACUUCAGUCUAACCGAGGUGAGGAAUACUUAUUAGAAGUCUUCUUAGAAUACCUCAUAGAAAAUGAAAUAUUAUCCUAAUUAAUUAUGUCGGGUACUCCACAAGAGAAUAACAUAGCAAAGAGAAGGAAUAGAACUUCACUAGGCAUGGUUUAUUCAAUGUUAAGUGAUUCACAACUGUUGAUAUUCUUUUGAUGAUUUGCAUUACAAACAACUUAAUAUAUUUUGAAUGAUGUACCAACUAAGGCACCAAAUAAAACUCCCUACCAAUUGAUAGGGCAAGAAUCAAGCGUAAAGCAUUUGAGGAUUUGGGGAUUCCUAGCCUAUUGGAAAUAUUAGUCUAGAAAAUAGUGUUUUUAAGCAUAGCAAAAGAUUGCUUUUAUUUUAAAUUGAGCCCUUUUUAUAUUUAUAGUAAUAAAUCCAUAACUGAAAUUAUAUUUGUGUUUUAAACGAGGAGGUUAAAGUCAAUCCCACCUUUCUACCGAAUGAUCUUCUUCGCUAUUCUCGAACACAAAUUGGUUUGAGUGGGGGCUGAAAUUAAUCGAACCAAGUUCAUAGAACAAAAUAUUUUAUUAACUUUCAAUAGGAAAAUUUUAUAACAGGAAACUAUGUGUUUUCCCUAAAAAAUAAAAUUUAUUAUAUAAUAUAAAAUUUCGACGCUCAGUAGUGUGUGUACUAUUGGAAAAAAAAUUCUGGUUUGAAAACGAUUUUCUUACACAAUGGGAAAUUAAAAUCUUGAGAAUCGACUCAGUUUGUGAUAUUUAUAGCAAUAAGCCCUAACCAAAUUCAUAUCUGGGUUUUCAGCCUAACGGAUGUUCCUUGUUCUUGACUUUCAACUAAAUGAUGUUCUUUGCUAUUCUUGUACAACGAGCUUCUUCGAGUGUGGGCUCGAACCAAUUGAAUUGAAACACAGAACUAUAAAAAGUUUUCUCUUUUAUUUAGGGUUAAAACAAAAAUUCUCUCUUCUUUAAAAGAAACUGGUAGAAUUCUUAUUCAUGAAAAAUAUGUUUAAUAGUUGAUAAUAAAUUCUCUUUAUUUUUCGGUAGAAUAACAAUCUCUCAAAGUUGUAUAUAAUGCCCUACUAGUGUCAUCUAUUUAUAAGAAGAAAAGGUAGAAGAACCAUUAUUUUGUUGUAGUGGUUUAUUUCAAAUAGAAAAAUAAUUUCUUAAUUAGAGUAGUAGUGGGGUGGAUGGCACACCCUAGUAUUCUUACUAGGGUUGUCACCCCCUUAUGUUAUAUGAGGGGUUUUGGGCCUCUCUCACAUCGGGUCCAAUUACGAGUACUUCUUGGACCUUUUGACUCAGUACUCUAUAAUUUGAUCCAACCAGAUUUGGUUUUUCUAUUUCACAAAAUAAACUUUAAUAUUCUAUAUCAAAAAAUUCUCAUCCUUAUUUUACCGCAAUAAAAUUUUGACGAUGUCGAAACCAUUUUUCAAUUUUUAAAAACACGGGGAUCGACUUUGAAAAUAAAAUGGGAGUCGCCACCGAUCUUUUAUUAAGGUGUGAUCGGUUCUCCAUUAAAAAUAAAUUUUAGGUCUGCGAGAUUUGAGAAAAAUAGGUUCGGGAGUCGGUUACGCACAAGGAAGGGUUAGCACCCUCGUAACGCCCAAAAUUGGUACCGAAUUGAUUGUUUAAUGUCUUAAUGUCAAAAUUUUGAAAAGAUUUUAAAAUACUAUCCUUGGAUGAGAAAUCUUGAAUAAACUAUGUUGGAGAUAAGAUGCACUCAUUUCGUAGAAAUAAAUUGCUACACUCAGUGAGUUAGGGUGCAACAAUUCAAUCUUUGAAAUUAGAUUUGUUCCCUUUUUUUUAGAAAAUCAUGUGUUUUAAGAAGGAUAUUUGAUUAUUUGAGUCAAUCGAGAAAUUCGAAACCAGUAAGUUAGGGUUCAAUUUCUCGAAAUUCUUAAACAUCAAGCAUUGCUUUUAUUUUAAAAUCGAGAUAACGAAAUGUCAUAUCCAGUAAGUUAGGAUUUAACAUUUUGAAAUAUUAAGAAUUUUAUUUUAAUAAUUGAAUGGUUUUAAUAAAAUGGGAGCUUGAUUAUCUAAGUUCAUCGAGAAGAAUCGAAGCCCAGUAAGUUAGGGCACAAUUCUCUCGGGAACCUAUGAACGCCAAGCUUCCUUUUUUAAGGAUUAUGAAAUAAAAUGAUUAUGGAGCUUUAAUAAAAAUCAACUUUUAGAAAAAGAACAUGAUUAAAUAACGAUACAUAUAAUGUAAAAGAUAAAUAACAAUUUAAACUUAAACUAGAGGCAAUUUAACAAAUAAUAGGCAAAUAAAAACGUUGACUUUAAUCAUAUUAUACAAACAUCCAUAUUAAAAAUUAAGCAACCCAUAAAUUCAUAAUCAAUUAAAAACAGAAAAGGACAAUAAUAACAAUAAGUAAUAUGAAUAUUUGAUACAAUUUGGUAAUGGAACUAAGGAAACAAAUAAAAGGUUUCAAUGAAUUUUAAUGGAAGAUUUAAAAAAAAAAACAAAAUGAAAUAAAAGUGAAUAACUUAAAAUGAGUACCUACAUUUUGAUUUAUAUAAAUAAAAUCUAGUAUAAAUAAUAGUAUAUACAUAAUAAUAUAUAUAGAAGUUAAAACAAAACAACAAAUUUAAAAGGAAUAAGGCUUCCAUACAUAAAAUAUAUUAUUUGAAAUUAAUAAUGUAUUAUUGUAUAUAUACAUACGUAUAGUAAAAAAAACAUAUUACAUAUACAUAAUAUAUAAAAAUAUAAAGUAUUACUAUUAGAAAUUAACUUUCUAUAAAAAUAUAAAGUUAAUCAUAUAUAUAAAUAACAAAUAUAUAAAAGAAAAAUAAUAAUACGAUAAUAAGAAUAAGUAUGAUAAUAAAAAUAACAAUAAAUUUCCUAAUAAAAAACUAAAUAACAAGAAGGAUUAAAUCAUAAACAAGUUCAAAUUAACAGGGAACAACUGGUAUUAAAGAACAGUGGGGGACCAUGCUGCAACACGCGUAUUACAUGGGGGCCUGAUUGGGAAAUAUCCCGCUUCCCCAAAACGUAGUGUUGCAAGCUGGAUUGAAAUGGAACAAAAGCAGAAUACGGGGCCAAAUUAGAAAGAAGGGAGAUAGCCGAUUCGAAUACACCAGAAAAGGGGUGGACCGGUCGCGCAAAUAUCCCUCCCUACGCCAAAACACGUGGAUCUAGCCGCGUUUGGGUCGGGUCAUCAGGUCGUGGCCUAAAAUGGCACCGUUUCAGAGCCACUGUAUCAGGCAAUACGACGAUGUUUCAUGAUUCCCCACAUUAAGCCAACAUUAAAACUCCAUUAGUCUAAACAGAAAAAGAAAAGAAAAAAACCCUAAUAAAAAAAAAACCAAUCUCCUUUCAUUCAUAAGUCGUGCCGCCUCAGCCCUCUUUUCAUCCGGUCCAAACUCUGAUUACGGUGGAGUGAACCAGGAUCCGACGCUCCCACCUCUAAGGUGAGUCUCUCUUCUUUCUUUUUUUUUACUCUUUUUUCACAGUAAUAAAAAAAGAAGACGAAUCUAAAAAGGAAACAGGAAAAUCACUGAAAAAUCAAAGAGGAAUCACCUUUCGAACUCUUUUCUUUUCGAUUUCUCUGAAUUUUUGGCAAUUUUACUCCUGGUAAAUGUUCGAGAAAAUAUAUUCAAUAUUUCAUAACUCAACAUGUUCACUGCGACUAAAUGAUUUAUUUUCAUUUUUGGGCUUCAAAAUAGCUAAAAAAUGUAAGCUUAUUCUUCCGAUCAUUUUUAAGCAAAAUGUAAGCUUAAAUUUACACCCAAUGAACCAGCUUUCACUUCCGUAUCUAUUUAAACUCGGGCUUUUACUUACAUCAAAGUGUACAAAAUAAUUGUAACCUUCUCUUGCAUUAAUACUCAUGGGGCCACAUAAGUUAGUUUAAACAAGUUAUAGGGGUUUUCUAGCCCUUUCUCCUUUUGCAUUAAAAGAUCACUGAGUUAUCUUACCUUCCAAGCAAGAUUCACAUUGUGGAAGAUCAACUUCUUUAAGCGAACUUAAGAUGUCAUCUUUGACAAGCCUAGUGAGUUUUUCUCAGUUAAUUUGACCAAGUAUCAAAUGCAAAAUAUAUGCAUUAGAGUGAGAAGUUUUAAGUCUUUUAUUUGAUAUUUUAGUCUCAAGUAAUGUGUACAUCUUUGGUUGGAUUAAAUGAAGAUUAUUGACAUCCACCCAUUAUAAUUAAGAUUGCGAUUCCAAAAUAUUGCAAUUCCACUAUAUAACGAGGCAACAUAAAUUAAGUUUCUUUUGAAAUUUGAUACAUAGAAAACGUCUCUUAAAAUAAUCAUCCUAAAAUUUUCAAAAUAAAGAUGUACAUCUCCCACUACUUCAUCUGCCACACUUGUCCUGUUCCCAGACCACAAUGAUAAGCUCUUAUACCUAAGAUCCUUUCUUUCCUCGAACCCCUAUAGAUAAACACAAACAUAAUUAGAGGAUCCCAAAUCAAUGACCUAGUGCUCUAUUGAAUCCUUCACUAAACAAGCUUCUAUCAUCAAGAGUUCCAUGCCUUUAACUUUGGUGGUCAAAUAUUCCUUCCACUAUUUACAUUUUGGCUUGAGGUGUCCUUUCUUGUUGUAGAAGAAGCAUCUAGACUUAGAUAAGUCUUUCGGCUUCCUAGUUCUCUUCCUUUCCACAUAUGGUGGCCUCGAGACCAUUGCCUUGCCUUUCUUAGCACGCUUUGUAACAACCCUUACAUGUCUCCGUCACCUGAUUAGGGUUACAAAAUGCUACCAUACAAAAUAGAAUAGAAACAAGCUAUCAGAGUUCAAAUUUUAUUUUUAAAAAAGUAUUCAUUAAAAUCUUGAAAAUCGACAAUAAAUUCCAAGAGUUUUGUGCAGAAGUGAAGAAACUAUUAGAUUUUCCCAUUAAGGUGCUUUGAUCUAACCGAGGUGAGGAAUACUAAUUAAAAGUCUUCUUAGGAUACCUCAUAGAAAAUGUAAUAUUAUCCUAAGUUCAGAUUUAGACAAUUUUGUUUAGCCUUAGACACGACAAAGUGUUCUAAUAGCACAUCCCGCAUGUCACUUAAUUGGCUGAUGUCGAUAAGUAAGGAUGCCCUAAUUCCCCCCUUUAAUUUCUAUCCUUUGAUAGUUGGGUGAUUGGGAUGAUUUAUUUAUUCAUUUUGGAAGUUUUUAUUAGAAUUUGACUUGCUAAUUUGCAUAUUUAUAUUAUAUUUGUGCAUUUUCACUCAAAUCAAAUUUUAUUUCACUCGACUCGAUUCGAAAAAAAUCAAAUUGACUUAAGAUCUUAAAAUAAGAAUCGUAAACUCGAUUAACUCGAAAUUUUUUCUUUCGUUUCAAUCGAACACUCACCCCUAAUAUUUUGUAUAGCAUUAUCAAAUCUACUUAGAACCAAGUAGACGAAAAUUCUAACCCAUACGAUACUUUAUUACUUAGUUGACGCAGCAAAUGUUGACAAAGCUGCGUUUGCGCCAAAUUUUUUUUUCUUAAUUUCUAUUGUGUGAUUGGUACAUGGAUGAGAACGAACAUAAUUAGUGCCAUCCCACCAUGCAAUUGCAAGCCUAAAAAAAUCUAAAGAUGGUGACAAUUCAAAAUGGUAAUAAAUUGAAAUAAUUCUUUUUAUUUUACCUUGCUCAAUUUUUAUUAUAUUUAGUUUUAAUUCAUGUGUUAUCUCUGAAUGAUAUCACAAUAUAUUUUAAAAAAAUUAAUAUUAAUAAUAUUUAAUAACAUAAAAUAAUUUAUAUGUAUUAAAAAUUUAUUAACCACUUUAUAUUAGAAUAAUCUAUCAUUAUUUCAAAAGGUAAAAAUGUUAUUAUUACACCAAUUAAAAAAUAUCAUAUAUUCGAAUAAUUAAGUCAUCAUAAUUUUAAUAAAAAAUGUCACAUAUAAUAAUGAUAAAUGUAAAAUAAUUUAAUUUAUGUUUAUGAUAUACAUGACUUAUUUAUACCUAUUAAAAUAAAUAAUUACAAAUAAUAAUGUAUAAAAUUUUGGCUUGAAGUGUCCUUUCUUGUUGUAGAAGAAGCAUCUAGACUUACAUAUGGUGGCCUCGAGACCAUAGCAUUGCCUUUCUUAGCACGCUUUGUAACAACCCUUACCCGUCUCUGUCACCUGAUUAGGGUUACGAAAUGCUACCAUACAAAAUAGAAUAGAAACAAGCUAUCACAAUUCAAAAUUUAUUUUUAAAAAAUUAUUCAAUAAAAUCUUGAAAAUCUACAAUAAAUUCCAAGAGUUUCAUGUAGAAGUGAAGAAACUAUUAGAUUUUCCCAUUAAGGCACUUCUAUCUAACUGAGGUGAGGAAUACUUAUUAAAAGUCUUCUUAGGAUACCUCAUAGAAAAUGAAAUAUUAUCCUAAUUAAUUAUGUCGGGUACUUCACAAGAGAAUAACAUAGUAGAGAGAAGGAAUAGAACUUCACUAGGCAUGGUUUAUUGAAUGUUAAGUGAUUUACAACUGUAGAUAUUCUUUUGAGGAUUUGCAUUACAAUCAACUUGAUAUAUUUUGAAUGAUGUACCAACUAAGGCACCAUAUAAAACCCCAUACCAAUUGAUAGAGCAAGAAUCAAGCGUAAAACAUUUGAGGAUUUGGGGAUUCCUAGCCUAUUGAAAAUAUUAGUCUAGAAUCCAAAGAAGAUAAUGUUCUUCUAGAAUGUAACAUUACAUGCAAUAAUGUAAGAUUGAGCCAACUAGACAUACAGUUUUAGAAAAAUUACGACUACAAUAAUUAGAUUUUAUUAAUUUCUAUUAGCAUUUUAUUGUUAUUAUAUCACUACAUUUACAUUAAUUAAAUUGAGUUUUUUUAGUCCAUUGUUAUUUUUAUAGAUUAAAAUUUUCUCUUUAAGUUAUUUCCGUAUUUAUCCCAAUUCUCUAUAACAGUCACCCAUUAUAAUAAUAUUUUAUUAUAAUAGUUAAGUUUCUAGUGGAAUCGGGUUUUUUAUGUUUUAUUUUAAUCUUGUACAAUAGCUUUUCAUGCAACAAUCAUAGUUAUGAAAUACAUUCCUUAUUAAAUUAGUUCUCAACAAUAGUAUAUUGUCAAAAUUUGAAGCACAAUUAUAACUAUUUCUCAUAAACAAGUCUACCAAUUCUAAUUUAUUAUACAAAAAUGAUCUUAAUUAAAAUGUUAUUUCAAUAAAAUGUUUAAAUUUCACCUAAAAAAUCUAUUAAUUAUAUUUUAUUAAAUGAAAAUAAUCUUCAAUGACUGGAAUUAAAUAUAUCAAUUCAAUAAACUAUUAAGUUCCCUAAUUAAAUAUUUACUAUGAAUUUGGAACAUUAUAAAUUUAUAAAUUCAUUACUUGAAUUUAAUAACUUAUUAUUAAUUAAUUAAUUUAAUUUGAUAACUUAUAUUGAUUAAUUGAACUUGUUAGAUUUAUGAACAUUAUAAUUAGUCAUGUGAAAGAAUGUACAGUAAAAGAUGCAUAAAAAUAAUAAUGUGUGCACCAACUAUAUGUUUUUUUUUUAAUUUAGGCCUUCAUUAUGGUCUCUUACGGCCCAUUACAUAAUUGGCGCGCCGAUGAAGCAAAUGAGAAUGUUGACAAGCAGGAUUUGCACUAUUUUUUCUCUUAAAUUUUCCCAAUUCUCUAUAACAGUGACCCGUUAUAAUAAUAUUUUAUUAUAAUAGUUAAGUUUCUAGUGGAAUCGAUUUUUUAUGUUUUAUUUUAAUCUUGUAUAAUAGCAAGAGAUACUAAUGUCCCAAGAACUAAAAACAAAAACACAUGGAUUAAACUCAUCAUUUUUUUUUUGCAAUAAAAGCUGAGAUACUACACUAAUUUAAGGGUUUUUUUUCUUUGCUAAUUGCUAAGUUGUGAAGAACUAGCACUCAAUGGACCUAUAUAUAUACUACAAAAAAAUUAUUGAAAUAGAUAUUUUUUAAUUAAGUCAUCUUAUGAAAAUUCAACUAAAAUGCCAAUCAAGUCUAUUUAUUUAAAUAAAUAUUUCUUUAAAUAUUAAUUUCUAACUGAUAAUGGGCUGAUUAGGAAUUAAAGUUAAAGUAGAUUUAACUUUUUUAAAUUACUUAUGUACUAAUUUAAAAGAUUAAAAGAUUUAACUUAAUUUCUAUCCUUUGAUAGUUGGGUGAUUGGGAUGACUUACUUAUUUUGGAAGCUUUAUUAGAAUUUUGUCUCAAUGGAAAUUUGUCCUAUAGGACAUGCUUUCAGUUAUGUCAGCUAUAGGACGUGUUUCGGUGUAAAUGAUAGUUAAAUAUUAAUAUUUUUGUUCUUAAAUUUUUGUGUUCGAUUCGUCUUCUCCUCAAGGAUUAUCGACUUCAAUCUGCUCCGCUGCAACCUCAGGGAGAUAAGAUUUGAUGCGAUUUGCUCCGCUACUGCUUAGGGAGACAAGAUCUGCAAUGUCCAACCUAUUCCACUGCUGACCAGGGACAUAGGACUUGUGGCUUAAAUCUGCUUCCUUACACUUGAAGAUAAGAUUCGCCGUCUUCGAUCUGCUCCGCUAUUGCUUAGGGAGACAAGAUUUGUAAUUUCCAACCUAUUCCACUACUGGUCAGGGAGCUAGGUUUUGUGAUUUCACCGAUCUGUUCUCUGGGGAACAUGACCUGUAUAAUUCAUUUAUGAACUUAAUUAUGCUUAGUGAUUAGGACGUCAUGAUCAGCAUGAGUCAAAUGCUCCUAACUAGGUAUGUAUAAAUGAUGUUUACAUGAAUGCAGAAUGUCAUUUUUGACAACGAUCUUUCUUUAUCGCUUAAGUUGUCAUUGUUCGAAGUUUAUUAAGGCUUUAUCACUGACGUGCUACAACGCCUUCUUGCUCGGCUGGCAUCUCCAAAAACACUUAAUGAUAUUGCCCCCACCAUGAACUUCAAAGUUCAAUCCACUGGGACACACAACUUGUACCAUUUUUCUCCCACUGCAACCCAAGGGUAGAAAUAUAUGGCUUUUCCUCAGUCCUUUCCUAUCACAAUUCAAGGAUACGAGAUCUAAGUCUGUCUGGUCCCUUACACCAUUCCCAAGGUGUCGUACCAAAGACUUAUGCACAGAUGAAGGCUCUCUUCUCCGAGGUAACCUCUUCCUCUUGCCUGGUGAUCAUUGUUUGCUUGUCUAUUUAAGCUUUGUCAUCAACUUGACCUCUUGUCAUUUUGUUCAAUCAAUGCAUUUGACGAAAAACUCCAAAGAGAAAGUCCUAAUUUAGACUCUUCCUUCUCAGAUUUCCAUCCUUUAAACUUGGUGCGUUCUAAACAAUAGUCCUGUUUCAGGUUCCUGUAUUAUUUAGAAACUUUUCAGAGUAAUAUGCAAAACUUCCUUUGUGAAAGUUUUAUUAGUCCAUUAAUCAUUAUUCCAAUGCAACAUGUUUACAAAAAAAUGUCAUAACAAUGGAUAAGAAUAAAGUUGGUUCUGAGCAUAGCUCGAAAGGAAUAAAUUAUCAAAAAUAGUAAAGAAGGAUAAUAAAGAAAUUGAUUAGGAAUAUUCUUGAUAAAGAAUGAGGUAUUCCAGGAACAACAAAUUCAAAAUAGUAAGAAAAUUGGGUGCCCCAGAUAUCGCAGCUUGAACUUCUCUGUACAAACUUUCUGAAGACCCUUCAUGUGUUUAGGAGAUCUUUAGUGCUUUGUCGAUGCCCCAAGAUGUCGCCUAUCCUUUCCUGUUGAUUUAGGCAUAACAAGAUUACCACAUGCCCCAAUCUGAUUAAGAUUCGAAUCGCUCUGAUCACUUCAUGCCCCAUUCUGAUCAAUAUUUGAGCCGCCUUUUUCGGGUUUUCAACUCAGAUCCCCUUUGGCCUAAGGCGCCCUUUGCGGGUUUUCCCCUUAGCCUCUCCAUUUUUACUUUUUCAUUUUUUUCAUUUUUAUUUUUUUUGGAAUUAGUCCUUUCUUCUUCUUUAAAUGAAGCAUUUCUUGACUGGAUCCGUGUUUAUAGGAUCAGCAGUCUCGCUCAGGAUCAGUGCUCGUCUGAAAAAGGUCUUCUUUACAACACAGGGACAUCCCCGGCUUAACAUUCAUAUCCUUCUAGAAUCCUUUUGUUGAGGAAGGAUCUUUUCCAACAUCCAGCCCUCUCGUGGAAUUCUCUAAGACGACUCUAUUUAUUAUGGGCUUGUAUCAUUUGUUUCUAAUACAUCCGACCCUGAUGAAUAGCUUUUAACCCUUUUCCUAGGUCCAACUGAUCACAUCGCGAUUGGAUCCUUCCAACUUUAAUACCUGAAGAGAGGGGAUUUCAAUAGGUAAUACCACCUCAAUCCCGUAAACCAAAGAGAACAACAUUGCUCCGGUAGAAAUCUUGAUAGAUGUUCGGCAAGCAAGGAGGGCAAAUGGUGAUUUCUCAUGCCAGUCCUUGUAAGUCUCAGUCAUUUUUGCAACUCAUUGCAGUGAUGAACUACGGUAUCUGAUUUUGAAUUGAUCACAGACCUCAGCUAUCAUACUAACAUUCAUGAUAUCGUCUUCUCCAUAAUUCCAUACCGGCAUAUGAUGACAUUGACACAUGAAGCAGCCUCUACCCGUUUGAUAAAGUAACUAAUGAUAUCAAACAUGAAGCAAUGCCCAUUAGAAACCUUCGAUGAUGAUGACGACCAUGCCCCAUUUGCUUAAAAUUUGAGUCACCCUUUUUGGGUUUUCAACUCAAAACUGCCUUUGGUCACAAAGCGCCCUUUGAGGGUUUUCGCUUUGACCUCUCCUUUACUUCAUUUUAUCAAUUUUUAUUUUGAUUUUUUUCUUCUAGACUUUUCUCUUUUUUCAUUAUUUUUCCUUUUUCUCUCAUUUUCAUUUUGACCUUGAUUUUGAUUUUUCUUUUUUCUUCUUUUUAUUUUUUGAUUUUGAUUUUUGAUUUUUUUUAUUUUUUUUUGGGCUCAUAGGGUUAGGCAAGUCCUCGUUAUCCCUUUCGAAGAAUCCUCUUUGAUAUCAGAUUUCCUUCAUAGAGCCUUUUGGGGUGACACUACGACUGAAAACUUUUAAUCUUCCUCUUUCAUCAGGACGAGAUCCAACAAAACUUGAAGAGAUGAAAACUCGACUUCAAAUGGACAAAGCUAUGCUGACCCAACGAGAAAGGCAUUUCCACGACAAAGAAUUGCAUCAUUCAUACUCAAAUUUCUGCCAUCGCGCUGUUGUGCAGAUUUCAUUAUCAGCGGUUAACUCGGGCAUAUCCUGGCAUGAUCAUACAAAAACAUCUUUGAACCCUAGAGGUGACUCAACAAGGUCUUGCUUCGUCUUUGCAAUCAGGUCAAUUCUAAUAUUCACCAAGCUCACAAUUUCUAAUGAUUCCUUGUGGGGUAGUAUCCGUCUAUCCUCUUGUUCAACCAUCCUCAACAAGUCCAGAGAUAAGCUACAAUCUUUGUCAUUUUCAAAGUCAUAAGAUCCCUCUAAACACAUGCCUUGCUCAAGAGGAAAAUUUGAAUCUGUAGCAGUGUCAUUCACGUAAUUGAUAUCUAAGGACCCAUAAUAAGUACCGAAGGAUAUACAAAAGAAUGCACAAAUUCAUGAAUAAUUAUUUGUACCAUAUGAUUAUGAAUAACAAUUUAGAAGAAAAUCCAAAAGAAUGAAAGAAUCUGGAAUUAUUUGUAAAGAAUGAAAAUAUUGGCUCAGUAAUAAUUGUAAAGAUAUAUUUCAUUAAAAUAACAACGUUCAGACAUGAGCCUAUUUCACAAAGGAAUUUCUAUCAUUUCUAGGCUAAGAAUAAGAAAAUGUUCAGAACAUUACUCUAAAUAAGCUCUAAGAACUAUAGGAAUUUCUUCCGCAGUCUAAUUGCUUAGAACACUCCAUAUUUAUAAAGGCAGAUAUCUAGCAAGGUCCCUUUUCAUUCUUGUCUUCAAAUAUGUCAUUAAUGUGGACACUUCCAACACCUUUUAAUACAUUGUAUUCACUCCAUUAUCAAUCAUGAUUGGGUAGCGGGCUUUCUGCACUAGAUGAGCGAUCAAGCUUCACAAUACCCAUGUUGAUGAGUCUUUCAACUUGCUUUUUGAAGGCAGUGCAAUUCUCUAUUGAGUGCCCCGUAAUUCCCGCAUGGUAGUCACAUUGUACGUUCGCAUCAUACCAGUUAGAGUAUGGAGGUUGUAGACGUUUCACAUAAAAAAAGGAGACAACGUAUGCAUCAAACAAAUUUUGAUACAGCUCUUUAUACGACAUCAAAAUUGGUGUGAACUGGAGCUUCUCAGUACUUGGUUUCACUCCAGAUUCUUGUCUCAAUAAACCUUGUUGACUAGCGACCCCUUUACCUGGAUGACUUACUGACCUUGAGUAACCUAUUUUAUUCAUCUCAUCUUCUUUUUUCCUUGAGACUGAUCUCUUAUUACUAUCUUUCGCCUCAAUUUUUCCAGUCCUUAUAGUAUUCUCAAUCAUUUCACCAUUCAUCACUACAUCAGAAAGGCUUUUUGUUGCACUUCCUAACAUAUGCGUGAUGAACAGGGCCUUCAGUGUGUUGAUGAAGAGCAUUGUCGUCUCUUUCUCCAAGAGAGUGGCUGAACCUGGACUGCAACCUCCCUCCACCUCUGUGCAUACUGCCUAAAAUGUUCAUUCGAUUUCUUUUCCAAAUUUUGUAAAGUGACUCUAUCGGGAACCAUAUCUGUCACAUGAAUGUAUUGUUUCAUGAAUGCCUGUGCUAGGUUCCUCCAUGAACCAAUCUCGGUACGGCUCAACUGAUUGUACCAUUUCGACGCUGCUCCAAUGAGGCUAUCUUGAAAAACUGUAUUAAUAGCUAAUCAUUGUUAAUAUACCCAGUCAUUCUCCUACAGAACAUGGUGAUAUGGGCUUCGGGGCAGCUAGUCCCACUAUAUUUCUCAAAUUCAGGCAUCUUGAACUUGUGAGGGAGUACUAAGUCUGGAACCAAGCUCAGAUCUUUUGCAUCAAUUCCAUGGUGACUAUUGGCGCUUUCCAGGGCUUUGAAUUUUUUCUCCAACCAUUUACACCUAUCUUCCCACUAUUUUGGCAAUUUCGCGUUCACCUUUCAUUCCUUAGCUGCUUCAUCAAAAUUAGAGAUGGUAAUAUUAACCAGAUUACCACCAGCGUUAGAACCUGAUCCGGCCAGAAAGUUCAUCGGUAAUGAAACAUCGGUUUGAAACCUCUGAGGCCCAAUUAAAAUAGAGGAUCUGGGCGGAGGUACCUCGGUCUGAGUCUGUGCAUGUAAAGGCGUAAAACCUAGAGGAUAGAUAGGUCUAUCCUUGUCUUCUUCUUCAUCAUUCACCACAGGGCCUUUCCCCUUAUUUACACCUUUAGUCAAUAGAUAGGUCAAUUCAGCCAUCGCAUCUUUUUGAGCCUUGAUCAAUUUUUCCAUCAUGUCUUUUUGAAUUUUAUCUAGCCGCUCUUGCAUUUGUACUUGUAACCGUUCUUGCAUAUCCUUUUGUAUUUUCUCCAAUUUCUCUAAUCUUUGAUCCAUUUCCUUAGUUUUGCGAUGAGUACCGUAAGGAUGUUUGGUUGGUUGGUUUUCCAGAUUAGCUGAAAUAAAUUUACUCAAUUAGGCUCUUUCAAUGGACUUUAAUGCAUGUAAUGUAAAUGCAUGAAAUUAAUGCCUAAAGAGACAUUGAUUCUGAUUCAAUUACAUUUAGAAAACUUUACUAGAAGGCAAAUUCCUUUACAUAAAGCAGAUGCAUGUACAACUUUGCCCUUAUAUUCCAAGAGACAACAUCGAUCUUUUUCUUCAUCCGCAUGUUUGUGAUAAUAUUGCCAAUUUCCAAUUGAUGCCACUGCUAACUCCUUUUCUUGAUCUUGGUCGCGAUCCAUCAUCUGUCCAUCUUCAUAAGGCUCGUCAGCUUCUUUAAGGGAGUUGGAAUGUCAAAGGCUCUUAGACAAUCGCCUUGCAUCCUCGGGCCACGAAGUAAGGUUACGAACUCUUCCAUCGCCCUUCUUAUGUUUCUCAGAAUAUAUUCAGGCAGCCGUAUUAUUUUCCACUUUAUCAAGGAAUCCGUAUUCCAUGACAAGAUUUCUAAUUUAGUAAUUGGAUUUGAAUAAAUAUCUCUUUCCUAAGAUGCAAAUGCAAUGCAAUCAUAAUCAAAACAAAACAAGAUGGGUUAGUACAAAACAGAAGCAAACAAGGAAAACAAAAGUACCUAGUCGGGUAACCACUAAGGAUUUGCAGUGGCUCUACCUAGGAUGGGUUCCUAAGGUCUUCUACAUGCGGUUUGGCUCUAAAGUCAAGGUACCUGAACUAGCUGAUUCCUUGAUCUUCACCCAUUAUAGGCUCAUACAGACCGAGUUCGGUUCAGGGGAAUACAUUUCCCUAUGGCUGCACAGAGAUGAAAAUCUCACGAAGACAUAGGUACGGAUGUAUCCUGAAAGUGAUUCACUAUCCUGCACGGAGGUGAAAACCUCACGAAGGAGUAGCUUCUCACUCCCACUUAAAAGGACAAGACUAAACAGUCUUAUGCAAUAUGACGCCAAAAUAUACAACUCAAUUUACAAUAAUCAUGCAAACAAGUGCAAAGAAAAGAUCGUAAAUUUUCAAAUCAAAUUUUCAAUUUUCGAUAAUAAGACAGAAAAUAAUCAAUUUUACGGCUUGACUCUCUAAAGGUCCCCAGUGGAGUCGCCAAGCUGUCGAAACAAUUUUUAAAAUUGAAAAAUGAGGAUCGACUUUGAAAAUAAAAUGGGAGUCGCCACCGAUCUUUUAUUGAGGUGUAAUCGGUUCACCUUGAAAAUAAUUUUAGGUCUGCAAAUUUUGAGAAAACAGGUUCGGGAGUCGGUUACGCACGAGGAAGGGUUAGCACCCUCGUGACGCCCAAAAUUGGUACCGAAUUGAUUGCUUAACAUCCUAGUGUCGAAAUGUUGAAAAGAUUUUAAAAUACGAUCCUUGGUGAGAAAAUUUGAAUAAAGCAAAUUGAAUGACAAGACAUACUUAUUUCGAAGAAAUAAAUUUCGCACUCAGUGAGUUAGGGUGCUCCAAUUCAAUCCUUGAAAUUAAAUAUGCUCCUUUUUUUUAAGAAAAUCAUGAGUUUAAAGAAGGUUUCUUGAUUGUUUAAGUUAAUCGAGAAUUCAGAAUCCAGUAAGUUAGGGUUCAAUUUCUCAAAAAUCUUAAACCUCAAAUAUUGCCCUUAUUAAAAACGAGACAACAAAAUGUUGUAUCCAGUGAGUUAGGAUCCAACAUUUUGUAAUCUAAAGAAUUUUAUUAUUCGCAAUCGUAUGGUUUUACAAAAUGAAUAUUUGAUGAUCUAAAUUCAUCGAGAAAAAUUAAAGCCCAGUAAGUUAGGGCACAAUUCUCUCGAGAACUUACGAACGCCAAACUUUUUAGUAGACUUGAAAUAAAAUGAUUAUAAUAUUUUAAUGAAAUGCGAUUCUCUCAAACAGUAUAAUUGAAUAGCUAAAUAUAUAGCAAAUGAUAAAUAACAAACUAGAUUUACAACAUGAAGCAACCAAACAUAUAAUACAUCAACAUUAAAUAAUCAAAUAAACUAAUAAUCAAUCUUACAAAUAACAAAACGAGAGUAAUUAAUAUAAAAAUAAAUUAAUCACAAGUAAAUAGCCUAAAAUAAUUGGAAUGAAUAAAAUUUUGAAGCACAAAAAUAAAAUUUGCGCAAAUUACAAGUUAUGAUGCAUUUUAUACGCAUAUAUGUGUAUUAAAAUAGUUCCAUAUAAAUUAUACAUAUAAGUAUAAUAAUCACGAGAUGUCAUGGUCAAAAUAAAAUCUAGAGCUAUAGUCUAAAAUACAUUAUUGAGAAAUAUGAAGUAACAUAUCGAAUUCUUAAAAUGUAUUAAGUGUGAUAAAAUAAAUAAUAAUGUAGCAAAUGGGAAAAUAAAAGUAUAAAAGGUCUGUAAAUAAUAUUAAGCCAAUAGUAAAAAAAUGCUUUUUUUUUAAUAUAUGAAUAUAAUAAUAGAUUUAUUCAGAAACUAUGAAGGCAAAACAAAAUAUGAAGAAAACAUUUUUUUUUUGAAAUUGAAAAUAAUAAUUUACAAAUUUAAAACCAAAUUUUCAAACGAAAAUAGGAUGAUAAUAACAAUUAAAACAAAACUAAAUGAUUACAAUAGAUUCAAAAUAUCGGUAUAUAAUGGUUUUGAAAAUAUAAGAAAAAGCAAACUAAAACAAUAAUUUAUUAUAAUUUGGACUAUAAUAAUAGUAAACCUAAAUACUAUCAAAAUAAAUAUUAUAAAAAUAUUAAAUACUAUAAUAUGUAAAAUAGAAUUAAAAUAACGUUGAAUUUUGAAAGGAAAACUAAAUUAGUAUUAAAAUAAAAUUUAUUUUAAAAUGAAGGACCAAAUCAGUAAUUAUGCGCAAACAUUAAGAUUAUUUCAAUUAAUCAUAGAAACGACAACGUUUAAAACUGGAUUUAAAUGAAAAUAAGGUUAAAUAUGCGAUACAAAUUUCAAACAAUUAAAGAAAUUAAUUCGCCAUCCCCGUAAAUGCUCAAGGACCUAUUAGACAAAUAAACCAGACACCCAUCACUCGCAGAUCCUACCCGAAUCGGGUCACCACUCGGGUCUGGAUCUUUAAACGACGCCGUUUCGAAGUCAUUGCACUGACUUCAAACGUCGUUGUGUGAGUCUCCGCAUUAAGAAGCCAAAACCUAAAAUACUCUCAUUUCCUAAAAACCUAAAUUGAAUCAGAUGAAUGUUGCGCCGUUCCACACCGAAGGCAUAUGAACGGUUCCUCAACCCAGCCUAUACUCCGAUGACGACGGAGAAGGCCAGGAAUCCGUCAUCAGGUAUGUUUUCUCCUUUCUUUUACUGUUUCUUUCUUGAAGAAAACAUUAGCCAAGUAAAAGCGAAGAAAGAAAAAAAAAAGGGAAUCGAGAAGCAAUCUGCAAAAAAAAAAUGAAAGAAACCCCGAAAAUCACCUUUCGAUAUUUUUCUUUGUAUUCUGAAUGCGUAAAAAAGAAGAAGAUCCUUUUACAUUGUUUGCCUUGGCUCUUUAUAGCCAAAAUUAAAACAUAAAAAAAUAAAAUAAAAAAAAUGAUCUGUCAUUGCCACAUUUUCACUUUUUGUUUUCUCUUUCUUUUUCGUUGCUGGUUGUUGCUUUGUUGGUGUUGUUUGUUUCUGUUGCAGGUGUGGCAUUUGUUGUGUGCAGGUACGGCCUGGAGAAGGCUCGCGUGGACUUGGCGCGGAGGCGCAGCACGCGCGGGGAUCUGGUUCGGUUGCGGCGCAACAACUGCUAGGGUUUCUGACUUCUAGUUGGGUUAGUCGGGCCAGGGUAUUGGGCUUAGGUUUAAGCUAAUUGGGUUUGUACUGGGCCAUUUGUAAAUGGGCUUGGCUUGUAUUUUGGGUUUGCUGUUGUAAAAAAAACUGGACAUUUUAUUAUUAUUUAUUUAUAUAUUUUAUAUAUCUGGGUUUUAAUAGUUGGGCUCGGGCCGGGUAAAAUUUGGGUAUUACAUAUAUUUGUAAAAAACUCAAAAGAAAUUGUAAAAAAUUAUUAAACAGGAGUUAAAUAUUCAUCCCUUCAUUGCUGUUUUCCAGUCGUAUUGCUGCAUGUAAACUUAUUAUAUUUAAAUUCCAAAUUCUUUAGUGCAAGUGUCUGGGUCUUCAUUCUUUUCUGUUAUAAGAAGUUCAGAUUCAGACAAUUUUGUUUAGCCUUAGACACGACAAAGUGUUCUAAUAGCACAUCCCGCACGUCACUUAAUUGGCUGAUGUCGAUAAGUAAGAAUGCCCUAACUCCCCCUCCCUUUAAUUUCUAUCCUUUGAUAGUUGGGUGAUUGGGAUGAUUUAUUUAUUCAUUUUGGAAGUUUUUAUUAGAAUUUGACUUGCUAAUUUACAUAUUUAUAUUAUAUUUGUGCAUUUUCACUCGACUCAAAUUUUAUUUCACUCGACUCGAUUCGAAAAAAAUUAAAUUGACUUAAGAUCUUAAAAUAAGAAUCGUAAACUCAAUUAACUCGAAAUUUUUUCUUUCGAUUCAAUCGAACACUCACCCCUAAUAUUUUGUAUGGCAUUAUCAAAUCUACUUAGAACCAAGUAGACGAAAAUUCUAACCCAUACGAUACUUUAUUACUUAAUUGACGCAGCAAAUAUUGACAAAGCUGGGUUUGCGCCAAUUUUUUUUUCUUAAUUUCUAUUGUGUGAUUGGUACAUGGAUGAGAACGAACAUAAUUAGUGCCAUCCCACCAUGCAAUUGCAAGCCUAAAAAAAUCUAAAGAUGGUGACAAUUCAAGAUGGUAAUAAAUUGAAAUAAUUCUUUUUAUUUUACCUUGCUCAAUUUUUAUUAUAUUUAGUUUUAAUUCAUGUGUUAUCUCUGAAUGAUAUCACAAUAUAUUUUUAAAAAAUUAAUAUUAAUAAUAUUUAAUAACAUAAAAUAAUUUAUAUGUAUUAAAAAUUUAUUAACCACUUCAUAUUAGAAUAAUCUAUCAUUAUUUCAAAAGGUAAAAAUGUUAUUAUUACUCCAAUUAAAAAAAUAUCAUAUAUUCGAAUAAUUAAUUCAUCAUAAUUUUAAUAAAAAAAUGUCACAUAUAAUAAUGAUAAAUGUAAAAUAAUUUAAUUUAUGUUUAUGAUAUACAUGACUCAUUUAUACCUAUUAAAAUAAAUUAUUACAAAUAAUAAUGUAUAAAAUUUGCUUAAUAAAAAUAUAAAUUAAAUAAUAAAUAGCAAAACUAUAAUGUUAUUUAUGAACAAGAUGGAUCCGGGGUGGGGAGGCUUGCACCCCCAUUGGAUUUCUCAAAAAUUCUCAAAAUUUUAUUAUAUUCUUAAUUCCUCCCACUUCUUAUCAAUUCGCUCCUUUUAUCUCAGAUUUUAAUAAUUUUUUGUUGAUUAAAGUUGUAAUACCCAAUUUUAGCCCGGGCUCACAAUAAUAAAAUAAAGUCUAAGUCCAGUACAAAAUUAUAUCAUUUGGCCCGAUCAGAAUGGUUCAUUACUUGCAAAGGUAGAAGGUCCAUCUACAAGCUUAUGGAAACAUAAUCUUCAAGGAUGUGCAAUCUUAGAUAUGAUAUAUGCAAUCUUAGAAGAUGUGAUUUUGUAAUCUUAGAGAUUUAAUUUGUAGAUACCCUUUAAUCUUGGCCAUUGAUGUAAUUGAUCUGUACCAUUGAAUUUGGGGAGGCUCAACUAUAAAUAGAGGCCUCUCCCUUCAUUGUAGAGGGGGAAGUGGGGAGUAAUAAUAAUUCUUAAGAGUAUUUACUCAAAUUCCUCUCUCUCUUGCAUUCCUAUUUUGUUGAUUGUGUAUAAUUUAUUUAUUGAUUUGUAUAUUGUUGAUUUCAAAUCUCUUUUUCCAUUAUUAUUCAUUUUCAAAUUCAUUAUUUUCAAAUUUGUUUACAUUUUAUUUGGCCUUAUAUAUUUUUUUAUUUUAUACUCUUUGUUUUAAAUUCAUUGGUAUUUGAUUAUUGAUGCUAUUUAAUCCUCUAUUUGUUAUUUUAGUUUUUUUAUUAUUAAAUUAAUUAUUUUAAUAUUAUUAAUACUAUUAUGUGGCAUCAUUAAUCUUGUAUCAUUAUUAUUAUUAUUAUUUAUUAUUUUUAUUUUUAUAUUCAUGCGCAUGCAUCGUUUUUAUGUAAUAUAUAUAUAUAGUAUACGUAUGCUUAUAUAUAUCUUAUACAUAUGUUUUUAUUUUUAUUUUACUUCCUAACUUUUAUAUACAUAUAUAUACUUUUAUAUUUAGUUUCAACUUUUUUUUUACUUUUGUUUAUAUGUACAUGUAUGUAUUUAUAUAUUUUUCUAAUGAAUAUUUUUAUAUAUAUAUAUACGCACAUGUCUAUGUUUUUUAUUUCCUUAAAUACAAACUUAUAUUUUCAACACAUAUGUUAUAAUAUAUAUAUGUAUAUUUAUAUAUUUUUCUUUAUUUUCAUAAAUGCAUUAUAUAUAUUUUGUUAUAAAUUCUAUAGUCCAAAAUUUUAUAUGUAAACCCAUGUGUAUGUCUUUUAUUCUUUAUAAUUUCAUGUAUAUAUUUUGUACCUUUUUCUCUCUUUAUAUUUUUUUGUUUAUUUCCUUCAUUUGCUUAUUGAUUUAUGUUUUCAUUUAUAUUUUGUUCAUUUGAUACUUUACAUAUCGUUGUUUUUUAUGUACAUUAAUUUCGUUUAUUUCUAUGCCAUUGUUGUAUUUAUUAUUGUAUUUUACACUUAAUGUAGCAUUACAUCAUUUUUUACUCGAUUUUAAAAUUUUCAAAAUUGAGAUAAUACUCGCAUUUAGGAUUUUCAAGGAAAUUGAGCCCUAACGUAUUAGGUUCCAAUUUUCUUCGUUAAAUCUAACAAUUGAGAAUUGUCCAUUAAUCAAAAAAUAAAAUGAAAAGCUUGUUGUCGGUAAUUUAAUAUGUUGUAUCCUAACGUAUUGGAUGUGACGUAUUGAUUUCUCGAGACAAAGAUUUUUUUAAAAAAAAUAAUAACAAAGGAAAUAUGCCAAGUUUAGGAUUUUGAGAAAUUGUGCCCUAACGUAUUGGGCCGCGAUUUCUUUAUAAAUCUUAAACAAAUGAAUAUUCUUUUAAAUUUUAUUACACGAGUAUUUUGGACUAAUUCAUUUUUGAGGAAUUAGAAUGUCGUGCCCUAACGCAUUGGGUGUGACAUUUUCUUUCUCCGAAAUGAUAAGAGUCUUAAUAAGUAACGCUUUUUAAGUUUUUAUUAAGGAUCAUAUUUUUAAAUUUUCGACAUUAAGACACUAAUUAAUUAACUAGGUACCAAUUUUGGGUGUUACGAGGGUGCUAAUCCUUCCUCGUACGUAACCGACUCCCGGAUCCAUUUUUCUAAAACUCGUAGACCAAAGCUAUUUUUUAGGUGAUCCAAUCACACCUCAAUAAAAGAUUGGUGGCGACUCCCAAUUUUUGUUUUUUUAAAGUCGACAACUAAUUUUUAUUUUUUUUCCAAAAUAAAAGUUGGUUUCGACAAAAGUUUUUGAAGUGACUGCCUAUGUAACAUCUCUAGCCCGUUAGGGAACAAGACGUGCCAAAACCAACCAACAGUCUGUCCAACGAAUUGGAGUGUUAUCGACGGUUUCAACCUUUUUCAAAAUGACUUAAACUCUUAGAAAUAAACUAUGAAAAAUCUCUUUAAAAGCAUUCUUAGAUUUUUGUAACCCCCUGUUUAAAGAAAACAAUAGGAAUGUAUAAAGAAAACUAUAAGUCAUCCCCGUAGCUUUAAAUGGCGUACGCAUAUAAAAGAAAAUCUUAUAAGGCAUCAACAGUGAAAAUAGGUAAAUAUUUGCAAUUAAUAGAUACAAAUAUUUUUCAACAGAAACCAUGCAUGAAACCAACAACAAAAGAACUAAUAGCUCACAAAUAUCAGCAGCUCUGAUGUAGUCCCCUUCUACAAAAUCUUCUACUGCUACCAACAAUCCUGAGGAGAUAAAAUAACUAAGUUUAAUUGAAAUACCUUUAAUUAACAAACACUAGUACUCAUAACAAAAUAGACUUUCCAUGAUAUUUGUUGCGGUGUGUAAAAAUAAUUGCAAAUUAUGUGCAAAUAUACACAAUUGUAACAAAUAAUAAAGUACUAAGUAUAUGAGUACCGUCUCCUUAGGGACUGAACAGGUAGUCAAGAUUUGUGAAAAUAAUUUAAAGAACAAUUUAGAAAGAAAACAAUUAUAAAUGGGGUUUAUGCGAUUAAUUAAACUAAAUGAUUCUAUCCUGCAAAAUUUCAACAGAAUAAUGAGUACUUCAAGAAAUGAGUUACUAAUAUCAAAUAAUGCUAGAAUACUUAAUUCACUUCUGUCUCUGAUCAAUUUAGUUUGGAUGAAAUUGUUACGAAAAUCAUGGCCUAAUUAGCAUGUAACAUUCAUAACCUAUUUCCUUCGCUAGAAUAGGGUUACAGAGUAUUACCGUACAAUUCGAAACAUUCCAUAACAAUAGCAUCUAAUUCAUCAAAUUAAUUAUUAACAAUAUUCAUAAAUAAUUCGAAAUCAAGCAAGACACACAUUCACAGAACUUAAAUCGAGCCUAUGAGGCCCUAAAAAUAUCUUAGGAACAAUCAGAGACUAAUCUAAAACAAAACAGGAGAUUUGGGACAAAAAUGAAAAAAAUUCAAAAAAAGGGUCACACGGCGGUGUGUCUAGGCCUAGACUGUGUGACUCUAGACAUGGCCCUGUGGCCAUCCCACAUGCUCGUGUGCAAGGGCCGUGUAACUCUCUGACUUGGGUCACACAGUCGUGUCACAGCCAGUGUAAACCUUGCACCUAACAUGCUAAGGGCACACCCCCGUGUGUGACACAGGACCAUGUGAUAACCUGUGUCCCAGGUCAUGUGUACCCAAAAGUGACUAAAAUCAUGCUUAUUUUUCAUCCAGUUACAUAAGUACCUAAGCCAAUUCAUAACACAUGAUCAUAAGACUAUAACCACACCUAAAAAAAAACUAAAACAUGUCAAUUUCAACCACCUAAAACCAAACCAAGGUGUCAUACAUGAAGUUACAAAAUAAUGCUUAUACCCAAUGUAAUGACCCAUUUUGCUCGGGCCCAAUUAAAUAUAUUAAAACCAAUAAUAAAUAUAAAUCCAAUAAAAAGUCCAGAUACAAUUUACAUAGGCCCAAAUUCAUAUUGAAACCCAAAUAUUAAAAAAAACCCAAUUUACAGUAGCCCAAUCUUUAACACUAGCCUGAAUGGCCCAAAACACCAAGUCAACAGAAACCCUAGGUGCGCCGCACCUAGGGUUUUUGCCGUCACCUUCGACCCUCCCACGCACGCUAUGCCAGGUCCACACUCACCUCCACUCUAGUUGGCUUUCAUACAUCUGCAACAAACGCAAAUGACAACAAAGAAAUGAAGGGAAGAGGCCGUAAAAAUCGUAACAAUAAUAGAAUACAGCAAAUAACAUAUAUUUCAGAUAUAAAAAAUUUUGUAAUUUUCAUUUUUAUUUGAUGCAGCUAUAUAAAGCCGAUUGUAAGUCGGAAAAAUGGAUACGAAAUCAAUAGAAAAAACUUCAAAAAAAGAAGAAGAGAAAGUUAAAAGGCAAAUCAGAAAUUUUCUAAAGGUGACUGGAGAUUUUUUUUUUCGUUGCUUUUCUUUUUUGUGGUUGAUUCAUUAUGUGUGAAAAAAAAAGGAAAAAGAAAGAAAAAGAAGCAAGAAACUUACCUGUGCGAGCACGCCAUCGGAGCUCCGUUUACUCCGUCCAAAUCGGAGUCAAACAGAGUUUCGGGUUUUGAUGCGGCGGAGGGCGAGAGAGGUUUAGGUUUUUUUCUGAUAAUUUAAUAAAAUUGUAAAGUAUUCUGAUUUUAGGGUUUUGAGUGGCAUUUAUAUAGCGCAUAAAACGAUACCGUUUAGGGCCUGUUUCAGUGGCACUAAAAUGGUGCCAUAUUGGCCUGUGACCCGCGUGUUGACCCAACCCGAGGAGAGGAUUCACGCGUUUUGCAGCUGUUGGGCAAUUUGCGCAUUUUGUCCCCCCUCUUUUGUGCCGUGUUCAAAUCAGUUUUUUUAAAAUUUUGCCCUACAUUUUGUUUUUGUUUCAUUUCAGCCCAGGUUGAAAUGUCGCGUUUUGGAGGGACAGGGAUUAUUUCCCACUUGGUCCCCCAAGUUAUUCGCGCAUUACAUUCGGCCCCUUUGCUUUAUUUUAUUUUCAUUUUUUCCUUUAAUUCUGGUUUUUAAUUUAAUUUAAUUUAAUCCUUACCUAUUUAAUGUGCUUGAUUUUCUUUAAAUUUUCUUUAAAUAUUUAUUAUUCCAUUAUUUUUAAUGUAUUUAAUUUUAAAAUUAAUAUUUUUUUAAUGAUCAAGCUCAAUAUUAUUUUAAGUUUGUUAUUAACAUUGUUUAAAUUUAUUGUAUAUUAUUAUUUUAAUUUUAUAUGUAUUAUUUUUCUAAGCUUUUCAUGCAUUAUUUUUUUUUAAAAUUUAUUAAAUAUUAUUAUUUUAAUUUUCAUAUAUAUUAUUUCAUAUGUUUUUUUAUAUAUAAUUCGUACAUAUUUUUUAUGGUUUUAUUUUAUAAUAUACUUUUAAAAUCCACUUUUAUAUGUUUCAUCUUUAAAGAUUUAUACUAUAAUAUUCUUACGCAAUACUAUUCUUUUUUUUUUGUAUAUAUACACAAUUUAUAUUAAAUUAUUUUCAUUAUAUAUACAUACAUAAUCUAUUGUUGAUUUCAUAUUAUUAUUUAUAUAUUUUUUAUCUAUCUCUAUAUCUAUGAUUUAUUUUCUUUUAAAAAACCCUAUUUUAUUAUAAUUUGCCUAUUCCAACCUUUUACAUAAAUUACAAAAUAGUAUUAUUUAUUUGAAGUUUUUCAUUCCAUAUGUAUUAUUUAUUUAAAUUAAUAUUAUGUAUAUUACUUUAUGUACUUUGAUUUUCUUCUUAUAUAAAAUUUAUUUUAAAAUUUAUUUGGAUACUAUUAUUUUAUGUAGUAUUUAUUUUUUAACUCUAUUUUUUGAUUUAUUUCAAACUUUCAUAUAUGUAUAUAUUAUUUAUUUUAAAUUUAUUUUAAUGUAUAAUUUAUUGAUUAUAGUUUUCCUUUUUUAGUUAUUUUAAAAAACUUGUUACAUUUUAUUUGUGUUAAUUUGCUUGGUACCUCUUUUAAGAUUAGCUUUUAGUUCAUUAGGUUUUAAAUGAUGAUGUUAAUAUUAAUAUGUGACGUAAGAUUAUUGCUCUUGUGUGUAUGAUAUUGUUUAUUUAUAUUUAUUGAUUAUUUGUCAUUCAUUAGAGUACCAUUUGGUUUCCGAAUUAUCACUUCGCGUUAUACAUUAUCAUUUCCUUGCAUUUUAUUCGUAAAAAAGAUUACGUUUAAUAUGACUUAAGUUUUAGAAUCAUUUUAUCCAACAGCCUCCAAGAUAGCGUAACACUUGGUGUUUGGGAUUUUUGAAAAGAUCAUCCCCUAACUUACGGGGUCUCGAUUUUUCGAUAAUUUCAAAUAUACGAACCAUUGUUUAAAAAAAAACAACACAUUUUCUUAAAAAUUGUCUCGGGAAUCAGAAAAGGACCGUGUUCCAACUUACGGGAUGUGAUUUCUUCUCUGAAACAAAGAUGAUCAAAAUUUCUAAAGAAUAAAUAAAUUUUGGUGUUUAUUCUUGUCUCGGGAUUUAAGAUAUUGUGUCCUAACUAACGUGAUAUAAUUCUUUUUCUCAAUUAACAAGAAACACACCCUUCUUUAAUUUUUUAAGUAAUUUUAACAAAAGGAUCAUGUUUUAAAUUUCUUUUCAAAUUUUCAAAUUUUUUGACAUUAAGACAUUAAUUAAUUGAUUAGGUACCAAUUUUGGGCAUGACAAGGGUGCUAAUCCUUCAUUGCAUGUAACUGACUCCUGAACCCGUUUUUCUUGAAUUUCGUAGACCAAAAUUAUUGUUUUAAUAAAAUUAAAAUUUUUUAUUAAAAUGAUUGAAUCGCAAGGUGAUCCGAUCACACCUAAAAAAAAUAUCGGUGACUACUCCCAUUCUUUUUUUUUCAAUUUUCAAAAUAAAAGUCGAUACUAUUUUUGUUUUCAAAAAAACGGUUUCGACACCCAACAUUAUCAUUUUAUAUCACCUACAAGUCAUAACAUAUACACCAACUAAUCUAUGUCAAUCUCAUCAUACCAUACUUAUACAUGAUAUUUACUAUUCCCUGGACAAAACACUCAAGCUCAACUUUGAGUUUAACACGCAUACCAUAUAAAGUUACCAUUCCAGAACAUCAAACAUAUCAAACAGCACACAUAGUUGUGAAACAUUACAAACAUAAAUCAUUUGCCCUAUUGUAUGCCAUAUAACCAAAUUGUUUACAAAAUCUACCAAAAGAGUCUUUAGGAUAGUGUGAUUUUUUGAGUUGAUCUGAUCUCCCCUCCACAAAAUGUAAUCUACAAUAAAAGGAACAAGACAAAAGUAAGCUUACAAAAGCUUAGUAACUUCGAUGAUUACAAGAUAAUCUUAUCGGAUUGAACAUAAAUAAACAAUGUAUGAGAUUUAAGAAAUUAAGUUCCUGUCAAUCACAGCUCACAAUAGGUGAGUAUUGCACAGUACAAUAAUUCAAAUCAUAUUCCAUAUUACUAUUAUUUCAACUUUUUGAAAACACGUAUACUUGGAUAAUUCACAUCAUCAAGAUGUCAUAUGAUAAAUGAUCAUAAACCAAAUCAUAGUUCUAACAAUAUCUCAUUUUAGGUAAUCGAAAGGGUAUCACUGGAAACACAAAAAUUUAUGUGUUUUUAUAAGCCUUUUUAACUUAAAAUCAUGCUGUUUCGGUUAAAUUCUUGUCGAAAAAUAAUUAAAUAUUAUAAAAUAAUUAAAUUAUGUUAAAAAUAUGAACAUGACUAAUUUUAAUUAAUUUUAUAGUUAAUUUUGAUUAAUUUUGACUAUUUUUGACAGAUUCGCACAAAGGGCAAAAACUAGCUCGACAGACAAUGCUCGAAGAAUAAAAUCGAGAAGCAAUUUGAAGCAUCAAGGAAAAUUUAUUUCCAGCCUAAGAUGGUCCAAAAAUGUGUCUUAAUUCAUAAUAUAAUUAAUUUUAAUUUAUUUCCAAUUUAAUUUGGGUUAAAUAAAUUAUUAUUAAUUAAUUAUGGAAAAAAUGGUCCAGUUGAACCGCAUUGGUUGAACCGAAUCUAGUGAACCGAACUAGCCACUAAUUGGGCUGCCCAUAAUCGUCCAUAUGCUGACCCAUAUUAGCAUUUUAGCUGACUAAGCAAGCUUGCAAAGAAGCCCCUGAAGAAAUUUCAACCUUGCAUUUAAACCCCUCUAAAAAAUGUGGCUUUAUGGAUUUGCCCAAGGCUAUAUUUAGGAAAGUUGAAUCUCUCAACUUUGCCAUGUGUGUGGCCGACCAAGGGGGGUCUCUUUGGCUGAUGGAAUUUGCUAUUUUUAGCAGCCACAAUCAGCUAUAAACGCCGCCCCUUGCUGAUCAUUCAAUUUAUCCCUCACACUCUCAUUCUCUCUUCUCCUCUCUCACUUUCUUUCAACUUUUCCUUUCCAUUUCCUUUUUUGUUCAAGUGUCAAUUUCUUCUCUUCGGAAAGAUGUCCUCAUCAGCCAUUGUUGAGAAGCAAUUAAAUUAUUCAUAAGCCACCUUAAUAGCUGAGGACAACAGAGAACGAAGAACGGAGCAAUCAAUGAAGCCACGGAGAAACACUGGAUUUGCUUCUUGUUCCCUAUCUCUUUAAAUUCCGUUGUUGUUUUGACAAAAAUGUUUAUGAAUAUUUAUGCUAUUGAAAUGGUUAUUUUAAUAAAUUUAGCUUGAAUUUAAUAUGUGUUGGGUUGAUUAUAUUUUGCUUGCUUGAAUUAUUGAAAUUGUGUUUGUGCUGUUAUAGACAUCGGUAAGAUGCUUGAUUAAGUAAAAUCAUGCCUAAGUUAUUCUUGCAAUAUUAAUUGUUAGAUAACUAAUGAAUUAAUUAUUAAAUCGUAUUGAAAUUGUAAUUAAUCGACACAAUACUUAAUCAGUGCAUGUUUAUUCUUCUAAGGUAGCUGAAGUUAAUUUAGCAUUGUAUUUGGCGAUACAUAUGUCUUGCAUAACUUGCAAGAUUAUUGUGAUUAAACUGUUUCAAGGUAGAAAUACUCUGUUACCUCACUUAAUCUUUUAUAUGCUUGAGAAGAUUUAUUAAUCGCUUGGAUUGACAUUGAAAAAUGUUCAAGAUAUUGAUUAAUUUAAUAAGUAUAUAUGAGCAAUAGUUAGCAAAUUACCGAGUUGUCGUGAAUUUGUUCGUACUAGUAUAAACAUAAGUUUAAUAAUUCUAAGUUAAAGGAAUGUAAUUAAUCCAACACAAUUAUAUCAUCUUGAUUAAACCUUAUUUGAAAUCGUGCAUUAGAACCUUUGUUAUUUUUUAAAUUUUUUUACUUAGUUUUUAACCCUUAGUUUUUAAUCAUCUUUAAACGAAAAUAUUUUCCAUCACCAAAGUGUUUUAACAUUAAUUUCAUAAAUAUUCCUUUUUACAGUCGAUGUGGGUACGAUAACUCGACAUUUACUUGUUACUUUAUUACUUGUUACGAUUGUGUACACUUGCACAUUUUCGUCGUUCCAAGUUUUUGGCGCCACUGCCGGGGACUGUUUUAAAAAAACAAGCCAUUAUUUGUGAAUCUAUUUUUACAUUUUGGAUUAUUUAUUUUCCUGUUUAAAUAUUUACUUACUUAAUCUUUCUAUGAUUAUUUCAACUGUUUAUGAGUAUUGACCAGGUUAUCGACUUACUCCCUAUGGACCCUACAAUAGAACGAACCUUUCGACAGCGAAGAAGACAAGCGAACCAGAAAAGGACCGAAGAGAUAAACUUUGAGAAUAUGAUUCAAGGAAAUGGAGUAAACCUUUCUCAGAAUCCUAUCCUUAUUGCUGAUGAUAGGGAUAGAGCUUCAUGAUAGUAUGUCGUGCCAGUAUUUAAUGAUCUUAAUCCAGGUAUCUGGAGACCCGAAUCGAGGGACAACAAUUCGAGCUAAAGCCAGUCAUGUUCCAGAUGCUUCAGAUUGUGGGCCAAUUCAGUGGAAUUCCUACUGAAGAUCCUCAUCUUCACUUAAAACUAUUUAUGGAAGUGAGCAAUUCUAUCAAGUUAGCCAGAGUACUCGAAGAUGUAUUACGACUGAAGUUGUUCCUAUAUUCGCUAAGGGACAGAGCUCAUGCUUGGUUGAACUCAUUGCCAUCGAACUCCAUUUCUACAUGGCAAGAGUAGGCCGGGAGAUUCCUCAUGAAGUAUUUCCUGCCGAGGAAGAAUGCCAAGUUGAGGAAUGAGAUCACUACCUUCCAAGAAAUGGAUGACGAGUCCUUGUAUGAGGCAUGGGAAAGGUAAAAAGAGUUAUUACGAAAGUGCCCUCAUCAUGGAAUCCCACAUUGCAUUCAACUUGAGACAUUCUAUAAUGGUCUCAACACUCACAGGAGGAUGGUAGUGGACGCCUCUUCUAAUGGUGCUCUCCUUUCUAAGUCUUAUAAUGAGGCUUACAAAAUUAUUGAGAGGAUUGUCAGCAACAAUUAUCAAUGGCCAACCAAUCGAGCAGCGUCAGGAAGAUGAGUCGUUGGAAUACAUGAAGUGGACGCUCUCACUUCACUCGUAUCUCAGGUAUCUUCAAUAUCCUCAAUGCUUAAGAAUCUUACCACUAAUGGGUCUAACAGUUUUGCAGCCCAACCACCUAACCAAUUUGAGAAUAUAGCCUGUGUGUAUUGUAGAGAAGGACAUUUGUUUGAAGAAUGUCCAUCGAACCCUGAAUCCGUAUAUUACAUGGGUAAUCAGAACUAAAACCGAGGGAGGCAAGGACUGCAAUCCAACUUUUAUAACUCAUCAUGGCGAAAUCACCCGAAUUUUUCCUGGAGUAACCAAGGGGCUGGAAUCAAUAACACUUACGCCUAACCUAGACCAACUCAGCGCCUAGUUUCCCCCAACAAGUUCAGAAACCAACCCAAGCGAAACCAUCCAAUAACUUAGAGAAUCUAUUGAAGGCAUACAUGGCGAAAAAUGACACCACUCUAAGGAAUUUGGAGAAUCAAGUGGGCCAGCUUGCUAUUGAACUCAGGAACCGACCACAAGGUGCUCUACCUAGUGACAUAGAGAAUUUGAGAAAUAUAAGGAAGGAAUGUAAAGUGUUGACAUUGAGGAGCGGAAAUACAUUAGAGCCCAACACUGUCAAAGUUGAAAAUGAGCCAACUGAUGCUCAAGAUUCAGAAGAAGUUCAACCAAGUGUUGAAAUUUCAGUUUCACCUGAACCAGAAUCUGUAAAACCUGACAAAGUAACCUUACGACCAGCUAAUUCUGAUCAACUAACAAUGUUGUUAGAUGUAGAAUUGCCGAAGACGAAUCAACCAGAAUCAGUCCUAGUAAUGAAACCACCACCACCCUACCCUAAAAGACAUCAGAAACAGAAGCAGGAGAUUCAAUUCAAGAAGUUCCUUGACGUACUCAAGCAACUUCACAUCAACAUCCCGUUGGUUGAAGCACUUGAGUAAAUAUUGAACUACAUUAAGUUCAUGAACGAUAUCUUGUCUAAGAAACGAAGACUUGGAAAAUUUGAGAUGGUAGCUCUGACGAAGGAAUGCAGUGCAUAUCUUCAAGACAAACUACCUCCAAAAUUGAAGGGUCCUAUAUGUUUUACCAUACCGUGCAACAUUGGAGCAACAUAUUGUAGUAAAGCAUUAUGUGACUUAGGUGCAAGAUCAACUUGAUGCCUAUGUCAAUAUUUAGGAAGUUGGGGAUAGAAGAAGUUAGACCAACUAUAGUUAUGCUUUAACUAGCAGAUCGAUCCUUAGCACAUGCAAAAGGAAAAAUUGAAGAUGUAUCAGUACGUGUAGAUAAGUUUAUCUUUCCUGCUAACUUUGUAAUUCUAGAUUUUGAAGCAAACAAAGAAGUACCGAUCAUCCUAGGAAGGCCAUUCCUAGCAACUGGAAUGACCCUUAUUGAUGUGCAGAAGGGCGAGCUCACUAUGCGUGUUCAGGAUGAUCAGGUAACAUUUAACGUUUUUAAGUCUAUGUGAUAUCCUGACACAAUAGAUGAUUGCUCUGCAGUGUCCAAUUUAGAGGAUUUAAUAGUGGAGAAGGAACUCAACUGAGGACCCACUAGAAAGAAUUUUGACAUCGGAUCCUCUAAAUGAUGAAGAGGAGGAUGAAUACUUAGCUUUGCUAGAAGCUAAUCAAAGGGGAUUUAAUCCGCAAUCCCAGUUUGAAUCUUUGGAGUUAGAAAAGAGGGACUAUUGCCAACCAAAAGCGUCGAUUGAGGAGCCACCUAAAUUAGAACUCAAGGUAUUACCUUCACAUUUAAAAUACGUUUAUUUAGGUAACACUUCUACUCUGCCUGUGAUUGUUUCAGCAGAAUUGACCACUAAUCAAGAAGAGAAACUUAUCUUAGUUUUGAAAAAAUUCAAGAAUGUCAUUGGAUGGAUCAUAGCAUAUAUUCGCGGUAUUAGUCUAUCUGUAUGCAUGCACAAGAUUAUCCUAGAAGAUGGCAAAAAAGGGACGAUCGAUGGACAACGGAGACUGAACCCCAUCAUGAAGGACGUAGUAAAAAAGAGAUCAUCAAGUGGUUAGAUGCGAGUAUCAUCUAUCUCAUCUCAGACAGUGUAUGGGUAAGCCCGGUCCAGUGCGUGCCAAAAAAAUGAGGUAUUACGGUCGUAGAAAACGAGAACAACGAAUUGAUACCUACUAGCAUGGUUACGGGAUGGAGAAUCUGCAUCGAUUACCGGAAGCUGAACAAGGCGACUAGGAAAGAUCACUUUCCUUUGCCGUUCUUGGACCAGAUGCUAGAUAGACUUGUAGGACGAGAUUACUACUAUUUUUUGCCUGGAGAACUGAAGUAAAAUGAAAUUAGAUACAUGGGAUUGAUUUACUCACACAAAUUGUAAUAUUUGAAUUUUCUCACUCGAGCUAUGGUAUUUAGGCUGCUCACAUAAGCUGUAGGUCAAGUUUACUUCUGCAACUUUAUUCGAAGCUGCUCACUCAAGUAGUCGAGAAUCCGCAUGCCAUUCGUAUUCAAAUCGUUUACUAAGUUCAUACAGGUACCAUUACAGUUUCUGUACCAUUUCAAACUUGUAAUUGUAUACACACUUUUCAUAUUUUUUUGAAUAGCAAUCUAUAUACAUUUUAAACCUUGUAACAUCAUCACAUACAUACUAUUCAAUUACAUAAUUGUUCACAUCUAUUCAAUACCAUGUACUUAAUCAAAUUUAUCAUUUAAUUCGUAUUUUAUGGUUUGGCCCAUUUGAUACCAAAAACAUCAUAUUCACAACAAUUCAACUUGAAAAAUAAACAAUAUAACACAAACAUAUUAUGAAUUAAUAAAUUAAGUCCCGUAUGAACUUACCUGGAAAAACAACAAGCAAACAAGACGUCGUAGACUAAUCCACAAUUUUGUCUUUUCUCCAAUUAUCUUCUACUUGAUUUAAUUCCCGAUAUAUAUGAUAAUUCAUUUAAAUUUAUCAAUUCCAAACCUCUUAUAACAGUCUAUUUUAAGCAUAUAUUAACUUAAAUUUAUUUUUUUAAUGUUUCUAAUAGUUUUUUAUUUUAUUCAAUUUAGUCCCUAAAACUGAAAUAAACAUAACUUCCACAUUUAAGCUAUGUUUUUCAAUCCAAUUUCAAUUUCAUCCUUCUAUAACCUUAUUUUAUCUAUAUUUAUAAAAAUUUCAUGUCAAUUUUUAAAUAUUUACACAUUAGUCCCUACAUUCAAAACUAACAAUUUUCACUUUACAAAGUCAUUAUUUUUCAUAUCUAAGCUUAAAAUCUAACUAUUUAACACUAAAGUUUCAAGCAUUAAUCAAUGGCAUCAUUUAUAAACUUUAAAAAUUUCAAAAAGUUAACAAACGAGUUAGCUAAACAAGCUCAUAAGACUUCAAAAACAUAAAAUUACAUGAAAAUGACUAAAUUGAGCUCACCAAUUGAGGGACUUAAGCUUGGGACUCCAAGGUUGAAUUCUUUCUCCUCAAAAAUGGACUUUUUGGUGGAGAAGAUGAAAUGAGAAAAAAAGUUUUCUCAUUCCACCUAGUUUAAUCUUUUACUAGUUUUCUUUAUUUUACUUAUUUUCAUAUUUUAAUUUUAAUUUUAAUAUAAUUUCUAUAAAAAUCAUGCUAAUUACAUAUAUUAACCGUCCACCACAUUAGAAAAUUAUCUAUUUACCAUUUCAACCUUCAUUUAAUUACUAAUUAAGUCUUUUAGUAACUAGAAAUCUAUAGCAAAUAAUUUUUACUAUUUUUACGAUUUAGCCCUUAUACCUUAAUCAGUCACUAAUUCGACAAAACUACCUAUCCAAAAUUCAAUUUACCUAUAUAAUCAAUUCAUAAAUAUUUAAUAAAAAUAUUACGGGUUCAAUUUUAUAAAAAUGAGGUCCCGAUAUCUUAAUUUUUGACACCACGAACUUUAGGGUCAUUACACUUGUACCUUACUCAACUAUCCAUUCAAUAAAAUUACUGGACCAAAAAUCAAUUUAACACUAUAAUAGACUUAUAAAUAUUAAUUAAUAAUAUUUACUGACUUAAUCAUCAAAAAACAGGAUUCCCAAACCAUCGUUUUUUAUACCACUAAAAAAUGGGUUGUUACACCAUUUCAUUCAUGCCACAUUUUAAUAUUACUAAUGGAUUCAUUUAAGUUAAUUGACUUAUAUAGCUCAAUAUACAUUUUUAAGGUUUGUUAGCCUAUCACAUUAUGAAAUUCAAGUUUAAAACUAUCAUGAAUGAUUCAUAUAGCGUUUAACCCAACACAGGUUCUUUCAAAGCAUAGUUCCUAACAUUUUCAUACAUAUAUGUGGACAUACAUACAUACAUAAAUUUCAUUUCCAUUUAUUUUACUAAGGCAUGCAAGAUUCUAAAUUGCCAUAAUAUUAAUAGAAACAAAUUUACCCAUAUCAAUUUCUUUAUAGCUUACUUAGAUCACCACCAUAUAACCAUAUUUUUCCAUUCCACUAUUAAUUCUUAUCAUAUCUUCGAUUGACGCCCGCUGUAAUAACAAUAAAAAAAUAAACAUACACUACUGGAAAUCUAUAUGCACCAAAGAGCACCGAGGUCCUAUGGUCGAAGGCGACAUAAAGCUCCAUAUAUCAUAAGGGCCUUCGAAGAGGUAACAUGAGUUGAAUGGUCAAAAAAAAUACUCGACCAAAGGUAACACAACAAAACUCCAAGAACAUAUCACAUAAAUCCAAAGCCCACAUAUCUCCAGUAAAAAGCUCCAAUGAAACAUAAACAUGAGACUCUAAUUGGCAUGCUAACCGUAUCCUAACCUUUCUACCAAGCUUACAAAGACUUAAAUGUUCAUAACAAUGGUUUAUGGUUCAUUACACCCAUAACAUUCCCUAAAAAGUGUCAUAUUGAUUUAAUUUCAUAAUAGAAGGUUCUUAGACCUCACAUGUUCAAUAUCUUUUUUCACAUAGUCCUUGUCAUCUUUCCAUUUUUAUAUCAUAGCAUAACAAAAAUUAUGAUUUUUGUGAUAGAUUAUAAUUAUAUAUACUUUGCUGUGUUUAAUUCCCUUAUAUUCUAGUUAUAUUGAGUGCUUAAUUGUGGAAAUUGUGUUUAUUUUGAUGUAGGAGCUGCAAAUAUUAAACUUAAUUACUAAAUUGCUAAAUUUUAGUUAAAUCGGUGUAUCAAGGGAAUUUUAAACUUAAUAGUGGACUUGUGACGUGAGCCAAUUUGGUAGCUAUCAACUUUAUGGACCUAAUUAAGGAGGUCUGAAUUUGGGAAGGACUAAGAUGGUAAUUAUGAAAAUUUGAAUUUGAAUUUCACUCAAACGUUAUAUGCGACAAACUUGUUUUGUUUCGUUAGGAUUACUUUACUAUUAUUAGGUUUAUUUUUAGUAUAUAUAUGUAUGUUGAGGGAGUAGUCGAGGGAGGAAAAAAACAAUUAGUUUUUAUUUCUUUUUCUUUUCAAAUUGAAUUGUCAUAAAUGAAUUAUAUAAGUGCCAAGAAGUUGACUUAUGUGUGUUGUUGUGGCUUCCUCAAUUUCAUAGCCUGCAUGAUAGACUCUAGGGAAAUAAAAGUACAAGAUUAAUUUUAUUGUAGCUAUCUGAAUUAAGUGAUUUUGGUUUGUCCUCAUGAUUCUUAAUGCUAUCAUUGAGUUUAAUAUGGAAUGCUAUUGUGCCCAGCUAUUUAAUGGUACGCUUUAAUUUAAAUGCUUGGUUUGAAUAAAUUAUAUCAGGAGAAUUAUUCUUUUUGUGACUUUUUCGAAUAUGUAGACUAAGCAUUUGGGUAUGAGAAAUUGAUUUUUAAGUCUAUGAUCAGAAUUACAAUUGGAUGGAACUUACACCUCUGGAUUGGAAGUUUGCUAAGAAUUGAUUUUCAUUAUUUUUAAUAUUCAACUUUUAAUUAACUUAUUUUUUAUCUUUAAUUAUUAGUUCAAUAACUCAAACACUACAGGAAAAUAGACUUUUAGCGGCAUUUUUAGCGGCAUUUAGACCAAAAACGUCGCAAAAGUUGUACAUUAGUGGUGCAAGCGAACAAACGCCGCAAAAGGAUAGAGCUAUAGUGGUGUUUGUGUUAAAAAUGCCGCAAAAGAUCAGCAUUAGCAGUGUUUAUGAGAGAAACGCCGCAAUAGUUCAAGCAUUAGCGGCGCUUUUCCAAAAACGCCGUAAAAAUGUUAAUCAAAACGCAUCGUUCUAUCUUGAGCCUAGUGGCAUUAGUGGUGCUUAUGCAAAAACACCGUUAUAGGUCGAGCAUUAGCGGCGCUUUUCUAAAAAUGCCGCAAAAAAUGUUAAUCAAAAUGCAUUGUUCUAUCUUGAGCUUAGUGGAAUUAGCGACUUUUAUGCAAAAUGCCGCUAUAGGUCAAGAAUUAGUGGCGGUUUUCUAAAAAUGCCGCAAAAAAUGUUAAUCAAAGCACAUUGUUCUAUCUUGAGCUUAAUGGCAUUAGCGGUGGUGCUUAUGCAAAAACGCCACUAUAGAUCGAGAAUUAGCGGCGCUUUUAUAAAAACAUCGCAAAAAAUGUUGAUCAAAACGCACCCUUCUAUCUUGAGCUUAGUGGUAUUAGCGGCGCUUAUGCAAAAGCGCUGCUAUAUAUAUGUCGAGAAUUAACGGUGUUUUGCAAAAAACGCCACAAAAUGUUGAGCAAAAUGACUUCGUUUUGUGGAGCUUUAGUGGCGUUUUAGAUCAAAACACCGCAAUAAAAUUAUUUUAUUUUAGGCUUUAGGAUUUAGAAUUUAAGAUUUAAUGCCUAUGGUUUAGAUUUUUAGGGUUUAUGGUAUAAUGUUUAUUAUUUUGGGUUAAGGGUUUAUGUUUUAGAGUUUGGGUUAGGAGUUUAAGGUUUAGGGUUUAAGGUUUAAGGAUACUAUUUGAAAACUGAAGAAUAACAUUUGGAUUUUAAUUACUGGGAUUCAUGCCAUUUUGUACUACACCUAUAUUAUUUAAUAUAAGAAUAUAAAAUAUAUGUUUUGUACUACACUAACAUUGGCCACACGAAUUCCUAAAGAUAUGGUUUAGGAUUAUGGUUUAGGGUUUAUGGUUUAGAGUUUAGGGUUUGGGUUUUAUAAUUUAAGAUUUAUGGUUUAAGGGUUUAGAGAAUAUUGGGGAUUGGAUUUUGGGGUUUAGUGGUUGGUGUUUGUGGUUUAUGGGUUUAAGGUUUAUAUAUGGUAUAUUGGGGUUUGGAUUUUGGGGUUUGGUGGUCUAUGGGUUUAAUGUUUAGGGUUUAGGGUUUAAUCUUGGAUCAUUUAGAAUAUAAAUCUAAAUAAUAUAAAUAUAAAUUAUUAUUUAAAAAAUAUAUACAUCAAAAUGGGUUAAAUCCCAAAAGCAUACAUGAACAAUGGUUUAAUGUUCAAUUGUAUACGUGAACUUUUAAUUAAUUUUAUGGAGAUCUUGUAAAAUAUUAACACAAUUAUUGAUAUAAAUAACAUCAUUUUUUAUUUAUAUAUUGCAUACAUAAAUAUUUAUAUUUAUUCAAUAUAAAAAUAUAUUGAUGUAUUUAUUUUUUAAAAUGUGUAUUUAUUUUUUAAAAAUGCAUUAUUCUCCUUUUUUAUUAGUUAAUAUUUUCUCUUGUAGAUAAAAUUUAAAAUAAAUUACAAAAUUUUUAAAUUUUGUUGAAUUUUUAAAUAUUUAUUGGUAUGAAAGGCAUUAGCAAUGUUUAUGUAAAAAAGGCCGCAAAAAGCAAUUUCAUGUUAAUAUAAAACGGCGUCGUUUUUUUGUGGUGAUUGUAGUAGCAAUGGCGGCGCUUUACCAGAAACGCCGCAAUAGGUGAUGUAUUACCGGCGUUUUUUUGUAGAAACGCUGCAAAUAUUCUUUAAGUGUUAGCAAAACGGCACUAUUUUGUGCUUUGCUUUUAGUGGCGCUUUUAAAAAACACCACAAAUAUGUAUUAGGAGUUCAAGAAACGGCACCGUUUUCUAUUGUUAUUACCGGCGCUUUUCUUAAAACGCCGCAAAUAUGUUUUAAGAUAUCUUAAAACGUCACCGUUUUGUCCAUGUUAUUAGUGGCGUUUUAGAUGAAAAUGCCACAAAUUUGAGUUAAUUGUUUAGAAACGACUGCGUUUUGUAUUUAUAGUUAGUGGCGUUUUGUUUAUAAACGCAGCAAAUGGUUUAAUUUUUAUACGAAAACGGCGUCGUUUUUUUUCCAUCCAUAUUAUCCAAACUUAAACCCGAAAUCCCCAAAUUUUCCCCAUUUCCCCCAAUUCCAAAUUUCCCCAAAUCCCUAACAUUUCCCCUAACCCUUUCAUUUUCCCCGUCAAAAAAUCAAGCAUUCCAUCUGCCGUUGAAGAUUCCAAGCCGACCACCUGCUGCGUUGCCGUCUCCUCUACUGCAUCUCCAUCACCGUCGGUCUCUGCUGCCGCAACCAUAGGUAAAUUGAUGAUAGGCCUUUAAAUUUUUUUUUUUGACUGCUAUGAAAUUUGCCUGUACUGCUUGGUAGAAAACACUUGAUUGAAAAGUAUUAGAUUUAUUAUUUGGUUUCAAUCUCCCCCAAGGAAAUUAAAACAACAAAGCUACAGAUGCAAACACUGACUUAUUGAUAAACAAAGCUACAGGAAAUUCCUGUUCAUUGAUCCUCUACUUUUAACCUUUUUUUUUACAGAAUAUAAUAUACCUAAAUAUGAAGUUCUUUUUUUGUUGGUAAUUACAAAUUUUUUAUCAAAUCUGAUUAUUUUAUUGAGAAAUUAUAUAUCUUUUGAAUUGUUUUUGUUGUUGUAUAAAUAUUAUUAUUUUGUCAUAUUAAAAAAUCACCAUAAUCUAAUAUAUGUCUUUAAUAAGAUGAAUAAAAAUAAGACUCCUCUGUACAGGUGAAAAUGUUUGAUAAAUUUUUUGAAAUUGGGUCCGUGGCAGGGAGAUCUAAAGUUGGCGAUGAAUAUAAAAUCUAUGCGGUGGAUCUACGAACAUUGCAAUGUGGGUUCUUUUUCAAAGCAAAGUGGGCAAUCUUUAAUUUAUUUCUCAUGCAUACACGCCCAUAGCCUGCCUACAAACAAACAUGUUACAUGCAUGCCCUAGUUAUCAUAUAUCGUUAGAGAGGGACAGUGACCCUCAUUCAACGAUAGCACCCAUUUUUAAACCAUCUCCUUCCUAUUUUUUCUUUCAUCCAUUGACACAUGUUAAGUAAAUCAGCCUAGUUUAAUCAACAUAGGGCUGAAGUCCAAAUAACAUUUGAUUCUCCAGCCAAAUAACAUUUAAUUGAUACUUUUUAUGCAGGAUUUUGAUAGUAUGAACUGAUAGAUCACUUGGAAUUUCAGCUGGUUCGUAUUAGUCAUAAUGAAGUGAAGGAGGAAAGCCAGUAUAGCUAAUCUUGUCCAGAAUUUGCAAGGUCGAAUCUAUGAUCUAUUUUUAAAUUACCUAAUUCAAUUAAAUUGUAUUUAAAGUUUUAUUUUAAAUCUUUUAUUUUAUUUUAUUACUGUACAUUUUGAAGUUGUGCAUUUUAUUCAAUUACAAGCAAUCAUUUAGUUGCACUAUUUGAGCUUGUUAAUUUGCAAUAAUUUGUAUUUAAAGUUAUAUUUUAAAUAUUUUAUUUAAUUUUAAUGACGGAAAUUUUUUUCAAAUAUUUUAAUUUAUUUUAAAGUUCAAAUUUACUACAUAAUUUAAAGUUCAAAUUUCAUAACUUACAUAAAUUACAUAACUUACAUAAUUUAAAGAUCAAAUUUCAUAACUUACAUAAUUUACAUAACUUACAUAAUUUAGAGAUCAAAUUUCAUAACUAUUUAUGAACGAAGAUAUUACGAUUAUGAAGAUAUUUAAGAAUUAUGAAGUAGUAAGAUUUUACGAUUUUUUAAAUAUAUGUAAUAUUAUAAUUUUAAUAUUGCUCAUGUUAUAUAAUUUAACUAUUUUGCAUGUACUAUUAUUGUUGUUAUUUGUUACUAAAAUUUCAACUAUUUUAUGUGUAUUGCAGGAAAAAUGAGUAGAAGAAGAUUACGAAAUUAAGUAUUGUCCAGGAUACUCCAAAUUCGGAAUAAGGAAAUAGUGAACAGCAGACAGCUAUUGGAUCUUCGAAUGUGCCGGAGACACUUGACGAGCCUGCAGAAUUUUAAAGUAAUGUUAAGUUUAUUUUACAUGUGUGUUGACUUUUAUUAUUGCUCGUAUUUCUCAAUUUCAAUAUAAUAAUAUAUUAUUUUCCAGCUAAAAGUGGUGGGACGCGUAGAGGUCGAGGACGUACGCUACUUAAAGAUUUAUAUGGAUUAAAUCCUGUCGAGCAUGUCAAAGUAAGAAGAAACAGUCAUGGUCAGCCUGUUGGAUUAGAAGCUCGAAUUUUAGCAGGCUAUUUGGGCAUUAUAGCAUGAAAUGCCAAUAUGUUGCCCAUCAACUACGAAUCAUGGCAUCACAUGCCUGAUAGCAACAAAAAUCAAGCUCUCGAUAAUAUUAAGGUAACAAAAUGUGAAUGUAAUUUAUAAUACUUUGGUUUAAGUUUCAUUUAUAUUUACUUUCUAAACUUUUGUUUAUUAGGAGAGAUUUGCUUUAUAGGUCUCGGAUGCCUAUAUCAAGAAGGCAUUGGGUAAAAAAUGGAGAGACCAUAAGAGCACUUUGAAAAAAGAAUAUUUUAAGAAAGACAUAAGCCUAGAAGAAAAAUUGUGAAAUGUCCCGCCGAGAAGGCUGAGGUACCAAUGGGAAGAUGCAGUUAGAUUAUGGAAUUCAAAGAAAUGACAGGUAUUACGUACUUCCAAACUCUUAUAAACUUUUCGGUUUAUAGUAUUUACUAUAUACGUAAUAAUAAUUUUAUUAUGUAGGACCGUGAGUGAGUUGGAACAAGUAGCAGGCAAAAACAAAAAUUCACGCAUAUGGCAAGGUCGAGAAGUUUUGCUUGUGUAGUUGAGGCCGAGGUAUUAUGAAUUUAUUAAUUCUGUCAAAUAUUAAUCACUUUCUACUAUUAAAUUAUAUUUUUACUACUAUAUUGUAGGAAGUCUCGUCUGGUCAAAAAGUUGGACACCUUCAGCUUUUUGACAUUACGCAUAGGAAGAAAGAUAGAUCUCCGAUGACAUCCAAAGCUGGAGAAAUUAUGGUAUAUUUACUUAAUAAAAUUUGAUUUAUUGUAAAUAUUUAUAAUGUUUAAUUAUAAUGGUUUAAUUCUUCGUUAGUAGUUUUAAAUAAUGUUAAGUUAUGUUGCAUUCCUUUUUAUAAUAUAUUUCGUUUCUAACUCUUUAAUUGAUUUAUUAGGAGAAACUAAAAGAUAAGAAGGCGGAGUAUGAAGUGAUUGCUUCAACUAAUAGUUCUGUUAAUUUUGAGGAUCGAUAACAUAAUUAUUAAUGAAGUUUUGGGUCCUGAAAGGUAUGGUCAAGUUUGAUUUCAAGGAUCUAGUGUUACCCUGGCCCAAUAUUUUGGAUCUAGCUCGUAGCAAUACAUGCCUUCCGGGAGUCAAGCUCAAGUUGAAGUUCAGAGGUUAAUAGAGCAGAUAACCCAGAUGCAAGCUAGCACAGUUGAGGAAAAUUCUCAACUUAGAGUGGAGGCAGUAGCGAGGGAAGCAGAGCAAAACAGAAAGUACGAUGAACUCCAGCAACAGCUUCAGACUAUGAUGAAGAUGUUCCAGCAGUCGCAAAUGCCGCCAUCUUAGACAUUUGUUUUCUUCUAACUUUUAACAUUAUUGUAAGAAUAUUUUGAAUUAUAUUUCAAUUAUAAUUUAUAUCAUAUAUCUUUCAUAUAAUUUUCUAUCAUCUAGAUUUGUUGUUUUUGGUUGGAUUUUCGCAAAAAUAUUUGCUGUUUCUGGUUGGAUUUCAUGCAGGAAGAGUUGGAUAUUGAUGAAAAAUGUAUACUGCAAAUUUGUCCAAAUUAGUGGCGUUUGUAAAAAAAAGCGCCGCUAAAGACCACAAACUAUAGCGGCGUUUUCAAAAAAAGCGUCGCAAAGUGCCAUGACUUAUAGCGGCGCUUUAUAAAAAAGUGCUGCUAAAGAUCUUGAAUUUUCGCGGCGUUUUCUACAAAAGCGCCGCUAAAGGCAAUUACUUAUAGCGGCGUUUUAUAAAUUAGCGCAGCUAAAGGCCAAGACCUUUAGCGGCAUUUUCUAUAAAAGCGCCACUAAAAGUCAUGAUCAAAUUUUAGCGGUAUUGCCGCUAAAGGAAAAAAACGUCGCUAAAUGUUUGUUUUCCUGUAGUGAAAAUCUCUCUCUUUUUAUUUUUAUUGUCUAAACUUUGAAACUAAUAAAUUUAGCUCUAUUGGGAUUUGACCUGAUUACACUAUUUCUACAAGUUAGAUUAGGAGGAAAUGAGUUAGAAAAACACAUUAUUACCUUAUUGAGCUUUCUCUUUCUAGUUUCCAUUUUCUCUCUAAAAAAACCAUAAAACCCUUAGCUUGAAUGGUGAAGUUGAUGGAGGAAAUGAGUUUAAAAGUUGAUUCUCCACUUGAUUUUUGUAAAAAAAUCGAAGUUUGGGAUUGAAAUAUGACAUAAAUUAAAGAUAAAUAAAAAGGAGACCAAUAAAGGUGUCCAUGGGUUGAGUUGACCUGAGGCCCGAUUAAAAAAAAAUUCAAACCCAGACUAGCCUAAAAAACUAAUUUUACUAUUAAAAAUUUAAUAAAAUAUUUAAAAUAUAUAUUUUUAUAAUUAAAUUUAAAUUAAAAAAUAUUUUUUUAUUAUUUAAAUUAAAUUUGAAUCUAACUCGAAAUACAAAAAUUCUUGUCUAAACUCAAACCAAACCAGGUAAAGCCUACUGAGUAAGGCUAACUACAUGAUUUUUGGACAGAUCUAGUGAACAAAAUCUCCUUCCCCCGUAAUGGCCAUCUAGUUUGGGGAUGGGGUUUUGCUUUUUGCCCCCUUCCCUCUAUUAGAAACAUAUAUUUAUUAGUUCAAUGGUAGGGACCAUGCCCCUUCAAUCUCAUAUAUAUAUAUAUUAGUUCUCAAUGGUAGGGAUCUACUUCUACUGGUUUAAAACUUAAGUAGUUUCACAUCUUUCCGUAACUUUUUAUACAAAUAAUAUUUUAGCUAUCUAACAAUUGAAUUUAUCAUGAUAUUUGUACUUUUCAUACAUGUAAUUUGUUAAAUUGAUUCGAUAACUGUAUCACAGCUCCACAAAAUGUAAUCUACAAGAAAAGGAACAAGACACAAGUAAGCUUACAGAAGCUUAGUAACUUCGAUGAUUACAAGAUAAUCUUAUCGGAUUGAACAUAAAUAAACAAUGUAUGAGAUUUAAGAAAUUAAGUUCCUGUCAAUCACAGCUCACAACAGGUGAGUAAUGCAUAGUACAAUAAUUCGAAUCAUAUUCCAUAUUAUUAUUUCAACUUUCUGAAAACACUUAUACUUGGAUAAUUCACAUCAUCAAGAAGCCAUAUGAUAAAUGAUCAUAAACCAAGUCAUAGUUCUAACAAUAUCUCAUUUCAGGUAAUCAGAAGGGUAUCACUCAUUCGAGUUAACAUUUAUAACUUUAACCAACUCACGAUGCUGCUUACACAAACUGUAGAGAAUCCGUAACACAUGUAGGAUCUCAAGCCAUCACUACGGUCUAUAUCAUGGGUACAUAGUACCUGCUAAAUAAUCACCAGCCCACAACCUACUAUUUACGUACACCACGUACUUAUCAUACUCAUUUAUUAUUUAUUCUUUAAGCAUUCAAUGGAUAAUUACAACAUUAUAUCAAAUUCUAAUAAAACAUGUAGUAUGUAAGAAAUCAUUAUAAACAUAAAAAUAAUAGCACGAACUUACUGGACUGAUUUGCUGCAGCAGCCAAAGUAUAGGGACUACUUAGCUGCUUUGUCCUUUCCAUGGUUAUCAACAUGUUCCUAAUCUAAAAUAAUAAUUCCAUUCAAUUAACCAACACCAACAACAAAAUUAACUUAUCAUUUUUGACAUUUUUACGAAAUUACCCCAAACAUUUUACUUUUAUGUAAUUUAGUCUCUAAGCUCAAAACAUGCAAUUUAACCAUAUGAAAGUUAACUUACCUUGGCAUUACAAUAAUUUAGGAAUCAAAAUACAUUGGUACAAACAUAACAAUCCUUUGACAUCUUACACAUUCAUUUACUUUCACAAAUACAUCAAAUAGGUUAGUUUGAUUACGAGCCAUAAGCUUAAAACAAAUUCACAUAGUGAAAUAACAAUUCAUCUUAUCACAUGUACUAACCAAAUCAUAUUCAACUUGCAACACAUAAUUUCAUUCAUAUACAUAUAUAUUCAUUCCAAACAUAUUGAUUCCAUUUAGUACCAUUUUCAUUUCUGUUUUUUGCCUGGAGAACUAAAGUAACAUGAAAUCAGAUACAUGGGAUUCAUUUGCUCACACAAGUUGUAAUAUUCAAAUUUUCUCUCAGAGCUGUGAUAUUUGAAUUUGCUCACACAAGCUGUGAUAUUUAGGCCACUCACAUAAGAUGUAGGUUAGGUUUACUUUUGCAACUUUAUUCGAGGCUGCUCACUCAAGCUAUCGAGAAUCCGCAACACAUGUUGGAUCUCAACCAUCAAUAAAGAAGCCCCUAACCAAUGUCUGAUUUCAUUUUGAACCUUAACAACAUGCCAUUCAUAUUCACAUCGUUUACUAAGUUCAUACAAGUAACAUUAUAGUUUCUGUAUCAUUUCAAACUUGUAAUUGUAUACACACUUUUCAUAUUUUUUUGAAUAGCAAUCUAUAUACCUUUUAAACCUUGUAACAUCAUCACAUACAUACUAUUCAAUUACACAAUUGUUCAUAUCUAUUCAAUACCAUGUACUUAAUGAAAUUUAUCAUUUAAUUCGUAUUUUAUGGUUUGGUCCAUUUGAUACCAAAAACAUCAUAUUCAUAACAAUUCAACUAGAAAAACAAUAUAACACAAACAUAUUAUGAAUUAAUAAAGUAAGUCCCGUAUGAACUUACCUAGAAAAACAACAAGCAAACAAGACGUCGUGGACUAAUCCACAAUUUUGUCUUUUCUCCAAUUAUCUUCUAAUUGAUUUAAUUCUCAAUAUAUAUGAUAAUUCAUUCCAAUUUAUCAAUUCCAAACAUCUUAUAACAUCCUAUUUAAAGCAUAUUAACUCAAUUUUAUUUUUUGAAUGGUUCCUAUAGUUUUUUUAUUCAAUUUAGUCCCUAAAAUUGAAAUAAACAUAAAUUUCACAUUUAAGCUAUGUUUUUCAAUACAAUUUCAAUUUCAUCCUUCUAUAACCCUAUUUUAUCUAUAUUUACAAAAAUUUCAUGUCAAUUUUGAAAUACUUACACUUUAGUCCCUAUGUUCAAAACAAACAAUUUUCACUUUACAAAGUCAUUAUAUCUAAGCUUAAAAUCUAACUAUUUAACACUAAAGUUUCAAGAAUCAAUCAAUGGCAUCAUUUAUAAACUUUAACAGUUUCAAAAAAUUUAACACAUGAGUUAGCUAAACAAGCUCAUGAGACUUCUAAAACAUAAAAUUACAAGAAAAUGACUAAAUUGAGCUCACCAAUUGAGGGACUUAAGCUUGGGACUCUGUGGUCAAAUUCCUUCUCCUCAAUAAUGGAGUUUUCGAUGGAGAAGAUGAAAUGAGAAAAAAAUGUUUUCUCUUUCCACCUAGUUUUAUCUUUUGUUAGUUUUCUUUAUUUUACUUAUUUUCAUAUUUUAAUUUUAAUUUUAAUUUUAAUAUAAUUUCUAUAAAAAUCAUGCUAAUUACAUAUAUUAACCGUCCACCAUAUUAGAAAAUUAUCUAUUUACCAUUUUAACCUCGAUUUAAUUACUAAUUAAGUCUUUUAGUAAUUAUAAAUCUAUAGCAAUUAAUUUUUACUAUUUUUAUGAUUUAGUCCUUAUACCUUAAUUAGUCACUAAUUUGACAAAACUACCUAUCCAAAAUUCAAUUUACCUAUUUAAUCACUUCAUAAAUAUUUAAUAAAAAUAUUACGAGUUUAGUUUUACGAAAAUGAGGUCUCAAUAUCUCAUUUUUUGACACCACUAACUUUAGGGUCAUUAAACUUGUACCUUACUCAACUAUCCAUUCAAUAAAAUUAUAGGACCAAAAAUCAAUUUCACACUAUAAUAGACUCAUAAAUAUUAAUUAAUAAUAUUUACUGACUUAAUCAUCAAAAAAUAGGAUUCCCAAACCAUUGUUUUUUAUACCACUAAAAAAUGGGUUGUUACACCAUUUCAUUCAUGCCACAUUUUAAUGUUACUAAUGGAUUCAUUUAAGUUAAUUGACUUAUAUAGCUCAAUAUACAUUUUCAAGGUUUGUUAGCCUAUCACAUUAUGAAAUUCAAGUUUAAAACUAUCAUGAAUGAUUCAUAUAGCGUUUAACCCAACACAGGUUCUUUUAAAUCAUAGUUCCUAACAUUUUCAUACAUAUAUGUGGACAUACAUACAUACAUAAAUUUCAUUUCCAUUUAUUUUACUAAGGCAUGCAAGAUUCUAAAUUGCCAUAAUAUUAAUAGAAACAAAUUUACCCAUAUCAAUUUCUUUAUAGCUUACUUAGAUCAUCACCAUAUAACCAUAUUUUUCCAUUCCAUUAUUAAUUCUUAUCAUAUCUUCGAUUGACGCCCGCUGUAAUCCUAAUAAAACAACAAACAUACACUACUGGAAAUCCAUAUGCACCAAAGAGCACCGAGGUGCUAUGCUCGAAGGCAACAUAUAACUCCAUAAAUCGGAAGGGCCUUCGAAGAGGUAACAUGAAUUGAAUGGUAAAAAAAAAAUUCUCGAAGAAGGGUAACACAACAGAAUUCCAAGAACAUAUCACAUAAAACCAAAGCCUACAUAUCUCCAGUACAAAAUCCAAUGAAACAUAAACAUGAGACCCUAAUUGGCAUGUUAACCGUAUCCUAACCUUUCUACUAAGCUUACAAAGACUUAAAUGUUCAUAACAAUUGUUUAUGGUUCAUUACACCCAUAACAUUCCCUAAAAAGUGUCAUAUUGAUUCAAUUUCAUAAUAGAAGGUUCUUAGACCUCACAUGUUCAAUAUCUUUUUUCACAUAGUCAUUGUCAUCUUUCCAUUUUUAUAUCAUAGCAUAACAAAAAUUAUGAUUUUUGUGAUAGAUUAUAAUUAUAUAUACUUUGUUGUGUUUAAUUCCCUUAUAUUCUAGUUAUAUUGAGUGCUUAAUUGUGGAAAUUGUGUUUAUUUUGAUGUAGGAGCUGCAAAUAUUGAACUUAAUUGCUAAAUUGCCAAAUUUUAGUUAAAUUGAUGCAUCAAGGGAAUUUUAAACUUAAUUGUAGACUUGUGAUGUGAGCCAAUUUGGGAGCUAUCAGCUUGAUGGACUUAAUUAAUGAGGUCUGAAUUUGGAAAAGGACUGCCAAUUUGAAUUUGAAUUUCAUUAAAUGUGACAGACUUGUUUUGUUUCGUCAGGAUUGCUUUACUGUUAUUAGGUUUAUUUUUAGUAUACAUAUGUAUGUUGAGGGAGUAGUCGAGGGAGGAAAAAAACGAUUAGUUUUUAUUUCUUUUUCUUUUCACAUUGAAUUGUACGUGAUAAAUGAUUUAUAUGAGUACCAAGCAGUUUACUUAUGUGUGUUGUUGUGGCUUUCUCAAUUUCAUAGCUUGCAUGAUAGACUCUAGGGAAAUAAAAGUACAAUAUUAAUUUAAUUGUACCUAUCUCAAUUAAGUGAUUUUGGUGUAAAACUUAGGUGGUUUUACACUUUUGCAUAACUUUUUAUACAAAUAAUAUUUUAACAAUCUAAUAAUUGAAUUUAUCAUGAUAUUUGUACUUGUCAUACAUGUAAUUUGCUAAAUUGAUUCUAUAACUCUAUCAUAUCAAUCUAAAUAAUUGUCUAUAUUAAUAAAUAUUUGAAGGUUGGAAACUUUUUUACAUAAAAUAAGUAGUUAGAAACUUUUAACUUAUGCCAAACUUGACAUGCAUGAUUUACAUAAAUAGAGUAUGAAAUUUGACAGAGUUUUUAAAAUAUUAAUUGUAUAAAACAUUAUGAAUAGGUGUAAAACCACUUUAAUUUUACUUCAUAUUCUUAAAUCUUCUCACUAAUCCCCUUUUCAAUAAAAUUAAUCCCAAUAAUUUAAUAUCACAUUAAUAUUAUAAACCAGUUAUAGUAUUGUGUGAAAUGAUCAAAAUACUCACAUAUGACAAAGUUACCAUUUUACCCCUUUUUUAUUCAACACUUACAUUAAUCACCAUCACUUGACACUUAUCAUAUUUAAACUUCAUAAUAAAACUAUUACAGAAAUCCAUAUCAUUCUCUUUUUCCUCUUCUCCUUAUACAGGUUUUGUACUUCCCUUAAGAGUUCAACCAGAACUACCCCAGCACGAGGUGCCAUUAGAGGGUCAUACCAACUAAAAAUAACGACAACAUACCCUUUUCCCAUUUCCAUAAUUUGGGCACCCAAGGAAUUUUCUACUUGGGUUUUAUUACACCAUGAUGUCCUUAACAUAGCUGGGAACCACAAUAGCAAACAAGUAUAGCAUGUGGUGACUCCUUUUCUUCUUCUUCUUCUUCUUUGUUGUUUGGUUCAAAAGUGAGAGUCCUCUUUUUUAAGGGUUUACUUAUUUUAAAGUUAAAAUAGGUUUUUAAAGUGCAAAAAAAAGAUUAAUAAGUAUUUCUAAAUUUGUAAAAAAUGUCUAAAUAUGUGGCGCUUAGUUGGUGAACACAUUGGCAUUUAAUGCCCUAAACAAGCCACGUGUGAUUCUUGUUGCCUCUUUAACGAUGAUUAAUGAAAUAGUGACUAUUUUGUUAUAAUACAAAAACGUUAGUGACCAUUUUAUAAGAAGUUAAACUUUAGCGACUAAAACGUUAUUUAACUCAAAUAUAAGUAAUUAUUUUUUUAGUUUACCCAUAAUAAUAUCAAACAAUUAUAAUAUUGAAAAUUAUUACAUUGAUAUUAAUAUUUUAAUAUUUUUUAAAAUAAAAUUAAAAAUUUAUUAAUAAUAUAAUAAUAUUAAACUUAACUCAAAUUAAUUUUAUAUAAAAAUCAAUUUACUUGUAAAGGGUUAUUUUUUAGAAAAUGGCUUACACAUCUCAAUAGGGAAAGUCAAUUUCCCAAAAAAAAAAGACUUAUUUCUAUUCAUCGGUAAAUUAUUUUCUAUUGACCAAGUUGUUUUCCACGAAACAAAUACAAAAAAAAUGCAAAAAAAAUCAAUAUUCCGUAAAUCAUUUUACAUGAAACAAGCACACCCUUAAUUACCUUUUUUUUUUGGUGAAACAAAAUAAAAGCAAACAAAAGAAAUAAAACUAGUGCCUCAAGCGGGGGUCUUCCAAAAGGUGAAAUCCUGUUCUCUUAUCGUGAACUUUUUUAACCGAACUAUCUGCAAACUUAUUCUCAUCUUGAGGGAUAUGUUGAAUACUCCAAUGAAGAACUUUUGAUAAGAGCCAGUGAAUUCUUUUAAUUAGAGCUUACUUGAAACCUUCUACAAUUACUUCCUAAAUGACAUUAGCAACUUCAAGACUAACUGUUUGAAUUAAGAUACACUCGAUUAUCAGACCUUGUUCCUUAUUAAUAAUUCUCAUUACCAAAAUUUUCAUGCAAUUAAUUAGUUAUUUUAAUGGCAAAGUUAUUUAAGGUAAAUAAAAUUCAAUGAGCGAGCACAUACCCAAAAUAGAGCUCCACUAGUUAGUUUACUAUCUUACCGCUGCUUGCACCCACCUUUUCUUUAUCUAGAUUACCUUCGAAAGACAUAUAUAUAUAUAUACAAGUUCCCUUACCUUCCUCCCUUAAAGUGAUUAGCCUUAAUAAAUAUAUUUUUCCAGAUAAGAACAUCACACUAUCACUGAAUUGUAUAGCCAUUAUGCAUUAUGGUUUGAUUGCAGCUUUAAUCUCCCAUUUACAUUAUGUAAAAUUGCACCUUAGUCCUCCCUAAUUCACCACAAUUCCAAUUUAGUCCUUUCUCAAAUAUUAAAAGUCAUACUUCCAUCACCAUUAUUUCCAUUUUACAUCAAUAACAUUACAGACCAAAGAUUCUUUACUAUACUAUGGGUUCUGUUCCAACUUGUGGAACCUUGUUCACGCAUCAUCUACUUUCAGUAGAGAUUUGCUUACUUUGUUAAUCAUCAGAGAAGUCUAUAGUCCUCGCUUGCUGUGAUAGCAUCAUCCUCAGUAUAAUAUUACAUUAUCUUGGAGUUUCAAGGCCACAGGAAAUAACAGUCACUAUAUGGGCAUUAUGACACAUACGCAAUCAAUGUUUAUUAUUAAUGUUUGAGGUUGUUAUCCUCCCAACAAUGUUGUUACUAUACACAGUUAAUUUAUUCAUGAACAGAAACAUGGCUCAGCUCAAGAAGUGGUUGUUUUUAUAAUAUCUUACCUUAUGGAAUUGUCUGCUGUCCAAACUUCUUUUCCAGUCAGGGAUCCUCACAUUGUUGGUUGUUGCAAGGUCAAUUUCAACGUGGGCUUUCGACAAUCUAACGGAUCUGCCUUCACGGGUGUUCUAAUCCACGAUCAUACAGAGGCGGUGAAGGUAACUUUUAUUUUUAAAAAUAUUUUAAUAUUAUGAUUUUUUUAUCAUUAUCAUAUUGGAGGAGAUGUUAUAUGUUAACAUAGAUAAAGUGUGUCAUUUGGAUGCUAUAUGAUAAUUUUAAUCACUACUUUAAACAAGUCUUGGUUAAUAUUAUAUUUUUUUAGUAUUAUUGUAAAAAAAAAAACCCUCAAAGUUUAAAAGAUUUUGGUUUUAAGCUCUUAAUCUUUUUUUUUUGGAUUGACACCCUCAACGUUACGAUUCUUUUAGAAAUCGAUCUAAUUUUAACAAGAAACGUGUGUUGACUGUCAGUCAACUAUAGGUAGAUGAUGUGUAAAAGAUGCUUGACCAAUUUCAAAGAUGCCUACCCUUUCUCUUAUUUCUUUCUUUCCCUCUACUUUAACAGUUUUCCCAUCUCCAACUCCAAGAUGCCCUCUCUACUUCCCUUUCUCUCCACACGUCCCAACCCUACCAUCGCCGCCUUCCCUCUCACUCCUUACUGUCCUAACAGCCACCGCUCCCUUUCCUCUUAUUCCUCAUCGUCGAUCUGACCACAAACGUCCCAAAACCUCUUCCAUCUCCAUCCUCCUCCCCCUUCUCAUCAUCAUCAUCAACAUCAGUUCAUCUCUCCUAGCCCUCAUCGGGAUCACAAUAACCGUAGCCAGAGGCUUAAAUAAAUAUAACAAUUGACCAUGAGUGUUAUGUCCGCAAUUGGAUUUCACGAUCGUGGUCCCAAAAUCUUCGGCAUCGUCAUCGUUAUCAAAGUCUAUAGGACCUCCUCUAAAGUCUUUAAGAAGAAAUUUAAGGAGUGGAAGGAGCAAGGAGUCAUCUUCAUCUUCUUCAUUUUUGUCCUUGUAAAUUAUUGUGGUGUAAAGGUCUGAUAUUUUCGACAAUUAUGCCACCAUACAAAAGGCAAUUUCAUUAAACACUUAAAAUUCAAUGCAACCAAAAAAAUAAAGAAAAAGCAAAAAGAGGACUCACUAUUGUAACCCAUUUUAUAGUACAGCUUGCUCUUCUACGAUCCAAUCCAUGAAAAUACCAUAGCCAAAUCAAACUCAGCCGACGUAAAUUCACUAAUCAACCUCCCUUAGCUGUUCUAAAACGUAACCGAAACCUCUAACAAGGAGAAAACAACGCUCAACAAAGCCUCCUCUCUACCGUUUUGCCUUCCCAAGAGAACCCAAAGAAAAAAUAAAAGAAAACAAGCUUAAAUACUGCUAGAUCUAACAGAAAAAAGAGAGGAAAAAUUAGAAAUUUAUGGCUUGAUUUUUCUCUCUCAAACUCUAUAAUAAAUAAGCUGAUGUGAAAUUCUGAUUGAUUAAUGGUUGGACACAAUGAUGAUAGUAAUUAGAUAGGAAGAGAGAAAGAGGAGAUGAACAUUAAAUUUUCCAUCCAUUUUAGAGUGAUUUGAGGAAUGAUGCAAGUUUAAGAGCUAAAAUGAUUUUUUUUUUGUAAAGUUGAAAGGUUAAAAAGUCAUUAUGCCUUUCUAAUAUUAUGUCAUUGCAUGUGGACAUGCGAGUUUAUUUUUUUGUAAAGAAAAUGGUAAAAACCACAUGAUUUGAAAGUCCACCUAAAACUCCGUUAUAUAAAAAAAGUCAUUGCUACAAAAUUACAACACAAAGUCACAACAAAAGCAUAUAACUUAACAAAGGUUAUUAAGUAAUCACAAGUACACUAAAAGAAAAAGUUGUGAAUAUCACACUAAUAGUAGUUAACUUUGAAAGCUGAAAAACCCAAAAUUACAGUAUCCCAAAUGAAAAUUAGAACAUACACAUCGAAGAUAUUUGAGUAUACUAACUAUUCUAAAUAUACCUCCAAUUGAAAAAUGAACAAAAAAUGGUCUUUGUGAUAAAAAAAACUACUCAGACUUUUCUUUUCUUUUCUCAUUUUUUUCAUUUUGUUGCAUUCUUUUUCUGUCUCAUAUAUAUAUAAUUGAAACCACCCCCAUAUAUGUUUGAAUUAUUUAGUGUUUUCAAAGUUGUUUUUCUGUUUCAAUAAGUUAUAUUCUUUAGGAACAACUUUUUGCAUUUGUUUAAACUAGUGGUAUCCUUGUUUAUAGGUGAUAUAGGUGUUAGUUGUGAUUAUAUAUUUUUCAUUUGUAAGGCUAUAAAAAGCCAACUUUUUAUCUUCAAAAGUGACACUUAUUUCUAGCUUUCACUUAAUGUUAUACUUAACAUUCUUGUAUCCGAACUAGGUUGUUGAGAAAAUAAGUGGAUAUGAGUGAAGAAAAGAGUGAAGGUAGUCUUACAAAGAUUCGUCAUUUUGAUGGUCUUCACUAUGACCAUUGGAGUGAGAUGAUGGUGAAUCUAUUGAGGUCUAAAGGACUGUGGAACCUAGUUGACAAAGGCUUCGAGGAGCUUGAAACAAUGACUAUGCAGACCAUCGUGCAAUAGACGCAGAUGGACGAGAUAAAGAUGAAGGAUCACAGGGUCAAACACUAUCUGGAUCAAGGCAUAGAUAAUGUUAUUUUUGAGCAGAUUUUGGAUAGACAAACCUCCAGAGUUGUUUGGCAUUCUUUGAACAGCAAGUUUGGUGGAAAUGAGAGAGUGAAAAGGUCUCUUCUCAACACCUUAAGAAGAGAAUUUGAGGUGUCAAAAAUGAAUAAAAGAGAAAUGGUCAAAGAUUAUUUUACUAAAGUAAUGGAUGUAACAAACUAGAUGCUGAGCAAUGGGGAGAUAAUAUUUGACUUGGUGAUUGUAGAGAAGAUUUUGCGGACUUUGACAAAAUGUUUCACCUAUGUGGUAUUAUCUAUCAAAGAGGAAAAAUAUGCACAUACCAUCUAUUUUGAUGAAUUGUAAAGUUCAUUAUCUGUACAUGAACAAAAGUUUAAGAGAAUGGAAAAAGAAGAAGAUCAUGCCUUAAAAGUUACUGCUGGUAACGAAAGGUUUGAAAGUAGAGGAUGUUGUGCAAAUUCAUACAGAGGGCGUGGAAGAGGCAGAACGAGAUCAUUGACAAAGCUCGGGUAGAAUGCUAUAAAUGCCACAAAUUGAGGCAUUUUUAGUAUAAAUGUCCAAGGUGGGAGAGUAAAGCCAACUUUGUGGGACUUGAUAAAGAGGAAGAGCUGCUCUUAAUAAUGUGUCUGGAGACACAUAACUCACAAUAAGAUGGCGUAUGGUUUCUUAAUUUGGGAUGCUUGAAUCAUAUGUGUGGGAACAAGAAGUGGUUUUCUCAUCUUGCUUACAGCUUUUGACACUUCGUCAAGCUUGAAAAUGAUACAAAAAUUGUAGUAAUGGGAAAAAGAAGUGUUAGAUUAGAGAUUGUAUGCAUCAAAUAGGUAAUCUUUAAAGUUUUCUUUGUUCCAGAUCUAAAAAAUUAUUUGUUGAACAUGGGAUAGCUCCAAGAGAAAGGGAUAGUUAUUUUGAUUCAAGAGGGUGAGUGCAAGUUGUAUCGUUCACAAAGAGGGCUCAUUGUAACAACCAAAAUGACCAGAAAUCAGAUGUUUGUGCUUUCAACUAUUGUUUUACCAUGCUCACAACCAUUGGUUUCAUCAUGCUUCCAAACUACCACAAAAUAUAUCUCUCAUCUAUGGCACUUUAGGUUCGAUCAUUUGAACUACAAAAGCUUACGUAUGAUGUAGUCCAAAAGGUUAGUUCGUGGCUUAUCAACAAUCAGCAUUCCAAUCAAAGUAUGUACUCAUUGUUUGAUCAGAAAGAAAAUUAGGGAGAAAAUGGCAGAGCAUCAAGAAAGUUGCAGUUGAUACAUUCUGGCAUUUGUGGACCAAUUACACUGAUUUUUAUAGGUGGAAAGAGGUACUUACUCAGUUUUAUUGAUGAUUUUAGCCACAAAAUUUGGGUCUAUUUCUUGCAUGAAAAAUUAGCGAUGUUUGAGGUAUUGUAGGGCUUUAAAAAAUAUAUUGAGAAUGAAAGUGGUAAACGUAUAGCUUGCUUACGCAUAGAUAAGGGUGGAGAGUUCACCUCCUAUAAAUUUAAUAAUUUUUGUAUGCAGAAUGGUAUUUGCAGGCAAUUGACUAACGCCUACACCUAGCAACAAAAUAGAGUAGCAGAAGAAGAGGAAUUGAACCAUUAUGAACUCAGUUUGAAGCGUGUAAUUUGAAAAAAUGUCUUAAAAGAAUUUUGGGCAGAAGCAAUUCAAUGGUGUACCCAUGUAAUGAACAGGAGCUUGACAAUACCCGUGAAUGGAUGAACACCAGAAGAGGUUAGGAGUAAUGUUACACCUUCUGUAGACCAUUUUUGAGUUUUCGGGUGUGUUGCCCAUGUACGCAUACCUGACCAAAGAAGAACAAAGUUAGACGACAAAAGCUACAAGUGUGUUUUCUUUGGUGUAAGUAAUGAAACCAAGGCUUAUCGAUUGUAUGAUCUAUUCUCUAGGCGUAUUGUGAUAAGUCGUGAUGUUGUUUUUGAAGAAGAUAAAUGCUAGGAUUGGAGUCAAAAUUUAGAGGAUGCAAACAAAGAGUUGGAAUGAGAAGAUAUUACUCUUGAGGAUGAUGUGAGUGAAGAUGAUGUCGUUGUACCAAACAUAGAGGAAGUAGUUAGAGAAAAACCACCAAGUCUAAACAUUCUAGCUGCAAAUCAAGAGAGGAUUAGACGGGAGAAUAGAAGAGCACCAGAGUGGCAAAAAGAUUAUGUGAGUAGAGCAAGACUAGGCUUUUCUGGUGAAUAUGAAGAAGUCAAUAAAUUGGUUCUAUACACCACAGUAGAUCCAAUCACUUUUACAGAAGUUGUUGUAAGCAAAAAAUGGCUUGAAGCUAUGAAAAUAGAGAUUCAAGCCAUUGAAAAAAUAAAACAUGAGAAUUGAUGGAAUUGUCAGUUGGUGCAAAGAAGAUCGAAGUAAAAUGGGUGCUCAAAACCAAGCUAAAUGAACUUGGUGAUAUUCACAAACACAAGGCACGAUUGGUGGCAAAAGGAUAUGCUCAGAAAUAUGUAAUUGAUUACAACCAAUUGUAAAGUGGGAUACAAUCCGAAUGGUGAUUGUAAUGGCUGGGCAAAAAGGUUGGAAUACCUACCAACUUGAUUUUAAAAGCACUUUCCUUCAUGGAGAGCUGGUGGAGGAAUUCUUUGUUGAUCAACUGCUUGGUUUUGAGAAAGAAGGGAGGAGCAUAAAGUCUACAAAUUAAAGAAGGCCUUGUAGAGUCUUAAGCAAGCUCCAAGAGCAUGGUAUAGACACAUUGAGUCCUAUUUUACAAAGGAAAGUUUUGAAAGGUGCCCAUUUGAACCUAUUCUUUUUAUUCAAACUAAUUAGAAAGGAAGAAUUUUGAUUGUUAGUUUGUAUGUUGAUGAUCUCAUAUUCACGGGAAAUGAUGAGGAAAUAAUUAAAGCCUUUAAAAAUUCCAUGAUGCGAGAAUUUGAAAUGACAGAUCUUGGAAAGAUGAAAUACUUUCUUGGAGUUGAAGUGUUACAGAAUGAUAAAGGCAUAUUUAUUAGUCAAAGGAAGUAUGCUAAUGAAGUUCUUGAGAGAUUUGGAAUGUUAAGCUGCAACUCUGUUAGAAGUCCUAUUGUUCCAGAAAAAACUCGUGAAAAAUAAAGAUGGAGUCAAAGUAGAUGUCACUGGUCAUAAGAAAAUUGUGGGGAGUCUUCGAUAUUUAACUACGACCAGACCAGAUCUAAUGUAUAUAGUUGGACUGGUGAGUUGAUAUAUGGAAAAACCUACUGAACUUUAUCUUAAUACAAUGAAAAGGGUCCUUCGAUCUAUAAAAGAAAACUUAGAGCUGGGCAUUUUGUACAAAAAAGGCAAAACUGGCGAGUUAGUUGGCUACACAGACAGUGAUUAUGCUGGGGAUCAAGAUGACAGAAGGAUCACUUCAGGAUAUGUUUUUCUAUUUGGAGAAAGUGCCGUUGCAUGGUCUUCAAAAAAACAGCCAGUAGUGACCUUAUCUACAACCGAAACAGUGUUUGUAGUAGUAGUGUCAUGUGCUUGUCAAGCAAUUUAGAUGAGAAGAAUCUUGGAUUCUUUCAAUCAUCCUCAAAAAGAAAGAAUCAUGUUAUAUUGUCACAACGCCUCCACCAUCAAACUAUCAAAGAAUGUCGUAUUGCAUGGAAGGAGCAAACACAUUCAUGUAAGGUACCUUUUCCUUCGUGAAUUGUCUAAUGAUAAAGUUAUUGAGCUUGUCCAUUGUGGAACAAAGGAGCAGACAACAGACAUCAUGGCUAAGGAAUUUAAGUUUGAGACAUUUGAAAAGCUUAGGGAAAAAAUUGGAAUUUAUGGAGAAGUAAACUAACUGAAAAUAUGCUAAACAGUUUAGGGGAGGAAUUGUUUGAAUUAUUUAGUGCUUUCAAAGCUAUUUUUCUAUUUCAAUAAGUCCUAUUCUUUAGGAACAACUUUGUGUAUUUUUUUAAAAUAGUGGUGAUCUUUGUUUAUAGGUGAUAUAGGUGUUGUGAUUCUAUAUUUGUCAUUUGUAAAGCUAUAAAAGCCAGCUUUCUAUCUUCAAUAAAAGUGACACUUAUUUCCAACUUUCACUUGAUUUCAUACUUAACAUUAUAUAAUGUAAGGCACAGUGGGACUCUUGGGCCAUCUCCAAUAAAUACAUAUAUAAGAUAAUAAUUAUUAUAAAAUAUUAUCUUAUAAAUAAAUUUCAGUUGUAAAAAAUAAAACAUUUAAUAAGUUUUUGAGAAAAAUAUCCUCAAACAUUGAUCUAGUACAACCACUUAUAUCAGUAGAGAAAUGUCCAUUAUAUGAACUUAUGCAAUUUGAUACGAAGCUUUCAUGGCGAUGCCACGUAACCCACCUGGUGUAUUCACAUCCCUUUGAAUCCUCAUAUACCCAUUUUCACCCCAAGUUUCUCCCCAUGAAUUCUUAAUCAACUAAUAGUUUAAACCUUCUUCACGUGUCCCAUAUCCAACAAUGGUGACUGCAUGGGUGAGAUCAUUGCUUGUAGUUUGUUUUAAAAAGGUCAAAUCGUUGAUUCAAUGAAUGGUUAUAAAAUGUGUUAUAUAUACAAGUAGUUAUAUGUUUGGCUAUGGUAAUUGACUAUUUAGGCUCGGUUUUGAAUGACAAAGAAUGUAUAUGAUCUAAUUGAUAUGGAAGUUAAAUUGGAGGAUUGAUUAUUGAAAAUAUUAAUUGGUUGUGUAUAUGAAAUAUAGGCAUGAUAAUUUGCAUGCAAAUUAGGUAUGUGGUUCAUGUGUGUGAUUGAAUAUAACAUGUUAGAUAUGUUAUUUAGCUUGCAAAUUAGAUAUUUUAUGACUUGGCAUUUGACUUCAAAAAUAGUCAAGUUUGAUUUAGUAAAAUGUACAUAAGGUUAUAAUGUUUAAAAUACUAUGAUUUGGUAAUUGAAUUUUUUAUAAUUAUGAAUCAUGUACAAAUCGGUUUUGAUAUUUGAUUGCUUGGAUUGAAAGUUUUGUAUUAGCAAAUGCAAUUGAAAUGGUUAGAUAUUGAAUUAUAAUUCGUAUAAGAGAAUGUUUGAUAAAGCAUGAUUUGUGUAAGUAGAUAUAUGAUUCAAAUAGAUGCUUUUGACUUGUAUGAAUAAGAGGUUGGUUAUUAAUUUAUUUCAGAAAAUUUUAUAAAGGAGAAUACAUUACUAGGCAUUUGAAUUGUAAAGAAUGUCCAACUAAACUGUGUAUUGUUUGGUAAUACCUUGUAACCCUAGUCCAGCGACGGACACAGGAUAGGGGUGUUACAAAUAGUUCCUUACUUGAACCAAUUUGUGUGGUAUCAAGCUCUUGAUCUCUUGGUUACUCUCUUAUUCUCUCAAAUAACCUAGGAAAAACUUAAAUUUAUGUAGUACUUAAGUUUUCUUUACAUAAGAGUUACAAUCUAAUCCGAUGGCAUGCCAACUAUAUCUAACUUUGCCCGAAUAGUUAAUAGGGUACCAAUGAUCCAAUUACAUGUAAUAACCAAUUCACAUAUCAUAUCAUAUCUCAUUUAAUUUCAUCAUCAAUUCACAUAAUGUGCCAUUAUCAAUUUCAUAUCAUGUUCAUUUUUGUUUACGGCAUUUCAAUUCAAUUCUCAACACAUUAUCAUUCAACAUGAAACAAUUCAUACAACAAACAUAAGCUUACCUCGAUAAUUAAUCAUGCAAUCAACAUGUAUAUGCAUAAAAAUAUAAUGAUAUCGAAUUAUAAAAGUACAAACUGAAUUUCCCUCAACUCGCCUUCGAUUCUCGACUUUUCCUUCUCUCACGGUAGCCCCAUGUCGUAUUAGCUACAUUUGAUAAUUCAAUAGUAAAAAUAGUAUUAGUUUACACCCAAUUUAAAUCCAAAUACAUAGCCACUCUUAUUUUUUUAUUUUAUCCAAUUUAAUCCCUAUACCCGAGAUAUACAAUUUUUCGAUAUCUAAUGUUGAGUCAAAAUUUGAUUUCACAUAUUUCCAUUGGGGGUCAUAGUAUAAUCACAUAUCAAUUUUAAUUUAUUCAAUUUAAUCCCUAAUGUUACAAAGCUAUCUAACAAGUUCAAUUUACUUUUUAAUUUAGUCCUUAUCUAAGCCUAUUAACUAUCAUAUCCUUCAAAUUAAGCCCCAAAUAAUCAAUUUCUCUCUAAUGGUAACUUGCUAAAAACUUAACAAUUGAACAAAUUAAGAAAUGGGCUAUCUAAAUCAAGCCUUCAUGAUCAUAAAUCUACAAAAAUUAUAAGGAAAAGGCUUGAUUAUGUUAAUCAAUUGUUGGCCGAAUGUUUAAAUGAACUAAAAGCUUUCUUUCUUUAUUUUUGUAUAGCAUGGAUGGUUGGAAUUGUUGAGUAUGACUCAUAUUUCAGUCAAAUUUUAGAAAUAAUCUUCCAGUUAAACUCUGUUUAUUUGUUUCAAUCAAACUCUUAUUAGUCUAGAUUAUUUUAUUAUUAGUUGACCUAUGAAUUUAGCUUAUAAAUAGGCUAUUUUACCAUCUUAGAAAAUACACCCAUUAGAGAUUAGAACUCAACACUUUUAGAGAAUUUUUGUGUUUAUGUUUUUCGGGUUUUUUUUUUUGGGUUUAAGGGUUUAGUUUUUAUCUCCAUCUUUGUACUCUUCGUUCUUUUCCAUUAUAGUAAAAUUAUCUUUACCCGUUAUUUUUUAUCCUCUUUGGAGGGUUUUUCCACGUUAAAUUUGUGUGUUCAAUUUUUCAAUUUCUUCAGCUAUUUUUACUUGUUCGUUGCUUAAUCGGGUCAAUCCCCAACAAGUGGUAUUAGAGUUAGUUCAAUUUUCGUAGAUCAGCCCGUUCAGAGAUGGCAGCAACAAUGUUUGAAAUUGAGAAGUUCGAUGGUGUCACAAAUUUCAAUCUGUGGCAAGUUCGGAUGAUGACAAUUUUAGUUCAAACCAGCCUGAAAAAGGUUGUUAUUGGGAAAAAGCUUGAGAAUCUAAAUCAAACAGAAUGAGAAGAGCUUGAUGAAAAGGCCUUGUCUGCAAUCCAGUUGUGCCUCACGAAUAGAGUAUUGUAGGAGGUAUUGGUGGAGAAGACUUCAUCCGCCUUGUGGAAAAUGUUAGAAACUCUUUGUGCGACUAAGUCUCUGGCUAACUGUUUAGUGUUGAAACAACGUCUAUUUACGUUUCGUAUGAACGAAAGUGAGCUUCUUAGAUAUCACAUCAGUCAAUUAAUUACUCUUUUAAUUAAUUUAAAGAAUGUUAAGGUUCAGAUUGACAAUAAAGAUUAGGCUAUGCUAUUAUUGUGCUCUUUACCCCUUUCAUAGAAGUCUUCCAGGGAGACCCUAAUUUAUGGCAGAGACAAACUCUCGUUCGAAGAUGUGAAGGGUCAUUUGUUGAGUAAAUGCAAACUCAACAAUGAGUUUGGUUCAGAUAGUAAGGCAGAUAAGCAAACUUCUGUUUUGGUAAAAUUAAAGAAGUGAGACAAAUGUGUCGCUAUUGUAAAAAGUUACGUCACGUCAAAGCAGGUUGUUAUAAACUGUGAAAUAAAAGAGUUGCUGAGGGUAAUGAGGAAGAUGUAGUUGGUGCUAAUUUGGCCGAUGAAAGCGGUGAUGAUUUCUUGUUAGUGUCAACGAGUGAUAACUCCAAGCUUACGUCCGAGUGGAUCCUAGAUCCGGGAUGUUCUUUCCACAUGUGUCUCAAUAGAGAAUGGUUCUCCACAUAUAGUUCGGUUGAAGGUAGAUUUGUGCACAUGGGAAAUGAUUCAUCCAGUAAGGUAAUUGAUAUUGGUACUGUUAAAAUUAGGAUUCACGAUGGGACAAUUACGAAAUUCUUAGAUGUCAGGUAUGUACUUGAUUUAUGAAAGAAUCUCAUCUCCUGAAGUAUUUUAAACUUGAAAGGAUGCAUAAUCAAUAUCGAGUCAAGCGACAUUAACGUAUCUCAUGGAGCUCUCAUUUUGUUAAAAGGUAAAAUGACAGACAAUCUUUAUAUUUUAGAAGGUUCUACAGUGAUCGGUGAAAUCGGAUGUACCUCGUCCAUUAUGUAGUCAAAGUCAACUCAUUUAGAGCGGAGUCAACUUGGUCAUGGGAGGGAAAAUGUAUGAUCGUUUCGUUGAAGAGAGGUUCUCUUUUGGAUGCAGGUUUUGAAAAGUUAGGGAACUAUGUUCGUGAAAAUCAGACUCGGGUUACUUUUGAUUUGGCGGUUUACAAGUCGAACGCUAUAAGUCUUCCAGUUUCUAAGCACAUAUUUGACUUAGUUAAUUCCCUACAUAGUUCAAGAUAGGCCCGUGGUGGGCUUUGGCAAAGAUGGCGUUGGGGAAAUAUGAGUCAAGGUGGAGAUUUGUUGAGUAUGACUCCUAUUUCAGUCAAAUCUGAGAAAUGAUCUUCCAGUUAGACUUUGUUUAAUUGUUUCGAUCAAACUCUGAUUAGUCUAGAUUAUUUUAUUAUUAUUUGACCUAUGAAUUUAGCCUAUAAAUAGGCUCUUUUACAACCUUAGAAAAUACACCCAUUAGAGAUUAGAACUCAUAACACUUUUGGAGAAUUUUUGUGUUUACGUUUUUCGGGUUCUUUAUUUUUGGGUUUCGGGGUUUAGCUUUUAUCUCCAUCUUUGUACUAUUCGUUCUUUUUCCAUUAUAGUAAAACUAUCUUUACCCGUGGUUUUUUAUCCUCUUUGGAGGGUUUUCCCACGUUAAAUUUGUGUGUUCAAUUUCUCAAUUUCUUUAGCUAUUUUACUUGUUCGUUGCUUAAUCGGGUUGAUCCCCAAUAGAGAAAAUGGAGAAGAUGACAAUCUUCCACCCUAUUUAGUAUAUAUACUUAGAUUACUAUUAGCUUAGUUUAAUGAACCAUAUUUAAUUAGUUAAUUAAGAAAUAAUUAUGUAUAUGUUAAUAAUAAAUUAAACUAAGUGGAAUUAACCAUCAUCAUCCCCUAACUCAUGUCAAAUAAUGGUUAAAUAACCAUUUUAAUCCUUUAGAUAAUUGCUAAAUAGGUUCUCAAGUCUUUUCUAAUUUUAAAUUCAAUAGCGAUUGGACUUUUACAAUUAGUCCCUGAAUUUUAAUUAACCAAUUUCUCCGUUAAAUUACUUAACCAAACUUUAAUAUAUUUUCAUAAUAGCUUCAUUAAUCUUUAUAUAUAUUUAAUCCUUAUGAACUUGGUUUGCAGAAAUAAAAUUCUGAAACCGUAUUUUUCGACACUACUUAAAAUUAGGUCGUUACAUUAUGGGUUAUGAGCUUGACGGUGGCCUCAAUGCCAUUUCAACACCAACUAACAAUAUUGAAUCGUAAUCACUUGAUAGUAGAGGCUAUGAUACCAAUUGCUGGGGACACUAGGUUAUAUCUCACACAAAUGGAGCUUCAAAACUGAACUACAAUAUUGAACUGGAACACCAAAGUCAAAUUGAAGCUACCCAGCGAAUUAACCCGACAAUUUACUACUAAAUAUUAAGAUGCAAUAAAAAAUCAAAUGAUACAAUUAAUAAUAAAGGUGAGAACACACCAAAUUAAAGACGUUUGGCACAUUACUUAUGUCCUUAAUUACUAACACCGAAUAAUAACUUUACUAUGACCCAAAAAAACAAAUUACAAACUAAUGAAACCUUAAUUAAAAGGAUUGCCCAAAUAUAUACCAAAGUAUACUAAUGAAAGUAGGAGAGAACAAAUGGUUGGGGAUAAUUCAAAUGUAGGCUUAAUGCCUUCUUAUAUACUAUAUGUGAGGCCACAUAUUUUGUCUCAUUUUUAUGUGGGAUUUAUGUGAGCCAAUAAUCAACAAAUACGAAAUUUUCAUAUGUAUGUACUUGUAAUAAAAUUUCUAAAAUAGAUAAUAAAAAAAACUCAAGAGCUACAGAUAUUAAAAAAACACAAUUAUAAUUAUCGUAACUUAUUAAUGUCCUUGAAAAUUGAUCGAGUAGUGCAACUAAUUUUAUGUAGUACAUGUAUUGGCAGAGAAAUUGUCUAUUAUAUCAACUUAUAAUACUGGAUAUAUACGAAGCUUUCAUGGCGAUACCACAUAAGCGACCUUGCGUAUUCACAUUCCUUUGAAUCCUCAUAUACCCAUUUUCACCCCAAGUUUCUUCCCAUGAAUUCUUAACCAGCCAAUAGUCUAAACCUUCAUCACUUGUCCCAUAUCCAACAAUGGUGAGUGCAUGGGAGAGGGCAUUGCCACAAUCUCCGGUAUACACUCCACUACUGUAAUACCGAAAGUCUUGUCCAUAGCCUUCGAUUGCAACCGAGACAAGUUGAUUUGCGACGACCUUAAGCAACGCUUGUUCGUCGUUUGUAGGCACCAUUUGAUAGCCAUUGAUGAUGACGUCAACUCUGUUUAUCUGUUUCUCAGUGUCGCAAGUUUCUUGCACUGGUUGAUAUGGGUAGCCUUCUUCGGUGGUUAUUCCUUGGUUUUGGAUAAUGUAGUCGAAAGCAUUCAUCAUCCAUCCUCCAUACAACCUUGGUUUCCUCCAUUUGUGCUGCAAUCCAACAGUUGUUGCACAGAUAAUGAGAUUAAUUUACCAGUUUUGAUUUGGUUAUCCCUUCAACGGCUGCCACUGCUGAAAAUGCCCAACAAUAUCCUGCAAAAGUAAACCAACAAUAACCCUUUGUUAAGUGAAGUAAAUAUACUAACAUCAGUUUUUUUUUUCAAUUAAUCGAGCACCCUAUCAUUUCAACAGAGAAAUUUGAUUUUUAAAAAAAUAUAUUGAAAGGUUUGAAGUUUUAAUAUUAGACAGAUAGUUUAACAUUUUAAUAUACUCAAAAUUUGAAGCACAGGAUUUGAAAUAAGAUGAUCUAAUUAAGAAAAUAUAAUAAAUAUUUUGCAAGUCUGUAAACUGGGACUUACCACAGUUACCCUGAGACUUAAUGGGAGUGACGGCCCCUUUCUUCCUCCAAUCGAUGCUCGUUGGAACAUCUGAGAAGCUUUCAUACAUAAAUGAUGUUGAUUGGGACAUAGUGGAAUUGUCCCCCAUCUUGUAUCCAGUGUGAGCUACAAUAAAUUCAUGAUGACAGAAGGAUCACUUCAGGAUAUGUUUUUCUGUUCGGACUUCGGAGAAAGUGCCGUUGCGUGGUAUUCGAAAAAACAGCCAGUAGUGACCUUAUCUACCACCGAACCAGAGUUCGUAGCAGUAGUGUCAUGUGCUUGUCAAGCAGUUUGGAUGAGAAGAAUCUUGGAUUCUUUCAAUCAUCCUCAAAAAGAAAGAAUCACGUUAUAUUGUGACAAUGCCUCCACCAUCAAACUAUCAAAGAACGUCGUAUUGCAUGGAAAGAGCAAACACAUUCAUGUAAGGUACCACUUCCUUCGUGAAUUGUCUAAUGAUAAAGUUAUUCAGCUUGUCCAUUGUGGAACAAAGAAGAAGACAACAGACAUCAUGACUAAGGAAUUGAAGUUUGAGACAUUUGAAAAGCUUAGGGAAAAACUUGGAAUUUGUGGAGAAGUAAACUAACUGCAAAUAUGCAGAACAAUUUAGGGGAGGAAUUGUUUGAAUUAUUUAGUGCUUUCAAAGCUGUUUUUCUGUUUCAGUAAGUCGUAUUCUUUAGGAACAACUCUGUGUAUUUGUUUAAACUAGUGGUGAUCCUUGUUUAUAGGUGAUAUAGGUGUUGUGAUUCUAUAUUUGUCAUUUGUAAGGCUAUAAAAGCCAGCUUUCUAUCUUCAAUAAAAGUGACACUUAUUUCCAACUUUCACUUGAUUUCAUACUUAACAAUAUAUAAUGUAAGGCACGUGGGACUCUUGGGCCAUCCCCAAUAAAUACAUAUAUAAGAUAAUAAUUAUUAUAAAAUAUUAUCUUAUAAAUAAAUUUCAGUUGUAAAAAAGAAAAUAUUUAAUGAGUUUUUGAGAAAAGUAUCCUCAAACAUUGAUCUAGUACAACCACUUAUAUCAGUAGAGAAAUGUCCAUCAUAUGAACUUAUGCAAUUGGAUACGAAGCUUUCAUGGCGAUGCCACAUAACCCACCUGGUGUAUUCACAUCCCUUAGAAUCCUCAUAUACCCAUUUUCACCCCAAGUUUCUCCCCAUGAAUUCUUAAUCAACCAAUAGUUUAAACCUUCUUCACUUGUCCCAUAUCCAACAAUGGUGACUGCAUGGGUGAGCUCAUUGCUACAAUCUCCUGUAAACACUCCACCUUUGUAAAACUGAAAGGAUUGUCCAUAUCCAUCGAGUGCCACCGAGACCGGUUGAUUUGUGACGGCCUUAAGUAAUGCUUCUUCGUCGUUUUGAGGCACCAUUUGAUAGCCAUUGAUGGUGGCAACUUUGUUUUUCUGUGUGUCGCAAGUUUCUUGCAUUUGCUGAUAUGGGUAGCUUUCUUCGGUGGUUAUUCCUUGGUUUUGGCUGAUGUAUUCAAAAGCAUUCAUCAUCCAUCCUCCACUACAACCUUGGUUUCCUCCAUUUGUGCUGCAAUCCAACAGUUGUUGCUCAGAUAAUGAGAUUAAUUUACCAGUUUUGAUUUGGAUUAUCCCUUCAACGGCUGCCACUGCUGAAAAUGCCCAACAACAUCCUGCAAAAGUAAACCAACAAUAACCCGUUGUUAAGUAUAAAGCAAUUAAUGAAAAUAAAUAAAAAAAAUGAAUACUUCAAUGCCAAUCUAUAAUAAUAUAUAAACUUUUGAUUGAGUUGAUGUAACUAGUUACCGAAUCAUAAAAGAAAAUAUAAAAAUAAUGUUACAGGUGAAGUAAAUUAUACUAUUACAAUAAUAAUUGUCUUUUCAAAUUUUUAAAAAAUUAAAUAAAAAUUUUGCAUAAGAUGUGAUCUAAACCCAUGUGACAAAUAUUUAUAAAAAAAAUUACCCUUUAAUCAAGAUUUUAUUUUAUAUUUUUAUAUAUUUUAAAUUAAUUAUAAAAAUAUUUUCGGCCAUUGUUUAUAUAUUGAUGAUGUUAUUGGUUUAGUUGAUCACAAAUCCACUCAUAAUAAUUCAAGAGAAGUGACGAUAUCAAAAUAAACAAGCGGAUCGUAUUUAUUAUUUUUAAUAUAAUAUAUUUACUUGUUUAAUUUUUUUUACUUGCAAUUUAAACUAUUUUUUAUUUAAUUUAAUACAUAUCACCUCUAUUAUUAUUAAUUUCAAACCUUAAGUUUUAUUAUUUAGACUUAAUAACAAAUUUGGUCAAUAGCAUUUAUAUGUUUUGUCAAAAUAGCCCUGAUUUAUUUUUGAGCCUUUUCUGACCAUCAAAUUUUACUAUUUUUUCUAACAUAUGUGAAAUAUUUUUAAUGAAAUGUAAUUUAUUACUUAGAUAACUCAAUAAGAUAAUUACAUGUGAAAAAUAAUAAAAUAGAGAAAUAAUAUAUGAAAUUAAAAAAUAAAUCUUAAUUUAAAGAAAAUGGUUCAAGGUUUCAAUUUUUUUUCAAAAUAUUUCAAUCUUUCGUAUGUUUAUUUACCGAGAGGUUUCAAUUAAGAGUUAUUUUUUUGAAAAUUCUUGUAUUAUUUAUUUAUUUUAUUAUUUUCCACAUGUAAUUAUCUUAUUGGGUUCUCUGAGUAAUAAAUUACAUUUCAUUCAAAAUAUUCUACAUAUGAAAUUCCUCAUCAUACCCGUUAACUUUUUUAAUGAUACUUGCAUCAAAUUUGUUAGAACAGAUGGUUUGAAAAACAAAAACAAAAAUUGAUGGUUAAAAGAGACUCAAAAAUACAAUUAUGGUCAUUUUGACAAAACAUGUAAAUGUUAGUAGGGAAGCUUAUUAUAUAUCGCAUGUAAUCUUUAAAAGCGACGUGUUGUAUGCAAUUCACUUUCUAAAACGAUUGCUUACUCAGUCAACAAUUUUAUGUAUAUAUAUAAAUUAUUACUUACCACAUUGACCUUGAUUCUUAAUAGGAGUGACUGCACCUUGGUCCCUCCAAUCAAAGUUUGUCGGAACAUCUGAUACGUUCUCAUACCUGAACGACGUUGACUCAGGCAUUAUGGGGUUGUCUUGCAUCUUGUAUCCAGUGUGAGCUGCAAUGAAUUCAUCUUGUGUCAUGUCUGCAAAUUCAUUCAGGCUUAACUUAAAACUUCUAUUUCCACCAUUGUUGAAGCUCUCAAUGUAUUCCAAAUUCUCUUUGAAUACAUUAAGACGCUUCUCCUUCUCUAAUUUGCUCUCAUAUUUUCGACCAUAAUCAACCAUCCAUUGCUCAUGUUUAUCAACAACAGAGGCUUCAUAGAUUGUUCGGGACAUAGCAAGAGAUGCCAAUGUCCCAAAAAUUAAAAACAAAAAGGCAUGGAUUAAACUCAUCUUGUUGUUUUGCAGUAUAUGGUGGGAUACUACACUAAUUUCUGGGUUUUUUCUUUGCUAAUUGCCAAGUUGUGAAGAACUAGCACUCUAUGAAUGUAUAUAUACUAAAAAAUUGAUUGAAAUGAAUAAUUUUUUAAUUAAGUCCAAAUAAAACGCCAAUCAAGUCAAUUUUCAGGUUUACAAUUACAGACAUACCUUUUUUUUUUAUAUAAAUCAACAAAUUAUUAGUGUGUCGUGAUUGACGGAGACAUACAACGUUUUACUUAUUCCUUCAUUGCUGUUUCUCGGUUGGUGGUUGACUUCGAAGUCAAUGUUAACAUUCCAAUUCUCCCACUACAUGUCCAUUGGGUCUUCAGCUUUUGGUCCAAUAUCAAUUUUUUUAUUGAAGAAAUUAUUUUAAUAAAAUAAUUAACAUUAUUAUUUUUUGUUAAUAUUUAACAUAUUAUCAUUAGAAAAUUUUAAUUGUAUAAAUAGAUUUUAAAUAUAGUAAUUUAUCUCAUUCUUUUCAGAAAUAUAAUUUUUUAUUUUGAGCGAACUACAUAGAUAGUCACCUAACUAUAAAUUUUGUUAAGCAUCCAAAAUAAAAAAAUUAUAAUUUAAUUACCCACGUUUCAUAAUUUAGUCAUUUUAGUCGCUCCCGUUAAAAUACAAUAACAAGCUAACAUCACAGUUAAAAAAAUCAGUAUAAUAACAAAUUUAACCCUCAAUUUUUAUAUAUUAUAUCAAUUUAGUCAUAAUUUUAAAAAAUUAACUCAAAAUUUACAAAUAUUCUCAAUUUGAUCUUAAUUCUAAAAAAUUCAAUGAAAUAUAUAAACAUACAUAAAUAAUUUUAUAAAUAAUGAUAAUACAUUUAAAUGUUAUAUUAAUGUUAAAUAAAAAUAAUUAUAUUAAUAUUAUGUUUAUUUAAUACAAUAUUAAUACAAAAUUUUAAUUUAUUAUUAUAUAUUUUGAAAAUAUUUAUAAAUUUUGAGAGUUAAUUUUUUAAAAUUAUGACUAAAUCGAUAUAAUUUGUAAAAAUUAAGGGCUAAAUUUAUUAUUAUACUGACUUUUUUAAUUGCUACGUUAGCUUGUCGUUUGCGAUAGUAACAUGGGUGAUCAAAAUAAUUGAACAAUAUAAUGCGAGUGCUUAAAUUGCAAAUCUUUUAUUUUAGGUGCUUAAAAUAAAAAAAAUUAUAAUUUGGUGACAAUCUGUGUAGUUUACCCUUUUAAUUUUUACUACACCUUAAAGGAGUACGUGACACCCUCUAAACUCUGCUUAUAGAAACUAAAAACUCCAUUGUUAAAAAGAAUAUUUUAGCUUCUGUUUAUUUGAAAAAAUGACAUUUUAAUCCCUAUAUAUUAACUUUAUUGUUAAUGGAAAGACAUUGCUUAAAAGUGACAUUAAAUCAAAUAUUAGAUGAAAUUAAAAAGCUUAUUAAACCAAGAUAUUUCGUCUCGUGGAAAAUUUUGGGGUGUUGGCAAUGUAUCAUAAAGUAGUAAUCAACAUGUUAGUGUGGUGUUCCAAUUGUGACAUGGUGAUGAUGGUUAGAAACUUGUGUUGCAAGGAAUAAGAAGAAGAGAAUAUAGUUAAGACUUGAGGCGUGAAAAAACACUUUCCUUUAAUGCUUUUAAGUUUGUCUCUAGAAUACAAUGAAAAGAACAGAACAGUGAAAACAUAACUCGUGGCAUAAGGUAUGUUUUUUUUCAUAACAUAACGAUUUAACAUAAAAUUAUGUUUCUUCAAUUCGAAAACAUUUUAAGAAGAUUAUGUUAUUUCAAUAAAUUAGUUUCGAUGCAAACAAAAUAGUUUGCACCACCAAACUAAAGCUUUAAGUGCCUAAAUUUUGAAAUAUAAAAGUCCCAAUCGGUAGCCCACCUAUCUAGUGGGUUAGGGCCUAACUUAAUUACAUAAAUUAUAAAAAAAUUGGUUAUUUAAAUUCUUUAUAUUAUUUGUUUGUUGGUAAUGUGGGUUAGAAUCUUUCUUCGAUAAAUUUGUAAAAAUUUGAAGUGAAUUAAAAAUUUUGAAGCUAGAAUUUGCAACUCAUGCACUUUGUAACACCCAUUGCUCGAUCCUUUGUAACCCUCAUUGCUCGAUUCAAUUGCCAUGUUUGAGCAAUAGAAUAUUACAUUCAUUACUAGAGCAACUACAAUUAAUAAUACAGUAAAAUAAUAAUUCAAACAUACAAACAUGUGAUACACAUUUACAAUAUGAUACAUAAUAAAAUUCGAGGGUUUAAUCGAACUUACGACAGCUUAAUUGUUGACCCGAGCAUGAAAUAAGACCAAAUUGCAAAGUUUUCAAAAUUUCAUAUCAGGUAUCAACACCUCUUGGAAUACCCCGGAAUUUGGGGUUAGAAGUUUUGAGGUUGUGGUUAGGGUCAUUGAAUAGGUCAAGCACUUGAGUGGGUUUUCACUUUUUAAUAUUAGAAUGAGCUUGCUGGUUUGGUAGUGGCGAGUGUGUUAGUUUACAUUUGGGUUCUGCAUGGGUUCAAAUCCUCAUGUGUGUGUUGAGGAAUUAAUUUAUUUUGGUUUUGCUUUUUAAUUUUUAAAGAUUUACUUUUAAAAUUUGAAAGAGGAGGUUUUUCAGUUUCACGUUCUUUUCCAUUUCCUUUUCCCUAGUUUUCUUUGUUGUUCCCUCUAUUAUUCUUCGGUUCUUUCCCCAAAUUUCAGUUCUUUUGAUUUCUUGUUUCUUCCGUUUUACACUCACGUUACGUGUUGUCUGUCAAGACUAAUCGUCCUCGUGUGUUUUGUUUUAUCGGAGGUGAAGCGGGUAGGUUUUGUUCAUGAGGGUUUAUGAUAGAAUUGCUUCUGUUUCUAUUAUUUGUUAAUUGAAGUUCUUAUAUUUUAAUUUUAUGUGUGAAAUUGAGGUUUCUGAACAGUUUGUUGAGAGCGAAUCGAUUGAUCCUUGGUGCUUGAUAUUGCGUUCUAAGGUGUGUGUUCUAAAACAGUUUAACUUUGGUAUCGAAUUGCUGUGGGAUUUGAUAAUGUCUUGUCUGUUUAUGAAAUUGGUUAUUUAAAGUAUCGUAUUGUUACUGAAUUGCAUUAAAUUCUAUAUGUUUUGCCAUAAUUCUGGGUUACCAAGGGUUGGGGAUCGUUUCGACAUCAAAAGUAUGAUUUUCAGGCUGUUUCGGUGUGGUUUCGUGACCAUAUGGGUGGCCACACAGGUGUAUGCGCACACGGGCGUUUAACAUUUUAAUAUUAGACAGAUAGUUUAACAUUUUAAUAUACUCAAAAUUUGAAGCACAGAAUUUGAAAUACGAUGAUCUAAUUAAGAAAAUAUAAUAAAUAUUUUGCAAGUGUGUAAACUGGGACUUACCACAGUUACCCUGAGAAAUGGGAGUGACGGUACCUUUCUUCCUCCAAUCGAUGCUCGUUGGAACAUCUGAGAAGCUUUCAUACAUAAAUGAUGUUGAUUGGAACAUAGUGGAAUUGUCCCCCAUCUUGUAUCCAGUAUGAGCUACAAUAAAUUCAUCAUGUGGUCAUAUCUGCAAAUUUAUUGAGACUUAACUUAAAACUUUUAAUUUUGUCAUUGUUAAAACUCUCAAUAUAUUUCAAGUUGUCCUUAAAUAUAUUAAGACGUUUUUCCUUCUCUAAGUUGCUCUCAUAUUUUCGACUGUAAUCAACUAUCCAUUGCUCAUGUUUGUCAACAAUGGCGCUUUCAUUAAUUGUUCGAGACUACAUGACAAGUGAUAAUGUAAAUGUCCAUAAAAUUAAAAACAAAACGCCAUGGAUUAAACUCAUCAUCGUUUUGCAGUAUAUGCAGAGACACAGCACUAAUUUAAGGUUUUUAUUUUUCUUUGCUAAUUGCUAAACUGUGAAGAAUUAGCACAUGCAUGUGAGUAUAUAUAUGAUUGUUUUUUUUUCAUCUUAUGAAAUAUCUGCAUAAAAUGCUAAUGAAGUCAAAAUUUUAAGUAAAAUUUGAAACUUUUCUAUAAGAAAAAGUGUCAGUUUUUUAAAGAAAAUUUUACUUAUAGCUAGCAAAAUCCAAAAUAUCAUUUUUCAAAAUCACAUGCUGAGAAAGAAAAAAAAGAAUCAAAAUAAUGUAAUUUGAAUCUCUUAAUUAUUUUAGUAAGUUUAAUUGGUGAUUCAAACUUUAGGGCACUUUUAUUUUGGUAAUCCAAAAUAAAAUCUUGCAAUUUUAUUAUUCAAUUUUUAAGGCGCUUUUAUUUUAGUCAUUCACUAGUUAAAUCUCUAAUGAUAGUUAACUUGUAUAAAUCAUAUCAUGUUCAUACUUUCGUUUUGGUCACCCAAAAAUUGUUGGACAAAACACGUUAACGAACAAAUACAAAUAUAAAUAAUUAUAUUAAAUGAAAGAUCUGAACAAGUAAUAUAAACGGAUAUUUAUAUUUAUGAAAAAAAACACAGAAUUAAAUAAAACAAGUUAAAUAAAUAUUUAUAUUUAAAAUAUCAUAUACGGAAAACUAAUUAAAUAAAGAAGAUUAUGAAAUCAGAAACUAAAUAAACAAGAUAGAUUUGGCCGCUCCUAUGGUACUUGGAGAAACGUUGGUCAACUGUCUCUCAGGAUACAACAACAAGAUGAUCGAAGCAACAAUACCUCUGCAGCGAUCAACGAACAAAUCUUGCCUUCCUCUAUCAUGGGAACGUAUGAAAAUAUGGAGAGAAAAGAGAAGAAUUUUCGAGAGCAAAAUAAUUUCGUUGUGUGUGCGUAAAAAUUCUGAAUUUUUUUUUAAACUUUUAUAGGCAUUCAAUAUGGAGGAAUUUUGAAAAUUUUCCAUGAAUAAAGAUACAAAUCUGAAUUAAAGGAGCCUUUAAAUCAAUUUGAAUAAAAUAAAAUAAAAUAAAAUCAAGAUAUAUGUCCUUUUAAAAACAGAUUCUGUAUAAUAUCUGUUGAAAAAAAAUAAAUUUUGUGUUGGGUUGUAAAAUAUUCGCAAGCCCUAUCGGUUUGAACAUUUCACGUCGCCCACGUCGAACGAGUGUGCCCCAACCCUGAUGGGUUUGGAUCUGCAUCCCUUACGCGCAAAGCAAGAUUUCAAGCUUAGUCAUUCAAUAAUUUUUCAAGUGUGUUCUCAUAUAUAUACAUAUAUCACACUUGGUAUUUAACCAAUGUGAGAUCUAAGUUUUUCUUUUCUUCAACAAAUAUUCACAAGUAGCUUACUUUGAGCAUCAAUUUCUCAUUCAUCACUCAACCAUUUUGAGCUUAUGAUAUACUGUUGUUAAGGUCUCAUGGAGUAGAAUAUAAAACCGUAAUUUUAUGAUUCAACUCUCCACCUUUGCCAAUUGAGAAUAAGCCUCAAAGUUUCAAAAAAAAAACAUUUUUCCAACAAAAAUAUCUUUUUUUUUUAAAUUUGACCGGGGUAAUAAACAUUAAGGAUUAAAGUGAAAAACGAUAGAAACUAAAAUAAUGUUUUAAAAAUUGUCAAAUUGUACUUGUUUACCACAUUGUCGAAAGUUUUAAUUUUUUUUCAAUAUUGAAAGUUUAAAUUUCAAAACAUAAAAAUCAAUUAAAUAAGUUAUUGAAAACUUUUUAUCCCUUGAUAAUGUUAACCGAUUUGUUAAAUUAAUUAAUUUAGUCUCCUUUUAAAUCUUAUAUUUUAUUUUAUGUUUUCAAAUUAAAAUCAACUCAAAUAAAUUAUUUUUAAUAAUUGUAAAUGAAACUCAUUUUUUUAUUAUAUGAUCUCGAGUCUUUCCUACUAAGCUAAAAACAAAGAAAAUUCAUUGCAAUUAAUUAAUUACAAUGAAUUUUCUUUGUUUUUAGCUUAGUAUAAAAGAUUCAAGAUCAUAUAAUAAUAAAAUUUUAAGUUUCACAAACAAUUAUUAAAAAUGAGUUAACGAGUUGAUUUCAUUAUGAAUAAUAUAGAAACAUAAAAUAAAAUUUUAAAAUUUAGAAGGAUAUUAAUUAAUUAAUUUCAAUAUUACAAUAACAAAUCAGUUAAUAUUAUCAAGGGAUAAUUUUUUAUUAAUUUUUAAUUGAUUUUUAUAUUAUGAAAUUUAAAAUUUCAAUAUAAAAAAAUUCAAAAUUUUCGGUAAUGUGAUAAACAAAUACAAUUUGUCAAUUUUUAAUAAAUUAUUUUAGUUUCUACCUUUUUCACUUUAAUCCUUAAUUUUUUUAACCCCAAUCAAUACUUAAAAAAAAUAUUUUUUUGGGUGGCCAAAAUGAAAGCAACCUAGAAGUUGGUCUAAUCUGUGGUCUAACUCUCUCAUAAUUGUUACGUUAUCAGUGAUACUAUAACCGUCAAUUUUUCAAAAUUAAAUUUUUAACAAAUAAAAAUAAUUUACUUGAAAUUGAAUUUUCUGAAACAUAUAAAUGUUGAAGGAAAUAUUUGGCAACAUAUUUAAUUUUACGUCUUGUAGCAAUUGUAGUAAACAAUAGUACCAGCUAAGGAUGCAUCACAUCAUGCAAACAACAAAAUUCAAACAUUCUUUAAAUCUCAAGGAAUGCUUAUAACAGAGUGCAAACAACAAAGUAAAUGCUGACAACAAUUAGACAAUAAAACAAGACAAAAGCACUUCCACAAAGAUGCAUCACAUCAUACGAAUAAGUUGCUUGUUUAUAGGCAAAAUAUGACAGCUUUCUCAGGUAGCUUUGUGAAGAUAAAAUUAUCAUUUUAGUUGUAUGAUUAUCCUGGAUAAAGAUCUCUAAUAUUUAUCUAAAAAUAAAGUCUUCUAAGCCAAGUUAAAUUAGCAGGUUUAAUUACAUGUAGUAUUGCUUAUUUGCAAUUGUUGGCAAUCUAAGAAAAAAAUAUAACAUGGCUCUUUUUGCUAGGGCGAUUAUAGUCUUUUUACUCUCGAUUGUCUGUGACUCAGUCUCUCUCUCAGUUGUAAUGACAUAUAGCAUCACUUAUUGCAAUUGCAUGACACUCUAAGAAAAAGAUGUAAUAUGGCUCUCUUCGCUAGGGUGAUUAUGGCCUUUUUACUCUCGGUUGUCUGUGACUCAGUCUCUCUCUCUCUCAGCCGUUACGUGAUCAGUGACACUAUAUCUGUCAAUUCUCUAAAAUUAAUUUUUUAGCAAAUAAAAAAAAAUUAGUUGAAAUAAAAUUUACCAAAACAUAUAAAUGUUUAAGGAAAUAUUUAAAAACAUAUUUAAUUUUACAUCUUGCGCCAAUUGUAGAAAACAAAAGUACCAGCUAAAGAUCGAGGGGCAAGGGUAAGAGAUGACAUAUAAAUGUUAUAAUUAAUUUGAUUUUAUUUCAUGUCAUUGCAUGCCUUUGGUGAAAAUGGUGUUUUGUCACGUUUCUAUUCAUCAAGAUAUAUAGAUCAUUAUUUACUACCAUACUGUUGACAAUUUUUUUCUCAGUGGAGGUAAAAUAAUACAAACCGAUAAAGACGUUGGAUCGACCAACCUCUUUUAAGGAUAACAAGAUUACAACAUACUUUAAAAGGAAAAAUCCUUUUAAAUAAAAUGGUCUCGAUAUACUUACUUUCGCAAAGGCAAAAAUCCUCCACUCAAGCAGGUCUCGAUAUACCGUUAACAGUUAAUUGCAGUGGUUAUCUUUGGGCAUUUGUUCAUUUUCUUCUUGCUGAAUUUUGUUGGUAAGAUACUGAAUUCGUUUGUAUUUUCGCCACACGUCUUGAGUUCUGAAUAUUGACAUAAAAUCGAACUUCAGUUCUGUUUUCGCAGGUUGGCAUACGUAUUUUUGGAUAGCAUUCAUUCCCUUCAUUGUAAGUUGAAGUACUUGCAUGUUGAAUAAGCUAGGCAGGCAUGUUAGCAUAUAUUUCACAAUGCUUCUUUUUUUAGACUUUGGCAGCUUUUACUUGCUGUUGGCACCAAGUUGGAACAUAUAAUCACUCAAUUAGCUCAAGAGGUAGCUGAGAGACUUAAUAUAAGUGUGUAUAAGUGUGUAAACUGGGACUUAGCAGAUUCAUCCUGAGACUUAAUGGGAGUGACGGUACCUUUCUUUCUCCAAUCGAUGCUCGUCGGAACAUCUGAGAAGCUUUCAUACAUUAAUAAUGUUGAUUGGAACAUAGUGAGGUUGUCUUGUAUCUUGUAUCUAGUGUGAAAUACAAUGAAUUCAUCAUGUGUCAUGUCUGCAAAUUCAUUGAGACUUAACUUAGAACUUUUAUUUUCAUUAUUGUUAAAAUUCUCAAUAUACUCCAGGUUACCCUUAAAUAUAUUAGGACGCUUUUCUUUCUCUUUUUUACUCUCAUAUUUUCAACUGUAAUCAACAAUGCAUUCUUCAUUUUUGUCAGCAAUGACGUUUUCAUGAAUUAUUCGAGAAAUGACAAGAAAUAAUGCAAAUGUCCAAAAAAUUAAAAACAAAAAGGCAUGGAUUAAACUCAUCAUCUUUUUGCAGAGAUACGACACUAAUUUAAGGUUUUUAUUUUUCUUUGCUAAUUGCUAAAUUGUGAAGAACUAACACAUGCAUGUGUGUAUAUGUAAGAUUGUUUUUUUAAAGAAAAACUCAUCUUAUGAAAUAUCUGCAUAAAAUGCCAAUGAAGUCAAAUUUUUAAAUAAAAUUUGAAACUUUUCUAUAAGAGAAAGUGUCAGUUUUUUAAAGAAAAUUUUACUCAUAUGUUAGCAAAUCCGAAAUUGACAUUUUUCAUAAUCACAUGCUUUGAAAGAAAGAAAAAAAAUCAAAAUAAUGUAGAAUCACUUGAAACAGUAAAAUAAUUUAAGCUAACAUGCAAUGAAUAAAUCUCUAGUUUAUUCGAGGAGAACUUCUUUUAAGUAAUUUAUUAAUUUUGCCGAGCUUGUAAAAUCACUUAGUUUUGCAACGAAGUUUCUUAAUAUAAUGUUUCGCAGAUGGACUUAUUAUAAUCUAAAAAUGAUAAACAGUUAAAAACCAAAAAUAAAGUCCAAAGUCCAAACCCAAAAUCUAUCUCAAAAGUCUAAAAUAGUCCAUUAAAAUCAAAACAGAGUAAACUUAGUUAGAAGAAUCACAAAAUUAAAUAUGUUUAACCGAGUCGCCCUGGCCCAUCUUAUGUUUGAGAGUUACUUGAAAGUAAACAAAUAAAGUAAACUUACAAGCUCAAUGUAUAACUUAUUAUAAUUUAAACAAUAGAUACGACAGGCUACGCCUCGUCCUCCCCCUCAUUCACAUCAUCCCCUUCCAAAAUUCAUUCGGAAUGGCCUUCUUCGCCAGUAUAUGGGUAAAACACAAUGUCCCUAACAUCAUCACAUGCCAUUUUUUCCCAUAUAUUGAGUAAGUAAACUACCUUUCUUGUUCCAUUUUUAUAACAGGUGCAAUAAGGUUUCAACUCAUGCAUGACGGGCCAAGUUCGUUUUGUUAUACCCAGACUAGUUGUUGAAAAUUGGCCAACGAUGCUGCUGUUAUAUUUUUGGUUAACUGCAUGCAGCUUGUAAACAUACUGCAGCACGUAUGCUUGCUGUAACAACAAGGCUGUUUAGUUACUUUGUUAAGCUACUUAGUUGAAAAUGAACUAAGUUGGUAUUGUUUUGAUGUUUUUAGGUGCUGAUUGACAUAAUCAGCUUGUGUGCAAGUUAAGUUUUACUUGUUUCAAAGUAUGAUUAGUGGUAGUAGGUAGUAUUUGGGGAUGUAUUUGGCUAUAAAUGUAUUGUUUUUUCUAGUUGAAUGAAUGAGCAAAAAGAGCUAUCAGCCAUAAUCUCCCUUCCUGCACAUUGUGAGCAAGUAAAAAGAUUUCUUGCAUCUUGCUUCAUUAUUCUGUGCUCUCUGUUUUAUUCCUUUGCUCCUCCUCAUCCCCAACACUAGUUAUUGGGUAUUAAGAUAACAAAGAAACUUGGUUUCUUUUGUGUUGCCAAAUGAUAUUUUCAAGUAUUUAUGUGAUCUUUUAUGUUCAUUGUCAGGGUUUUCGUUCAGUUCGUCUCAGUUAUAGUACCCUGCCACUAUAUGCAUUUGGCACACAGGUAACAAAUAUUCGGGAAGGGCUGAUUGGAUGGGUUCGGAAGGCAAAAAAGAAGAAUAAGGGCAGUGGUACCAGAAGGUCGUUGAAUGAUAGUAGCCAAGUUGGUCCAAAACAGGAGUCACCUUUGGUAUGUGAGAUGGAUAAGGUUAAUGGAAAGGAGUCUUCUUCAUCUGCAGUAUGAGUAUAUAACUAUGGAGAUUUGAGUCUAAGGGUGGGUUUGGUUGGGCGAUUGGAUGCAGUGCGGUGCGUUUAGUUUAUUUUUUGUCUCACUCUACAGUAUCGCUAUAGUGUCUAAUCUCACCGCUGCCGCUAUUUUUACACUAAUUGCAGGUAAACGCACCGCUCAUCCAAACUCACCCUAAAUAAAUUUGUAGAUUUGGUGUUGGGCUAUACUAACGUUAUUAGUCCCAAGCAGUUAGAGAGAGGGUUUUUUUUCCAUGAUGGUACAAAGAAUACAUUAGCCAAUACAUUGUAUUGAAGCACUUAUUCUUAGGCUUUGUUAACCAUUGACGUUGAAAAAUGGUCUAAAUUCAAUACUUCAAAUUCAAUACCAACAACACUGCUCAAACCUUUCACAAGCUCUCUACAAAUACUUAAAAAAAAUAUAUCAGAGGGACCUUAAUUUCACAAGUAACACACUUUAUAAAAUCAUAUUUCACUAGUUGUUAUAAUGCUGACUAAACUCUUAAAAAAGCUCCAUCACGGCUAAACAUGGAAGUAUUAUCACAAAAGCUAUUAUAGCAUUAUCACAAAAGCUAUUAAAGGGUAAAAGUACAACCUUUUAUUAGGAGUUAGAUUGCAUUUUUCCUCUUCUACUCUGAAAAUUGAUAAAUUAGUCCCUAUACGUUAGAUCAAAAAGCAAGAUGAUCAUUUGUUUUAAAAAUUUCAUUCCUUUUUACAAUUAAUAAUGGGUGUAUCGGACAGAAUAACCAGACAGUGACAUAUGACAUGCCACUAGUAUCUUAUGCUAAUGUAUAGGAACUAGUUUUUAACAAUAAAAAUGAAUUAAAUAUUUAAUAAGAUGACUAAUUUACUCUUUAAUCUAACAUAUUGGGACUAAUUUUCUCAUUAUAUGAGCCAAAAUGUAAUCUAAUUUUCAAUACAGAAGCUUUCGUAAUACUUUUAGUGCUACUAAAGUGACUGAAGUACUUGUGUCUGAUUUGUAUACCUCUUCACCAAAUUAAUUAUAAGAGGAAGAAUUAAGGCUAAAAGAAUAAGCAUGAAGCCCAAGCAAACCACUUGGUGUAAAAGGAGAGAGUUUGAUAAUAGUCAAUUGCUACGCAAUGGGUAGUUAAGCCAACAACUUUCUAAUGACAUGUAGCAUGGCUUAUUUGCAAUUGUUGAUAGUCUAAGAAAAGGAUGUAACGUGGCUCUUUUUGUUACAGCGAUUAUGCUCAUUUUACUCUCAGCUAUCUGUGGUUCAGUCUCUCUCUCUUAAUCAUUACGUGAUCAGCGACCUUAUAACCGUCAAUUCUUCAAAAUGAUUUUUUUAGCAAAUUUAAAAUUCACUUGAAAUUAUAUUUACCAAAAAAUAUAAAUGUUUAAGGAAAUAUAUGGCAACAUAUUUAAUUUUACAUCUUGUGCCAAUUGUAGUAAGCAAUAGUACCAGCUAAAGAUUGAGGGACAAGAGUAAGAAAUGACAUGUAGCAUUGAUUAUUUGCAAUUGUUGACCGUCUAAGAAAAAGAUGUAAUAUGGCUCUUUUCGUUAGGGCGAUUACAGUCGUUUUACUCUCGACUGUCUGUGGCCCAGUCCCUCUCUUAGUCGUAAUGACAUGUAGCAUGGCUUAUUUGCAAUUGUUGACGGUCUAAGAAAAAGAUGUAAUAUGGCUAUAUUUGCUAGGGCAAUUAUGCUCUUUUUACUGUUAGCUGUCUGUGGCCCAGUUUCUCUCUUAGUCAUUAUGUGAUCAGUGAUACUAUAACUAUCAAUUCUUCAAAAUUAAUUUUUUAACAAAUAAAAAAAAAUUCACUUGAAAUUGAAUUUGCUGGAACAUAUAAAUGUUUUUAAAAAAUAAUUGGCAGCAUAUUUAAUUUUAUGUCUUGUGCCCAUUGUAGAAAACAAAAGUACCAGCAAAGGAUUGAGUGGCAAUAGUAAGAAAAGACAUAUAAAUGUUAUAAUUAAUUUGAUUUUAUUUUAUGUCAUUGCAUGCCUUUGGUGAAAAUGGUGUUUUUGUCACGUUUCUAUUUAUCAAGAUACAUAUCAUCAUAUAUUAUCGUAUCGUUGACAGUUUUUUUCUCAGUCGUGGUAAAAUAAUGAAAACUGGUAAAGACGUUGGAUCCACCAACCUCUUUCAAGGAUAACAAGACUACAACGUACUUUCAAAGGUAAAAAUCCUCCACUUAAACAGGUCUAUAAGAUAUUAAACAAAAUUUACCACCUGACCCUAAAAAAUGAAGGCCGAUAUACCUGUUUUCGCAAUGGCAAAAAUCCUCCACUCAAGCAGGUCUCAGUAUACCAUUAACAGUUACUUAAUUGCAGUUGGUAUCUUUGGGCAUUUGUAGUCAUUUUCUUCUUGCUGAAUUUUGUUGGUAAUACACUAAAUUCGUUUGUAUUUUUGCCACACGUCUUGAGUUCUGAAUAUUGACAAAAUGGAGCUUCGGUUCUGUUUUCGCAGGUUGGUAUACGUAUUUUUGGAUAGCAUUCAUUCCCUUCAUUGUAAAUUGAAGUACUUGCAUGUUGAAUAAGCUAGGCAGGCAUGUUAUCAAAUAUUUCACAAUGCUUCUUUUUUUACACUUAGGAAGCUUUUUCUUCCUGUUGGCACCAAGUUGGAACAUAUAAUCACACAAUUAGCUCAAGAGGUAGCUGAAAGAGACAUGGUGGUGACAGGUGAAUUGGUGGUUCAACCUUCAGAUAACCAUUUCUGGUUCAGCAGGCCGCGCCUCGUCUCCGCCUCAUUCAUAUCAUCCUCUUCCAAAAUUCAUUCGAAACGACCUUCUUCGCCUGGAUAUGGGUAAAACACAAUUAGCUCAAAUUCCUUGCAUUGAUUGAUAUGGGUAGCUUUCUUCGGUGGUUAUUCCUUGACUUUGGCUGAUGUAUUCGAAAGCAUCCGUCAUCCAUCCUCCUUUACAAGCUCCGUAUCCUUCAUUUGUGCUCCAAUCCAACAGUUGUUACUCAGAUAAUGAGAUUAAUUUACCAGUUUUAUUUGGAUUAUCCCUUCAAUGGCUGCCACUGCUGAAAAUGCCCAAGAACAUGCGACAAAAGUAAACCAACAAUAACCCUUUGUUAAGUAAGUAUAUAUACUAGCAUUAGUGUUUUUUUCUAUCAAUCGAGCACCAUAUCAUUUCAAUAGAGAAAUAUGAUUUUUUUUAAAAAAUAUAUUGAAAGGUUUAAAUUUUUUAUAUUGCACAAAUAGUUUAACAUUUUAAUAUACUCAAAAUUUGAAGCACAGAAUUUGAAAUACGAUUGUAAAGGCCUAAUUUCAUCCGGCCCGAAACUAAAAAUAAAUAAACAAAACAUAAAAACCAAAAAAUAAAAAGUCCAUUUACAAAAUAAUGACCCAAAUAUAAAACCCAAACCCAAACCCAGUGUUACAUAAGCUCAAGCUCAACUAACCUAAAGUUUUUCAAAAACCCUAAAACCCUAGGUCCUGCUCUCGCGUCGCUCCUUGACACGUCAAUAGGCGCCCCUCUCGAAGACACCCACACCCCAGGGUUUGCUCCUCUACCACCCUUGCACCAAAAUGACAAAGGCAUGGAUCUCUCCCCGCCGUUGACCGCGCAUCGCCGCCUGCAAUGAGAAAGAAAUAAAGACAUAAAUAGGAAGCAAAAACAGCAGAAAGGACAGAAGCAAAAAAAGAAAACACAAAAACAAACACGAAAAUUUGUAAUCACUUGGCUAUAAAAAGCUGGAUAAACAGAUUGUAAAAUGGAUAGAAAAUACGAAGAACAAUAAAACAUUUAAAACAAAGGUGAUCCUUUUGUUUUAUUCUUUUAUAUUUCGAAAAAGCAUAACAAAUAGAAAAAUAAAACCUGUUUACCUGAGUCCCAUCACCUUCCUCUACCGUUGGGGGUCUUCUCCGACGUGGAAAGCUCUAGAACCUUUUAGGGUUUGGCCUGGGCUUCGACGGAAUGGGGUACAAAAGGCUCGUCGGCUAGGUGAAAGGGUCAAAAACUUUUUUUUUCUUUUUCUUUGCUAACGGAAGGCUUUCCCUUAAGAUCUAGCUGAAAAGGGACUUAAAAGGGCCGUUUUUGUGUAACUCCAGCCACCGGAGGUGACAAUUGCUGUCGUCAAUGACCGGUGGCCACGGAAGGCUUCCGACAGCCCUUUGGCCGGAUCCUAGGCCUUGAUUUCAAAGAAAAAAGGGAGAAAGGAGAGGAUUUUUUUAAAAAAAAAACACGGAAGAAGUAUUUUUUUUUAAAUUUUUGGCUUUUAUAGCCCUCCAAAACGGUGCCGUUUUGGGAUUGGCCUCAGACGCCCAAAGCGGCAUCGUUUUGGCGUGACCCAAAACCUGACUCGAAUCACUCCCCAGGAUCCGCGUGUUUUGUAGAAAGGGAAUAUUUUUAGUUUUAGUCCUUCCGCUUUUUAAAUGAUUUUCAAUUUUGUCCAACUGUUUAGUUUUUUUUAUUUUCGCUAUUUUUUUUGUUUUUGUUGCAAUUUAGUUCCUCGACCACUGUGGACCCAUUUAGGGGAUGAUACAUGUGCCAAGGCUUGGAAUAAUUACCCCUUUGGACCCUGCUCCUUUUCACGCAUCACAUUUUUGUCAUUUAUUCAUUUAUUUUAUUACAAUUUAGGCUUUUAAUGUCAUUUUAAUUCUGAUUCAGUCCUUGGUUUAUUUAAUUUCAAUCUUUUUAUGAAUUAUUUUAUUUAUUACUUUUUUACCUUUCUUUAAUAUUCAAAAUUCGUGUUAUUUAUAUUUCCAUUUUAUUGUGCAUUAUUCGUCUUUAUUAUUAUUAUUAUUUAUUAUUCAUGUUAAUAUUAUGAUAGUAACUAUAAUAUAAUUAUCGGUAUUAUUUCUAUAAAUUGCUAUUUUUUUACUAUCAUUAUAGUUGUAUUAUCAUCACUCACUAGCAUAACAUUUUUAUUUUUAUUUUAUUGAUUUAUUUGUUCAUUGAUUUACUUGCUUAUCAUUUUGAUAUCAUCUUUGCCUUUUUUCUCGUUACUAUAUUACUUUAUUUUGCUAACAUCCGUGUCGAGUAUCGCGUUAAAAUAUAUUUGUCCAUUUUAUUACAAGGCCUAGAUAAAUAAAAAAGCAUAUUGUUAAAAGCUUGCAUUCAUUUUAGCAUAUGAAUAGGAAAUAUUUAAAAAAAAAGGCAAGGUUAAUUUUUUUGGAACUAGAGGAGCCGUGCUCCUGAGUUACGGAGUAUGGUCUCUUUCUCAAACCGAAAUAGUUGAAUAUCUAUUCUAAAAAUAUAAAAAAAGGAGAUUUAAGUAAUAUCUAAAUGGGGAUUAUUCUCAUUUUUGAGGGUUUAAGGCAUCGUGUCCUAACUUACGGGGCACGAUCUUUUCUUCUCGAUUAACUUGAAAUAAGCCCUUUUUCGUGAAAAUCAAUUUAGUUAAGCGAUAUUUUAAUAUCAUGCAAAGAGGGAUCAUAUUUUAAGUUUGCUUCAAAUUUUUAGUUUUCGACAUCAAAACAUUAAGUAACCGACUAGGUACCAAUUUUAGGCAUUAUGAGUGUGCUAAUCCUUCCUCAUACGUAACCGACUCCCGAAUCCACAUUCUUGGAUUUCGUAGGCUAAAAAUUACCAUUUUAGAAAAAUCCAGUCUUUUACUAAGAUGGUUAAAAUUUGAGGUGACCCGAUUACACCUAAUAAAAAGGAUCGGUGGCGACUCCAUUUUCAUUUUAAAAUAAAAAGUCGAUUCAAAAAGGGUUUCGACAGCUUGGUGACUCCAAUAAGGACAAAAUAAAGUCAAGCCGCGAGUUGAUUACUUUUUGGUCUUUUUGUCGAAAGUUGAUAAUUUAGUUUAAAUUAACGAUCCCUUCAUUGCAUUUCAUCCUUCAUGUUUUACAUUUGAUAGCUCGAGUUAUAUAACGGUUUAGUACAUCUAUUUUAUUGGUUCGAGAUGUUUCAUAUGUAUUGCAUUGCAUAAUCGUUCGGGAAGCUAUUCCUUCGUGAGAUCUUCACCUCCGUAUAGGAUAGUGGAUCGCUUUCAGGAUACAUUCGUACCUAUGUCUUCGUGAGGUCUUCACCUCCAUAUAUCCAUAGGGAAAUGUAUUCCCUUGAACCGAACUUGGUCUAUAUGAGCCUAUAAUGGGCGAGGAUUGAAGAAUCUAUUGGUUCAGGUACCCUUACUUUAGAACCGAGCCACAUAUAAUGAGCUCUAAGAACCUACCUGAAGUAGAACCAUACCAAACCUCUAGUGGCCAUCCGAAUAGAUGUUCUAUUUAUUAUUUCUUGCUUUGUAUUAAAGCUUUGUAUAAAUGUACUGAAUUGUUUCAUUUUGGUUGUGAUUGCAUUGCAUUUUCAUCAUAGAAAAGGGUGUUGAUUCGAAUUCAGUUUUUAAAUAGAGAGCUUGUCAUGGAAAAAAAGAUUUCUUGAUAAAGUGGAAGAUAAUGCGACAGUCCGAAGAUGGUCUGAGAAAACACAACAAGAGAAGGACGACAGCCUGACAGAGGGAUAUAUGUCAGAAUUAUGGGAUUUCACUUGCAUUUGUGUAACUCGAAAUAAUCUCCAAGAGUUGAAAGAAAUAUGAGACUAAUGGGAUGACGAAACCAAGCAGUUAUUUUACCGUGACUAUGGUGAUUUACCUUACUUACUUGAUGUCAAAGUGGAUAAACACUUAUUUUGAGCAAUAUUGGAAUCUCGCCUAUAGUUACUUCACUUUUGGAAAGGUAGACUUGGUGCCCACCGUAAAAGAGUACACAACUCUGCUUCGUUGCCCGAGGAUCCAAGCUGACAAAGCUUAUUUUGGAGCCGCCAACAUCCCAACUUUCUUAAAGAGGCUAAUAAGCAUAACUGGGAUGAACGAGCAAUGGGUUGCAGCCUGAAUUAAACAAAAAGGAGAUAGUAAAUGCAUCCAUUGGAAAAGUUUGCGGGAAUUGAUCUUGGCACAUUCGGAUACAAAGAAAAUAGUCGAUGUCUUCACUUUGAAUAUUUAGGGUUGGUCAUCUUCCCCAAAGCACCAGGGCACAUAGAUGAUAUAAUUUUAGAUCUAUUUGACCGGCUUGACAAAAGGGUCCCACCCAUCCCGAAAAUUUUGGUUGAAACUUUCAGAUCUUUAAGUGCGUGCCAGAGAGCAGGUGAAGGAAGAUUUAUCGGGUGUGCACAACUCUUUUUAUCCUGGUUCCAUAGCCACUUUUGCAAGGUAGAAAAAGUCUCUUAUCGAGUAUUCUCCGAGAACUACUAUCCGUUGAAAGAAUUCAUGGCUACCACAAGGCGAGACAACAUUUCGGAGGAAAAGUGGAUGGCAAUUCUCUAGAGUCUCUAAGACGAAGACGUUGAAUGGAGGGCCCUUUGGAUGAUCCCUGAUGAAAUUUUACACUAGGGUGGAGACUUCGACUGGGUUCUUCUACUCGAGAUAUAGAGAUCUAUUGGAUAUGCCAAUUUACUUGUAUUAAGGUAGUAUAGGUCGAGGCAGUUUAUACUAGCGAUGCAAGGGUUGGCUCAAUGUGAGUUUGCGUACAAAGGUGAUGAUUACAAAAAUAAGGUUCGUGAAAUAUCAAACACUUGGAACCAAACUCAUACAAUGAAAAGAUUUGCCGUAAAUCCCAUGACGACCCCCAAAUGUGAUUGAUGGUGAGGUAAAUGAAUCAAUGAUAAUAUCCCUAUGUCAAGUCAAGAAAACACUCGGCCAAUAGAAGAACAGUUACAAGUGAUCUCGUCUGAGUUGGAGAUCAUAAAGCAAGACUUUGAAAAGAAGAGUUCAGAGUUAGGGAAAAGGAUAGAAAAGUUGGAAUAGGAAAAGGUUCAGCUAGGAUUAGACAUCGACAUCUAGAAGUUAGAAGCUAAGAAAAUGAGAAAAGGAAAGACCAAGGCUGAGGCAGACUUGGAUAGCUUAAAAACGAAUUAUAAGAAACUACGUUUGUCGAUAAGGACUUCCGAGUUGGGUAAAACAUCAGAAUAAUGGCGGUAAGAAAUCCAAGAAGAAAAUAUUAGAGCUGAUUAGUGGGAACAAAAUUCCAAGAUGCUCGAGCUCGAGAAGAUGCUCUAAAAAGGAAUUUGUUAGAAAGCUAAAGUGAAAAGGUGAGAUUGAGAGCCCGGGUAGCAGAAUUAGAAAUGUCACUGCAUCAAUAUCGUAGUUGUAACUCUGUGAUUAAGUUGAAAGCAAGCCUGAACAAGAUUAAAGAGUUGAAGGGAAAGAUAGAAGAACUCUAGGCCAUACUACAAAAUUGUGAACUUCGAGUUGAGCUUAUUGAAACAAACAAUGAACAUUCGAAAAGCAACUCUAACAAUCUCAAGGUUAGACCAGGGAUAGAGGUCACAUCAUGGGCGAAACUUUAAUUCAAGUACGGGAAGUAGCUGACCAUUUGCAAACCCUAGCAGUUCAGGCUAACAUGUUGAGCUUGAGAUAUGAAUCAGAAUCAGAUCGAGGCCAAGAAUUAGCUUGACUCCUUAGAAAAGUUAAGGCUUUGAGUAUUAGGGCAAGGUCGUAUAUGUAAAAUAUAUCCAUUUUAUAUAAAGAGAUUUGUUUUCUAGUAAAGUUGUUCUAGUAGAAUUGAAUCAAAAUCAAUGCCUCCUUUUGCAUUAAUUUUUCACUCAUCAGCAUUACAUUUCAUUAUAUUCAUUAAAUUUAAAAAAAGAGACCCUAAUUAAUAGAAAUUAUGACAGUUACCCUAGAAACUAACAAGAAUUUUCAAACCAAAUAUCGUUACGGUACCCGCGAUAAAACCAAAGCCAUGGAUCAAAGGUUAGAGAUAUUGGAACAAAUUCAGAAAGACAUGGAAGAUCAGUUGCAAGCGUAGCUGCAGGAACAAUUAGCUAAGGUAUAGCAAGACAUGAGAGAUCAAAUACAAGAGUCCCAACGAAGCAUAAUAAGCCAGCUCACCCAAUUGCUGGCCGAAAAGAUCAAAAAGGGAAAAGUAUUGUAAUUAACUCUGGGGAUGAUAAUGAAGACCCCACAUACCUCUCAAGCUUUACCCCGUUGAAUGUCCAAGCCUAACCAAUGAAAGGUACCUGUUACCAUAAGACCACAACAAUACCAGGCCAGCACUUCAGCAGUGGUGAACUAUUCAACGAGUUCAGGUUCUAAUCCUGGAGAUAAUCUGACCAACUCUGUCGUUCCAGAUUUGGAUGACUUAGCAGAAAUGGAUAGAGUAAAAGUAGAAUUGCCAAAACAACUAGAAGAUCGGUGCAAGUGGUUGAAGGAGAAAUUCAGAGCUAUGGAGAACGUUGAUUACCUUUGCUGGGUUAAUGCUAAGGAUUUGAGCUUAAUCCCAGAUCUAGUGCUCCCACUAAAAUUCAAGACUCCAGAAUUUGAAAAAUACAAUCAGACUAGUUACCCUAAAGCCCAUAUCACAAUGUUUUGUCGAAAAAUGAUAGGAUACGUUAAUAAUGACCAAUUGUUAAUCUAUUGCUUCUAAGAUAGUUUGAUCAGGUCGACUGCCAAAUGGUACAAUCAGUUAAGCCAUACCAAAAUCAACUCAUGGAAAUACUUGGAAUAGGCUUUCAUGAAAUAAUAUAGUCAUGUGACCGACAUGACACCCGAUAGAAUUACGCUGCAAAACAUAGAGAAGAAGCCAAGUGAAAGCUUUAGGCAUGACACUCAGAGAUAGAGAGAGGUGGCAACGCAAGUUCAGCCACCUCUUCUGGAGAAGGAGACAACAAUACUUUUCGUAAACACUCUGAAAGCCCCGUUCAUUAGCCACAUGUUGGGAAAUGCUACCAAGAGCUUCUCAGAUGUAGUAAUGUCUGGAGAUAUGAUUGAAAAUACAGGAGUGGGAAAAUAGACGUGGGGGAAAACGCUAAAAGAUUUACCCUGAGAAAGAAAUAAAAUGCAGUAAACACCGCAAGUGUGUAUAAUAAAAGCUAUUCAAAACUGGUCACCGUAGGCCAACCAAGGACUGUGACAACCAGCCACCAAGAUCUUUCGACGCAAGAGUCAACUCAAGGCCAAAUAUGAAAAAACUCUAACGCACACCCAUCUCGAUGACAUAUAGGGAGUUAUAUCAGAAUUUGUUCGAUGCGCAUGUGGUAUUCUUGUUUUACUUAAAACCCACGCAACCUUCGUUUUUAAAAUGGUAUGAUGCGAUUGCUUAAUACGAGUACCACGUAAGAAUAAUGGGGCACUCAAUUGAGAACUACAUUGCAUUCAAAAAGUUGACUGAGAGGUUCAUCAAGAUGGGGAUCGUAAGGUUUGAUGAUCCCUUGGGACCUAAUGUGAUUGGAGAUUCGUUACCUAGUCAUUCAGACCAAGGGGUAAACGUGAUAAUAGAGAGUGGAGGAAAGGGGACCAAAACCGAUGUUGCAGAAGGAAAAGCCCCACUAAAAUAGGUUUGGCAAAAGAUAAUAGAUGUAGGAUUAAUCCUUCAAGAUUUAGAGGAGAUGCCCAAAGAGGUGAGGAGCUACUGUGUGUUCCAUGUUAAAGAAGGUCAUGAGAUCCAAGGGUGCAUUAAGUUUAGGGCUCUAGUGCAAAGUCUGAUGGAUAAUAAAGAAAUCAAAUUUUUUUGAAGAUGUUAACAGCUUGGAAUGAGGAGAUGCUUGCGCAUUAGAGGAAGGAUCAACAGAUAAAGUCUACAAGGUCAAUCACCCAGUAGUGAUUAUUUCACGACCAAUAAGUAAUAAGAUGGGAACACAAGCUGUGCCAAGAAUAAUAAUUCAGAAACCCAUGGCUUUUCCUUACAAGGAUACCAAAAGGGUUCCAUGGAAUUAUGACUGCAACGUGAUGAUCCUGAGAGAGGAAAACUCGUUUAGUACUUCAGAAGAGGGCUAGGAUAUUGGUUUCUUAAAGUGUAGUGGGAGGCGCUAUGACCCUGCAUGUGCAAGAACCGAGCCCAUUAAAGGAAAAACCCUGGUAGUUGAGCAUAAGAAAGAUAAAACAGUUAGAUGUGAAUCUUCUGUUAAUAAGCCUGUAACUGAGAAUGAGGGUAAGAAAUUUUUAAAGUUCUUAAAGCAUAGGGAGUAUAGUGUUGUGUAACAGCUACACAAACAACUAGCACGUAUAUCAAUGCUAGCUUUGCUCUUGAGCUGAGAGACAAAUCGUAGCGCGUUGAUGAAUGUGUUAAAUGAAACUUAUGUCACUGAUGAUAUCUCUAUAAACAAGCUAGACCGUUUGGUUAAUAAUCUGGGUGCCAAAAUUUUUUUCUUUUUCAAUGAUGAUGAAAUAUCUCCAAGGGGCAUGGGAUCCACAAAGGCCCUACAUAUCACUACCCAUUGCAAAGGAUAUACAUUGUCGGGAGUGUUAAUCGAAAAUGGAUCCACACUGAACAUUUUGUCUCUAUCCACACUGAAUAGGUUGCUAGUGGAUAGCUCUCAUAUGAAGACGUGCCAAAAUAUAGUGAGAGCAUUCGAUGGUACAAAAAUAAAGGUUAUGUGGAGGAUUGAAAUACCUCUCUGAAUUGGUUUGAAAACAUAUGAAGUAGAUCUUUUGGUAAUGGAUAUCAAACCCUCUUAUAACUACUUGUUAGGUAGGCCUUGGAUGCAUUCGGUUGGGGCAGUGCCUUCAUCACUACACUAAAAAUUAAAGUUGGUAAAGGAGGGUCGACUGUAACAUAAACACUGAAGAGGAUAUCAUUGCAUCCGUAACUAGUGACGCACUAUACAAAGUGUAAGCACUAAAUUUUUGUCCGACUAGAGUUUGUGUUUAAUUUUCAAAAUUUCAAAAAAAAAAAUUUAAAAAAUAAAAAUUGCAUUUUGACCCCUAAACUUUUCCUAAAUUUCAUUUAGACCCUUAAACUUUCAUUAAAUUUCAUUUUAAUCCUAAAUUUUCUAAAAAUUACAUUUAGCCCCAGAAGUUUUGCUGCAUUUGUGAUUUGGUCCUUCAGACAAGUUACGUGAUUUGGGGCACCAACUUCCCAGAUUUUCAGGCCAUAAACAUGGGUGGCUGCUCCUUCUUCACCCACUACCUGCAAACAAUGAGAAAGAGGACAAAAUUUGGAGCUUUUAAAAAGAAAAAUUGAAGAGAAGGGAGGGGGGAUUUUUUUUUGGCAGCCAAGCAUAAAAAAAAACCAGCAGACCCCCAUCAAAAAGAAGAGAAAACUUUCGGUUUGCCUAUUAGCCUACCACCGCCACCGUGACCACCCAUCGCCGAUCCGUCGUUUUCCUCUUUGCCACCAUCACCUAAAACACCCCCACAAUCAAAAACACCCACACAAUCAAAUAAAAUAAAAACAACAGGCAGAGAGAAGAAAAAGAGAAAGAAGAAAAGGGGAAGAAAAAGAAGAAAGAAGAGGAAGAAGAGAGGAGUGCCGGCACCGUCGUAUCAGGGCGGAAGAGGCGGCAGUGAAGAAGAAAGGAAAAAGAAAAAGGAAAGAAAGAGAUUUUUGAAAAAAACAAAGCAAAAAAAAAACAAAACAAAGCAGAAAAAAAUAAAAAUAGAAGCAGGCCACAGCCAGGCCUGUCCAGUAGCCAGCAGGCCCACUCCCAGGCAGCCCACACCAACAGUAGCCGACCCAGUAGGUCCCAGGCCUGUGCAGCAAGCAGCAGACCAAGCAGGCCCCCAGGCCCGAAUUCGGCAGCAGGCCCCCAGGCCCGAAUCCUGCAAAAAUAAAAGUAAAAGAAAGAGUCCACCUUUCAAGCCCAUAAUAUCAGGCCUUUGGUAAUUUUUUUUAUCUCUUUUAAUUUAGUAUAUGUAUUUAAAUGGUGUUUCAUUUAAUUUAAAGUAGCAUUUUUAAAAUAGUUUUUUUUAUAAAUAUUAUUAUGUCAUUCUACUUCCAUGUUUAAAAUUAAAAUAAUAAUAUUUUAAUGCAUAAGGCAACGAACCGAUUUAGCACCAAGCCGUUGAUUUCAUCGCUAUGUUGGGUGGAUAUCGAUAGCUCGUGUUAAAUUCGGGACCCCUUUUAAAAAUAAAAAAUAUUCAAAAAUCCUCGUGUUUCAAAAAAAAAAAAUUCUCGUAUUUUAUUAGAAUCCCGAUUAAAUAUUAAAUUGAAUUGAGUUAACACUAAUUCGAUGGUUUCAUCGCCAUAUCGGGAUGAAUAUCAUCGAUUCGUGUUAAAUACGGUAUUUUUUAAAGAAAAAUCGUGUUUCAAAAAUUUUCAUGUCUUCAAAAUUUCACGUGUUUCAAAAUAAUAAUAAUAAAAUUUCCCGUGUUUCCAAAUAUAUUCGUGUUUCUUUCUUUUAAAAAAAUCCGUGUUUCAAAAAUUCUCGUGAAUAAAAAAAUCAUGUUUUCAAAAAUUCCCGUGUUUUAAAAAAAUCGUGUUUUUAAAAAAAUUCUCGUGUUUCAAAAAUUUUCGUGUUUUCAAAAUUUUUCGUGUCAAAAAAAUUCUCCUGUAUCGAAAAUUUCCUUAUUUUCAAAAUUUUUCGUGUUUUCAAAAAAUAUUGUGUUUCGAAAAUCUUCGUGUUUUUAAAAAUUUUGGUGUUUCAAAAAUUUCCGCGUUUCUAAAAAUUCAGAUGAUUUAAAAAAUCUUCGUGCUUUCAAAAACUUCGGUGUUUCUAAAUUUUCAUGUUUCAAAAAAAAAUCCUCGUGUUUCGUAUUUUAUCAAAAAAUUUAUGUUUUCAAAAACAAAUUUUCUAUUUUAAAAAUUUUCGUGUUUGAAAAAGAAGAUUCGUGUUUUCAAAAAUAAAAAUAAAAAAUCUCGUGUUUUAAAUUCUUCGUGUUUUUAAAAAAAAAUUUUGUGUUUCUAAAAUUCUUGUAUUUUAAAAUUUUCGUGUUUUCAAAAAAAGAAAAAGCUGUUGCGCUUUAAAAUUCUCGUGUUCAAUCGGAUCACAACUAAUAUUAAAUUGAACUCGUAUUUUUGAAAAUGAAGACAACGCGCGUUUAACGAGAUACCAAUUUUGGGCGUCGCGAGGGUGCUAAUACCUUCCUCGCGCGUAACCGACUCCCGAACUCUAAUUUUCUCUGGAUCUUCACGUAGACCUAAAAUUACCUCUUUUUUAGAAAAGUUUAAAAAUAAAUUUUUCUUCUAAAAAGAGAAUUUAUUAGGUGUCCGAUCACACCUAUGAAAAAGGAUCGGUGGCGACUCCUUUUGUUAAUAAAAUCGAAAGUUGGUUUUCAAAUGUUUAAUAAAUCGCCACAAUUAGCGACCAAGCGAAACUAAUUAAAAAAAUUUUUAGGUCGCUACAGUUGGCGACUCCACUGGGGACUUUUUUUUCGAGAGUCCAGUCUAAUGUUAAACGCGUGUUGUCAAAAUUUUCAAAAUUUCUUGUUCAAAUUAACAUUUAGUCGUGAUCCUUAAAUUUUUUGUUUUAAAAAAAAUCAUGCAUUUGCAUCGUGUUGUACAUAUUCUAAUUUGUUUUAUCAGGUUGUUUUUCAGCUUUAAAUUUUUGCGAUUUUAUUUUUGGUUUAAUUUUUUCUAAAUAAAACGUAAAGGUUUACAAGUUUCUCCCCACACACCGUGCACUUGCAUUUUUUUUUUGCAUAACAUGAGCUCUAUACCCGGGCUUCGUCCCUGUUAAGAGAAAGUAAACGCUACGCCUUCGUGAGUUGACUCGUUCCUCCGCACAGGCUAGUGAAUACUUUCGGGUUACAUAUGACUUAUGCUUUCGUGAGUUAACUUGUCCCUCCGCAUAGGCAUAAGUAAAUGUAAUCCCUCGAAUUGAUCAUCGUAAGCCUAUGAUGGGCCAUGACCGAGGCUCUGUACUAAUCUUAGUAGAUGACAGUACAGACGAUUCGAGUACCCACCUAGAACCAAAACCGCAUAUAGUGAACCAUACGAGCUAUCCAAUUAGAGCCAUGCUGAACCUCUGUCCGCUUAUAGUCAUUAAAAUAAGUACACGGGGAAAAUGCCUUUUGCCUUUCAUUUACGCUGUUUAUGCAAAAUAAUUGGAUUGGGUAGUUUAAUUUGUUUUUCAAAUUAUACUUGUUGUGUUUACUAACCAAGUUUAUUUGUUUUUACUUUUAUUUUCAUCAUGCAUCAUAGGCAUCAUAUUAGGAAGGUGUUGAUUAAAAGUUGGUUGCCAAAAAAACGGGUUUCUGAUGGAGGAGUCAAUUACACAAAUAACCGAGAAGAAUGCCGUGGUUCGAGACUGGUCUCUAAAAAUUCAGAGAGAAAAGGGGGAUAGUCUAGUGGAAGGGUGUGUCGCUAAUUUGCCCGAACAUAUAACUGUAAAUGUUCGCCAAAAUAACUUUGAGGAUUUGGUUCGAAUUUGGAAUCAGUGGGAUUCAGACACUAGAGACAUUUUCACUGAGAGGUAUGGAGAUAUAGCUCACCUGAUUACCAUCCGUGUAGACGAACAGUUGAUUCAAGCCAUGGUUUGGUUCUGGGACCCAGCUUAUCAGUGUUUCACCUUCAAUCAAGAAGACAUGACUCCAACCAUAGAAGAGUAUGCUGCUUUACUCUUCAUCGACAAUGUACAAUUUGGCAAAAUAUAUGUGAAGGAGCCUAAGCCGAUGACCUUCAAGAAAAAGUUAGUGAGACUGACAGACAUGACUGAUGCAUGGGCCGAAAAACAGAUAAAGAAGAAGAAUGAAACCAUUUGCAUUUCAUGGUCCUCCCUACGAGAUUUGGCUCUGAACCAUCCCAACAUGCUGAAAAGGGUAAAUCUAUUCGCUUUGGCCAUUUACGGUUUGGUCAUUUUCCCAAAAGUUCUCGGACAUCUCGAAGUUGCAGUAGUUGAUUUCUUCGAAAGGUUAAAACAAGGAAUCAACCCUGUCCCGACCAUCCUAGCCGAGACCUUCAGGUCCCUGAGUAGUUGUCGAAGAAAAGGGGAGGGACGAUUUAUCGGAUGCGCGCAGUUGCUCAAUGUUUGGAUUUUGAGUCACUUCUGGAAGGUAGAGCGCGCUCCGUUCCAUAUGUUUUCUAAAACAUUCUCCCCGCUAGAAGCUUACCUCAAUAAAGAAUGGCCGAAGGAAGUCACCAAGCAACAUUGGGUAUCAGUUUUUCAGAAUCUUCGCGCCGAGAAUAUAACAUGGAGAGCACCCUGGAUCCGUCCUUCAGUUCUGCUAUACAAAUGUGGAAGCCAAGAUUGGGUACCUUUACUCGGGUUAUGGGGAGGAGUUGGAUAUGCUCCGCUAUUAGUCCAAAGGCAAUUUUCUUCGCGACAAUUUCUCCCCGUAACUGGAGGAUUAGCACAGUUCGAGUUCGCUUUCGCGGGUGAAGGAUAUAUGAAGAGAGUCUGAGACACUGCAAAGUAUUGGAAGGAAAUUUAUUUCAUGGAAUUAGCUUUGUAUGUUGAUACCCUUACCCGAGAUUACGACAUAUGGAGGAAGCAACGGGUAAAUAGUCAGCAAAUCUCAUCAACAAACUACACCAUCCAGAAUCCUUUCUCGGAGGAAACGCCGUCUGAGCUAGAAAUGGCAAGACAAGAAUUUGAACGAGAAAAGGCCAAGAUGUCUCGGGACCUUAGUUCCCUUCAAGAAGAAAAUUAUCAACUGAAGAUUGAAGUUCAGGUUGAAAGGUCCAGGACUGAAAAAGUACAAAGAGAAGCCGAGAUUGUGAGAAACGACUUAAGGGACCUUCAUUUGGAAAACAAGAAAUUAAGAAACACUAUAAAGAAUAGUGGGUUGGGCAAGUCGAUAGUAGAAUGGAAGGAAGAAAUUAGCAAUAUCAAGGGAGGAAUGAAGUUUUGGAAGGGAAAAGCAAAGAAAGAAGAGGAAAAGGCUGCGCGUGCUGUGAUAGAGUUAAGAAGGAAGAACGCCAAGUAUGAAAUAGUGACUGCAAAAUUGGCAAAUAGUCAGUCUGAACAUCAAGAAUUAAAAAGGAAAACACGAGAUCUAGAAAAUAUGCUGCAAUCUCGUCAACAACAAUUAGAUAACCUCUUGAAGGCUCUAGAAGAAAAGAGUGAGCAGUACGAUAGGGACAUUCACGCGUAUGAAGGAACUCUCAAAGAAAAAGAAAUGCAACUUGACUUCUUGAUCAAUGAAAUUCGUAAAGCGGCUAUACAAGUUGUUCAAUUAUCAGAUGAAGCCGAAGUUCUCAGUUGCCAAUUCCCUCCGAGUCAAAGAUCGAGCAUAUCAGAGUUUUUAGAGCAAGUGAAGAAACAAGGCAAUGUGGCUAGGAAAUUUGUGUAACUGUUGGAAAAAUGAGAACUUUGUGUAAUAGACUAUGUUGAUAAAUGAAAUGCCUAAAUAUGGGGCUAUCUUAAAAUCAACACCAAUUUCUUGCAUUUCAUUCAUAACUUACAUUCAUUUGACAUUCAUGCAUUCAUUCAUGCAUCAAUUCAUUCAUUGCAUAUCCCAUACUCGUUCGCUGAGAUUAAAGCGUACAAUUCGCAAUUGCCAGACUUCAAGACUGGAACCACGUCAUCCGUAUAAAACGCGCCGACAAGCUAGAGUAAUGGAGAAUGAAUUCAAUGAGAGAAUUGAAAGGAUGGAAAUGGCUCAAAAGGAAUUACAAGAGCAACUGGCCAAAUCGCAACAAGAGACGAGAGACCUAAUGGUGAGAUCUCGAGAGGAAUCGCUCGAGCAAAGAGAUCAGAUGGCUAAAAUGAUGGAGAUGAUGACAACUUUGGUCAAAGGAAAGGGACCCAUGCAGAACUCCGAUGUUAUGGAACCUCGGUCAAGAAUUCACCAUGAUCAAGAUCCAUUCUAUCCCCCGGGAUUCACUCCACCGCCCGCAUAUACAAUACAAAGAGGGUAUACUCAAGAGGAACCCACUGGCUUGGAACAUCGACCUAUGCCACCUGCUCCACCCACUAAUUUGGGGCAAGGAAUGUUAGCAUCGAACCCAGGGGCUAGUCCUGCUAAUCCACUAGUUCUAGAUCUGGAUGACCCAACAGAGGUAGCCAAGUUGAAAUUGGAUAACCAUGACGCAAAAUAUAGGAGUCUAGAGGAAAGACUCAAAGCAAUAGAAGGCACUGAAGUCUUCUCCGUACUAGGUGCCAAGGAACUCAGUUUGGUACCUGAUCUAAUUUUGCCUCCGAAGUUCAAAGUGCCUGACUUUGAGAAGUAUGAUGGGACAAGGUGCCCAAAAGCACAUCUCAUUAUGUUCUGUCGAAAGAUGACCGGUUAUGUGAACGAGGAUAAACUACUCAUACAUUGCUUUCAAGAUAGUCUAACAGGGUCAGCUCUUCGGUGGUACAAUCAACUCAGUAGAGAAAAGAUUCGAUCUUGGAAGGACUUAGCGUCAGCAUUUUGCGAGCAGUACAAGCAUGUAUCGGAUAUGGUGCCAGACCGUAUGACGUUGCAAAUGAUGGAGAAAAAGCCAUCAGAGACCUUUAGACAGUAUGCGCAGAGAUGGAGAGACGUCUCAGCUCAAGUGGAACCCCCACUAACAAAAACGGAGAUAACCAUUCUCUUUAUCAAUACUUUAAAGGCACCGUUUUAUGACAAAUUAGUGGGAAGUGCCACGAAAGAUUUCACGGAUAUUGUAAUAUCCGGUGAACUCAUAGAGAAUGCCAUCAAGAGCGGUAGAAUGGAAGGAUCAGAAUGCUCAAGAAAAGUAGUACCCUUAAGGAAGAAAGAGCCAGAAGCCCUCAUGGUGGGAACUGGGAGUCGUUACAUUCCCAAUUCGUAUCCUAAUCAACCCCGACCUCGAGAUUAUCCACCCUCGAAUUUCCAUUAUCCCCCUCAAACCCCUUACUACCAAGCACCACAUCCGUCCUGCCCUGUAUAUGCCACGAACAACCAAAGACCCGUCACUACUUUUCCACAAAACACGGUACCCGCCCAAAGCCAACCCAGAAACGAACCAAGAUCAUCAAGGUCUAAUCCCGAGAGAUCGCAAUUUACCCCCAUCCCUGUGUCGUAUGGGGAAUUGUACCCAAAACUUUUAGAAAAACAGCUAAUUUCUCCCCAUUACAUGGCACCCCUUAAACCUCCAUACCCAAAGUGGUACGAUCCAAACGCUAGUUGUGCAUACCACGCAGGGAACCAAGGGCACUCUAUUGAGAACUGUCUCGCUUUCAAAAGGAGAGUUCAAGGACUCAUUGACGCGGGUAUCCUACGAUUCGAUAGUGCUAGUAACGCCACGAGGAACCCGUUCCCUAACCAUACCGAAGGGAAUGUGAGCACAGUGGGGAAAGAGGAUGAAUGGAAGGUCAGAAGAUGUGUGGCAGAAAUAAGGACGCCUCUGCAGAAAAUCUGGGAGGUAUUAGUUAAGAAAGGAUUGCUCUGUCACUCUGAUAGAGUUUUUGGAGAAGAAGGUCAAAGUUUUUGCAAUUUUCAUGGGAUUGUUGGGCACGACAUUCAGUCGUGCGAGGACUUUAAAAGGUUACUUCAAGACCGGAUAAAUAAUAAGGAGAUCAAGGUCCUUAAUAAGAGUGAAGAUGCCAACGAAAGAGAAGUAUGCGUCUCUGAUAGCCAAUCAUCAGGGCCCCCUUAUAGUGCUGAUCGACCGUUGGUAAUUUAUUACGACGCGAUGAGAGAGCCAUUGAAACCACAGAUGGUAAUUGAAGUACCAUCUCCUUUCCCGUAUAAGGACAACAAAACAGUACCGUGGAGAUAUGAUGUUAAUAUCGUUACACCGGAAGUUGAAAAGUCCAAAGCCAUAAUUGAAGAUGUUGGGGAGGUAGGUCAUUUUACUCGAAGUGGACGAUGCUAUUCUAAAGAAGUUGAACCGGUAAAGAAAAGUAGCGACUCGAAGCAAAAAGGGAAAGCAGUGAUGCACGAGGUCGAAGUCGAGCAAGAAAUUCCACCCGUGCAAGAAACUAAAAAGCCUGUGAAUGAGGAAGAAGCUCAAGAAUUCUUGAAAUUUAUUAAGCACAGCGAAUAUAGUGUGGUGGAACAACUGAGCAAGCAGCCAGCACGAAUCUCAGUUCUAUCUCUACUGUUAAAUUCAGAGCCACACCGGAACGCUUUAUUGAAGGUGUUAAAUCAAGCUUACGUGGCCAACAACAUAUCUGUCGAAAAGCUUGAUAGGUGGGUAAACAAUCUGAAUGCGGACAACUUCAUCUCUUUUAGUGAUGAUGAGAUACCGCUAAAUGGUAGAGGUUCGGUGAAAGCGCUGCAUAUCACGACCCGCUGCAAGGGCUACAUAAUACCGAACGUACUCAUCGAUAAUGGGUCAGCAUUAAAUGUUAUGCCAUUGGCUACACUUUCCAGAAUACCGAUAGAUUUGUCCUACUUAAAGCCCUGUCAUUCCACGGUAAGGGCCUUCGAUGGGACGAGGCGUGAAGUCAUGGGAAAGAUCGAAAUCCCUUUGGAAGUGGGCCCCUACAUAUAUGAGGUCGAAUUCCAAGUCAUGGACAUUACACCCUCUUAUAACUGCCUUUUGGGAAGACCUUGGAUUCAUUCUGCUGGAGCAGUCCCAUCAUCCCUCCAUCAAAAAGUGAAAUUCAUCAUGGAUGGUUGUUUGGUCACAGUCGAGGGCGAAGAAGACAUCAUCGCAUCUAUCUCUGCUGAUGCGCCAUACCUGGAAGUAAGCAAGGAUGCAGUGGAAUGUUCCUUUCGAUCCCUUGAAUUCAUCAAUGCCACUUUCGUCGCUGAGGGAAAUAGAAUUCCAAUGCCAAAACUGUCGAGAAAUACCAGAAUGGGUGUCAAGUUGACCGUAGGAAGGGGAGCUCGUGCGAGAAGAGGUUUAGGGAGAUAUAUGCAAGGAAUAGUGAGGGCUUUAAAGCCAGUGCACCACAAGGCCCGAUACGGUUUGGGGUUCCAGCCUGACAUGCGCCAAAGAAGAAGACAGUGGAAGAAGGAUCAAGAAAGAAGAAUUGCAAGAACUUUGGGCCGAGAACCAGAAUGGGAACCAAUAGAGUACCCUCCUUUGUCAAAAACAUUUACAUCUGCGGGAAUGAUGUACCCUGGACAAGAGGAUCCACGAAACAUGCUGGGAUUAAUUGAAAAGGAUUUUCAGAAUGUUAGUAUAAAUGUCAUUGACAAAGAAGCUGGUGCAAGUAAAGAUGUCUCGAGGAUACGCCCUUGCCCUCCUGGUUUCAUGUUGAACAAUUGGAUUGCUGAGGAGCUUCUUGUAGUUUAUAAGCCUUCAGAGUAAUGCUAAACAUCAACCUUCUAUUGUGUCCUUAGAUAUAAUAGAGUUCUUUUGUAAGAGUUUGCAUUCGCUCUUUAUCAUUUAAAUGAAUAUCAAUGAAGAUGCAUUUUGUCACGAUUUUUCGCAUUAUCACUAAUUUCAUAAUCAUUUUCUCAUUUCAUAGCCUAUCCUUACAUUUGCCUCAUUGCCAUGACAUAACAUUUUGUUUGUUGUUUCCAAUACUUGGAUGUCCCCCGAUAGCUUCCUUUUCCAUUCAACUUUCAGGUGCUCAGAUAUUGACGACAUGAAUAAGCCCGUUACGAAUCUUGAAAUUGAUUUUGAGAAGGCUGUUUGCUUAGGAGAAUUUGAAGCCGAAGAAAAUGCUGAAGAUUAUGUCUCGUCUCCUGAAUUGUUAAGAAUGGUGGAACAAGAGGAUAAACAGGUUAUGCCUCAUGAAGAAUCUGUAGAAACAAUAAAUUUGGGCACUGAAGAGAGGAAACAAGAAGUGAAGAUUGGGACUUCUAUUUCAGAAAGUACCAGGCGUAGUUUGAUCACUUUACUCCGCGAAUACAAAGAUGUUUUCCCGUGGUCAUACCAGGACAUGCCAGGGCUAGAUGAAGAUUUAGUGGUCCAUAAGCUCCCAUUAAAGCCAGAAUGCAAGCCCAUCCAACAAAAAUUAAGACGGAUGAGGCCCGAAAUGCUGUUGAAAAUAAAAGAGGAAGUCAAGAAACAAUUUGACGCUGGCUUCCUACAAGCCUCCAAAUAUCCAGAAUGGGUGGCUAACAUAGUCCCGGUACCAAAGAAAGAUGGAAAAGUACGAAUGUGCGUGGAUUACCGUGACCUAAAUCGAGCAAGCCCAAAAGAUAAUUUUCCCUUGCCACAUAUUGACACGUUGGUGGACAACACAGCAAAACAUUCAUUAUUUUCUUUCAUGGAUGGAUUCUCGGGGUAUAAUCAGAUCAAGAUGGCUUCUGAGGAUAUGGACAAAACUACCUUCAUAACAAUGUGGGGAACGUUCUGCUACAAGGUGAUGCCAUUCGGGUUAAAGAAUGCUGGGGCAACAUAUCAGAGGGCUAUGGUGACGUUAUUCCAUGACAUGAUGCAUAAAGAAAUAGAGGUCUACGUCGACGAUAUGAUUGCUAAAUCUCGAGGAGAAGAAGAGCAUGUAAUGAACCUCAAGAAGUUGUUCGAAAGGCUGAGAAAGUUUCAGCUAAAGCUUAAUCCAGCCAAAUGUACAUUCGGGGCUACCUCGGGAAAGUUGCUAGGCUUCAUUGUCAGUGAAAGAGGUAUUGAAGUUGAUCCAGAUAAAAUAAAAGCCAUCCAAGAAUUACCACCUCCGCGAACGCAAAAAGAAGUUAGAGGAUUUUUAGGGAGAUUAAAUUACAUCGCCCGAUUUAUCGCUCAACUUACCAACCAAUGCGACCCAAUCUUUCGGCUUCUUCGAAAACAUAACCCGGGAGAAUGGAACGAGGAAUGCCAAGUGACCUUUGAUAAGAUAAAACAAUAUUUGUCCAGUCCUCCAGUGCUAGUACCGCCAACUCCGGGAAGACCAUUAAUUUUGUAUCUGACAGUGUUCGAAAGUUCAAUGGGUUACAUACUGGGACAACAUGACGAGUCAGGAAAGAAAGAAAAGGCGAUCUACUACCUCAGCAAAAAGUUCACUGAAUAUGAGGCAAAAUAUUCGUCCGUUGAGAAAUAUUGUUGCGCUCUGGUUUGGGUAGCUCGGAGACUCAGACAAUAUAUGUUGUAUCACACGACAUGGCUAAUUUUAGAGCUGGACCCAAUAAAAUACAUGAUGGAAUCGCCGGCACUAUCAGGAAGAAUGGCAAGAUGGCAGCUCCUCCUUUCGGAAUAUGACAUUGCCUAUGUAAGUCAGAAGUCAAUAAAAGGGAGCGCAAUAGCUGACUUCUUAGCAACUCGAACGACAGAGGAAUAUGAGCCUUUAAGAUUCAAUUUCCCAGACGAAGACUUAAUGUGCAUCACAGAAAUAGAAUCUGAGUCAUCAAAAGAGAAGUCAUGGAAGAUGUGCUUUGAUGGUGCGUCAAAUGCUUUAGGGCAUGGAAUUGGAGCAAUCCUGGUAUCACCAGACGGGAAUCAUUAUCCGUUCUCUGCAAGACUGAACUUCUUCUGUACCAAUAAUAUCGCAGAAUAUGAGGCCUGUAUCAUGGGGCUUCGUGCAGCUAUCGAACGAAACAUCGAGAUCUUGGAGGUGUGCGGGGACUCAGCCCUAGUGAUUUACCAAAUCCGUGGAGAAUGGGAAGUGAGGGACUCAAAAUUGAUUAAGUACAGCGAUUUAGUGGCUGGAUUGACCAAGGAAUUCAAAGAAAUAACUUUUCAUUACUUCCCACGAGAAGAGAACCAACUGGCUGAUGCCCUAGCCACUUUGGCUUCAAUGUUCAAAGCAAGUAGAGAAGCAGAAAUAAUGCCCCUCAAAAUGAGCAUAUACGAGGUCCCUGCACACUCUUGUAGCAUUGAGAAAGAAGUAGACGGACGGCCUUGGUUCCAUGAUAUCUUAGAAUAUAUCAAGAAUCAAAGGUAUCCCGAACAAGCGAAUGAGAACGAUAAAAGAACAAUUAGAAGAAUGGCAGCGGGAUUUGUUCUUGAUGGGGAUAUCCUGUAUAAAAGAGGAAAGGAUCAGAUGCUUUUGAGAUGUGUGGAUGAUGUUGAAACCAGAAAAAUACUUGAAGAGGUCCAUGAGGGAAUUUGCGGAACGCAUGCCAAUGGUUUCAAUAUGGCCAGAAAGAUCAUGAGACUCGGUUAUUAUUGGCUGACAAUGGAAAGUGACUGCAUCAAUGUUGCCAGAAAAUGCCACAAAUGUCAAAUCUACGGCGAUAAAAUUCAUGUAGCCCCUUCACCCCUUCAUGUCAUGACUUCUUCGUGGCCUUUUUCUAUGUGGGGCAUGGAUGUCAUAGGGCCAAUUUCUCCAAAAGCUUCAAAUGGAUAUCGAUUCAUUUUUGUGGUUAUCGAUUACUUCACAAAAUGGAUUGAAGCCGCUUCGUUUGCCAAUGUGACGAAGACUGCAGUGUGCAAGUUUUUGAAAAAGGAAAUCAUUUGCCGAUAUGGUUUGCCUGAAAGAAUCAUCUCAGAUAAUGCCACGAAUCUGAACAAUAAGAUGAUGAAAGAAGUGUGCGAGCAGUUCCAAAUAAAGCAUCAUAAUUCCUCGCCCUAUCGCCCAAAGAUGAACGGGGCUGUUGAAGCAGCUAACAAGAACAUUAAGAGGAUCAUUGGGAAAAUGACUGAGACAUAUAAAGAUUGGCACGAGAAACUUCCAUUUGCUUUGUUUGCAUAUCGCACAUCUGUGAGAACAUCUACGGGAGCAACUCCUUUCUCUCUAGUCUAUGGAAUGGAAGCUGUGCUACCUAUCGAGGUUGAGAUCCCCUCUCUGCGAGUAUUGAUGGAAUCAAAGUUAGAAGAAGCAGAAUGGGUUCGAGCUCGAUAUGAUCAGUUGAACCUCAUUGAAGAAAAACGUCUAAGGGCAAUUUGUCAUGGGCAAAUGUACCAAAAGAGAAUGAUCGCAGCCCAUGACAAGAAGGUACGACCAAGAGAGUUCCAUGAAGGAGAACUCGUUCUGAGAAAGAUUCUCCCAAUACAAAAAGACCUGCAAGGAAAAUGGGCACCAAAUUGGGAAGGACCAUACGUUGUAAAAAAGGCAUUCUCAGGAGGAGCUUUAAUCCUUACCGAGAUGGAUGGGAAGGAGUUACCGAAUCCAGUGAAUUCGGAUGCGGUGAAGAAAUAUUAUGCUUAAGAUGAAAACCCGAAAAGGGCAUCUUAAAAAAAAAAGAGGGGCGAAAACCCGAAAAGGGCGUCUUGAUUAGUACCAAAAGAUUAGGAUGAAAACCCGAGAGGGCGUCCUAAUGAAACAAACCUGGCGGUCGAACGAUAGGUCAAGUAGUGAGACUACAGUAUUUGAAGCAUUUCUGAAAGCUCGAAAUUUUCUACGCAAGAAGCCAUGCUCGAAAAGAUUAUUGAUUGAGGAACGUGGAAGAGUUCAUGUGUUGAAUAUCUAGAGCAUUUACAUCCAUUGAAUACGACCUUUUCUUUCUUUUUGACAUUUUUACUCUCAUUGGUUAACUUUCUUUGUUUGCCACACUUGAAAUAAAGGAAUAUGAGAUAUCCUUUGUGUCCCUACCUGACCAUUUUCAUGCAUCUCAUUAUGUGUUUAUUUAAUGAUAAAUAGUGAAAUGACAUACUCUAAACAAAAGAAAUGUCAAGCAUUACCCGGAUAAGAAUUUGAUAAGUGCAAGAUCUUCAAAGCAAGAACAAAGUUUAACCAAGGGCAAAAAGGGUGAUAUCUGAGAAACGUCGAUUACUCGUAAAGCUCGAAGACAGGUAUGAGGCCUGAAGAGAAGGUCGAGAAUCAAAGCAAUGAACGCAGAUCCUCAACAAUCAUGGCGAAAAUGACAUACGACCAAUAUGCUUAAGGAGCACUGCAUAAUCAUGUAGGCAUAAAGGCAUUUAAGACAAACAUGUGCAUAUCAUGAUGACAUCAUGCAUUGCAUAUACAGGUAAUCCAGUAAAGCAAGAAAUCUUGAAUGAGAGUCGCACUGAAUCAAAGGAAAAGAUACCCGAGUUCUACCAAAGAACUGGUUUUGGUAUUUUGAUGUUUAAUAUUCAUGCUUUCCAAGGAAAAUCAACUCAUAUUGCGAGAAAUGAGUUGAGCCUCAAGACACGUUGAGGUAUUUUUAAAUUUUUUUAAAAAAAUCAACUCAUAUUGCGAGAAGUGAGUUGAGCCUCGGGGCACGCCGAGGUAUUUUUAGUUUAUGUUUUAAAUUGACUCAUAUUGCGAGAGGUGAGUUAAGCCUUUUAAUUUUUGUUUUUCAAAAAUCAACUCAUAUUGCGAGAAAUGAGUUGAGCCUCAGGGCACGCCGAGGUAUUUUUAGUUUAUGUUUUAAAUUGACUCAUAUUGCGAGAGGUGAGUUAAGCCUUUUAAUUUUUGUUUUUCAAAAAUCAACUCAUAUUGCAAGAGGUGAGUUGAGCCUCGGCUCACAUGCUGAGGUAUUUUCAAUUUAUGUUUUUUUUCAAUCUAUGCUUUUCAAAAAUCAACUUAUAUUGCGAGAGGUGAGUUGAGCCUCAAGGCACGUUGAGGUAAUUUUCAAUUUCUGCUUCUCAAAAUUCAACUCAUAUUGCGAGAAAUGAGUUGAGCCUCAAGACACAUUGAGGUAUUUUCAAUUUUUGCUUUUCAAAAUUCAACUCAUAUUGCGAGAAAUGAGUUGAGCCUCAAGACACGUUGAGGUAAUUUCAAUUUUUGUUUUCAAAAUUCAACUCAUAUUGCGAGAAAUGAGUUGAGCCUCAGGACAUGCUGAGGUAAUUUCAAUUUCUGUUUUCAAAAUUUAACUCAUAUUGCGAGAAAUGAGUUGAGCCUCAAGACACAUUGAGGUAUUUUCAAUUUUUGCUUUUCAAAAUUCAACUCAUAUUGCGAGAAAUGAGUUGAGCCUCAAGACACGUUGAGGUAAUUUCAAUUUCUGUUUUCAAAAUUCAACUCAUAUUGCGAGAAAUGAGUUGAGCCUCAAGACACAUUGAGGUAUUUUCAAUUUUUGCUUUUCAAAAUUCAACUCAUAUUGCGAGAAAUGAGUUGAGCCUCAAGACACGUUGAGGUAAUUUCAAUUUCUGUUUUCAAAAUUUAACUCAUAUUGCGAGAAAUGAGUUGAGCCUCAAGACACGUUGAAGUAUUUUCAAUUUCUGCUUUUCAAAAUUCAACUCAUAUUGCGAGAAAUGAGUUGAGCCUCAAGACACGUUGAGGUAUUUUCAAUUUCUGUUUUUCAAAAAUCAACUCAUAUUGCGAGAGGUGAGUUGAGACUUUUAAUUUCUAUUUUUCAAAAACCAACUCAUAUUGCGAGAGGUGAGUUGAGCCUUUUUCUGUUUUUCAAAAAUCAACUCAUAUUGCGAGAGGUGAGUUGAGCCUUUUAAUUUCUGAUUUUCAAAAAUCAACUCAUAUUGCGAGAGGUGAGUUGAGCCUUUUAAUUUCUGUUUUUCAAAAAUCAACUCAUAUUGCGAGAGGUGAGUUGAGCCUUUUAAUUUCUGUUUUUCAAAAAUCAACUCAUAUUGCGAGAGGUGAGUUGAGCCUUUUUAAUUUCUAUUUUUCAAAAGUCAACUCAUAUUGCGAGAGGUAAGUCGAGCCUUUAGCAAAUUCUGUUUUCAAAAAUUAACUCAUAUUGCGAGAAGUGAGUUAAGCCUUGGCUCACGUGCUGAGCUAUUUUUAAUUUCUAUUUUUAAUGUCUAGUUUUAAAGAGUCAAUUCAUAUUGCGAGAAAUGAGUUGAGCUCAAGAUCACAUGCCGAGUAAAGAAUAAAGAUUGGACAAUUGAACAAAAUUUAGUGCUUUUAAGUCUUUGCACUAUCCUUGUUUCACAACGAUAAGCAAAGAGGGGCAGUUGUAAGCACUAAAUUUUUGUCCGACUAGAGUUUGUGUUUAAUUUUCAAAAUUUCAAAAAAAAAAAUUUAAAAAUAAAAAUUGCAUUUUGACCCCUAAACUUUUCCUAAAUUUCAUUUAGACCCUUAAACUUUCAUUAAAUUUCAUUUUAAUCCUAAAUUUUCUAAAAAUUACAUUUAGCCCCAGAAGUUUUGCUGCAUUUGUGAUUUGGUCCUUCAGACAAGUUACGUGAUUUGGGGCACCCACUUCCCAGAUUUUCAGGCCAUAAACAUGGGUGGCUGCUCCUUCUUCACCCACUACCUGCAAACAAUGAGAAAGAGGACAAAAUUUGGAGCUUUUAAAAAGAAAAAUUGAAGAGAAGGGAGGGGGGAUUUUUUUUUGGCAGCCAAGCAUAAAAAAAACCAGCAGACCCCCAUCAAAAAGAAGAGAAAACUUUCGGUUUGCCUAUUAGCCUACCACCGCCACCGUGACCACCCAUCACCGAUCCGUCGUUUUCCUCUUUGCCACCAUCACCUAAAACACCCCCACAAUCAAAAACACCCACACAAUCAAAUAAAAUAAAAACAACAGGCAGAGAGAAGAAAAAGAGAAAGAAGAAAAGAGGAAGAAAAAGAAGAAAGAAGAGGAAGAAGAGAGGAGUGCCGGCACCGUCGUAUCAGGGCGGAAGAGGCGGCAGUGAAGAAGAAAGGAAAAAGAAAAAGGAAAGAAAGAGAUUUUUGAAAAAAACAAAGCAAAAAAAAAACAAAACAAAGCAGAAAAAAAUAAAAAUAGAAGCAGGCCACAGCCAGGCCUGUCCAGUAGCCAGCAGGCCCACUCCCAGGCAGCCCACACCAACAGUAGCUGACCCAGCAGGUCCCAGGCCUGUGCAGCAAGCAGCAGACCAAGCAGGCCCCCAGGCCCGAAUUCGGCAGCAGGCCCCCAGGCCCGAAUCCUGCAAAAAUAAAAGUAAAAGAAAGAGUCCACCUUUCAAGCCCAUAAUAUCAGGCCUUUGGUAAUUUUUUUUUAUCUCUUUUAAUUUAGUAUAUGUAUUUAAAUGGUGUUUCAUUUAAUUUAAAGUAGCAUUUUUAAAAUAGUUUUUUUUAUAAAUAUUAUUAUGUCAUUCUACUUCCAUGUUUAAAAUUAAAAUAAUAAUAUUUUAAUGCAUAAGGCAACGAACCGAUUUAGCACCAAGCCGUUGAUUUCAUCGCUAUGUUGGGUGGAUAUCGAUAGCUCGUGUUAAAUUCGGGACCCCUUUUAAAAAUAAAAAAUAUUCAAAAAUCCUCGUGUUUCAAAAAAAAAAAAUUCUCGUAUUUUAUUAGAAUCCCGAUUAAAUAUUAAAUUGAAUUGAGUUAACACUAAUUCGAUGGUUUCAUCGCCAUAUCGGGAUGAAUAUCAUCGAUUCGUGUUAAAUACGGUAUUUUUUAAAGAAAAAUCGUGUUUCAAAAAUUUUCAUGUCUUCAAAAUUUCACGUGUUUCAAAAUAAUAAUAAUAAAAUUUCCCGUGUUUCCAAAUAUAUUCGUGUUUCUUUCUUUUAAAAAAAUCCGUGUUUCAAAAAUUCUCGUGAAUAAAAAAAUCGUGUUUUCAAAAAUUCCCGUGUUUUAAAAAAAUCGUGUUUUUAAAAAAAUUCUCGUGUUUCAAAUAUUUUCGUGUUUUCAAAAUUUUUCGUGUCAAAAAAAUUCUCCUGUAUCGAAAAUUUCUUUAUUUUCAAAAUUUUUCGUGUUUUCAAAAAAUAUUGUGUUUCGAAAAUCUUCGUGUUUUUAAAAAUUUUGGUGUUUCAAAAAUUUCCGCGUUUCUAAAAAUUCAGAUGAUUUAAAAAAUCUUCGUGCUUUCAAAAACUUCGGUGUUUCUAAAUUUUCAUGUUUCAAAAAAAAAUCCUCGUGUUUCGUAUUUUAUCAAAAAAUUUAUGUUUUCAAAAACAAAUUUUCUGUUUUAAAAAUUUUCGUGUUUCAAAAAGAAGAUUCGUGUUUUCAAAAAUAAAAAUAAAAAAUCUCGUGUUUUAAAUUCUUCGUGUUUUUAAAAAAAAAUUUUGUGUUUCUAAAAUUCUUGUAUUUUAAAAUUUUCGUGUUUUCAAAAAAAGAAAAAGCUGUUGCGCUUUAAAAUUCUCGUGUUCAAUCGGAUCACAACUAAUAUUAAAUUGAACUCGUAUUUUUGAAAAUGAAGACAACGCGCGUUUAACGAGAUACCAAUUUUGGGCGUCGCGAGGGUGCUAAUACCUUCCUCGCGCGUAACCGACUCCCGAACUCUAAUUUUCUCUGGAUCUUCACGUAGACCUAAAAUUACCUCUUUUUUAGAAAAGUUUAAAAAUAAAUUUUUCUUCUAAAAAGAGAAUUUAUUAGGUGUCCGAUCACACCUAUGAAAAAGGAUCGGUGGCGACUCCCUUUGUUAAUAAAAUCGAAAGUUGGUUUUCAAAUGUUUAAUAAAUCUCCACAAUUAGCGACCAAGCGAAACUAAUUAAAAAAAUUUUUAGGUCGCUACACAAAGGAGUGGAUGAAGAGACAAUAGAAUGUUCUUUUUGAUCACUGGAAUUUGUUAAUGCAACUUUCAUUGUUGAAGGAAAUAAGAUCCCAGUGACAAAAAUAUCCAAAACCACGAGAAUGAUCAUGGAGUUGGCGGUUGGGAAAGGAGCCUUGCCUGGAAGAGGACUCCAAAAAUACCUUCAAAGAAGAGUCAAGGAACCAAUGCUGAUGGACAAACAAGAUCGCUUUGGCUUAGGGUACAAGCCAGAUGCAAGACAAAAGAAAAAAAGAGUUGGAAAAGAAAUAAGAAAGAAGAAUAGCACGACUAAGUGGGGAAGAGGUCAAAUGGGAACCCAUGAUCUUUCCCCAUAUAUCUAAAACAUUCGUGUCAGGAGAAAUCAUUUAUCCUGAACGAAAGAUGUCAAGAAAAGAAACUGCGGAAGAAAUGUUGGGAAAUUUGAGCAUUAAUGCCAUAUCUAAAGAAGGAAUUGGGGAAGAAAACUUAUCAGGCAUUUGCCCUUAUUUCCCCAGAAGUGUUCUGAACAAUUGGACUACGGAAGAGAUCCCUGUAAAUUUUAGAACUAAUUCAGAGUAAUGUUUAAAACACACUUAUUGCUCUAAGCCUGGGAGCAAUAAGAAUCCUUUUGUGAAAAGGGCAUUUGUCUAAUAUCUUUAUUUUAAUAAAAUGCAUCUUUGUGUCUUAUCUUGGCAAAUAUUCUUUUAUUUUUUCCAUUUCAUUCAUACUCAUACGACACAAAUAUUUUUCUUAGAUUCAUUUAUUCUUUAGGUCUUCUUUUAUUCCUAUAACAGGUAUCUAGAUAUUAAUGAUACGAGCGAUGCUGCUGCUGACUUAGAGUCUCCUUUUGAGCAGGAUAUGUGUCCAGAGGAACCUCGGGACUUUGAAGAUGAUCGAGAUUGUAACCUAUCUCCUGAUUUGUUAAGGAUGGUAGAACAAUAUGAGAAACAAAUCUUACUUUACAAAGAGUCAGUAGAAAUUGCGAAUUUGAGAGACAAACAAGAAAAGAAAGAGGUGAAGAUCGGAGCUUACAUCAUUGUAGAGACGAAGCGAUACCUAAUUGAGUUACUCCAAUAAUUUAAAGAUGUCUUCGCAUGGUUCUACCAAGACAUGCCUAGUCUAAGUAUUGCUAUCAUGGUACAUCGGCUUCCCAUAAAAGGAGAAUGCAAACCGGUUCAACAAAAACUCUGAAAGAUAAGGCCCAACGUCCUGUUGAAAAUAAAAUAAGAGGUCAAGAAACAAUUCGACGUUGGUUUCCUACAAGUGGUUAAAUACUCGGAGUGGGUAGCCAAUAUAGUCCCCGUCCCUAAGAAAGAUGAAAAAGUAUGAAUGUGUGCAGACUAUAGGGAUUUAAACAAAGCUAACCCGAAGGACAAUUUCUGUUACCUCACAUUGACACAUUAGCAGACAAUAUAGUAGGUUAUUCACUGUUCUCCUUCAAGGAUGGCUUCUCUGGAUACAACUAGAUAAAGAUGCAUCCUGAAGACAUGAAAAAUACCACAUUCGUAACCAUGUGGGGAACAUUUUCUUAUAAAGUAAUGUCAUUCAAAUUGAAAAAUACGGGAGCGACAUAUUAAAGAACCAUGAUAACUUUGUUUCAUGAUAUGAUGCACAAAGAAAUCAAGGUUUAUGUCGAUUAUAUGAUUGCAAAAUCCCUAACAGAAAAAGAGCAUGUACAAGUCUUGAGGAAACUAUUUUUGAGGUUGAGAAAAUUCCAGCUAAAGCUCAAUCCAGCAAAAUGUACCUUCGGGGCUAGGUUGGGAAAAUUUCUAGGAUUUGUAGUUAGCGAAGAGGGGAUCAAGAUUGACUCGAAUAAAGUCAGGGCUAUACAGGAGCUACCUCUACUACGCACUCAAAAAGAGGUCCGGGGUUUCUUAGGGAGAUUAAAUUACAUUGCCCAGUUCAUUUCACAACUGACCGAGAAAUGCGACCCCAUAUUUCAUCUCCUUAAGAAUUAUAAUUCAAGUGUAUAGGAUGAAGAAUGCCAAAAGACUUUUGACAAUGUCAAACAUUACUUGUCCAAUGCCUUAGUGCUAAUGCAACCUAGUCUAGAUAAGCCACUGAUACUGUACUUAGUAGUAUUUGGGAAUUCUAUGGGAUGCGUGCUCGACCAACAUGAUCAGUCAGGAAGGAAAGAAAGAGAGAUAUACUACCUCAGUAUGAAAUUCACUGAAUCUGAGACAAGAUAUUUUCCAAUUGAGAAGUUGUGUUGCGCCUUGAUCUGGACAACCUAGAGACUAAGACAAUACAUGUUGUACCAUACAACUUGGCUAAUCUCAAAAAUGGACCCUCUAAAGUACAUGAUGGAGUCGACUACUUUGAAUGGAAGAAUGACCAUAUGGAAAAUUCUACUUUCUAAAUUUUGUAUAAUCUAUGGAAGAAUGGAAGAAUGACAUUACCUUCUGCUACCUCUGGCGAGAUGAAAAUCAAAAUGCUGAUGCCCUAGCUACUUUAGCUUCUAUAGUCAAAGUGAACAGACAAGAGGAUGUAAAACCUAUCUAGAUGAGUAUUUAUGAGGCUUCGACCCAUUGUUAUAACAUUAAGGAAGAAGAAAAGAAUGGUCACCCUUGGUACCACGAUAUGUAAAGAAUCCUGAAUACCUUGAUUAGGCAAUCGAGAAUGAUAAAAGGAUGCUAAGGAGACUGAUCAAUGACUAUGUCCUAGAUGGGGAGAUCCUAUAUAAAAGAAGAAAUGAUCAAGUGCUACUGAGAUGUGUGGAUGCCGUUGAGGCCGAUAAAAUGUUGGAAGAAGUCUAUGAGGGCGUUUGCGGAACGCAUGCUAAUGGUUUCACAAUUGCCAGACAAAUCAUGAGAUUCAGAUAUUAUUGGUCCACCAUGGUAGGGGAUUGCAUCAGUUAUACCAAGAGAUGCCAUAAGUGCCAAAUUUAUGGAGAUAAAACUCAUGUGCCUCCUUCACGAAGUUGGCAGUCAGUAAUUUCUUGAAGAAAGAGAUCAUAUGUCGGUACAGAAUUCCAAAAAAGAUCAUAUCUAACAAUGCAUUAACAACAAUACAAUAUCGAAAGUCUACAGUCAGUUCAAAAUCAAACACCACAACUCGUCAUCAUAUAGACCAAAAAUGAACGGUGCAGUUGAGACAACCAAUAAAAACAUUAAGAAGAUCAUGGGGAAAAUGACAGACACUUAUAAAGAUUGGCAUGAGAAGUUACCAUUUGCCCUUUAUGCUUAUUGAAUGUCUGUCAGAACCUCCACUAGGGCAAUACCUUUCUCAUUGGUUUAUGGAAUAGAGGCAAUUUUGCCCAUUGAAGUCAAAUUUCUUUCUCUUUGAGUUUUAUCAGGGUUGAAGUUAGAUGAAGCAGAAUGGAUCCAAUCUCGAUAUGAUCAAUUGAACUUGAUUGAAGAGAAGAGGCUGAAAGCUAUCCGUCAUGGUCAGAUGUACCAAAAAUGAAUAAUGCGAGCUUAUGACAAAAAGGUUUGCCCCAAAGAAUUCCAUGAGGGUGACCUGGUAUUGAAAAAGAUCCUGCCUAUACAAAAAGACUUUAGAGGAAAAUGGAUGCCGAAUUGGGAAUGACCUUAUGUGGUAAAGAAAGCCUUUUCUGGAGGAGUGUUGAUUUUGACCGAGAUGGAUGGUAAAAACCUGCUUAAUCCUAAAAAUUCAGAUUCAGUCAAGAAAUAUUUCACCUAAAAAAAGGGGGGAGAGGCCAAGGAGAAAACUUGCAGAAGGGUGCCUUGAGACCAAAGGAGUUUUGAGCUAAAAACCUAGGAAAGGGCUGCUCAAAUUUAGAUCGAAGAUUGAACAUGUGGUAGUCGUGUCUACUUAGAAGGAGAAACGUUACAUCUUGGGGCAUCAACAAAGUACUCUAGAUCUCCUGAACACAUAUCAAGCUCAAAAUGGUCCUCAAGAAGUUUGUGCAGAGAAGCUCAUGCUACGAUAUUUUGGCACCUAAUUUCAUCUUACUCACUUUUUAUUUUAGCAAUGUUUGAUAUUUUGAUCAAUCUAUUCAUUUCGAGCUUUGCUCCCAACAAAUUUCAAUCUUUUCCAUUAUUACAACCUUUUUCGAGCAUUUUUACAUUGAAAUAAUGAUUAAUGGACUCACAAUAUUCAAGUAAAAUGAUUUUUGCAUAUUGCUUUGAAAAGUUUCUAAAUAGUACAGGGACCUGAAGCAGGACCAUUAGUUAGAACUAAACAAACUAAGGGCUGGAAAUAUUUGGGAACGAAUAGUUUAAAUUGUGAUUAUUUCUUCGGGUUUCUUGUCAAAGAUACUAGAUCUGAACAAGAAGGCAUGACAAUACAUCAGUGAUGGAAGCUUGACGAACAAUGAGCAAUGUCAACGUAAGUAUUAAAAAGGGAAUCAUUCUCAAAAAAUGACAUUCUGCAUGCAUGCAAAUAUCAUUCAUAUACAUCUAGUUAGGAGAAUUUGAUUCAUUCUAAUCAUAACAUCCUAAUCGCUUGGCAUAAAUAUAGGCCUAUGGAAUGGAUUCUACAGAUCAUGUUCCCUAGAGAACAGUGUAACAGAUCAGUGAAACCACAAAUCCUACACCCCUGAAGUUGUAGUGGGACGGAUUGAAGUCACCGCACCAAAUAUUAUCUCCCUGAAGUUGCAGUAGAGUAGAUUGAAGCUACAAAUGUUAUCUCUCUAAAGUUGCAGUGGAGUAGACUAAAGCCACAAAUUUUAUCUCCCUGAAGUUGCAGUGGAGCAGAUUGAAGCCACAAAUCUUAUCUCCCUGAAGUUGCAAUGGAGCAGAUUAAAACCACAAAUCUUAUCUCCCUGAAGCUGCAGUGGAGCAGAUAAAAGCUACAAAUCUUAUCUCCCUGAAGUUACAGUGGAGUAGAUUAAAGAUAUCGACUCUUAUCUCCCUGGAGCUGCAUGGAACAGAUUGAAACUACAAAUCUUAUCUCCCUAAAGUUGUAGUGGAGCAGAUUGAAGCGACAAAUCAUAUACCUUUGAAGUUGCAGUGGGUCAAAUAAAAUCUACUAUAGCGAGUCUCAUCUCUAUGAAGUUGCAGUAGAGCAGAUUGAAGCUACGAAUCUCAUCUUCCUGAAGUUGCAGUGGGUUAGAAUGAGACUACUUGAAAAAGAAGAGCACCAAAGAAGACAAAAUUCAAGAACACUAGACAAAAUGAGCCUUUCUUAAAGUUUUUGCUCCAUUCCCGUUACACGAUAACGAGCAAAGAGGGGCAGCUAUAAAGGUCCAAUUUUGUCUGACCCGAAACCAAAAAUAAAUAAACAAAAUAUAAAAACCAAAAAAUAAAAAAGUACAUUUACAAAAUAAUGGCCCAAAUACAAAACCUUAAUCCAAACCCAGUGUUACACAAGCCCAAGCCCAACUAACCUAAAGUUUUUCAAAAACCUUGAAACCCUAGGUCCCCCUCUCGUGCUGCUCCUUGCCACGUCAGCAAGUGCCCCUCUUGAAGACACCCACGCCCCGAGGUUUGCUCUUCUGCCACCCUUGCACCAAAAUAACAAAGGCAUGGAUCACUCUCCACCGUUGACUGCGCACCAUCGCCUGCAAUGAGAAAGAAAUAAGGACAGAAACAGGAAGCAAAAAUAGUAGAAAAGACAGAAGCAAAAAAAAGAAAACACAAAAAUAAAAAGCUGAAUAAAUAGAUUGUAAAAUAGACAAAAAAUACGAAGAACAAAAAACAUUUAAAACGAAGGUGAUCCUCUUGUUUUAUUUUUUUAUAUUUCGAAAAAGCAUAAUAAAUAAAAAAAUAAAACCUGUUUACCUGAGUCACUUUACCUUCCUCUGUCCUUAGGGGUCUUCUUCGAUGUGGAAAGCUCUAGAACCCUUUAGGGUUUGACCUAGGCUACGACGAAAUGGGGUGCAAAAGGCGUGUUAGCUAGGCGAAAGGGUCGAAAUUUUUUGGGCUUUUUCUUUGCGAAUGGAAGGCUUUUCCUUCAGAUCUGGCUGAAAGGGCGCUGAAAAGGCCCGUUUUUGUGUAACUCCGACCAUCAGAAGCGACGAUCGUUGUUACCGAUAACCGGUGUCUACGGAGGGCUUCCAAUGACCCUAUGGCUGUAUCUUAGGCCUUGAUUUCAGAGAAAAAAAGGGAGAAAUGAGAGGAUUUUUUUUAAAACACAGAGGAAGUGAUUUUUUUCUGAAAUUUUUGGCUUUUAUAGGCCUCCAAAACAGUGUCGUUUGAGGGUUGGCCUCAAACGCUCAAAACGGCGUCGUUUUGGCUCGACCCGAAUCACACCCCAAGAUCCGCGUGUUUCGUAGAACGGGGAUAUUUUUAGUUUUAGUCCUUUCCCUUUUUAAAUGCUUUUCAAUUUUGUCCUACUAUUUAUUUUUAUUUUUAUUUUUUCCCUUUUGUUUUGUUUUUUGUGCAAUUUAGUCCCUCGACCACUGUGGACCCAUUUAGGGAAUGACACGUGUCCCAGGGCUUGGAACAAUUACCCAUUUGGACCCUGCUACUUUUCGCGCUUACAUUUUGGUCCUUUAUUCAUUUAUUUUAUUACAAUUUAGUCUUUUAAUUUCGUUUUAAUUCUGAUUCAGUCCUUGGUUUAUUUAAUUUCAACCUUUUAUGAAUUAUUUUAUUUAUUUAUUUAUUUAUUACUUCUUUACCUUUCUUUAAUACUCAAAAUUCGUGUUAUUUAUAUUUCCAUUUUAUUGUGCAUUAUUCGUCUUUAUUAUUAUUAUUUUAUUAUUCAUGUUAAUAUUAUGAUAGUAACUAUAAUAUAAGUAUCACUAUUAUUGCUAUAAAUUGUUGUUUUUUUACUAUCAUUAUAGUUGUAUUAUCAUCACUCACUAGUAUAGCAUUUUUAUUUUUAUUUUAUUGAUUUAUUUAUUUGUUCAUUGAUUUACUUGCUUAUCAUUUUAAUAUCAUCUUUACCUUUUUUACUCGUUACUAUAUUACUUUAUUUUGCUAACAUUCGUGCUGAGUAUCGCUUUAAAAUAUAUUCGUUCAUUUUAUUACUAGGACUAGAUAAAUAAAAAAGCAUAUCGUUAAAAGGUUGCACUCAUUUUACCAUAUGAAUGGAAAUAUUUUAAGAAAAACAAGGCAAGGUUCAUUUUUUUGGAAUUAAAGGAGUCGUGCUCCUAACUUACGGAGUAUGACCUCUUUCUAAAACCGAAAUAGUUGAAUAUAUAUUUUAAAAAUAUAAAAAAAUGAGAUUUAAGUAAUAUCUAAUUGGCGAUUAUUCUCGUUUUCGAGGGUUUAAGGCAUCGUGUCCUAACUUACGGGCACGAUCUUUUCUUCUCGAUUAACUUGAAAUAAGCCCUUUUCGUGAAAACCAAUUUAGUUAAGUGAUAUUUUUAUAUCAUGCAAAGAGGGAUCAUAUUGUAAGUUUGCUUCAAAUUUUCAGUUUUCGACAUCAAAACAUUAAGUAACCGGCUAGGUACCAAAUUUGGGUGUUAUGAGAGUGCUAAUCCUUCCUCAUACGUAACCGACUCCCGAACCCACAUUCUUGGAUUUCGUAGGCUAAAAAUUAUCGUUUUAGAAAAAUCUAAUCUUUUACCAAGAUAGUUAGAAUUUGAGGUGACUCAAUUACACCUAAUAAAAAGGAUCGGUGGCGACCCCAUUUUCAUUUUAAAAUAAAAAGUCGAUUCAAAAAAAAGUUUUGACAACGAUAAUCUAUUUAAGCAAAUAUAAUAAAUAUUACUAUAUUAGAUAUUAAGUUCGAGAUUCCAUUUAAGGUAUUAAUAAUGAGUAAAUUAUAAAAAUAGUCAUUUUUAUUUAUCUCAGAUUACAUUUUAGUCACUUACGUCAAUAAAAUUUUUUUGUCAUGAUUUUAACUGCUUUUCAACACUUAAUUAAAAACUUGAACCAUGUAAUUGCUUCUCUGAAACUUUUUGUGCACACUUUUCGUGACGGUUCGCAAGUUUUUGCGAUGCGUUGGAAAACCUCACAAAAAUUUGUUUAUUGAAAUCAAUAUUAAAUUAUAUUUUCCUACUUAAUUCUUAAAAUAUAUGUUUAAAAUUAUGAACCCAUGAAGUUAGAAAUCUCAAAUUGGUAUCCUAAGCAACCCAAGUCCUAAAUUAUGAACCUUAUAAUAAACGCUCUAAAAUUAUACUAUGGUUUAUAUUUUGUAUGGUAUGAAAUUAAAUGAUCAUAUAUUUUCAUAUGAUCAAAUGAAAAUAAUGCAUUGGUUUAUUAAUUAAACUAUUGAAUUCAAACAAUUAAUUGUUUGUUACUAAUUAAAAUGAAUUUUUUUUAUAAUAAACACUAGAAUUUUAUUUGACUAAAGUUACUUUCCACUUACACGGGCAAUCUAGAUUUCAGCAUAAUUUUGGAUAAAAAAAUCAGCCCUAAUUCUUUGUUCCAGCAACUUUUUGGGAAGUAAUUGUGUUUUACUAUGAGAUAAACAAUAUGUAAGAAAUUAUAAUACCGUAUGUAGUGUUAAUAUAUUAGUAACAAUAAUGAUGUAAUACAAUGUAAUAGUAGUAACAUAACAGAAUACCUGUAAUUAGAAAGAGCUAAACAUUAGAAGGAGAAUUUUGUUGAGGCCUGUAUGAACAGUUUCCUUAAGACAAAUUUGACCUCUCUUCAGUGCUUUGAGUAACGUUGGAUGUUUGUCUUUCAGGAUACAACAACAAAUGAUCACAGUAGUAGCACAAUAACAGUGAUCAAUCAACACAAUCUUGUCUUUCUCUAUGACCAGGAGGAAUGAAUUUAGAAGAAAUUUUUUAUAUUGAUGGUUUUUGAUGAUGUGUUUUGGAAGUCUCCUAACUUGGUUUUAUAUAUAGGAGAGGAAAUGAAUGAAGAUAUUUAGACUGAUUUAUGAAGAGUUUUGUUAAAAUGUUAAUAGAUAUAAGUGAACAGACACAAUGAAUGAAAAGAUGCAAUAUUAAACCAAAAGCAAUGAAUCUGUUCACCAAGAGAUAUAAUUGUUCAAAAGAUACAACUGUUCAUCAAGAGUCAGAACUAUUGUUUAAUUUCAGCAUCAAUUUAUCAUUCUAUCACUCAACAAUUUUGAACACGUUAUAUAAAAUAUAAAUCCAUAAUUUAUUAUUCAAACCUUCAAUUUUAUCAAUAAUAUAGCAUACCUCAAAGUUCCAAAAUAUCAAUUAUUUUUCAACACAAUCUUAUCGUUUGGAUUUUUGUAAAUUAUACUUAAGUUCUUUCAAAAAUUUAUGAUUCAUCUUUUACUCUCUCAAAAUUAUUUUCUUAUAGGAAAAUAAGAGAGCUAUCUUUUUAAUAAAUUUAUACUCCACCCUCUUAAAUUAAUAAUGGUGAUCACCUACAUGUUAUGAGCACACUGUUAGCCCAAAACAUUUCGAUGUUAGGGUAUCUAUUUAGUUUAUUUAGUUUAAUGAGCUUUCUAAUCGCUUUUGGGUUUUCGGUCUUUUGACUUUGGAAGAUUCAUGUUCAUGCAACUAAGGAAUUCCUCAAGUCUGUUGAGACGAAUGUGAGUUGUCACCGGCUUGCUUAGCAAGUUGACUCAUCCUAGGUUGAUGUAAAUCGUGAUUCUGUGACAACUUUAUCGGAUCAUUCGAUCUUUCCCCGAUGGUAAACUGAACUUGCUGAUCUCAUGUUGUACUUAUCAAUGUGAAAGGAUGACUCUUAUAGACUAAGGAAGGCAUGAUUAUGUAAUCCUAUUCAACUGAGCUUAAUUGAAUAGUUUUAUAGCUUCCUUCCAUCUUAUCAUUGUGAGAACAAAGUACUACUAGAGGACUUUUACUAGAAUGCAGAUGAAGUAAGGAAAGGAUUAGUGAAGUAGCUGUCAAUGUGUAAUCUGUUUGGAAAUUAGUAUAUCUUAUAUUACUGUGUGUAGGCUAGAAGUAGAUAAAGGACUAAGAAGUAGCUCUCAUUGAUUUAUUGGUGUGGGAAAUUUUUUAUUAGAUACGUGGUACUAUUUCAAUGACAAAACCAUGAAAUUGAUAAAGAAUUUAUUAUGGAAAUAAAGUUAUGUAAAACGUGGAAAAAAGAUUAAAUUACAAGUUUUGAAAAGUUUAGGGAUUAAAAUGAAAAUAUGACCAAAAUGAAAAAAGUAAGUUAUUGGUGAUGAAUUGACAUAUAUAACAAUAGGUGGGGAUAUGUAUUGGUAAGAUGAAUUUUUUUUUAAGACUAAAUUGAAAAGAUGGGAAAAUAUAAAGAUUAAAUUAUAAAUUUCCAAUUUUACUGAAUAAAAAAGGGGAAAUAUGUAAUUUUGUGUUGGUGUUGUGUUUAGGAGGGAUGUUCAAACGGUUAACCGAACCGAACUAGUAUUAAUUUAAUUAACCAAAUUUUUUUACCUUUAACUGUUAAUUGAAUCGAAAAUUUUUCAAAAAAUAUGAACCGAACCGAAAUUUAUAUGUUUGUUGUUUUUUUUGUUAAAAAAAUAUAAAAAAUAAAUAAAUUGAUAACGUUCAUUGACCGAAUUAAAACUACAUAUUAUUUGUAUUAUUGAUUAUUAAUUAAGUUAAUUACCCAAUUUCAAACCGAAUUAACUGAUAACCGAACUUCCAAAAAAUUAUUAACCAACCUCCGACCGAAUUAAAUCGAUUAAUCAACUAAUUAAUCGAAUUAGAUUGAUUCGAUAGGUUAACUCGAUUUUAAUUGAAAUUUGAAUACCCUAAUAUUUAGUUACAUGAUGUAUUGUUUUUUGUUUUUUGUUUUUUUUUUUUUUAUCUCUAACUUGGUUUGUAAACUUCGUGCUCCCGAAGUAAUGAAAUGGCAUUUUAGUAAAAAGAAAUUCCAAGUAGUUAUUACUAUAUACAUUACUAUCAAACUUUUGCUACAUUGCCACUUCAAUUUGUUUUUGGAAGAGGUUUUUUUUUUUUUUAAAUCAUCAUUUAUUCAUUAUAAUGGCUAGAAGAACACCAAGAGUACAAGAGUGAUAGUUCCAAACAGACCACAGACAUCAACACCAAACGAAAGGGAAAAAAGAACAAAUACAACACAUAUCUUAGACCAUUUAACACUGCUAAUUAAUUAUCGUAACUUACCUAUCAGUAUGCUCGAAAAUUAGUCAAGCAGUACAACCACAUAUAUAUAUAGGUAGAGAAAUGUCCAUUAUAUGAACUUACAUAACGGGAUACGAAGCUUUCAUGGCGAUACCACAUAAGCCACCUGGUGUAUUCGCGUCCCUUUGAAUCCUAAUAUAUCCUUUUUCACCCCAAGUUUCUCCCCAUGAAUUCUUAGCCAGCCAGUAGUUUAAACCUUCUUCACUUGUUCCGUAUCCGACAACGGUGACUGCAUGGGAGAGAGCAUUGCCACAAUCUCCGGUAAACACUCCCCCGCUGUAAAACCGAAAGUCUUGUCCAUGGCCUUCGAUUGCAACUGAGACAGGUUGACUUGCGACGACCUUAAGCAACGCUUCUUCGUCGUUUUCAGGCACCAUUUGAUAUUCAUUGAUGGUGGCAACUUUGUUUAUCUGUUUCUCAGUGUCGCAAGUUUCUUGCGUUUCUUGAUAUGGGUAGCUUUCUUCAGUAGUUAUUCCUUGGUUUCGGAUAACGUAUUCGAAAGCAUUUACCAUUUGUCCACCAUCGCAACCUCUGUUUCCUCCAUCUGUGCUGCAAUCCAACAAUUGUUGUUCAGAUAAUGACAUUAAACUACCAGUUUUGAUUUGGACUAUCCCUUCAAUGGCUGCCACUGCUGAAAAUGCCCAACAACAUCCUGCAAAGUAAACCAACAAUAACCCUUUGUUAAGUAUAAAACAAUUACUGAAAAAACUAAAUGAAUGCUUCUUGGCUGAGCAAUAUUUAUAAAAUAUUUUAUAGGAGUUGGGUUAGCAUACUAACAUAUUUUUAAGGGAAAAAUCAAAUAGUGACACGUGGUUGUUAAAAAGUAAAUAAGUCUUAUUGAGCAAAAUUAAUUUUUAUAUAUUGAAUCAAAAAGUAAAUAAGUCUUUUAUGUUAAAAAUUUAAUUCAUUUGUACUAUUAAAAACUGUCGUGACUGACAAAAUAACCAAAUAAUAACACGUGGCUUGCCAUGUGUGUUGAUAUAUAAGGACCAGUUUUUCAUAUUAAAAAUGAAUGAAAUUUUUAAAAGAAUGAUGAGUUUGCUAUUUGAUUAACGUGCGAGGAUUCAUUUGCCCAUAUUUUGAGUAGAGACGACAAAAUGCAAUUCGGCUCCUAGUAUAAGAGUCUCCAUAAACUUUUACCUCUUUUAUUUAAAAAUAUAUAUUUUUAAAUAUUAUAAUUAUAAAUUUAUUGAUUUUUUUAAUUUAUUCGUCAUUAAGCAUACAUCAAUGUUAAAGUAAGUUUGCAUUUUCUUUCCAUAUGAUAUAUGUUUUAAUUUGGAAUCGAUCUAAUAUUUCUAUCAUAUCAUUUAAAAAAUUGAUUUUUUUCAAAAUAUAUCAAAGGAUUGAAAGAUUUGUAUAUUAAUUAAAUAAUUUGACAUUUUUAAUUUACUUAAACCUUGAUUAAUAUUAUUUAUGUUAAUACAACAUCACAUAUGAUGGUUGAAUUAAGCAAAUAUAUUGCAGAAAAUUAUUUCUUUUCUACAAUGAUGGAAAAUUAACUUAGGGUGCUGUGUGUUUAACUUACUUUUUGUCUCAUACUACAGUAUUGCUACAGUAUCUAAUCUCACCGUCAUUGUUAUUUUUAUAGUAUCGGCAGGUAAACGCACCACCCAUCCAAACUCACUCUUAGUUUUAUAGUAAUAUAAGUGAAUUCCCUACAUAUAUAUACAUUAGAUUAUGAGAUAUCUAUGAUGUCGAUGAAAAAUAUUUACGUAAAAAAUAUAUUAACUAAAAUUUUAUAUAAAAAUUAAAUAAAAUUUUAAUUGAAAUAAUAAAAUUAAAGGUUUAAAAACUAAUGCUUUAAGCUUAAAUCUCAUCAUGUGUACUUUUAAUGAUUUUAUAUAUAAAAAAAACUCUCAUAAUAAUACAAGUUAGAUUGUAAAAAGAUGACUUUUUAAUUAGUUUCGACUGCAUUUGUGUUCGAUUGAUUUGUAACAUUAACUUAAUCAAUGGUUGUAUGUAAAUUGAGACUUACCACAUUGACCUUGAAACUUAACAGGAGUGACAGCACCUUGGGCCCUCCAAUCCAAGUUUGUCGGAACAUCUGAGACGUUUUCAUACAUAAAAGAUGUUGAUUCGGACAGUGUGGGAUUGCCUUGCAUCUUGUAUCCUGUAUGAGCUGCAAUGAAUUCAUCUUGUGUCAUGUCUGCAAAUUCAUUGAGACUUAACUUAAAACUCCUAUUUCCGCCAUUGUUGAAGCUCUCAAUAUAUUCCAAGUUUUCCUUGAAUAUAUUAAGACGCUUCUCCUUCUCUAAUUUGCUCUCAUAUUUUCGAUUAUAAUCAACCAUCCAUUGCUCAUGUUUGUCAACAAUGAAGGUUUCAUGGAUUGUUCGGGACAUGGCAAGAGAUUCCAAUGUCCCAAAAAUUAAAAACAAAAAGACGUGGAUUAAACUCAUCAUUGUUUGGCAGAGAUACUACACUAAUUGAAAGGUCUAGCACUCAAUGAAUCUAUAUAUACUACAAAAUUUGAUUAAAAUAACUAUUUUUAAUUAAGUCAUCUUAUGAAAAAUCCAAAUAAAAGGCCAAUAAAAUAUUUGAUUUAAAUAAAUAUUUUUAAUUGAUUAACCCUACUACAAGUUUGUUUGUAUUUGUUUUUCUUCCUUUGAGUUGAAAAAAUUCAACACUCCCAUUAUGUUAAGGGUAAAUUGCAUAAUAAUCACUCAAUUAUUAAUAAAUUAAGUGACGAUAACUAACAAGUGAGUGAUUAAAAUAUUUAAUUUAAAAAAAUUAAGUGACUAAAUAAAAAAAUUUAAUAGGUGGGUGACCAAAAUAGAACCAAGUGCAUAGUUGGAUGACUAUAUUUUUAGUUUACCCAUUAUUCAUAGUUGCUGACAUUCAAAAUUAACAUGGAUUAAAUUGCUCAGAUUUUUUAGAGGGACGAGCUUACUCAAUUUCUCGUAGAAGUUGUGGUUUUUAUAUUUUAUUUUUAAAACUCAAAAAUAAAUUGUAAAAACUUGUUUUUAAAAUGAUUUAAAAAAAAUAAAACCAAUUUGAUUAAAGGGUUGCAAUUGAUAAGGGGAAAUCUCAUUACCUUCGCCUACAAUUAUUUUAAACAUAGGUUAACACGUAAUUUGAGGAGGAACUGAGAGAAAAACUUAUUAAACCAGAGUUAAAUAUUCAUCCCUUCAUUGCUGUUUUCCAGUUGUAUUGCUGCAUGCAAGCACUUCACUUGGAUUUCACUAUCAACCUUCCAACUUCCCCACUAUGUACGAUUAAAAUAUCACACAAGUGAAGAGAUAUUUUAAAGGAGAAAACUAUCCACACUUAAUCUAAAUUAAAAGUGAUCUAAUUUAAUUAAAAUUUAUUGAGCUUUAAUUAUUAAAUAAAAUAUGAAUCAAAUAUUAAUUUCUAACUAAUACUGGGCUGAUUAGGAAUUAAAGUAGAUUUAACUUUUUUAAAUUACUUAUCUGCUAAUUUAAAAGAUUAAAACUAUAAAAUUCAAAGAUCUCAUAAAAUCGAUAGAUUUAAGUACGCUUUUGUAUUUUAUUUUGCUCUUGACUAAACAAAUUUUACUUUAUUAAAUAAAAUAUGAAUCAAAUGUUAAUUUCUAAAUGAUAAUGGGCUGAUUAGGAAUUAAAGUUAACGUAGAUUUAACUUUUUUAAAUUACUUAUGUACUAAUUUAAAAGAUUAAAACCACAAAAUUAAAAGAUCUCAUAAAAUCGAUAGGUUUAAGUACGCUUUUGUAUUUAAUUUUGUUCUUGACAAAACAAAUUUUACUUUAUUAAAUAUUUAAAUAAUGAAAUACCUUAAGAUGAAUGAAAAAGAAAAUGAAUUUCAUGAUAUUUUAGUAAUAAAAUAUAUGAAAUGAUGAUUAUAUUUAAAUUCCAAAUUCUUUAGUGCAAGUGUCUGGGUCUUCAUUCUUGCAAUAAUGUAAGAUUGAGCCAAUUAAACAUUACAUGUAGUCUUUAGUGAAAUCAUCUAGGCCUUCAUUAUCGUCUCUAAAGCCCCAUUACAUAAUUGGCGCGCCGAUGAAGCAAAUGAGAAUGUUGACAAGCAGGAUUUGCUCUAUUUUUUCUCUUAAUUUCUUAUGUUUGAUAGUUGCUGCGUGGAAUAGAAAGAUAGACCAGAUGCAAGUCACGGUCAAGGUCAACUGCCCUUAUUUGCAACAGAGCCAGGGUGAUUUUUUUUAUUAAUUUAUUUUGAAUAUUUUUAUUAAAAUAAUGCGUGAACGGACAAAACAAAAUUUUAUUGUGGAUUCAGUUAUUAUAGUAUUUUGAGUUUAAGGUUAAUUAAGAUACGACCAAUUUCCUCUGGUUUGCAAAAGUUAUUUCAUCAAUGGUAGUGGGACAUUUAGACUCCACCAUCAUGAGUCGUAGAAUAAUACAUAUUCGUCUAUUAAGAAUGAGGAAUUAAUAAAAACAGAAGCAAACCGAGUGAUUGUUUCCUCUAUAGGGAGGACAAGCAAUCUAAGGAUAAGAAAAUGCUUAAAACUUCAAGUUAUCCCAAAGCGAACAAAAAGAAGUAUAAAAACUUAUUAAAAUCUAAGUAUUUUUAUCAACAAGUGUUGGUUACAAUGGUAAGGUAUAUUGCAUUGUAGAGGACAUUGUUGGAAGGGACAGUCAUUAACCUAGAACAUAGACCGUAAAACAGACAUGAAUAAUACCCCAAAAAAAGUCCAAGUGUUUCUUUUGUAAUAACAAAAAGAGCACUGCAAGGAAAAAUGCAAAGAGUGUAAGGAUUACCUAGUCUCUAAGGGUAAAGGUAUGAAACUCUUGAUUAUUGAAACUUGUUUAGCGGAAGACUUAAUAGACCAUUAAGUCAUUGAUUAUAGAGCCACUAGUCAUGUUUGUAUUUCUUUGUAGGGGUUUAAGGAAAUGAAAGAUCUUCAGGAUAAGAAUCUACCAUUGCGAACCGGAGAUGGGAGCUAUGUGGCUACAAAAACAAUUCGAGAAGUACAUCUUUAUUUUGAUAGUUUUAGGAAGAUUGCUUUGGGAGAUGUUUUCUAUGUACCAAACUUUAGAAGAAAUGUAAUUUAUAUUGCAUGUUUAUUUAAAGACGAUUAUACUGUGACUUUCUGUAAUGGUAUUGCAAUUCAUAGAAAUCAAUCUCUUAUCUCUAAUGGAGGGAUGCAAAAUAAUAUUUAUUUUAUCAAAUCAAAUAUGCACUUACAGCUAGAAAUUGAACUCGUAAAUGAGAAACUUGAAACUUCUCUCUAAUGAGGCAUACUCAUUUCUAAUUUCAACGAGCUACCAGAGGGACUGAUUGGAUAUAUUUAAUUAGGGCUUAAAUGAUUUGUAAUUAAGUUUUCGCUUACAGCCUGUUAAUUAUAAACUCAUUUCAUCACAAAUUCAUUCGACUAUAGUAUCGUUACUGAGCUCUACCUAGAGGCAUACCAUUACAAAAGCAACUACUUCAGUGCUCGUCCAAUGACAUUUUCAUAAGUGUGUCACCCUCAUAUGAUAUCCUUGAUCUCUUUGGAAUAAUAUCCGCUCUCCCAAUAUGAUCCUUUUUUUUUCUCUUGGUAACCAUUACAUCUUCCUUCAUGAAAAAUCUAUCACUAUCAAAUAAUGAUCAAGUCAUCCAUCAUAAAGAGGAACGACCUGCUGCCACAUUUACUUUUCAUCAACCAUGUAAUGCAUAUUGAGGAUAUCAUUUACCCAUGUCUCGACCUAUGAAUUUCACUAUUGUGAAUGAUGCGAUAUACUGAACAAAUCUUACACCCAAUGAACCAGCUUUCAGUUCUGUAUCUAUUUGAACUCAAGCUUUUACUUACAUCAAAGUGUACAUAAUAAUUGUAACCUUCUCUUGCACUAAUACUCAUGGGGCCACAUAAGUUAGUUUGAACAAGUUAUAGGGGUUUUCUAUCCCUUGUUCCUUUUGCAUUAAAAGAUCGCUUAGUUAUCUUACCUUCAAAGUAAGAUUCACAUUGUGGAAGAUCAACUUCUUUAAGCGAACUUAAGAUGUCAUCUUUAACAAGCCUAGUGAGUUUUUCUCAGUUAAUAUGACCAAGUAUCAAAUGCCAAAUGUAUGCAUUAGAGUGAGAAGUUUUAAGUCUUUUAUUUGAUAUUUUAGUCUCAAGUAAUGUGUACAUCUUUGGUUUGAUAAAAUAAAGAUUAUUGACAUCCACCCAUUACAAUUAAGAUUGCGAUUCCAAAAUAUUGCAAUUCCAUUACUAAUAGUCACGAUUAACAUAAAUUAAGAUUGCGAUUCUAAAAUAUUGCAAUUCCAUUAUAUAAACAGGCAACAUAAAUUAAGUUUCUUUUGAAAUUUGAUACAUAGAAAAAGUCUCUUAAAAAAAUAAUCAUCCUAAAAUUUUGAAAAUAAAGAUGUACAUCUCCCACUACUUCAUCUGCCACACUUGUCCAGUUCCCAGACCACAACGAUAAGCUCUUAUACCUAAGAUCCUUUCUUUCCUCGAACCCCUAUAGAUAAAUACUAAUUUAAGGGUGUUUUUUUCUUUGCUAAUUGCUAAGUUGUGAAGAACUAGCACUCAGUGGACGUAUAUAUAUACUACAAAAAAAAUUAUUGAAAUGAAGAUUUUUUUAAUUAAGUCAUCUUAUGAAAAUUCAACUAAAAUGCCAAUCAAGUCUAUUUCUUUAAAUAAAUAUUUCUUUAAAUACUAAUUUCUAACUAAUAAUGGGCUGAUUAGGAAUUAAAGUUGACGUAGAUUUAACUUUUUUAAAUUACUUAUGUACUAAUUUAAAAGAUUAAAACCACAAAAUUCAAAGAUCUCAUAAAAUCGAUAGAUUUAAGUUUGCUUUUGUAUUUAAUUUUGUUCUUGACUAAACAAAUUUUACUUUAUUAAAUUUUGUAUCUUAACAAAAGAUUAAUAAAACUGGAAUUUGAAACAAUUAAUAUUGUAUUAAAUAUUUAAAUAAUGAAAUACCUUAGGAUAAAUUAAAAAGAAAAUGAAUUUCAUGAUAUUUUAUUUGUUGGCAUGUUUUACCAAAAUAUUUUGAUGAUUUGCUUGCAUUUUUUUGAGUAUCUUGUGCAACCAAUCUUUUGUUUAUCAUUGGAAAAGAGAUUCAAUCAAGCAAAAUUAUUUUUCAAGGAUCCUUAUAUUGUUUACUUAUGUAACACCCAGUUUUGCCGGGUUGUAAGUUCUGACGAGAAGAUUAAGAGUAAUCGGUGAGAAGUAGCCUAUCUACUCGAUUAUCAUUUUGGCACAUAGAUUAGGCGCAUAGCAGAUAAUAGAAUAUUAAGCAGGGAUUGUCAGAUAAUAGAAUAUUAAGCAAGGAUUGUUCUCAGAAUGUAUUCAGUUGUAAAGAAGAAGAGAUUGAUGAGAGUGUUGAGAACCUUGUAAUAAGGGGGUUAUCGCCUAAAUUGACAAUUUUCCAUUUUAGGAGGGGGCCCUGCCAAGCUCCCUAGAUAUACCACUCAUAGUGGUUGAUUUUCAAAAUUGGCGUGGAUUAAAUUGUUUAAAUAUUUAAGAGGGACCAGCUUACUCAAUGUUAAAAUUGAGAAGGACCAAAAAUUGUUUUUUUUUCCUUGUAGACAGUUGUUUAUAUAUAUAUAUAUAUUUGUAAAAACUUAUUAAACAGGAGCUAAAUAUUCAUCCCGUCAUUGCUGUUUUCCAGUCGUAUUGCAGCAUGCAAACUUAUUAUAUUUAAAUUCCAAAUUCUUUAGUGCAGGUGUCUGGGUCUUCAUUCUUUUCUCUUAUAAGAAGUUCAGAUUCAGACAAUUUUGUUUAGCCUUAGACACGACAAAGUGUUCUAAUAGUACAUCCCGCACGUUACUUAAUUGGCUGAUGUCGAUAAGUAAGAAUGCCCUUAAUUUCUAUCCUUUGAUAGUUGGGUGAUUGGGAUGAUUUAUUUAUUCAUUUUGGAAGUUUUUAUUAGAAUUUGACUUGCUAAUUUGCAUAUUUAUAUUAUAUUUGUGCUUUUUUUUACAUAAUUUUUUAUUAAUUAAUAAUGUGUUAUAGUAAACUUUUUUAUUCAAUUUAAUAUUACCAGCCCAUUCCAUAUUAAUUCAUUCAAAUAAAUUAUAUAGGAACUAUUUUUUAAUAAAAUAAUAAAUAGUAUUCCAAUAUUAUUUUUGUUUUCUAUUAUAUUUGAGUUAAUAUUUAAUAUAAUAUUAGUGGAAAUUUCAAUUCUAUAAUUUAAAUGCUAUCACAUAUUCCAUUUGAAGAAAAAAAAACAUUUAUUUUUUAUUACACUCUAAAAGUGUAUGAGCCGAUUGAGUCUUAACUCGGUUGGUAUUAACAUUGUUGCCUAUGCAGGAGGACAUGGGUUCAAGUACGUUGAAACACAUUUAUCCUCUUAUUGAGGGAGUGGAGAGACACUAUGGGUAGCUCUUUUAUUUUAACUCGAACAAUUUCACUCGAUGCGACUCGACUCAAAUUUUAUUUCACUCGACUCUAUUCGAAAAAAAAAUCAAAUUUACUUAAGAUCUUAAAAUAAGAAUCGUAAACUCGAUUAACUCGAAAUUUUUUAUAUACCAUUAUCAAAUCUACUUAGAACCAAGUAGACGAAAAUUCCAACCCAUACGAUACUUCAUUACUUAAUUGACGCAGCAAAUAUUGACAAAGCUGGGUUUGCGCCAAUUUUUUUUCUUCUUAAUUUCUAUUGUGUGAUUGGUACAUGGGUGGGAACGAACAUAAUUAGUGCCAUCCCACCAUGCAAUUGCAACCCUAAAAAAAAAAUCUAAAGAUGGUGACAAUUCAAAAUGGUAAUAAAAUAUUGAAAUAAAUUCUUUUUAUUUUACCUUGAUAUUAAUAAUAUUUAAUAACAUAAAAUAAUUUAUAUGUAUUAAAAUUUAUUAACCACUUCAUAUUAGAAUAACCCUAUCAUUAUUUCAAAAGGUAGAAAUGUUAUUAUUACAACAAUUAAAAAAUAUCAUAUAUUCCAAUCAUUAAUUCAUCAUAAUUUUAAUAAAAAUUCUCACAUAUAAUAAUGAUAAAUAAAAAUUAUUUAUGCUUAAUUGCAAAUUAUGUGCAAAUAUACACAAUUGUAACAAGUAAUAAAGUAGUAAUUAUACGAGUACCGUCUCCUUAGGGACUGAACAGGUAGUCAAGAUUUGCGAAAAUAAUUUAAAUAACAAUUAUAAAUGGGGUUUAUGCAAUUAAUUAAACUAAAUGCUUCUAUCCUGCAAAAUUUCAACAGAAUAAUGAGUACUUCAACAAAUGAAUUAAUAAUGCUAGAAUAAUUAAUCCACUUCUGUCUUUGUUCAAUUUAGUCUGGAUGCAAUUGUUAUGAAAAUCUUGGCAUAAUUAGCGUGUAACAUCCAUAACCUGUUUUCAUCACCAGAAUAGGGUUACAGAGUAUUACCAUACAAUUCGAAACAUUCCAUAACAAUAGCAUCUAAUUCAUCAAGUUAAUUAACAAUAUUCAUAAAUAAUUCGAAAUCAAGGAAGACACACAUUCAUAGAACUUAAAUCGAGCCUACGAGGCCUAAUAAUCAGAGAUUAAUUCAAAACAAAAUAGGAGAUUUGGUACAAAAAUAAAAAAAUUUCAAAAUAAGGGUCACACGGCCAUGUGUCUAGGCCUAAACCAUGUGGCCAUCACACAUGCUCGUGUGCAUGGGCCGUGUAACUCUCUAACUUGGGUCACACAGCCGUGUCACAGCCCGUGUAAACCUUGCACCUAACACACUAACACACGCCUGUGUGUGACACACGACCGUGUAACAACCUGUGUCCCAGGCCGUGUGUACCCAAAAGUGACUAAAAUCAUGUUGAUUUUUCAUCCAAUUACAUAAGUACCUAAACCAAUUCAUAACACAUGAUCAUAAGACUAUAACCACACCUAAAAGCAACCAAAACAUGUCAAUUUCAACCAUCUAAAACCAAACCAAGGUGUCAUACAUGAAGUUACAAAUAAUGUUUAUACCCAACAUAAUCAUUUCAUAUCACCUACAAAUCAUACAUAUACACCAACUAAUCUAUGUCAAUCUCAUCAUACCAUACUUAAACAUGAUAUUUACUAUUCCGUGGGCAAAACACUCAAGCUCAACUUUGAAUUUAACAAGCAUACCAUAUAAAGUUACCAUUCUACAACAUCAAACAUAUCAAACACCACACAUAGCUAUGAAACAUUACAAACAUAAAUCAUUUUUCCUAUUACAUGCUAUAUAACCAAAUUGUUUACAAAAUCUACCAAAAGAGUCUUUAGGAUAGUGUGAUUUUACGAGUUGAUCUGAUCUCCCCUCCACAAAAUGUAAUCUACAAGAAAAGGAACAAGACACGAGUAAGCUUACAGAAGCUUAGUAACUUCGUUGAUUAAAUGAUAAUCUUAUCGGAUUGAACAUAAAUAAACAAUGUAUGAGAUUUAAGAAAAUAAGUUCCUGUCAAUCACAGCUAACAACAGGUGAGUAUUGCACAGUACAAUAAUUCAAAUCAUAUUCCAUAUUACUAUUAUUUAAACUUUCCAAAAACACUUAUACUUGGAUAAUUCACAUCAUCAAGAUGCCAUAUGAUAAAUGAUCAAAAACCAUGUCAUAGUUCUAACAAUAUCUCAUUUCAUGUAAUCAAAAGGGUAUCACUCAUUCGAGUUAACAUUUAUAACUUUAACCGACUCACGAUGUUGCUUACACAAGCUGCAGAGAAUCCGCAACACAUGUAGGAUCUCAAGCCAUCGCUACGGUCUAUAUCACAAGUACACAGUACCUGCUAAAUAAUCACGAGCCCACAACCUACUAAGACCCGAAAAGAUCUCAAAACACAGUAGAAUAUACUUCAUGUUGCUCACCUCCUUUUCAUUUGCUCUUAAGAAUAGUAUAGUGUCGUCCGCGAAUUGUAAAUGAGUAAAAUUCUGUCUAAGAAUAACAUAUUGAAAGUCUUCAAUUAGCCCUAACUCCACAGCUUUAUCCAUUGCCAAAUGAAGCAUUUUCGUCACAAUUAAAUAAGAAUGGGGAUAGCGGACCUCCUAGACGAAGACCUCUGCAGAAUCUGAAUUCGUUUAUGGUUAACCCGUUGAUAAUUACUGUUGUCAUAACGUUGCCUACAUAAGAGUACGGGGGCCUAGUAAGCAAAGCUAGACACGAAGGGCCUAAAUUAAAGUAGAGUUGCCACUAACCAAUUAGGGCUAGCUUCGUAAGCCACCUAUCGUCUAAAAAUCUAGAAUUAAUACGUUGGAAAAUCCUAAAAGUCUAGAGUCAAUCUCAUCACCAAAUUUUGGGUUCGGGAGUACGGUUACGUAUGGGGAACGCUAUAGCACCCCCACAAUGCCUAUCCGGGGGAUAGUCCUACGGGGUUAUAAAACCUAGAAUUUUUUUUAAUUAAGCAUAUUAAUGUCUUAAUCUAGGCUAAAAUCUUAUGGAAAUUUUAAAUAAAAACUCUAAAGAAAUGCCUUUGGUUUACUUGUAACUCGAUUAAGAUGUGUUUACCAAGCUUAUCUAAUUUGAAACUUUAAUGAGAGAUUUUUAAUUUUAACGGGAACCUUAAAGGAUACCUAAAUAAGUAUAGUAAAAUAUCUUUAAUUCCUAAAGUUAAUUCUAUUUUAGAAUUCUAAAAAAACCUAGAAAUUACCAAUAAAAUAAGAGAAAUAUUAAAAUCAAUCUACAACUUAUUUGAUCUUUUAUUAUUAUUAUUUAAAAGAUUUAAUUAAUAACUUUGAACCUAUCAAGAUAUUACGAAAGUAUCCUAUGCCGGUUUAUGAUCUAUCUUACUUUAAAAUUCUUGAUCUAAUAUUUAAAUUCGUCAAAAUCCUGAAAUAAUAUAUCUUAAAUAAUAUUUAUUAGGUUUCUUAAAAAGUUUCUAAAAUAAAAUACUUAGAAAGACCUACUCAUGAUUUACAAUUCACCUACAAAAAUCUUUAAUUUUAAUCUUGAAUAAAGUCCUAAAGAAUAAUUACAUAUUAAUUUAAAAUUCUAAAGAGGAAUCCUAUACGAUAUUUAAAACUAGUUUAAAACCCUAAAAAAAUCCUACAUAUUAUUUAUAAUUUUUCUAGGGUAAAUGGUGGAUAAGAUCUUAAGGACUAACCUAAAUCCAAAUGUAAAAACCUUAUGGUUUCAUUAAAAUGUAACACCUAUUUAACUAACUUCAUGUCAAUAAUUACAGGAUGGAAAAAUGACCUAAAGUUAUUUUAAAACAAAUAGUAAUAAAAUAGGAAAAUCAAUUAAAUUGGCUAAAGUUAAUGAAAAAUUAAAACUCUUCCAAAAUGAAAAAAAUUAAAAGAAAGAUUAAAUAAAUGAAAUAAAUAAGACCUUAACAUGAUGAUAAUAAUAAUACACCUUAUUCAUAAUAAAAUAAAAGAAUCAAAGUAAUAAAUUUUGGAUUAAAUCGAAUGUUUGAAAAAAUCAAAGGGCUACGGGUGUAAAUAAUCCAGAGAGUGAGGGCGGUGCUGCAAAAAAUAGGGUAUUUUUGUAAAUUUAAAAAGUAAGGGGUGGGAAUAAAUUACCUACUUUUGGCACCUAUAAAUGAAAAAAAAAACUAUUAAUUCUUUCAUUUUAACCUCAUUUUUUUUUCAAAAAAAAAAAUCUUCCUCUUUCUCUUCCUCCUUUUAUGUUGGCCAUGGCUCUACCACCGGAGAGCCGUCAGGCUCUCCGGCCUCCGGUGGUGGAGCUACAGCAUACGAUGGUCGGGUUUUUUUUUUGUAAAAUUAAAGUUUUCUUUUAAAAAAUCACUACUUUUCUUAAAAACCGAAACUUUAUUUCAAAAUAGUUGAAAAAAAAUCAAAAGUUUGUUUUAAAAAAUUUAAACUGCUCCUUUAAAAUGUCUAAAAAAUAGAUUUUUAUUUUAAAAAUCUAAACUUUCUCUUUUUUAAAAAAAAUGCUAUUUUUCUUAAAGUUCAAAGAUUUUAUUUUGAAAUAGUUGAAAAAAAUAAAAAAAAUUGUUUUAAAAAUUUAAACCUUCCUUUUAAAAUGAUUAAAAAACAUAUAUAUUUUUUAAAAAUCUAGACUUUCUUUUUUUUUAAAAUCAAAACUUUUCCCAAGAUCAAACUUUAAAAAGAAAAAAAGAAACCUUUAUUUUAGAAAUGGGAGGGAAAAAAACAAGAUUUUUGGGGCUCCUAGGGGCAGAGGACCGACAGUCAGGUGACAUCCCCUUCAUCGGAACCCAAAACCUGAUCCCUCUUGACAUAUCUAUGGCCAAAAAAAAAAAGAUAGAAGAAAAAAAGAGAAAUAACAUGCUUAUUGUUGUUGUUGUUGUUGUUGUUGUUGUUGUUUUACCUUUUUUUAGAAAAAAAAAUAUGGAAAGCCUUUCUCUUUUUCAUUUCAUUUCAUGUUUAUAUAUUGUUUUUUAAUCUUGCUUAUUUGUAAAAGAUGAUGAUAAUAAUAUUUAAUAAUAAUAGUAGUAGUGAUGAUAAUAAUAAUUUGAUCCCUUGACAAGCCCAAAAAAAAAGAAAAAAGUCUCAAAUUGACCAAAAUUAAGUGGGCUUCGAAUGGCCCAACAGAGAACAAAAAUUUAAAUGGGCCUCUAAUUGGACUUGGACAAGAUGGGUGUCUACAACUGUUGCUCUCAUUGUAGAUCCACACUCGAUUAUCCAUCAUAUCUAUUUUUCGCCAAAUCCCAUCUUGAAUAAAACCAACUCCAAAAAAUCCCACCGAACACAGUCAUAUGCUUUAGAAAAAUCCAAUUUAAAGAUCAGAUUGCCCCCUUCCAUCUUUCUCUUUAAUCGAGUGGAUUAUUUCCUUUGCUACUAAAAUUCCAUCAAAUAUUUGUCUUCCUCUAAUGAAUGCACAUUGAGUAUCGCUCACCACCUCUCCGAUGAUCUCCCUUAUUAAUUGAGACAAUACCUUUGCCACUAUCUUGUACAAAGAGCUCACCAAACAAAUUGGCCUAAAAUAAUAUAUUUCGAUUGGAUUUUUAGUCUUGGUAUGAGUGUGAUAAAUGAUGAAUUAGUAGUCCUCUCAAGCUUUUCGGAUAUAAAAAAGUCUAUCAUCAAUCUGAAAUGAUCCUCCUUUACAAUCUCCCAACUUUUUCUAAAAAACACAGGUUAAAACCGUCCAGUCUAGGUGCUUUUGAUUCAUCACAGCUCCAUACUGCCUCUUUAAUCUCAUCCAUCAAAAAUGGUGCCUCCAGUUUCAAAGCCUUCUCCCCAUUUGGCUUUCUAAAAUUCAGUUCCAAGUCCAUUCUCCACUUCCUCACUGGGCAAUUAAAACAAUUUUUGAAAAAUUGUAUUGUCUCUCUUUCAUCUACUUAGGUUCACUGCACCAAUGACUCCCUAUUUUCAAACUAUAUACCAUAUUCCUUUUAGCUUUGAUCUUCGCUGCUCUAUUGAAAAAAUUUGAAUUAGCAUCCCCUUGUUUUAACCAUGUAAUCCUUGAUUUUUGACGCCAAACUGAUUCUUUAAAUUUAAUUGCUUCCCAAAGUUCAGUAUUCAACUUUUUUAAUUCCUCUAUUUCUAACUUAGUCAGUUCUCUGUGUUCACUAGCAUCAUCGAUCUCCUUAAUCCUAUCUUCACUUUCUAUAAUUCUUUUUUCCGAUGCAUUGUCAGCAUCCAAAGGAGAAGGGAAGAGUAGGAGUGGUGAAUAUUAGAAUAAAAAAUAGAGCAUUAUUGGCUAAAUCGAGCUGGAGAUUUGCGAUCAAGAAAAAUGUGUUAUGGAAAAAAGUUAUCCUAACGAAGUAUGUUUUGAGCUUGCAACAGUGCCAAUUUAGGACGACUUGUACAAAAGAUAUGUCAACUGUUUGGAGAGGUAUUGUAGAGAAUUCUAAAGAUGCCAAUACGUCUAAAAGGGUGGGGAAUGAAGCUUUUUGUAGGCGGGUUGGGAAUGGAAGGACGACAAUGUUUUGGGUGGACAUAUGGUGUGGUAAUUGUCCACUAAAAUUGGAAUUUCAAAGGCUGUUUCGCUUAGCAAGACAAAAAGGAGGUACAGUAGCAGAUUACUUGAGAAAUAAUGGAUUUGGUAGAGUAAAGUGGAGUGAACUCUUUACAAGAUCCUUAUUGGAAAGAGAGGAAGAGAUGCUUCGUAGAUUGGAGGAUAAAGUGAGUAGCACGGAGUUAGUUCCUAGUGGAGGAUCGGCUUUGUUGGGUACACGAUCGUAAUUAGGAAUUUAUGGUAAGGAAGUGUGCUAAAUAAUUGAAUUAUUUUGAUAUAAAAUUUUCAAUUGGUGGGAGGCUGAAUGGGAACCGGUGGAAGGAUUUGAUAAAUUAUACUCAUUGUGUUAUAAUAUGAAAUUGGAUAGAAUCUGAAAAAGCUUAUGGUUGAUAUCAAUUUCGGUAGCCUGUUGGACAGUAUGGUUGGCAAGAAAUGGACUUGUCUUUAAAAGAAAGAUGAUGACCAUGGAAACUUUGAUUUUUCAAUCAAAGAUGAGGGCAUUGCUGUGGAUAAGGUCCGCCUAUGAUGAUUUAUUGAUGUAGGAGAGCUCUUGGUGGAUUUGCCCGAACAGGUGCAAGAUAGAUACAAUUAAAUCCAGAUCAUCCUCAUCGAUAUGACGCCCUCCUCCACAAGGAUGUUUAAAGUUCAAUGUAUGUGGGAUAGAAAAUAAGGAUAGUGCAGGUUGUAGAGGUGCUUUGAGAGACAUGGAGGGUGUUGCAAGAGCUCUAUUUUCAAGUCCGAUUGCAACAGAUGGUACUGAUUUGACAGAGGCAGGAGCAGUGCUUUUAGCAUUAGAAGUAUUUAUAUCUCUGGAAUGGAAGAUAAAUGACUCACUGUUGGUAGAAAUUGGUUCUAAAGUGGUGUUCAACUGGUGUACAAACAAGUCGAUGAGACCAUUGUCACUCCAAUCAACAUUUGCAGAUAUUGAGAGGAAAAUUGAGAAGGUAGGUAGUGUUGUAGUUUCAAUGGCAGAAAAGAAAGGAAAUGAAAUGGCCUCAAACUUGGCAAUAGCAGGUAUAAAUCGUGGAGAAAUGUUUAAAGCUAGGUGGUGAGCAUUAGAUUUGAUGUCAAACGUCAGUUUUCUAUUGUUGAAAAUGUUACAUUAUGGGACGCUGUAAAUUUAAACUUUUGAAUGUUGUUCUUGCUGUAUUUACAACAGGUCAAUUCAAAUGAAGAAAAACAAAUAUUUAGUAGGCUUUUUAUUAGUCAAUUUGGAUUUUGGUAAUAGAAAACUAAAAUAUUCAUUAAAAAAAUGGUUGGUUGGAAUUUAAUUUAGAUAUUUCUUAAGGUAGGCAAUUAAAAAAUUGACUUGAUUGGCAUUUUAUGUAGAUAUUUCAUAAGUUUCUAAAGUCAAAUUUUAAAAAUUCGCUUACUUCGCAUUUUAUGAUGAUAUUUUAUUCAAAUAUUUUUAAUGAAUAUGAAAUGUGAGUUUUGCUAUUAAAUUUUGGAUUGUGUUAAUAUGAAAAUUAAAAAUGAUGAAAUUAAAGAGUUUUAAUAGCGAUUUCUCUCUAUGUUGAGAUUCUAGCUCCAAAUGUUGGCAAAUAUUUGAUUGAAAUAAUAUAUGAGAGAUUUGGACGAGUUGUGGAUAUAUUCAUAGUAAAAAAACUGAAGGUGAUACGAUUUUUGUAAAUGAAUGUGAGUUUCAUACAAAAAUAUUUAAGAAACAUGAGAAAUGAAUUAUUUUUAUUUAAGAAAAUAUACUCGUCAAAUUCAUAUCACCAUUUAGUUUAAAAUUUUAAAAUAUUUUUUUAAUAAAAGAAAAAGAAUUGCCAAAUACUUUUUGGAAGCUUUUUUUUUAAUAAAUAAUCAUUUAUUCAUUAUAUAGAUAAAAGGUUGGCAAGAGUGCAAGACUCAUAGUUCCAAACAAACCACAAACAUCAACACCAAAUGAAAGGAAGAAAAACACGAGUACAACAUAUAUCUUAGACCAUUUGACACGGCUAACUAAUUGUAGUAAUAUGAACUUAUGCUAUUGGAUACGAAGCUUUCAUGGCGAUACCACAUAAGCCACCUUUCCUUUCCACAUUCCUUUGAAUCUUCAUAUACCCAUUUUCACCCCAACUUUGUCCCCAUGAAUUCUUAAUCAGCCAAUAGUUUAAACCUUCUUCACUUGUCCCAUAUCCAACAAUGGUGACUGCAUGGGUGAGAGAAUUUCCACAAUCUCCUUUAAACACUCCACCAUUGUAAAACCGAAAGUCUCGUCCAUGGCCUUCAAGUGCAACUGAGACCGGUUGAUUCGUGACGGCUUUAAGCAAUGCUUCUUCGUCGUUUUUAGGCACCAUUUGAUAGCCACUGAUGGUGGCAACUUCGUUUAUCUGUGUGUCGCAAGUUUCUUGCAUUUCUUUAUAUGGGUAGCUUUCUUCAGAGGUUAUUCCUUGGUUUUGGCUAAUGUAAUCGAAAGCAUUCAUCAUCCAUCCUCCUUCGCAACCUUGGUUUCCUCCAUUUCUGCUGCAAUCCAACAGUUGUUGCUCAGAUAAUGGGAUUAAUUUACCAGUUUUGAUUUUGAUUAACCCUUCAACGGCUGCCACUGCUGAAAAUGCCCAACAACAUCCUGCAAAGUAAACCAACAAAUAACCCUUUUCAAGUAUUAGUGAAUAAAUAAAUGCUUGGGGGAGCAGUAUAUAUAAUUAUUUUAAAUUUUUAAUUAAUUUUAGUGUUACGUAUCAACUGAAAACUAACUCGGUUGUGAAAUUAUUAAAAUACUCUCGUAACACCAAUUUAAUCUAGAGUUUUAUGGGUUUAUAUAUAUUAUGGAGACUUACCACAUUGGCCCUGAUUCUUAAUAUGAGUAACGGCAUUUUGGUCCCUCCAAUCGAAGCUUUUCGGAGCGUUUGAGUAGUUUUCAUACAUAAACGGUGUUGAUUCCAACAAUGUGGGAUUGUUCUGCAUCUUGUAUCCAGUGUGAGUUGCAAUGAAUUCAUCCUGUGUCAUGUCUGCAAAUUCAUUGAGGCCUAACUUAAAACUCCUAUUUCCGCCAUUGUUGAAGCUCUCAAUAUAUUCCAAGUUGUCUUUGAAUAUAUUAAGACGCUUCUCCUUCUCUAAUUUGCUCUCAUAUUUUCGACUGAAAUCAACCAUCCAUUGCUCAUGUUUGUCAACAAUGGUGCUUUCAAGAAUUGUUCGACACAUGGCAAGAGAUACCAAUGUCCCAAGAAUUAAAAACAAAAACACAUGGAUUAAACUCAUCAUUUGUUUUUUUUUUUUUUUUGCAAUACAAGCAGAGAUACUUCACUAAUUUAAGGGCUUUUUUCUUUGCUAAUUGCUAAGUUGUGAAGAACUAGCACUCAAUGAACGUAUAUAUAUACUACAAAAAAAUUAUUGAAAUAAAUAUUUUUUUAAUUAAGUCAUCUUAUGUAAAUUCAACUAAAAUGCCAAUCAAGUCUAUUUUUAAAAAAAAAAAAAGAAGAAGAAGAAAAGUAUUUUUUUUCUUAGCAAAAUCCAAAUUUGACAAAUAAAACUCUGCUCACAAUAUAAUAACAAAGAGAAAAUUGUAAUCUUUCUAAUUGAUGAACCCUACUCACAAUAUUUUCUAUUUUUCUUUCUCUUGAAUUGAAAAUCGAUUUUAGGAAAACACCCAAAGUUCACAUUAUGUUAAUUACUACUACAUAUUUUCACUUUUUGACCUUCUAAUCUCUAUUAUUUUGUUAGAAUUGUAACUUUGUGAAAUUAUAUACAAGUUAAUUAUUUUAAUAAGAUUAUGUUUUGUAAUAUAAUUAGGGGAACAUAAGAUGAUGAGUAAUUCCCUUGUUUGGCUCAUUUGGAUGGAAUAUAAGAUUCAAAUGAUUGAUUUACAGAAUGUAAGAUUAUCUAGAAGCACAUUUUAUUAAAUUAUCUUUGUUAUAAAUUUUUUUAACAAGUAUAGUUUCUUUAAUAGUUUUUAGUCUAAAUUUUCAGAAAUUAAUCAUAAAUUAUUAUAUUUUUUUAUUACAGUCUGUAUACUAAUAAGUGUAUAAUAUUUAAAUAAAUUUAUAAAUCAUAAUUAUAAUAAUUAAUGAAAAAUAAUUACGUCACCAAUCAUAAUUAUAACUAUAAUUAAUAUAGUAAUAAAUAAGUUAUUAGAGUAAAUAUAGUAAUUAUAGUUUUAAAGUAUGAUAACUGUUGUUUCACGAUUUAUUAAAAACUUUAAAUUUAUUAAAAUAAUAAAAACAAAGAGUAAGUAUGCCCAAAAUUCAAGAUUAUAUCUAUAAUCUAAGAUAAUCUAACAAAUGAAUUGUAUUAAGAUUACGAUAUCUUGAUACUAUUUUAAGAUGUAAGAUUAAGGGAUGAUUAGAAUAUUGAGAAUCCAAAUAAAAUAAUCUUCUUCUAGAAUGUAACAUUACAUGCAAUAAUGUAAGAUUGAGCCAAUUAAACAUUACAUGAAGUCUUUAGUGAAAUCAUCUAGGCCUUCAUUAUCGUCUCUUACGCCCCACUACAUAAUUGGCGCGCCGAUGAAGCAAAUGAGAAUGUUGACAAGCAGGAUUUGCGCUAUUUUUUCUCUUAAUUUCUUAUGUUUGAUAGUUGCUGCGUGGAAUAGAAAGAUAGACCAGAUGCAAGUCACGGUCAACUGCCCUUAUUUGCAACAGAGCCAGGGUGAUUUUUUUUAUUAAUUUAUUUUGAAUAUUUUUAUGAAAAUAAUGCGUGAACGGACAAAACAAAAUUUUAUUGUGGAUUCAGUUAUUAUAGUAUUUUGAGUUUAAGGUUAACUAAGAUACGAACAGUUUCCUCUGGUUUGCAAAAGUUAUUUCAUCAAUGGUAGUGGGACAUUUAGACUCCACCAUCAUGAGUCGUAGAAUAAUACAUAUUCGUCUAUUAAGAAUGAGGAAUUAAUAAAACAGAAGCAAACCAAGUGAUUGUUUCCUCUGUAGGGAGGACAAGCAAUCUAAGGAUAAGAAAAAGGUUAAAACUUCAAGUUAUCCCAAAGCGAACAAAAAGAAGUAUAAAAACUUAUUAAAAUCUAAGUAUUUUUAUCAACAAGUGUUGGUUACAAUGGUAAGGUAUAUUGCAUUGCAGACGACAUUGUUGGAAGGGACAGUCAUGAACCUAAAACAUAGACCAUAAAACAUACAUGAAUAAUACCCAAAAAAAAGUCCAAGUGUUUCUUUUGUAAUAACAAAAAGAGCACUGCAAGGAAAAAUGCAAAGAGUGUAAGGAUUACCUAGCCUCUAAGGGUGAAGGUAUGAAACUUGAUUAUUGAAACUUGUUUAGCAAAAGACUUAAUAGACCACUAAGUCAUUGAUUAUAGAGUCACUAGUCAUGUUUGUAUUUCUUUGUAGGGGUUUAAGGAAACGAAAAAUCUUCAGGAUAAGAAUCUACCAUUGCGAACCGGAGAUGGGAGCUAUGUGGCUACAAAAACAAUCCGAGAAGUACAUCUUUAUUUUGAUAGUUUUAAGAAGAUUGCUUUGGGAGAUGUUUUCUAUGUACCAAACUUUAGAAGAAAUGUAAUUUAUAUUGCAUGUUUAUUUAAAGACGAUUAUACUGUGACUUUCUGUAAUGGUAUUGCAAUUCAUAGAAAUCAAUCUCUUAUCUCUAAUGGAGGGAUGCAAAAUAAUAUUUAUUUUAUCAAAUCAAAUAUGCACUUACUGCUAGAAAUUGAACUCGUAAAUAAGAAACUUGAAACUUCUCUCUAAUGAGGCAUACUCAUGGCAUCUAAGACUUUAUCAUAUUAAUGAAGAUAAAAUCAUUAGACUUGUGAAAGAUGAGACUUGAAGUUCACUUAAAAAGGUACAUAUUUCAUAAUGAGAGUCCUUCCUUAAAGGCAAAAUGAUCAAGUGACCUUUUAAUGCAAAAGUUACACAAACCGUUCAACCCUUAGAAUUUGUACACACUGAUGUAUGCGGUCUCAUGAACGUUAGUGCUUGAUAUGGUUACGAUUAUCAUGUAACUUUUAUAGAUGAUUAUUCCAAAUUUGAUUUGGUGUACCUAAUGCACUGAAGAGCGAAAUCUACAAUAAAUUCCAAGAGUUUCAUGCAGAAGUGAAGAAACUAUUAGAUUUUCCCAUUAAGGCACUUCGGUCUAAUCGAGGUGAGGACUACUUGUUAGAAGUCUUCUUAGGAUACCUCAUAGAAAAUGAAAUAUUAUCCUAAUUAAUUAUGUUGGGUACUCCACAAGAGAAUAACAUAGCAGAGAGAAGGAAUAGAACUUCACUAGGCAUGGUUUAUUUAAUGUUAAGUGAUUCACAACUGUCAAUAUUCUUUUGAGGAUAUGCAUUAUAGACAACUUGAUAUAUUUUGAAUGAUGUACCAACUAAGACCAUAUAAAACUCCCUACCAAUUGAUAGAGAAAGAAUCAAGAGUAAAGCAUUUGAGGAUUUGGGGAUUCCUAGCCUAUUGGAAAUAUUAGUCUAGAAAAUAGUAUUUUUAAGCAUAGCAAAAGAUUGAUUUUAUUUUAAAUUGAGCCCUUUUUAUAUUUAUAGUAAUAAAUCCAUAACUGAAAUUAUAUUUGUGUUUUAAACGAGGUGUUUAAAGUCAAUCCCACCUUUCUACCGAAUGAUUUUAUUAGCUAUUCUCGAACCCAAAUUGGUUUGAGUGGGGGCUCUUCAUAGAAAAAAAACAUUUUAUUCACUUUCAAUGGGAAAAUUUUAUAACAGGAAACUAUGCGUUUUCCCUAAAAAAAUAUUCUAUAAUAUAAUAUUUCACUAUUUUCUUAAAAAAUAAAGACGCUCAAUAGAGUGUGUACAAUUGGAAAAAAUUUAGGUUUGAAAACAAUUUUCUUACACAACGAAAAAUUAAAAUCUUGAAAAUUGACUCGGUUUGUGAUUUUUAUAGCAAUAAGCCCUAACCAAAUUCAUACCUGUGUUUUCAGCUUAGCGAAUGUUCGCUAUUCUCGACUUUCAACUAAAUGAUCUUCUAUUCUUGUACCACGAACUUCUUCGAGUGUGGGCUCGAACCAAUUGAAUCGAAACACAGAACUAUAAAAAGUUUUCUCUUUUAUUUAGGGUUAAAACAAAAUUUCUCUCUUCUUUAAUAGAAACUGGUAGAAUUCUUAUUCAGGAAAAAUAUGUUUAGUAGUUGAUAAUAAAUUCUCUUUAUUUUUUGGUAGAGUAACAAUCUCUCAAAGUUGUGUAUAAUACCAUACUAUUGUCAUCUAUUUAUAAGAAGAAAAGGUAGAACCAUUGUUUUGUUGUAGUGGUUUAUUUUAAAUAGAAAAAUAAUUUCUUAAUUAGAGUAGUAGUGGGGUGGACGACACACCCUAGUAUUCCUACUAGGGUUGUCACCCCCUUCAUGUUAUAUGAGGGGUUUUGGGCCUCUCUCACACCGGGUCCAAUUACGAGUACUUCUUAAACCUUUUGAAUCAGUACUCUAUAAUGUGAUCCAACUAGAUUUGGUUUUUCUAUUUACCAAAAUAAACUUUAAUAUUCUAUAUUAAAAAAAUUUCUCAUCCCUAUUUUACCCCCAAUAAAAAUUUAACGAUUUUCCCCAUUGUAAAAUUUUUGGCAAUUUUUCUCCUAAUAAAAGUUCGAGAAUAUAUAUUCAAUAUUUCAUAACUCAACAUGUUCACUGUGACUAAAUGAUUUAUUUUCAUUUUUGGGCUUCAAAAUAACUCAAAAAUAUAAACUUGUUUUUCCAAUCAUUUUUAAGUAAUCCAUAUAGAAUUGCAAAUGGAUCAUUUCCAUUUCCAUUUCUAUUUCCAUUUUUUGAAACCUACAUUCAUUUAAAAAUGAUUCCAUUUUUUCAUUUUGAAAAAAUCAUAAUCAUUCAUGAAUGUUUUUCAUUUCUCUUUUGCUUUUCAUUCUAUUCAUUUCUAUUCAAACUCGCAAUUCAUUUCUAAUUUCAACAAGCUAGCAGAAGGACUGAUUGUAUAUAUGUAAUUAGGGCUGAAAUGAUUUGUAAUUAAGUUUUCGCUUACCGCCUGUUACUUAUAAACACAUUUCGUCACAAAUUCAUUCCACUAUAGUAUCGUUAUUGAGCUCUACCUAAAGGCAUACCAUUACAAAAGCAACUACUUUAGUGCUCGUCCAAUGACAUUUUCAUAAGUGUGUCACCCUCAUAGGAUAUCCUUGAUCUUUUUGGGAUAAUAUCUGCUCUCCCAAUAUGAUCCUUUUUUUUCUCAUGGUAACCAUUACAUCUUCCUUCAUGAAAAAUCAUUCACUAUUGUCGAAACCAUUUUUUUGAUAAAACGGGUUCGACUUAAAUUGUGAAAACGAAAAUGGAGUCGCCACCGAUCCUUUUUGUUAGGUGUGAUCGGAUCACCUCGUAAUAGUUGUUUUAACAAAAUAUUUCGAUUUUAUCAAAACAAUGAUUUUGGUCUGGGAGUCGGUUACGCACGAGGAAGGGUUAGCACCCUUGAUGCGCCCAAAAAUUGGUACCUAAUCGAUUAAUAGAUGUCUAAAUGCCGAAAGUUGAAAUUUUUAAAAAAAUUUAAAAUACGAUCUUUUUUUAUUAAUGUAAGUUUAGAAAAAUCAUUUGAGCAAAUUAAAAAAAGAUCACAGACCCGCUUAUACCAAAGUAACGAAAUAUUGCAUCACGUAAGUUAGGACGCGGUAUUUGAAACUUUAGAGAAUAAGCUUGUCUUGAAUUUUAUUUAUAUUUCAUAUUUUGAAAUUUAGGAAGACAUUUCGCUGUUUAGGUUUGAUGAGAAAAAUUGAAACCCCGUGAGUUAGAGCACGAUUUCUUGGGUUACCUAAACGCGAACCGUUACCUUAUAAUGAAAUUUUUCAUUUUUGAAAUUUUAAGAAGGAUACUUUGUUAUUUAGGUUUAGCGAUAAAAUCGAAACCCCGUAAGUUAGGGUACGAUCUCUCGAAAACGCAAAGUUAUUGCCUUAUCGAGAUUCCUUUCAAUUUUUUUGAAAUAUUUUAAAAGGAUAUUUUGUUAUUAGUUUUAACGAGAAAGACCAAAACCUCGUAAUUUAGGGCACGGUUUUUUUCGUAUUUCUAACAUGCAAAAUAUUUCUUUAUUUUGGGAAAUUUUUCUUUUUGAGUAAAUAUGAAUAAAAUACUUAAGGGGCACAUGUGUAGUUCAUUAUGCUUUCAAAGAAAUCGUUAACACGUAAAAGGAACUAUACAUGGCUAUUAAUAAUAAUACAACAUACAUUGAAACAAAGGCCUAAUAUGCAUCAUAAAAUAAAAAUGUUUUAAUAAUACAACAUACAUUGAAACAAAGCCUAGCCUUGGAACCUCGUCGUCGUCUGCCGCAUCUUCACUGCAACACCACCGAGGACAGUGGCCGGAGAUAUGCGAGAAAAGGGCUUUUUAGCCCGUGCCCGUAAGAAAAGAAGAACAAAAAGGGGUUCUUCAUCGUCCCCUUCUUAAAACGAAGCCCAGGUACGUUUCUUUACUUUUUUUAUAUUUUUGAAUGUAUAUAAAAGAAUAAUAAAAAUAUUAAAAAGAAAAUUGCAUAAAUAUUGAAAACAGAAAAACGAAAGUACAAAAUCACCUUAGUUUUUGCUUUUUUAUUUCUAAUGUGCGUAAAAAUAUACAACGAGAAUAUUUUGGCUUUUAUAGCCAGGUUACAGCCCUUUAAUUUCUAUCUUUUUGUCAUCUUGCUAUUUAAAUUCUCUGUUGUUGCAUGUGGUUCGUUUUGCAGAUGUCAGACACGUGGAUGGCCAAUGAUAUGUGAGUCUUGAGCGAUGUCGGCGUGCGCGAGGGAGGCUGGCAGAACGUGAGGCACUGGGGCAGUGGGCAGAGGCGUACGGUGCUGAGGCAUUAGGCAGAGGCGUGCAACGCCUUAGGGUUUGCUUCUCUGCUGAAUGUUUGUUGUGGGCUGAUGUUGAUUUGGGCUUAAGGUUAUUAAUUGGUCUUGGGUUGUUGUUUGGGCUGGAUUUUGGGCUUGUUUUUUAUUUAUUAUUUUUUGGUUUUAUUUUCUGGUUUUGGCACUGGGCCCGGGUAAAAUUGGGCUAUUAUAACUAUCAAAUAAUGAUCAAGUCAUCCAUCACAUAGAGGAACGACAUGUUGCCACGUUUACUUUUAAUCAACCAUGUAAUGCAUAUGAGAUGAUAUCAUUUAUCCAUGUCUCGACCUAUGACUUUCACUAUUGUGAAUGACGCUAUAUACUGAAGAAGUCAUACACCCAAUGAAUUAGCUUUCAGUUUCGUAUCUAUUUGAACUCGAGUUUUUACUUACAUCAAAGUGUACAUAAUAAUUGUAACCUUCUCUUGCACUAAUACUCAUGGGGCCACAUAAGUUAGUUUGAACAAGUUAUAGGGGUUUUCUGACCCUUGAUCCUUUUCCAUUAAAAGAUCGCUUAGUUAUCUUACCUUCCAAGCAAGAUUCACAUUGUGGAAGAUCAACUUCUUUAAGCGAACUUAAGAUGUCAUCUUUGACAAGUCUAGUGAGUUUUUCUCAGUUAAUAUGACCAAGUAUCAAAUGCCAAAGGUAUGCAUUAGAGUGAGAAGUUUUAAGUCUUUUAUUUGAUAUUUUAGUCUCAAGUAAUGUGAAAGUCUUUGGUUUGAUAAAAUAAAGAUUAUUGACAUCCACCCAUUACAAUUAAGAUUGUGAGUCCAAAAUAUUACAAUUCCAUUGUUAAAAGUCACGGUCAACAUAAAUUAAGAUUGCGAUUUGAAAAUAUUGCAAUUCCAUUACAGAAACAAGCAACAUAAAUUACAUUUCUUUUGAAAUUUGAUACAUAGAAAACGUCUCUUAAAAUAAUCAUCCUAAAAUUUUCAAAAUAAAGAUGUACAUCUCCCAUUACUUCAUCUACCACACUUGUCCCGUUCCUAGACCACAACGAUAAGCUCUUAUAUCUAAGAUCCUUUCUUUCCUCAAACCCCUAUAAAUAAACACAAACAUGAUUAGAGGCUCCCGAAUCAAUGACAUAGUGCUCUAUUGAAUCCUUCACUAAACAAACUUCUAUCAUCAAGAGUUCCAUGCCUUUAACUUUGGUGGUCAAAUAUUCCUUCCACUAUUUACAUUUUGGCUUGAAGUGUCCUUUCUUGUUGCAGAAGAAGCAUCUAGACUUAGAUAAGUCUUUCAGCUUCCUAGUUCUCUUCCUUUCCACAUAUGGUGGCCUCGAGACCAUAGCCAUGCCUUUCUUAGCACGCUUUGUAACAACCCUUACCCGUCUCUGUCACCUGAUUAGGGUUACGAAAUGCUACCAUACAAAAUAGGAUAGAAACAAGCUAUCACAAUUCAAAUUUUAUUUUUAAAAAAUUAUUCAUUAAAAUCUUGAAAAUCUACAAUAAAUUCCAAGAGUUUCGUGCAUAAGUGAAGAAACUAUUAGAUUUUCCCAUUAAGGCACUUCGAUCUAACCAAGGUGAGGAAUACUUAUUAAAAGUCUUCUUAGGAUACCUCAUAGAAAAUGAAAUAUUAUCCUAAUUAAUUAUGUCGGGUACUCCAAAAGACAAUAACAUAGCAGAGAGAAGGAAUAGAACUUCACUAAGCAUGCUUUAUUCAAUGUUAAGUGAUUUAAAUUAGUUCUAAACAAUAGUAUAUUGUCAAAAUUUGAAGCACAAUUAUAACUAUUUCAUAUAAACAAGUCUACCAAUUCUAAUUUAUUAAACAAAAAUUAUCUUAAUUAAAAUGUUAUUUCAAUAAAAUGUUUAAAUUUCACCUAAAAAAAUCUAUUAAUCAUAUUUUAUUAAAUGAAAAUAAUCUUCAAUGAGUGGAAUUAAAUAUAUCAAUUCAAUAAACUAUUAUGUUCCCUGAUUAAAUACUUUACUAUGAAUUUGGAACAUUAUAAACUUAUAAAUUCAUUACUUGAAUUUAAUAACUUAUUAUUAAUUAAUUUAUUUAUUUAAUUUGAUAACUUAUAUUGAUUAAUUGAACUUGUUAGAUUUAUGAACAACAUAAUUAGUCAUGUGAAAGAAUGUACAGUAAAAGAUGCAUAAAAAUAAUAAUGUGUGCACCAACUAUAUGUUUUUUUUUAAUUUUGUUGUUUGGAUCUUUAAUUCUUUUUUUCUGAACAUAAUUUUUAUUUUUUUAUUUGAUGGAAGUACAUAGUAUAAAUUUUAUGCAAGUGUAUAACAAUUGUCUUUCUAUACUAGACAAAUUCUUGAAUAAAGUUAUUAUACAGAAGGUUCGACUGUUUAAUCAAAAUCUAAAGUCUUUAGUGAAAUCAUCUAGGCCUUCAUUAUCGUAUCUUACGCCCCAUUACAUGAUUGGCGGGCCGAUGAAGCAAAUGAGAAUGUUGACAAGCAGGAUUUGCACUAUUUUUUCUCUUAAUUUAUCCAAUUCUCUAUAAUAGUCACCCGUUAUAAUAAUAUUUUAUUAUAAUAGUUAAGUUUCUAGUGGAAUCAGUUUUUUUAUGUUUUAUUUUAAUCUUGUAUAAUAGCAAGAGAUACCAAUGUCCCAAGAAUUAAUUUUUCCUAUAGGACAUGCUUUCAGUUAUGUUAGCUAUAGGACGUGUUUUGGUAUAAAUUAACAAUUCAACUUUGUUGGUUAGAUGGUUAAAUAUUAAUAUUUUUGUUCUUAAAUUUCGUGUUUGAUUCGUCUUCUACUCAAGGACAAAAGUAUUAACAUUUAACCAUCUGAUCAAAAGAGUUGCGUUAUCAAUUUUUAGGAUGCGCUUUCAGCUGAUAUGACUGAAAGCAUAUCCCGUAGGUCACGUUUUUCUUUCUUUCUCCAAAAACAACAUAUUUUUUUUCUUUUUCAGCAUAUAUACAUAAAUUAGCCUUUUAAACCAUACUUGAGUAUCAAAUAAUAUUUCAGUAUUUUUUAUAGGAAAUGUUUAAAUCAAAUAACUAAAAAGAGAAUAAAAAACUCAAAUGUAAAAGGGUUGAUGAGAUUAUUCAUAAAUACGAAAUUUGUUUUUAUAAAUAUACUUACAUAAAUACAUAAUGGAUGUGACAUAGUUGAUGUUUGUUUUUAUUUUUCAUGUGUAGCACUAUCAAAUCUACUUGCACCAAAAUUCUAACCCAUACGAUAAUUCAUUACUUUAGUUGGCGCAGCAAAUAAUGAGAGCGGGAUUUGUGCCCAAAAUUAUCUUAUUUUCCAUUGUGUGAUUGGAUGACAACUUCCAUCCCUCCAUGCCUCAAAUAUCUAAACAUACAUUGAAAUCAAUUUUUCUUAUAUUUCUUAAUUCCUUUACUUCUUAACAAUUCUCCCUCUUUGUCUCAGAUUUAUGUAUAAUUUAUCAAGAGUCUACCUUUUUUUUAAUUCUUAAAUCUAAAAUCUUAAUAUUAAUCACUUCAAAUAUUCAUAUAUAAUGGGCGUCGAAAAUAAGUUUUAUAUACCACUAACUAGUUCACUUUCCAAGUAAGGAUAUAAGUCCCAAUUGUUGACACCAUUUUUUUUAUUCAAAACGGGGUUGACUUGGGGUUUUGAAAAAUGAAACGGGAGUCGCCACCAAUCUUUUUUUAUGAGGUGUGAUUGGAUUACCUCGAAAAGUGGUUGUUUUUAAUAAACGGUUUGAUUUGAUUAAAACAAGUUUGGUCCACGAAAUUCAGAAAACGGGUUCGGGAGUCGGUUACGUACGAGGAAGGAUUAGCACCCUCGUAACACCCAAAAAUUGGUACCUAGUUGAUUAACUAAUGUCUUGAUGUCGAAAAUUGAGAACUUUGACGAAUUUUAAAAAUACGAUCCUUGUAUUAAAACGUUGAAAAUUUCCAGGAAAAGGGGCAUAUUUCACGUUAUUCGAGAAAGAGGAUCAUAUCCAGUAAGUUAGGACACAAUGUCUCGAAUUCUCGAUACGUAAAUGAAUGCCAAAAUUUUACUUAUUUAAAAGACAUUUUAUUAUCUCGAGUUUAGGAAAGGGAUCAUGCCCAGUAAGUUAGGGUACGAUUCUCUCGAAUCUAAACACGAAAUAAUAUUUAUUCAAAACAAAUUUUGUUAUAUCGAGUAAAAUAAAACAUGAAAAUCGUAGUAAAAACAUGUGAAAGCAAAUUACAUUGUUAUGAUGCAUAGCUGAACCAUAAUGGGUACGAAAAUAUGAAAAUGAUACAAACAAUAGCACAAUAUAAAAUAAAUAAAAGGUUAAAUCUACAACGUUCAAAAUAACGAUCAUAUAUAAACGAAUUAAAUUAAAGCAUGCAUCCGAAAUAAUAAUGAAGAUGAAGUAAAUAAAUACUGAAUACAAUUCAAAAUGUAAAGAGGUAUGUAUACGUAUGUAAAUAUAAAUUAAAAUAUGUAUGCAUAUGUGAAUUAUAAAAUAUGUAGAAAAUACCUAUGUAGAAUAUAUUUUAAAAUAUAAAGAAUAUAAAAAAGUACAUAUAGGUGUAAGUAUGUAAAAUUAUGAAACAUAAAGAAUAUAUAAAAAAUUGUAUAUUUUUUGAAAGUAUGAAGUGUAUGCAAGUAUGUGUAUAUAUAUAUAAUAAAGGUGUAUGAAAGUAUAUUUUAUACACGUGUAUUUAUAAAAUGUGUAUAAAUAUAUAUUGAUUUACCAAUACAUAUGGAUAUAUAAUUAUAGAAUAUAUAUAUAAAAUAUUUACAUAUAUACGUUUAUGCGUAUAUAAAAGUAAGCUAUUAUAAAAUAUGAGCAAGCAUAAUACAUAUAUAUAGAGAGAAUAAAAAUGAAGUUGAAAACAAUAUAAAACUACUUAAUAUAUUAAUAUAAUAGUAACAAAAUAAAUAAACAGAAAAUAAAGCUAAUAAUAAUUAAUAAUAGUAGUAAUAAUAAUAAUAGUAAUAAUAAUAAUAAUAACACUAAAAUAAUUAAUUAAACAAUAAAAUUGCUAAAAAGGGUUUAAAUUGAAAUAAAAACCUAAAUACUGGGCGAUUUUGAUAUAAAUAAAAACUAAAAGGAUUAAAUUGCAACACACGCCAAACAUAGAGGGACCAAAAUAGUAAAUAAGCCGAAGCCCCGAAACGCGGCGCAACAGUGGGCCAAAUUGGAACAAAAAUAAAAUUCUGGGGCUAAAUUAAAAAUAAAAGGAAAUAGCGAAAUAGGACCAAAUUAAAACACGCCGCAAAUCGGAGGGACUGCACACGCAAAUAUCCCCCUUAUCGAAAACGCGCGGAUCCUCCCCAAGGUCGGGUCACCGCGCGGGUCAGAGACCAAAAUGACACCGUUUUGGUCUCUGAACCCUAAAUUCAAAAACGGCACCGUUUUACAGGGUAUUUAAACCCAUUUUUACAUCAAAAAAACACUUCAGCCGUUUUUAAAAAAAUAUAAAAGGGGAGCCCCUUUUCUCCCUAAGAAGUCCGGCCAUGUGGGUUUCCUUGGCCCCUGUUGCACCGCCGCUCGGCUCGCCGCACCGCCACCACCCCGACGACUGGCGAAGCGCCAGAAAGACGUUCAAAGCCCCAUCCUCCGGUGAGUUUCCUUUUUCCUUUCUUUUUUUUGAUUAUAAAUAUAUUAUGUAUAUAUAAGUAGAUGAAUAAAAGAAAAUAAAUAAAUAAAAGGUUUAAAAUCUGUAAAAAUGAAAACAAAAGGGAUCAGAAAUCACCUUUGAAACUUAUCUUUUAUUACUUUGGUAAUAUUUGUAUUUUUUUGAUACCUCAAAUUCUAACCCAAGAAGAAGAAAAAAACGGGGUACAUAUUAGGCUUUUUAUAGCUGAUUUUUGGCUACUGUUUCUGUUGUCUUUUUGUGUUGUUUUCUUUUUUGCAGGUGACCGGCGGCGCAAGUAGGGUGAUUGGAGCAAGUGGUGGUAGGUGCGACGCAGCAGUGGCGGUGGCAGAGGAGGCCAAGGGUCGAAGAGGGCGACGCCUAGGGUUUCAGUCUCUGAAACCCUAGGCUAAUUUUUUUAGAGAAAAUGGACCUGGGCUAUUGGGCUCCGGGUUUGGGUUAGGGGCAUUUAGGUUUGGGCUGGGUCUGCUGGGUUUGGUUUAAUUGUAAUUGGGCUUGGUGUAUUUGGGUAGGUUAAUUUGAAUUAAGCUUGGGCAUUGGGCCGGGCAAAAUAUGGGCUUCACAGCUGCCCCUCUUUGCUCGUUGUCGUGUAACGAGAACAGAGAAAAGACUAAAAAAGACCAAUUUUGCCCGGUCUCACCGGAUUUCGACUUCUUUUGACGCUUCUCUUCUUCAAGUAGCCACAUUUCAAUCCACUGUGUCUUGUCGCUUCAAUCCGCUCUACUGCACUUCAGCAAGAUCUGACUUGUAGCUUCAAUCUUCUUCAUAGCAACUUCAGGAGACGAGAUUCAUGGUUUUGGUCUACUCCACUGCAACGUCAGGGAGAUAAGGCUGGAUGCGAUCUGCUCUACUGCAACUGCAGAGAGAUAAGUUCUGUGGUUUUAAAUCCGCUCCACUGCAACUUUAGGGAGAUAAGAUUGGCUUCUUCUGUCUGUUUAACUGCAAUGUCGGGGAAGUAAGAUUCGCCAUCAUAACUUCAAUCUGUUUGACUGCAAUGUCGGGGAAGCAAAAUUUGCUGUCGUAGCUUCAAUCUGUUCCACUGCAUCGCCUGGGAAGUAAGAUUCGCCGUUGUGGCUUCAAUUUUUUUAAUUGCAAUGUCGGGGAAGUAAGAUUCACCAUUGUAGCUUCAAUAUGUUCCGCUGCAUCGCUUGGGAAGUAAGAUUCACCGUUGUGGCUUCAAUCUUUUGAAUUACAAUGUCGGGGAAGUGAGAUUCGCCAUUGUAGCUUCAAUCUGUUCCGUGGCAUCGCUUGGGAAGUAAGAUUCGCCGUUGUGGCUUCAAUCUUUUGAAUUGCAAUGUCAGGGAAGUGAGAUUCGCCAUUGUAGCUUCAACUUAUUCCGCUGCAUCACUUGGGAAGUAAGAUUCACCGUUGUGGCUUCAAUCUUUUGAAUUGCAAUGUCGGGGAAGUGAGAUUUGCCAUUGUAACUUCAAUCAUUGUAGCUUCAAUCUGUUCCGCUGCAUUGCUUGGGAAGUAAGAUUCGCCGUUGUGGCUUCAAUCUUUUGAAUUGCAAUGUCGGGGAAGUGAGAUUUGCCAUUGUAGCUUCAAUCUGUUCCGCUGCAUCGCUUGGGAAGUAAGAUUCGCCGUUGUGGCUUCAAUCUUUUGAAUUGCAAUGUCGGGGAAGUGAGACUCGCCGUUGUAGCUUCAAUCUGUUCCGCUGCAUCGCUUGGAAAGUAAGAUUCGCCGUAUGAUCUGUUCUUUGGGGAACAUGACCUAUAUGAACCUAUUUAUGCCUAGUGAUCAUGAUCGAAAAUGAAUCAGAAUAUCCUGGCUAAAUGUGUAUGCAUGAAUGCAAAAUGAAAAUGAUCUUUCAAUGUUUGAGUUAUUAUUGUCCCUUGCUCAAUAAGGUCUUUUUGCCAACGCGUCCGAAUGCUAUCUUGUCCGGUUGGUAAUGCUCAUCUCUUACUUGGUCAGAUUGCCCCAACUAUAAUCUUCAAAGUUCAACUCACUGAAUGCAAAAUGUGAAUCAUCUUUCUCCCUCUGUGACCCAAUAAUAGAAAGACCUGGCCUUUUCUCGUUCCUCUGUUAUCAUAAUUCAAUGAUACAGAAUGUGAAAACUCUUUGGUCUCCUACACUAUUCCCAGGGUGUCAUACCAAAUGUUUAUACACAAUUGCAAAAUUUUCUCCAAAAAAACCUCUUUUCAUCACUUGGUGAUUAUUGAAGCUUUGUCACCAAUAUGACAUCUUGCCAUUUUGUUUAAUCCAUGUUUGGACAACAAAGUUUGAAAGGAUAGUCCUAUCUUAGACUUUUUCCUUUUAGGCACUUUAGAUUUGGUGUGUUCUAAACAACAGUCCUGUUUCAGGUUCCUUCAUUUUUUAGAAAUUUCUAGAGUAAUAUGCAAAACUCCUUUUGCUUGAACAUUCAGUCCAUUAAUCGUUAUUUCAAAUGUUUUGAACAAGAUUAUCACAAUGGACCAACAAAAAUGUUAUUGAGAACAAAUCUCAAAAUGAAUAAGUUAGUUAAGAUGACAAAUUUUGCUAAGAUAAAAAACAAUAGAUAAAAUGGAAUUUUAUUGGGGAGCAAAACUUGAAAUGAAUACAUUAAUCAAGACAACAAAUUUUGCCAAAAUUCAAAAUAUAUAAGAUGACGACAGGUGCCCUAGAUAUCGCAGCAUGAGCUUCUCUGCAUAAGCUUUAAUAUGUGUUUAGGGAAUCUACAAUAUUUUGUCGAUGCCCCAAGAUGUCGCCUAUCCUUUCUUACUGAUUCAAGUAUAGUGAGACCUCCACAUGCCCCAGAUCUUGAUCAAAAUUUGAGCUAUUUCGUUCACUUCAUACCUCAUCAAAAUUUGAGUCGCCUUUUUUAGGUUUUCAACUCAAAUCCCCUUUGGUCUCAAGGCGCCCUUUAUGGGUUUUCACCUUGGCCUCUCCUUUUUUUUAAGCGAAAUAUUUCUUGACUGAAUUUGAGUUUACAGGAUUUGGCAGGUUUUUACCAUCCAUCUCGCUCAAGAUCAAAGCUCCUCCAGAAAAGGUCUUUUUUACCACAUAAGGACCUUCCCAAUUUGGCAUCCAUUUUCCUCAAAAAUCUUUUUUUAGAGGAAGAAUUAUUUUCAAAACCAGGUCCCCCUCGUAAAAUUCUCUGGGAUGAACUUUUUUGUUAUAGGCUCGUAUAAUUCAUUUCUGAUACAUCUGACCGUGACGAAUAACUUUUAACCUCUUUUCUUCUACCAAGUUUAGCUAGUCAUAUCGAGAUUGAAUCCAUUCAGCCUCAUCUAACUUUAGUUCAGCUAAUACUCGGAGAAAAGGGAUUUCUACUUCUAUGGGUAAAAACGCCUCCAUUCCAUAGACUAAAGAAAACGGUGUUGCCCCAGUAGAGGUCCUAAUGGAGGUACGAUAUGCCAGGAGGGCGAAAGGUAAUUUCCCGUGCCAGUAUUUGUAGGUUUCAGUCAUUUUCCCUACAAUUUUCUUGAUAUUUUUGUUAGCUGCUUCUACGGCACCAUUCAUUUUUGGGUGAUACGGUGACGAAUUAUGAUGUCUGAUCUUGAACUGACUGCAAACUUCUGCUAUUAAGUUGUUGUUCAAGUUCAGCGCAUUAUCGGAUAUGAUCUUUUCAGGCAUCCCGUAUCGACAUAUGAUCUCUUUUUUUAGAAACUUGCUAACCGCUGACUUCGUGACAUUAGCAUAUGAAGCAGCCUCCACCCAUUUAGUGAAAUAAUCAAUAACCACAAAGAUAAAACGAUGCCCAUUAGAAGCCUUUAGAGAUAUUGGCCCGAUGACAUCCAUUCCCCACAUGGAGAAAGGCCAUGGAGAAACCAUAACAUGAAGGGGUGAAGGUGGUGCAUGCAUUUUGUCACCAUAAAUCUGACAUUUAUGGAACUUUUUGGCAUAAUUAAUGCAAUCCCCUUCCAUGGUUGACCAAUAGUACCCAAAUCUCAUAAUUUGUUUAGCCAUCGUGAAACCAUUGGCAUGCGUCCCACAGAUACCUUCAUGUACUUCUUCCAAAAUUUUCUUGGCCUCGACAGCAUCCACACAUCUCAACAAUACUUGAUCUUUUCCCUUUUUGUACAAGAUAUCCCCAUCUAGGACAUAAUCAAUGGCUAAUCUCCUUAACGUCCUCUUAUCAUUUUCCGUCGCAUGGUCGGGGUAUUCACGACUUUUUACAUAUCGCAAUAUGUCCUGAUACCAGGGGUGAUCAUCUUUUUCCUCUUCAUCAUCAAUAUUGUAACAAUGGGCUAGAGUCUCAUGAAUACUAAUCUGGAUAGGCUUCAUAUCUUCUGGUUUGUUCACUUUGAUCAUAGAGGCUAGAGUGACCAAAGCAUCUGCCAUCUGGUUUUCAUCUCGUGGGAGAUAAUAAAUGGUGACACUGACAAAUUCCUCAAUCAAUUCCAAGACCAAUUUUUGAUAACAGACUAACUUCGGGUCUUUCAUUUCCCAUUCCCCUUUUAGAUGGUAAAUUACUAAUGCGGAGUCCCCGUAUACCUCUAGCACCUUAAUUUUCCGCUCUAUGGCUGCCCGGAUGCCAAUAAUGCAAGCUUCAUACUUAGCCAUGUUAUUUGUGCAAUCAAAGUCCAAUUUGCUAGUGAAAGGGUAAUGAUCUCCAGUAGGGGACACAAGUAUUGCCCCAAUUCUGUUGCCUAUAGCAUGUGAUGCUUCGUCAAAAUUCAGCUUCCAAGGACCACCUUCUUGAAAAUCUUUUUCUGCAAUUGCAACAUACAUCAAAUCCUCAUUUGGGAAAUCGAAGUUUAGUGGCUCGUAAUCCUCCAGAUCUCUACUUGCCAGGAAGUCCGCUAUUGCACUCCCUUUUACCGCCUUUUGGUUCACAUAGACUAUGUCAAAUUCAGAUAGAAUAAUUUGCCAUCGGGUCAUUCUCCCAUUCAGAGCAGUUGACUCCAUCAGGUAUUUUAGAGGGUCCAACUUAGAGAUUAACCUGGUUGUAUGGUACAACAUGUAAUGUCUCCAAGUUGUCCAGAUCAGGGCACAACAUAGCUUCUCAAUUGGCGAAUAUCUCGUUUCGCAUUCAGUGAACUUCUUGCUGAGAUAGUAGAUUGAUCUUUCUUUUCGUCCUGACUCAUCAUGUUGACCAAGCACGCAUCCCAUAGAAUUUUCAAAUACUGCCAAAUACAGUAUGAGCGGCUUGUCUGGCAGGGUGGCAUCAGCACUGGGGCGUUGGACAAGUAAUGUUUGACUUUUUCAAAAGUUUUCUGACAUUCCUCAUCCCAUACUCCUGGAUUGUGUUUCUUAAGGAGACGAAAUAUAGGGUCGCAUUUCUCGGUUAGCUGUGAAACGAACCGAGCGAUAUAGUUUAGUCUUCCUAGAAAACCUCGAACCUCUUUUUGAGUACGUGGUGGAGGUAAUUCUUGUAUUGCCCUUACUUUGUCAGGAUCAAUCUCAAUUCCUCUCUCACUGACCACGAACCCCAGCAAUUUUCCUGAUCUGACUCCGAAUGUGCAUUUCGCUGGAUUUAGUUUUAGCUGAAAUUUUCUCAACCUUGUAAAUAAUUUCUUAAGGACCUGCACAUGUUCCUCUUCUGUUUUAGACUUUGCAAUCAUGUCAUCAACAUAGACUUCUAACUCUUUAUGCAUCAUAUCAUGGAACAGUGUUACCAUGGCCCUCUGAUACAUUGCCCCCGUAUUUUUCAACCCAAAUGGCAUCACUUUGUAACAAAAGGUCCCUCAUAGGGUUAUGAAUGUAGUUUUCUUCAUAUCCUCAGGAUGCAUCUUGAUUUAGUUAUAUCCAGAGAAACCAUCCAUGAAAGAAAACAGCGAAUGCCCUGCUGUGUUGUCUACCAAGGCGUCGAUGUGCGGCAAGGGGAAGUUAUCUUUUGGGCUAGCCUUAUUUAAAUCUCUAUAAUCUACACACAUCCACACCUUCCUAUCCUUCUUAGGGACAGGUACGAUAUUGGCUUCCCACUCGGAAUAUUUGACCACUUGCAGGAAUCCAGCAUCGAAUUGCUUUUGCACCUCCUCUUUUAUUUUUAAUAAAACAUCAGGCCUCAUUCUUCGGAGUUUUUGCUGAACAGGCUUGUAAUCUGCCUUUAUAGGAAGACGGUGAACUACGAUAUCAGUGCUUAACCCAGGCAUAUCUUGGUAUGACCAUGCGAAGACAUUUUUGAACUCUCGAAGCAACUCAAUGAGGUCUUGUUUUACUUCUUCAGUUAUGCACGUGCCAAUCUUCACCACCUUUCCCUCUUCUAGGGUCACCGUCUCUACCGUCUCCUCAUGAGGCAGGAUUUAUUUUUCUUCCUGCUCUACCAUCCUCAAUAGGUUCGGAGAUAGGUUGCAAUCUGUGUUAUCUUCAAAAUCUUGAGAUUGCUCUAAACACAUAUCUCGGUCAAAAGAAUUUUCUGAGUCCAUAGUAGAGUCACUCAUGUCAUUGAUAUCUUGGGACCUGUUAUGGGUACCGAAGAAUGUACAGGGAAUGUAUGAAUUUAAAAGUUCUUAUUUAGUAUGAUUAUGAAUUAAUGAAUGAAUGAUUUGGAAUAAAAGGCAUUCAAGAUGACUAUUCAUGCGAAAUAAUGAAAAGAGUUUCAAAAUAAUAUAUACUCAAAAAGAAAAUACGAUGAUAUAUUUCAUUGAAGUCACAAUGUUCAAACAUAAGCCCAUUUCAUUUCACAAAAGUUUUCAUUUUCUCUAGGCUUAAACAGUUAGUAUGUCUUGAAUAUUACUCUGGAAAAGCUCUAAAAACUUCAGGCAUUUCUUCUGCAGUCCAAUUGUUUAAAACACUCCCAGGUUCAAAGGGACAGAUGCCUGAUGUACUUCCUUCUUUAGAUUCUUCUUCAAAUAUGGCAUUGAUGUUCAGGUUUCCUAACAUCUCCUCUGUGGUAUUCUCUCUUGGAAUCCUUAGUCUAGAAUACAUGGUCCCUCCCGAUACGAAGGUCCUGGAUAAGUGGGGAAAAGCCAUAGGUUCCCAAUCAACUUUUUCUCCAUUCAAACGCGCCUUCCUCCUCUCUUGUCUUUUCUCCAACUCUUUUGUUCUUUGCUUGGCAUUUGGCUUAAACCCUAAACCAAAACGAUCUUGUUUGUCCUUCACCACUGGUGCGUCUAUCCUUUCUUGAAGACAUCUUUCCAGUCCUCUUCCAGGCACAGGUCCUUUCCCAACUGUCAUUCGUAGUCCCAUCCUCGUGGCCCUAAAUAUGCUGGGCAUCAGGAUCUUCUUUCCCUCAAUGACAAAGGUCGCAUUUACGAACUCUAGGGAUCAAAAGGAACAUUCGACCGCCUCAUCAUUCAUUCCCAAGUACGGUGCAUCACUUGUUACCGAUGCAAUGAUGUCUUUGUCAGCAUUAAUCGUAAUCAACCGGCCUUCUGUUACCAAUUUCAACUUCUGGUGCAAUGAUGAAGGCACCGCCCCCGCUGAAUAAAUCCAGGGUCUUCCCAACAAGUAAUUAUACGAAGGCUUGAUAUCCAUUAAUAAGAAGUCCACCUCGUAUGUAUUCGGGCCAAUCCAGAGAGGUAUUUCUAUUCUUCCUAUUAUGCUCAUUUCAGUACCAUCAAAUGCCCUCACUAUGUUCUGGCAUGAUUUCAUGUGGGAGCUGUCCACCGGCAAUCUGCUUAAGGUGGAUAGGGGCAAGACAUUCAGGGCUGAUCCAUUAUCAAUCAACACACCUGGUAACAUAUAUUCUCCGCAACGAGUGGUGAUAUGUAAGGCUUUGGUGGCUCCUCUCCCUCCCGGCGAUAUUUCAUCAUCAUUAAAGAAAAUGAAAUUGUUGGCACUUAUAUUGCUAACCAAUCGGUCCAACUUGUUCACUGAGAUAUCAUGUGCGACAUAAGUUUCAUUUAGCACCUUAAUCAACGCAUUACGAUGUAUUUCUGAACUUAGAAGUAAUUCGAGCACUGAGAUACGAGCCGGUUGCUUAUGUAAUUGUUCUACCACGCUGUACUCGCUGUGUUUCAAGAAUUUUAGAAAUUCUCUAGCCUCAUUUUCAGUUACCGGCUGAUUGACAUGGGAUUCAACUUUGUCUGUUUUUACUUUUUCCAGCUCAACUGCUAAGGCUUUUCCUUUUCUAGAUUCCACUUUUGCACUUGCCGGAUCAUAGCGCUUUCCACUUCGUGUAUAGAAUCCUUCAUUUUCUUCUGAAGCAUUUACCAAGCUCUCUUUUCCUGGAAUUGUCACAUUGCAGUUGUAAUUUCAAGGAACCUUUUUGCUAUCCUUGUAGGGAAAGGAUACAGGUUUUUGGAUUAUGACCUUUGGCGUUGUCUGUAUUCCGGAUUCUGUGUUCAUUGGCUUUGAAAUAAUAACCACUGGGUGGUUAACCUCUUGGGCUUUCUUCGCAGAUCCUUCCUCUGAAGCACAAACUUCUCCCUCUUCUAGUCCCUUGAUUUCUUCAUAAAACUCCAAUUCUUUGUUGUCCAUUAAGUUUUGCACCAUGGUUCUGAACUCGGUGCAUUUUUGGAUGUCAUGGCCUUCUUCUGCAUGGAACUCACAUAACUCCCUUGCUCAUUCAUGCCUUUCUACCGAAUCUUGCUUGAUGAGACCUUUUUUCACCAUUUGUUUCCAAACCCAUCCAAGAGGGGUCCUUAUCUCAGCUAUGUUUGCCUUGACUCUCCUUUCUUUCUCAAUUAUCGCGUUCACCCCUUUACUAUCAUGAGUGGGCAACGGAUUCUCUGCUACAUUUGGUCCAGAUGAUUCACCAAUCUUGACGAUCCCCAAAUUGAUAAGUUUUUCAACUAACUUCUUGAAUGCAGUGCAAUUCUCAAUCGAGCGCCCCUUAGUCCCUACGUGAUACUCGCAUUGAGCGUUUGCGUCAUACCACUUAGGGUACGGAGGUUGCAUAGGUUUCAGGUAAAAUGGGGAUACCACAUGUGCAUCGAAUAAGUUCUGGUACAAUUCUCUAUACAUCACUGGGAUGGGUGUGAAUUGGGGUCUCUCUAUAUUUGGCCUUGGAUUGGAUUCCUGUUUCGAAGAACCCUGCUGAUUAGCGGUUACUAUUCUGCCUUGCCCCAUCAUGAUUGAUUUAGAGUGGUCCUUGUUAAACAUGCUUGUAUUUUUUAUCUCGUACUCCUUCUUUCUUGGUGCUGACCUUUUAGUACUUUCUCCUACUUCUAUCUUGCCACUCAUUAUGGCGUUCUCUAUCAUUUCUCCAGACAUCACUAUGUCUGAAAAGCUCUUAGUGGCACUGCCCAACAUGUGAUUGAGAAAUGGGGCUUUCAAAGUGUUGAUAAAAAGCAUGGUUAUCUCUUUCUCUAAAAGUGGUGGUUUAACUUGCGCUGCUACCUCCCUCCAUCUCUGAGCAUACUGUCGGAAGCUCUCAUUAGGUUUCUUUUCCAUAUUUUGCAAUACAAUUCGAUCAGGUGCUAUAUCCAUCACAUGUCUGUACUGUUUUAUAAAGGCCUGCGCCAAAUCUUUCCACGAAUGGAUGUUGGCCUGACUCAAUUGAUUAUACCAUCUAGCCGCUGACCCGAUCAAACUAUCCUAGAAGCAGUGAAUCAGCAGUUGAUCUUGUUGAUAUACCUAGUCAUUCUUCGAUAAAACAUAGUGAUAUGAGCUUCGGGACAACUUGUUCCGUCAUAUUUCUCAAAUUCAGACAUUUUAAAUUUAGGAGGGAGGACUAAAUUAGGUACCAAGCUCAGAUCUUUAGCGUCCAUUCCUCGGUGGUAAUCAGCAUUUUCCAUGGCUUUAAACUUUUCCUCUAGCCAUUUACACUGGUCCUCUAAUUACUUUGACAGAUCCACUUUCACUUUCUCCACUUCUACCACGUCAUCGAGGUCAGGGACCACGAGAUUGGUAGGAUUCUCCCUGGGAUUAUUACCUAAUCUGAUUUGAAAAUUUAUUGGCAUUAAAGGAUUCGUCUGAAACUACUGAGGUUUGAUUGUAACAGAGGAUCUUUGUGGGUAGAACUCAGCUUGAGUAUGCGCGUGCGGAGGGGUAAAGCCUGGAGGGUAAAGGGGUUCAUCAUUGUUUCCCUCUUCAUUAUUAACUACAAGAUCCUUUCCCUUGUCAUUUCCUCCUUUCAAUAGCUAUGUUAACUUUGCCAUCAUGUCAUUUUGGGAUUCCCGCAUCUUUUCUGUCAUAUCUCGCUGAAUCUUUUCCAAUCGCUCUUGCAUUUGAUCUUGCAUAUCUCUUUGCAGCAGUUCAAGUUUUUCUAAUCUUUGAUCCAUGCUCUUUGAUUUCGCUCAAGUUCCGUAGGGGUGUUGAUUUUCCAGGUUAACUGAAAUAAUUUUAUUUAAUUAGGGUCCUUUAAUGGUCGUUGAUACAUAUGAUGUGAUGCAAUGCAUGAAAUGGAUGCAAAAAGAAAAGGCGUUGACUCUAAUUCAAUUUCAUUUAGAAAACUUUACUGAAAACAAACUUCUUUACAUAAGGUGGAUUACAGAUACGACUUAGCCCUAAUACUUAAAACUCUAAUCUUCCUAAGUAACGAAGCUAGCUCCUGUCCUCGACUUGACUCCAAUUCGUACUUCACGCUCAACACAUCAGCUUCUACUGCUAACAUCCGCAGAUGAUCACCUAUCUCCCGAAUUUGAACCACAGCUUCUCCCAUAAUGUGAUCUCUAUCUCUUACUUGGUUCUGGAAGUAGUGCAACUGCUCGGUUUGACGAUCUUUAUUAGUUUCCAAGUACUUAAUCUGGAUUUCGCAAUUUUGUAAUGCUGCUUCUAACUCUUCAAUUCUUUCUUUCAUUUCUUUAAUUUUAUUUAGGCUUGCCUUCAAUUCCAUCACAAAAUUCUGAUUUCAAUGCCGAUGGAGAGAUCCUUCUAAUUCAGUCACUCUAUUUUCUAGUUCCCUCUUUUCUUUCUGAUUCUCUGACAAACUCCUCUUUAGAGCCUCGUUCUGUGCUUGAACUUUUUGGAACCUCCUUUCCCAUCUAUCGGCUUUGUUUCUUUCUUCUUGAAUCUCCUUGCGCCACUACUCAGAAGUCUUUCCUAAUCCGGCAGUCCUCAUUGAUAACCGCAACUUCUUGUAAUCUAUUUUUAGACUAUCUAGAUCUUCUUCAACCCUAGCUUUUCCUUUUCUUAACCGCUCCACCUCAAGCUUCUGGAUAUCUGCAUCCAAUCUCAAGUUCAUUUUUUCUUCUUCCAUCUACUCUAGCUGCUUUUCCAACUCUGCAUUUCUUCUUUCAAAAUCCUGCUUUAAAAUUCCCAGUUCAGAAGGGACGACUCGUAAAUGUUCCUCUAACGACUGAUUGCCUUUGUGACUGGAUUUGUGGAUAUUGUCAUUGAUUCUUCUGACCCUCCAUUCAUCGUACUCAGGAGUCGUCACUGGUCCUACAGCCAAUCUCUUCAUUCGACGAGUCUGGUUCCACGCAUUGGAUAUCUCUCGAAUCCUCUUUUGGUAGCCAUCACCCCCGUACGCGAAUUCACACCCGGCUAGUCCCUGGGUUACGGGUAUAAACUGUCUUGACCUGUAUUGUCUGAGCACUAAUAACGGGGCAUAACCAAUAGCUCCCCAGAUUCCAAGCAAAUGGACCCAAUAAAAAUCACCACACUGAUACAAAAUUUCGUCUGGAAGUAACCACGGAGCUCUCCACUCAAUGUCCUCUUCUUGCAGGCUCUGAAGAAUUACCAUCCAUUUUUCCAUCGAAAUGUCAUCUCUUCUCAGUGUACCUACUAUCUCCUUUAGUGGCGAAUAGUUUUCAGAGAAGACCCGAUAUGACACAUUAUCCAUUUUCCAAAAAUGACUGUGGAACCACACAAGUAAUAAUUGUGCACAUCCAACGAAUCUGCCUUCACCCGCUCGUCGACAGGCAUUCAAUGAUCUGAAUUUUUCCACUAAAAUUGCUGGAACCGGAGUAACUCCCUUGUUGAGACGGUCGAAUAAAUCAGUGAUUGCCUCAUCAAUAUGCCCCAAAGCUCUGGGGAAGAUAACUAAGCCGUAUAUGCUCAAAGCGAAGACAUCUACCCUUUUUUUUACAUCUGGAUGCACUAGGACCACAUCUUUCAAAUUCCUCCAAGAAAUGCAUUUGUUAUCCCCUUUUUGUUUAAUUCGGGCUGUGACCCACUGCUCACUCAUACCUGUUAUGUUCAUUAACCUUCUAAAAAAGGGUGCAUUUGUAGCUUUCGAGUAGAUUCUGUCGACUUGACUCUUCGAACACCGAAGUAAAGCCAUAUAUUCUUCUAUCGUAGGCACUAAGUCGACUUUCCCAAACGUAAAACAACUGUAGGUGGGGUUCCAAAAUUGUGCUAGAGCCCAGAACAGGUGUUUGUCUAUCUUCAUAUCUAGCAAGUACGGUAAAUCCCCAUAAUCAGAAUAGAACAAUUGUCUGUCCUCCUCGUUCCACUGGUCUCAAAUUUCUUUCAACUCUUGCAAAUUGUUCUAGGUUACGCUGAUACGGGUGAAGUCCCAUAACUCAGAUUCAUAUCCUUCAACCAGACUAUCUCCUUUCUCCCGCUGCGUCGUUUCUGACCAAGUUUGCACCGCCGCAUUAUCUUCCACCUUAUCAAGAAAUCCCCUUUCCAUGAUAAGAUUUCUUUCUAGAAACCAAAUAUGAACCAACGCCUUUUAUAAUGAAAUGGCAUGCAGUUAAAAUGUCAUGCAUCCAAAGUAAAAUAGCAAACAUUAGUAUCAAGUAUAAGUAUACAAUCCAAAGUAAUUCAGAAAGAAUAAAAGCACCUAUCAGGGUAUGUACUAGGGUUCGGUGUAGUUCUACCUAGGGCGAGUCUCUAUAGUUCACUACAUGAGGUUUAGCUCUAAAGUAAGGGUACCUAAACCAGCAGAUUCCUCGAUCUUCACCUACUAUAGGCUCAUAUAGACCGAGUUCGGUUCAGGGGAAUACAUUUCCCUAUGGCUGCACAGAGAUGAAAAUCUCACGAAGACAUAGGUACAGAUGUAUCCCGGAAGCGAUCAACUGUCCUGCACGGAGGUGAAACCUCACGAAGGAGUAGUUUCUCACUCCCACUUAGAACGGUGUGACCAAAGGUCAUGCAAUGCAAUAUGCAGCAAGAUACCAAAAUUUAAAUCAACACAACAAUUACAACGAUGAAAAUUGUGAUAAAAACGAAUGAAAUGCAAUGAAAGGAUCGUAUAUUUAAAUCAAGUUUUCAAUUUUCAACAAAAAGACAAAAGAUAAUCAACUCGUGGCUCGACUCACUUAUUUUAUGUCCUCAGCGGAGUCGCGAAGCUGUUGACACCAUUUUUUAUUCAAAACGGGGUCGACUUGGGGUUUUGAAAAAUGAAACGGGAGUCGGCACCAAUCCUUUUUUAUGAGGUGUGAUUGGAUUACCUCGAAAAGUGGUUGUUUUUAAUAAACGGUUUGAUUUUAUUAAAACAACAAGUUUGGUCCACGAAAUUCAAAAAACGGGUUCGGGAGUCGGUUACGUACGAGGAAGGAUUAGCACCCUCGUAACGCCCAAAAAUUGGUACCUAGUUGAUUAACUAAUGUCUUGAUGUCGAAAAAUGAGAACUUUGAAGAAUUUUAAAAAUAGGAUCCUUGUAUUAAAAUAUUGAAAAUUUCCAGGAAAAUGGGCAUAUUUCACGUUAUUCAAGAAAGACAAUCAUAUCCAGUAAGUUAGGACACAAUGUCUCGAAUUCUCGAUACGUAAAUGAAUGCCAAAAUUUUACUUAUUUAAAAGACAUUUUAUUAUCUCGAGUUUAGAAAAGGGAUCAUGCCCAGUAAGUUAGGACACGAUCUUUUCUUAAUUCUCGAGAUCGUUUUAAAACUUGAGUUUAAAAAGAUUCGUGUAUUUAGAUUUAUUGUGAAAAUCGAAACCCAGUAAGUUAGGGUACGAUUCUCUCGAAUCUAAACACGAAAUAAUAUUUAUUCAAAAGAAAUUUUAUUAUAUCGAGUAAAAUAAAACACGAAAAUCGUAGUAAAAAAAUGUGAAAGCAAAUUACAUUGUUAUGAUGCAUAGCUGAACCAUAAUGGGUACGAAAAUAUGAAAAUUAUACAAACAAUAGCACAAUAUAAAAUAAAUAAAAGGUUAAAUCUACAACGUUCAAAAUAACGAUCAUGUAUAAACAAAUUAAAUUAAAGCAUGCAUCCGAAAUAAUAAUGAAGAUGAAGUAAAUAAAUAGUGAAUACAAUUCAAAAUGUAAAGAGGUAUGUAUACGUAUGUAAAUAUAAAUUAAAAUAUGUAUGCAUAUGUGAAUUAUAAAAUAUGUAGAAAAUACCUAUGUAGAAUAUAUUUUAAAAUAUAAAGAAUAUAAAAAAGUACAUAUAGGUGUAAGUAUGUAAAAUUAUGAAACAUAAAGAAUAUAUAAAAAAUUGUAUAUUUUUUGAAAGUAUGAAGUGUAUGCAAGUAUGUGUAUAUAUAUAAUAAAGGUGUAUGAAAGUAUAUUUUAUACACGUGUAUUUAUAAAAUGUGUAUAAAUAUAUAUUGAUUUACCAAUACAUAUGGAUAUAUAAUUAUAGAAUAUAUAUAAAAAAUAUUUACAUAUAUACGUUUAUGCGUAUAUAAAAGUAAGCUAUUAUAAAAUAUGAGCAAGCAUAAUACAUAUAUAUAGAGAGAAUAAAAAUGAAGUUGAAAACAAUAUAAAACUACUUAAUAUAUUAAUAUAAUAGUAACAAAAUAAAUAAACAGAAAAUAAAGCUAAUAAUAAUUAAUAAUAGUAGUAAUAAUAAUAAUAGUAAUAAUAAUAAUAACACUAAAAUAAUUAAUUAAACAAUAAAAUUGCUAAAAAGGGUUUAAAUCGAAAUAAAAACCUAAAUACUGGGCGAUUUCGAAAUAAAUAAAAACUAAAAGGAUUAAAUUGCAACACGCGCCAAACAUAGAGGGACCAAAACAGUAAAUAAGCCGAAGCCCCGAAACGGGGCGCAACAGUGGGCCAAAUUGGAACAAAAAUAAAAUUCUGGGGCUAAAUUAAAAAUAAAAGGAAAUAGCGAAAUAGGACCAAAUUAAAACACGCCGCAAAUCAAAGGGACUGCGCGCGCAAAUAUCCCCCUUAGCGAAAACGCGUGGAUCCUCCACCAGGGUCGGGUCACCUCGCGGGUCAGAGACCAAAACGACGCCGUUUUGGUCUCUGAACCCUAAAUUAAAAAACGGCGCCGUUUUACAGGGUAUUUGAACCCAUUUUUACAUCAAAAAAACACUUUAGCCGUUUUUUUAAAAAAAUAAAAGGGGAGCCCCUUUUCUCCCUAAGAAGUCUAGCCAUGUGGGGUUCCUUGGCCCCUGUUGCGGGUUCCUUGGCCCCUGUUGCGCCGCCGCUCGGCUCGCCGCACCGCCACCACUCCGACGGCUGGCGAAGCUCCAGAAAGGCGUUCAAAGCCCCAUCCUCCGGUGAGUUUCCUUUUUCCUUUCUUUUAUUUUUAUUAUAAAUAUAUUAUAUAUAUAUAAGCAGAUGAAUAAAAGAAAAUAAAUAAAAAAGGUUUAAAAUCUGUUAAAACGAAAACAAAAGGGAUCGGAAAUCACCUUUGAAACUUAUCUUUUAUUACUUUGGUAAUAUUUGUAUUUUUUUUGAUACCUCAAAUUCUAACCCAAGAAGAAGAAAAAAAGGUGUACAGAUUAGGCUUUUUAUAGCUGAUUUUUGGCUACUGUUUCUGUUGUCUUUUUGUGUUGUUUUCUUCUUUGCAGGUGACCGGCGGCGCAAGUAGGGGUGAGCAUUUGAUCAAAUCGAAUCGAAUAAAAAAUUUUCGAGUUAAUCGAGUUUUCGAAUCUCAUUUUAUCAUCCUAACUUUAUUUGAAGUUUUCUCAAAUCGAGUCGAGUGAGAUGAAAUUCGAAUCGAAUCGAAACGAAUAUAUCUGUUCGAGUUAAAUUUUAAAAAAUAAUUUUGGGUCCUUGUAACCAUUAUCACCCAUCGUAAUAAAAUUUGCCCACAUUAAUCAAAUUUUUUAUUAACUUUCAUCACUUCAUAAUUUAUUUAUUAUUUUUUUAUAUACUGGUUAGCUUCUUUGCUUGCUUAGUUGUUUCAAUUAUCUUCAUAUUUUUGUCACUAUGUAUUUUGGAAUUAAAAAAUAUAUUAAAUGUAACAUAUGAUUUUUUUAAGAAAAUUUAUUUUAAAAAUAAAAUGUGAAAUUGAUACCAAUAUAAAAUUUUAACAUGAAUAUUUUAUGGCAUAAUUAGUAAUUCAAUUUUAAUAUAAAUAUUCAAUAUGACUAAACAUUUCAAUAAUAUAAAUAAUAUAAAAUGUGAAAUUUAAUUUAAUAAUAUAAAUAGUAGAUAUAAAUAAAAUUAUUACUAUUUAUGUUUAGUGAAUUUUUUUGGAUAAUUUUGAUUUUUUAUUUUUGAGUAAAGGGUGAGAAGUAAAAGUUUAGGGGGAAAAUAAAAAAGUUUUGGGGAAUAAAAGUUUGAGGGAAAGUAAAUAUGGGGAGUAAAAUUUUGGAGGGAAAAUAUUAAAAAAAAAUUGGAGGGGGGAGGGUUUGGGGUAGAUGAGAGGUGGGAUGGGAAAGGAAUAAAAGUUUUAGGGGAAAAGUGGGAGGGAGUAAAAAUUUUGGGAGAAAAUAAAAGGUUUUGAUGGUUUUUGGGAGUAAAAUUUUGAGAAAAAGUAAAUGGGAGAGUAAAAUUUUGGUGGGAAAUAGAUUUUGGGUAGAUUGGGGGGUUGGGAGGGGAGGGGAGUAAAAGUUUUGGGGGGAAAGUAGGAAGGAGUAAAAGUUUUGAGGGAAAAGUAAAUAGGUUUGGGAGUUUAGGGUAAAAAUGUAAAUUAUUAUAGUUUGAUAUUCGAAUUAUUCGAAUUAUUCGAGUUAUUCGAAUUCAAAAACUCAACUCGAUUCGAACUCGAAAUUCGAAAAAAAAUUCGAGUUGAUUCGAAUAACUCGAUUAACUCGAAUAACUCGAUCCGUUUAACUCGAAAUUUGAAUUUUUUUCAAUUUUUUCGAGUGGAAUCGAAUUUUGCUCACCCCUAGGCGCAAGUGGGGUGAUUGGAGCAGGUGGUGGUAGGUGCGGCGCAGCAGUGGCGGUGGUAGAGGAGGCCAAGGGUCAAAGAGGGCGGCGCCUAGGGUUUCAGUCUAGGCUAAUUUUUUUAGAGAAAAUGGGCCUGGGCUGUUGGGCUCCAGGUUUGGGUUAGGGGCAUUUAGGUUUGGGCUGGGUUUGGUUUAAUUGUAAUUGGGCUUGGUGUAUUUGGGUAGGUUAAUUUGAAUUAAGCUUGGGUAUUGGGCCGGGCAAAAUAUGGGCUUCACACCAAUUAUUUUAUUAGACCCAUGUUCAUGACUGAUUUUAAUAUUUUUUGUUGACCCAUUUUUGUAGUGGUUGUCUACGUACCAUUGGAAGUGAUUACUUCAGGUACAUUACUCGUUUUAUUUGUCGGCAUGUUUGACCAAAAUAUUUUGAUAAUUUGCUUGCAUCUUUUUGAGUAUCUUGUGCAACCAAUCUUUUGUUUAUUAUUGGAAAGGAGAUUCAAUCAAGCAAAAUUAUUUUUCAAAGAUCCUUAUAUUGAUUACUUAUGUAACACCCAGGUUUGGCAGGUUCUAAGUUCUGACAAGAAGACUAAGAGCGGUGAGAAGUAGCCUAUCCGCUCGAUUAUCAUUUUGGCGCACAAAUUAGGCGCAUAGCAGAUAAUAGAACAUUAAGCAAGGGUUGUUCUCAGAAUGUAUUAAGUUGUAAAGAAGAAGAGAUUGGUGAGAGUUUUGAGAACCUUGUAAUAAGGGGGUUAUCGCCUAAAUUGACAAUUUUCCAUUUUAGGAGUGGGGCAUGCCAAGCCCACCUAGACUCAUAGUUGUUGAUUUUCAAAAUUGGCAUGGAUUAAAUUGUUCAAUUUUUUUAGGGGACCAACUUACUCAAUGUUAAAAUUGAGAAGGACCAAAAAGUUUUUUUUUAUCCUUUUAUUGUAGAAAGUUGUUUAUAUAUAUAUUUGUGAAAACUCAAAAGAAAGUGUAAAAACUUAUUAAACAGGAGUUAAAUAUUCAUCCCUUCAUUGCUGUUUUCCAGUCAUAUGCUGCAUGCAAACUUAUUAUAUUUAAAUUCCAAAUUCUUUAGUGCAAGUGUCUGGUCUUCAUUCUUUUCUCUUAUAAGAUGUUCAGAUUCAGACAAUUUUGUUUAGCCUUAGACAUGACAAAGUGUUCUAAUAGUACAUCCCGCACGUCACUUAAUUGGCUGAUGUCGAUAAGUAAGAAUGCCCUUAAUUUAGAUCCUUUGAUAGUUGGGUGAUUGGGAUGAUUUAUUUAUUCAUUUUGGAAGUUUUUAUUAGAAUUUGACUUGCUAAUUUUCAUAUUUAUAUUAUAUUUGUGCUUUUUUUUUACAUAAUUUUUUAUUAAUUAAUAAUGUGUUAUAGGAAACAUUUUUAUUGAAUUUAAUAUUACGAGCCAAUUCCAUAUUAAUUUAGUCAAAUAAAUUAUAUAAGAACUAUUUUUAAUAAAUAAUAAAUAUUAUUACAAUAUUAUUUUUGUUUUCUAUUAUAUUCGAGUUAAUAUUUAAUAUAAUAUUAGUGGAAAUUUCAAUUCUAUAAUUUAAAUGCUAUCACAUAUUCCAUUUUAAGAAAAAUAACAUUUUUUUUACUACACUCUAAAAGUGUAUGAGUCGAUUGAGUCUUAACUCGGUUGGUAUUGACAUUGUUGUCUAUGCAGGAGAACGUGGGUUCAAGUGCGUUGAAACACAUUUAUCCUCCCAUUGAAGGAGUGGAGAGACACUAUGGGUAGUUCUUUUAAUUUAACUCGAACAAUUUCAUUCGAUGCGACUAGAUUCAAAUUUUAUUUCACUCGACUCGAUUCGAAAAAAAUCAAAUUGACUUAAGAUCUUAAAAGAGAAUCGUAAACUCGAUUAACUCAAAAUUAUAUGAUACUUCAUUACUUAAUUGACGCAGCAAAUAUUGACAAAGCUGGGUUUGCGCCAAUUUUUUUCCCUUAAUUUCUAUUGUGUGAUUGGUACAUGGAUGAGAACGAACAUAGUUAGUGCCAACCCACGAUGCAAUUGCAAGCCUAAAAAAAGCUAAAGAUGGUGACAAUUCAAAAUGGUAAUAAAUUGAAAUAAUUCAUUUUAUUUUACCUUGCUCAAUUUUUAUUAAAUUUAGUUUUAAUUCAUGUGUUAUCUCUGAAUGAUAUCACAAUAUAUUUUUAAAAAAUUAAUAUUAAUAAUAUUUAAUAACAUAAAAUAAUUUAUAUGUAUUAAAAAUUUAUUAACCACUUCAUAUUAGAAUAAUUCUAUCAUUAUUUCAAAAGGUAAAAAUGUUAUUAUUACACCAAUUAAAAAAUAUCAUAUAUUCAAAUAAUUAAUUCAUCAUAAUUUUAAUAAAAAGUUUCACAUAUAAUAAUGAUAAAUGUAAAAUAAAUUAGUUUAUGUUUAUGAUAUACAUGACUCAUUUAUACCUAUUAAAAUAAAUAAUUUCAAAUAAUAAUGUAUAAAAUUUGCUUAAUAAAAAAAUAUAUUAAAUAAUAAAUAGCAAAACUAUAAUGUUAUUUAUGAACAAGAUGGAUCCGGGGUGGGGAGGCUUGCACCCCCAUUGGAUUUCUCAAAAGUUCUCAAAAUUUUAUUAUAUUCUUAAUUCCUCCCACUUCUUAUCAAUUCGCUCCUUUUAUCUCGGAUUUUAAUAAUUUUUUGUGGAUUAAAGUUUUUGAAGUGACUGCCUAUGUAACAUCUCUAGCCCGUUAGGGAACAUGACGUGCCAAAACCAACCAACAGUCCGCCCAACGAAUUGGAGUGUUAUCGACGGUUUCAACCUUUUUCAAAAUGACUUCCAACUCUUUGAAAUCAACUAUGAAAAAUCUCUUUAAAAGCAUUCUUAGAUUUUUGUAACCCCCUGUUUAAAGUAAACUAUAAGUCAUCCCCAUAGCUUUAAAUGGCAUACGCAUAUAAAAGAAAAUCUUUUAAGGCAUCAACAAUGAAAAUAGGUAAAUAUUUGCAAUUAAUAGAUAAAAAUAUUUUUCAACAGAAACCAUGCAUGAAACCAAUAACAAAAGAACUAAUAGCUCACAAAUAUCAGCAACUCUGAUGUAGUCUCCUUCUACAAAAUCUUCUGCUACUACCAACAAUCCUGAGGAGAUAAAAUAACUAAGUUGAAUUGAAUUUACUGAGUUCCACAAUAUACACAGAUACUGUAUUGAAAUACCUUUAAUUAACAAGCACUAGUACUCAUAACAAAACGGACUUUCCAUGAUAUUUGUCGUAACCAUUUUUUGUAAAACGGGAUCGACUUGGAUUUUAAAAAUAAAAACGAAUAUGGGAGACGCUACCAGUCCUUUUUGAUAAGCUGUGAUCGGGCCACCUUGAAAAGUGGUUAUUUUUAAUAAACAAUUUAAUUUUAUUAAAACAACGAUUUUGGUUUCUGUUUGUUGGGUCAGGGCUAAAUUGGGUUGUACAGCUGCCCCUCUUUGCUCGUUGUCGUGUAACGAGAACAGAGCAAAGACUAAGACAGACCAAUUUUGCCUGGUCUCACCGAUUAUUGACCUAUUCUGGUGCUUCUCUUCUUCAAGUAGCUUUAUUCCAGACCACAGUGUCUUGUUGCUUCGAUCCACUCCACCGCAACUUCAAAAAGAGAUACGACCUGUAGCUUCAAUCUUCAAGAGGACGAGAUUCAUGGUUUUAGUCUGCUCCACCGCAACAUCAAGGAGAUAAGACUUGUUGUGGUAGAUUUAAUUCGAUCCACUGCAACUUCAGAGGUAUAGGAUUCAUCGUUUUAAUCUACUCCACUGUAACUUUAGGGAGAUAGGAUUAGUAGCUUCAAUCUGCCCCACUGCAAUUUCAGGGAGAUAAGAUUGGUAUCUUUAACCUGCUCCACUGCAACUUCAGGGAGAUAAGGUUUGCUAUCUUCAGUCUACUCCACUACAACUUCAGUGAGAUAAGGUCUGCAAUUUCAACCUGCCCUACUGCAACUUGAGGGGGAUAAGGUUUGAUAUGAUCUGCUCUACUGCAACUUCAGUGAGAUAAGAUCUGCAAUGUAUAGCUUCAAUUUGUUCCACUACAACUUCAAGGAAAUAAGGUUCGAUAUAUUCGGUCUGCUCCACUACAACUUCAGGAAGAUAAGAUUUGUAUCUUCAACCUGCUCCACUACAACUUUAGGGAGAUAAGGUUUGCUAUCUUCAGUCUACUCCACUACAACUUUAGUGAGAUAAGAGUUGUAUCUUUAACCUGCUCUACUGUAACUUUCAGGAGAUAAGGUCCACAAUUUCAAUCUGCCCUACUGCAACUUGAGGGGGAUAAGGUUUGAUAUGAUUUGCUCUACUGCAACUUCAGUGAGAUAAGAUCUGCAAUGUAUAGCUUCAAUCCGUUCCACUACAACUUCAAGGAAAUAAGAUUCGAUAUCUUUGGUCUUCUCCACUCCAACUUCAGGGAGAUAAGAUUUGUAUCUUCAACCUGCUCCACUGCAACUUCAGGGAGAUAAGGUCUGCAAUUUCAACCUACCCCACUGCAACUUCAGGGGGAUAAGGUUUGUCACUUCAACCUGCUCUACUCCAACUUCAGAGAGAUAAGGUUUGUGGCUUUAAUUUUCUUCUCUGCAACUUCAAGGAGAUAAGAUUCGCUGCCUUCAGCUUUAAUCCGCUCUACUUCAACUUUAAUCUAUUCCACUACAACACUAGGGAAACAAUAUUCGCUACCUUUAGCUUUAAUCUGUUCCACUGGAACGCUAGAGAAAUAAGAUUCGCCGCCUUAAGCUUUAACGAUAGGGACAUAAGAUUCGCUACCUUCAGCUUUAAUCUGCUCUGUUGUAAUGCUAGGGAAACAAGAUUCGCUACCUUUAGCUUUAAUCUGUUUCACUAUAACGCCAAGAUGAUAGGAUUCGCUGCCUUCAGCUUUAAUCUGCUCCACUUCAACUUUAAUCUAUUCCACCGCAACGCUAGGGAAACAAGAUUCGCUACCUUUAGCUUUAAUCUGUUCCACUGUAACGUUAGGAAAAUAAGAUUAUUGGUUUUAGUCUACUCUACUGCAACUUUAGGGAUAUUAGAUUUGCUUUCUUCAAACUGUUCCACUGCGACUUCAAUGGUAUAGGAUCUGUGGUUUCACAGAUCUGUUCUCUGGGGAACAUGACCUAUGGAAUCCAUUGCAUGGGCCUAUUCAUGCCUAUUAAUUAGAAUAUUAUGAUUAGAACGAAUCAAAAUCUCCUAACUAAAUGUGCAUGCAUGAAUGCAAAAUGUCAUGAAAAUGAUCCCCCAAUGUUUGAGUUGUUAUUGUUCAUUGUUCAUUAAGGUCUCAUUACCAAUACGUUAGAACACUAUCUUGUUCGGCCGGUAACACUAUAAUCUUCAAGGUUCAAUCCACUGUACCUUUAGGACAUAAAAGUUUGAACCAUCUUCUUCCCACUAAGUAUAAGAUCUGGCUCUUUCUUAAUCCUCUCCCACUGCAAUUUAGGGAUACAGGAUCUGAAUAUCUUUGGCCUUACACCACUCUCGAGGUGUCAUACCAAAUAUUUAUGCACAAUUGUAAAAUUUUCUUAUCCGAGAAAACCUCUUCUUAUCACUCCAUUGAUCAUUGCUAGUUUAUUUAUUGAAGCCUUGUCACAAACACGACAUCUUGUCAUUUUGUUCAAUCAAUGUUUGGAUAACAAAAUCUGAAAGGAUAGUCUUAAUUUAGACUCUUCCUUCUUAGAUAUUUCAUCCUUUAAACUUGGUGUGUUCUAAACAAUAGUCCUGUUUCAGGUUCCUAUAUUAUUUAGAAACUUCUAGAGUAAUAUGCAAAACAUCCAUUGUGAAAGUAUUAUCAGAAAACAUCCAUUGUGAAAGUAUUAUCAGUCUAUUAAUCAUUAUUCCAAUGCAACGUGCUUGCAAAAGAUCAUAACGGUAGAUAGAAUAGGAUUAAUUUGGGAACAUGACUUGAAAUGGAUAAAUUAUCAAAGAGAGUAAGAAUAAAAAAGGAAUUGAUUGGGAACAUAUAUCUUGAAAAAGAAUAAAGUAUUCCAAGAACAUCAAAUUCAAUAUAAAUAGUAUGAAGACUAAGAUCCCCAGAUAUCGUAGCUUGAACUUCUCUGUAAAAACUUUCUGAAGACCAUUCUGAGUUUGACAUGUGUUUAGGAGAUCUACAGUACUUUGUCAAUGUCCCAAGAUAUCGCCUACCCUUUUCUGUUGAUUUAGGCAUAGCAAGAUCACCAUAUGCCCCAAUCUGAUCAAAAUUUUAGCUGUUCUGAUCACCUCAUGUCCCACUCUGAUCAAAAUUUGAGCCGCCCUUUUCAGGUUUUCAACUCAAAUCCCCUUUAGUCUCAAGGUGCCCUUUGCGGGUUUUCACCUUGGCCUCUCAUUUUUCUUUUCUUUUCUUCUUCUAUUUUGAAAUAUUUUUUGAUUGAAUCUAAACUCAUAGGAUAAGGCAUGUCCUUGUUAUCCUUUUUGAUCAAAAUCAAUGUUUCUCCAGAUAAGGCCUUCCAUAUAAGGUCCUUCCCAGUUUGGUAUCCACUUUCUUCUGAAGUCCUUUUGUAUGGGGAGGAUCUUCUUCGAUACCAGGUUCUCCUCGUGGAAUCUUCUAGAGUGAACUUUUUUUUGAGCUCGCAUCAUUUGCUUUUGGCACAUUUGGCAAUGAUGGAUAACUUUGAACAUUCCUCUUUAAUCAGGAUUAAAUUAAAAAACUUAGAGAGAAUGAAUCUUGUCUUCAAUUGGUAAACCUCGAUAAGCCCAAAAGAAAAGCAUUACCUCGGUAAAGGCUUUUCACUGCACUAUUCACAUUGGGACGACAUGGUGUUAAUCUUGAACAGGCUGCAAACCUUUUGAUAAUAUGAUGUUCAAAUUUAGCGCGUUGUUGAAUAUGAUCCUUUUUGGCAUUUUAUACCUACGUAUGAAUUUUUCAAGAAUUUGCUGGCUGUCGACUUUGUGACAUUGGCACAUGAAGUGGCUUCUACCCAUGAAGAUAAAUCGAUAACCGUCAAAAUCUUUUGGCGAGAUCGACCUAAUGACCUUCAUGCCCCACAUAGGGAGAAGUCAUGGAUUCCAUUGAUUCUUUGUAGGGUAGGAUCUAUUUUCCAUCUUAUUCUACCAUCCGUAAUAAGUCUAGAGAUAGGCUAUAAUCUAUGUCAUCUUUAAAGUCAUGAGAUCCCUCAAACACAUGUCUCACUCAAAAGGAGAUUCUGAGUCUGUAGCAGCGUAACUCAUGUCAUUGAUAUCUAGGGACCUAUUAUAGGUACAAAGGAAUGUAUAAAGAAUAUAUGAACUUAUGAGUAAUUAUUUGUUCAAUAUGAUUAUUAAUGGAUGAAAGAAUGAUUUGGAAGAAAGUCUAAAAGAAUGAAGGAAUAAAAAAUAAUUAUUAAUAAAAAAAUGAAUAAAUAUUGGCUCAAAAAUUAUCACAAAGAUAUAUUUCAUUAAAAUAAUAACGUUCAAACAUGAGCCAAUUUCACAAAAGAGUUCUUACUGCCUCUAGGCUAAAAGCAACAAGUGUGAUCUGAAUAUUACUCUCAGUAAGCUCUAAAUACUAUAGGGGUCUCUUCUGUAGUCUAAUUAUUUAGAACGCUUCCAGGUUUAUAAGGGCGAAUAUCUAAUAAGGUCUCUUCUUUAGUUGUGUCUUCAUAUAUGGCAUUUUUGUGAACGUUUCCCUACACUUUUUCAUACUUUGCAUUCACCACAUUAUCAAUAUGAUUGAGUAACAGAUUUUCUGCACUAGAUGAAUCAUCAAAUUUGACAAUGCCCAUAUUGAUGAGCCUUUCGACCAGUUUCUUGAAAGUGGUGCAGUUUUCUAUAGAAUGUCCUACAAUACCUGCAUGAUAGUCGUAGUAUGCAUUCGCGUCAUAUCAUUUGGGGUAUGGAGGUUACAGGGGUUUUAAGUAGAAAGGGGAAAUAAUGUGUGCACCAAACAAACUUUGAUACAACUCCCGGUACGACAUUAGAAUUGGCGUAAACUAGAGCUUCUUAGUUUUUGUCUUAUGUCGAAUUCUUGUCUUGAUGGACCUUGUUGAUUAGUAGCCACCUUUCCUAGUUGGUUCACCGUGAUCGAUUUCGAGUAACCCUUGUUAUAGGUGUUCAUGUUGUUCACCUCAUUCUCUUUUUUCUUCGGAGCUGACCUUCGGUUACUUUCUUCAGCCUCGAUCAUCCCACUUUUUAUGGCAUUUUCAAUCAUUUAUCCAUUCAUAACUAUGUCAGAGAAACUUUUCAUGGUACUUUCCAACAUAUGUGUGAUAAAUGGUGCCUUCAGUGUGUUAAUAAAGAGUAUUGUCAUCUCUCUUUCCAGGAGCGGGGCUGGACUUGAACGACAACCUCUCUCCACCUUUGUGCGUAUUGCCUAAAACUUUCAUUAGGCUUCUUCUACAUAUUUUCCAGGGUGACUCUAUCAGGGACCAUAUCUGUUACAUGACUUUAUUAUUUCAUAAAUACUUGUGCUAAGUCUCUCCACGAACUAAUCUUGGUACGGGUUAAUUGAUUGUACCACUUAGAUGCUGCCCCUGUGAGGCUAUCUUGAAAGCAAUGUAUAAACAGUUGGUCAUUGUUAACGUAUUCAGUCAUACGCCUACAAAACAUGGUAAUAUGAGCUUCAGGGCAACUGGUCCCAUUGUAUUUCUCAAAUUCUGGCAUUUUGAAGUUAUGGGGAAGUACCAAAUCUAAGACUAAACUCUCGAGCCAUUUACAUCUUUCCUCCAGCUGUUUUGGCUAUUCUUCCUUGGUUUUCUCAUUCUCAGCCACUUCGUCAAAAUCGGGGACAAUGGAUUGGUAUGGUUCUCUUUGGAGUUAAAACCUAAUCUGGUUUGGAAGUUUAUUGGCAUUGAGGUGCCACCUUGAAACCGUUGAGGCCUGAUUGUGACAGAGGACCUAGGUGGGUGUACCUCAACUUGGGGUUGAACAUGUAGAGGAUUAAAGCCUGGACUGUAGAGGGGUCCAUCAUUAUCUCUUUCUUCAAUAUUAACCAUGGGGUCCUUUCCUUUGUCAUUUCCCCCAGCCAACAGGUGUGUUAACUGAGUCAUCAUGUUCUUCUGGGACUCCAUCAUAUUUUCUGCCAUAUCUUGUUGAAUUUUUUCUAACCGGUCUUGCAUUUGGUCUUGCAUCUCCUUUUGGAGCUGUUUGAGCCUUUCCAAUCUUUGAUCCAUGUUUUUCGAUUUUACUCGAGUAUCGUAAAGGUGUUAUUUUUCCAGAUUAACUAAAAUAAUUUUAUUUAAUUAGGAUCUUUUGGUGGAUUUUAAUGCAUAUGAUGUAAUGUAAAUGCAUGAAAUGAAUGCAAAAGAGACGUUGAUUCUUGGUUCAAUUCUAUUAGAACAACUUUACUAGAAAACAAAUCUCUUUAUAUAAAGCGGAUAUAUAUAUAGCUUUGCCCUCAUAUUCCAAGCGAAUACAACGAUCCUUUUCUUCAUCUGGAUGUUAAAAUGAAUCUCACGAAUUUUUCAAUGGAUGCCUCUACUAGCUCCUUUUUGCUUGAUCCGAUCCGCAACUCAUUAUUUGUUUAUCCUCGUGAUGCUCGUUAGCUUCUUUAAAAAGGUAGGGGCAUUGACGACUCUCGAACAAUCUUUGUCAACUUGAAUCCUCUGGUAAUGAAACAAAGUUACGUAGUCUUCCAUUAGACCAUCAUCUUUCUCUGGUCACAUUUUCUUGGACCAUAUUCGGACAAUCGCAUUGUCUUCCACUUUAUCAAGAAAUAUGUUUUCUUAUGACAAGCUCUCUAUUUAGAUACUGAACGUGAAUCAACACCUCUUUUUUAUGAUGAAAAUGCAAUGCAAUUAUAACCAAAACAAAAGAAAAUUGAUUAGUACAAAACACAAGCAAGCAAGAAAGAAAUAAAUAGAGCACCUAUUCGAGUGACCACUAGGGGUUUGGCAUAGUUCUACCUAGGCUAGGCUCUUCGGGCUCACUAUAUGCUGUUCGGUUCUAAAGUAAAGGUACCCGAACCGGCAGAUUCCUCGAUCUUCACCCAUUAUAGGCUCAUAUGGAUCGAGUUCAGUUGAGGGAAAUACAUUUCCCUAUGGCCGUGCGAAGAUGAAAAUCUCACGAAGACAUAGGUACGGAUGUAUCCGGGAAGUGAUUCACUAUCCCAUGCAGAGGUGAAAACCUCACAAAGGCAUAGCUUCUCACUCCCACUUAAAAGGGUGUUACCAACGGUCAUGCAAUGCAAUGUGCAGAAAGAUACCAAAACUUAAACUAACGCAACAAUUAUAAACCACAAUGAUGAAUAUCAUAAUAAAGACGGAUGAAACAUAACGAAAUGAUCGUAUCUUUAAAUCAAGUUUUCAAUUUGUGACAAAAAGACAAAAAAUAAUCAACUCGUGGCUUGACUCUCUUAUUUUGAGUCCCCAACAAAGUCGCCAAGUUGUCGUAACAAUUUUUUGUAAAACAAGAUCGACUUGGAUUUUAAAAAUGAAACAAAUGUGGGAGUCGCUACCAAUCCUUUUUGAUAAGGUGUGAUCGGGACACCUUGAAAAGUGGUUGUUUUUAAUAAAUAAUUUAAUUUUAUUAAAACAAUGAUUUUGGUUUCUUUUUGUUGGGUCCAGGCUAAAUUGAGCUUGUACAAUAUUUGUUGCAGUGUGUAAAAAUAAUUACAAAUUAUGUACAAAUAUACACAAUUGUAACAAGUAAUAAAGUACUAAGUAUACGAGUACUGUCUCCUUAGGGACUGAACAGGUAGUCAAGAUUUGAGAAAAUAAUUUAAAUAACAAUUUAGGAAGAAAACAACUACAAAUGGGGUUUAUGCGAUUAAUUAAACUAAAUGAUUCUAUCUUGCAAAAUUUCAACAGAAUAAUGAGUACUUCAAGAAAUGAGUUACUAAUAUCAAAUAAUGCUAGAAUACUUAAUCCACUUCUGCCUCUGAUCAAUUUAGUCUGGAUGAAAUUGUUAUGAAAAUCAUGGCAUAAUUAGCGUGUAACAUCCAUAACCCAUUUUUGUCGCCAGAAUAGGGUUACAGAGUAUUACUAUACAAUUCGAAACAUUCCAUAACAAUAGCAUCUAAGUCAUCAAAUUACUUAUUAACAAUAUUCAUAAAUAACAUGAAAUCAAGCAAGACACACAUUCACAGAACUUAAAUCGAGCCUACAAGGCCCUAAAAAUAUCUUAGGAACAAUCAGAGACUAAUUUAAAACAAAACAGGAGAUUUGGGACAAAAAUGAAAAAAAUUCAAAAAAGGGUCACACGGCCGUGUGUCUAGGCCUAGAGCGUGUGGCUCUAGACAUGGCCGUGUGGCCAUCCCACAUGCUCGUGUGCAAGAGCCAUGUAACUCUUUGACUUGGGUCACACAGUCAUGUCACAGCCAGUGUAAACUUUGCACCUAACACGCUAAGGGCACACCCCCGUGUGUGACACACGACUAUGUGAUAACUUGUGUCCCAGGUCAUGUGUACCCAAAAGUGACUAAAAUCAUGCUAAUUUUUCAUCCAAAUUCUUUAGUGAAAAUGUCUGGGUCUUCAUUCUUUUCUCUUAUAAGAAGUUCAAAUUCAGACAAUUUUGUUUAGCCUUAGACACGAGAAAGUGUUCUAAUAGUACAUCUCGCAUGUCACUUAAUUGGCUGAUGUUGAUAAGUAAGAAUGCCCUAAUUCCCCCUAAUUUAUAUCCCUUGAUAGUUGGGUGAUUGCGAUGAUUUAUUUAUUCAUUUUGGAAGUUUUUAUUAGAAUUUGACUUGCUAAUUUGCAAUUUAUAUUAUAUUUGUGCAUUUUUUACAUAAUUUUUUAUUAAUUAAUAAUGUGUUAUUUAUACUAUAAUAAUGUUUAAAACACACUUAUUGCUCUAAGCCUGGGAGCAAUAAGAAUCCUUUUGUGAAAAAGGCAUAUGUCCAAUAUAUUUAUUUCAAUAAAAUGCAUCUUUGUGUUUUAUUUUAGAAAAUAUUCUUUUUUUUUCCAUUUCAUUCAUACUCAUACCACACAAAUAAUUAUUCUUAGAUUCAUUUGUUCUUUGGGUCUUCCUUUAUUCCUAUAACAGGUAUCCAGAUAUUAAUGAUAUGAGUGACGCUGCUGCUGACUCAAAGUCUCCUUUUAAGCAGGAUAUGUGUCCAGAGGAACCUCAGGACUUUGAAGAUGAUCAAGAUUGUAACCUUUCUCCUGAUUUGUUAAGGAUGAAAGAACAAGAUGAGAAAUAAAUCCUACUUUACAAAGAGUCAGUAGAAAUUGUGAGUUUGAGAGACAAAUAAGAAAAUAAAUAGGUAAAGAUCAGAGCUUGCAUCACUGUAGAGACGAAACGAGACCUCAUUGAGUUACUCCAAUAAUUCAAAGAUUUCUUCGCAUGGUUGUAUCAAGACAUGCCUGGUCUAAGUACUGAUAUCAUGGUACAUCGGCUUCCCAUAAGGGAAGACUGCAAGCCGGUUCAACAGAAACUCCGAAGGAUGAGGCCCGAUGUCUUGUUGAAAAUAAAAGAAGAGGUUAAGAAAUAAUUCGAUGCUGGUUUCCUACAAGUGGUUAAAUACUCGGAGUGGGUAGCCAAUAUAGUCCCCGUCCCUAAGAAAGAUGGGAAAGUAUGAAUGUGUGUAGACUACAUGGAUUUAAACAAAGCUAGCCCGAAGGACAAUUUCUCGUUGCCUCUCAUUAAAACAUUAAAAGACAAUACAGUAGGUUAUUCACUGUUCUCCUUCAUGGAUGGCUUCUCUGGAUACAACUAGAUAAAGAUGCAUCCUGAAGACAUGAAAAAGACCAUAUUCGUAACCAUAUGAGGAACAUUUUGCUACAAAGUAAUACCAUUCAGAUUGAAAAAUGCAGGAGCGACAUAUCAAAGAGCCAUGAUAACUUUGUUUCAUGAUAUGAUGCACAAAGAAAUCGAGGUUUAUGUUGAUGAUAUGAUUGCAAAAUCCCUAAUAGAAAAAGAGCAUGUACAAUUCUUAAGGAAACUAUUUUUAAGGUUGAUAAAAUUCCAGCUAAAGCUCAAUCCAGCAAAAUGCACCUUCGGGGUUAGGUUGGGAAAAUUACGAGAAUUUAUAGCCAGCUAAGAGGGGAUCGAGAUCGACCUGGAUAAAGUCAGGCCUAUACAGGAGUUACCUCUACUGUGCACUUAAAAAGAGGUUCGGGGUUUCUUAGGGAGAUUAAAUUACAUCGCCUGGUUCAUUUCACCACUGACCAAGAAAUGCGACCCCAUAUUCCAUCUCCUUAGGAAACAUAAUUCAGGUGUAUAGGAUGAAGAAUGCCAGAAGAAUGUUGACAAUGUAAAACAUUACUUGUCCAAUGCCCCAAUGUUAAUGCCGCCUAGUCCAAAUAAGCCACUGAUACUGUACUUGGUAGUAUUAGGGAAUUCUAUGUGAUGCGUGCUCGACCAACACGAUGAAUCAGGAAGGAAAGAAAUAGCAAUAUACUACUUCAGUAAGAAAUUCACUGAAUGUGAGACAAGAUAUUCACCAAUUGAGAAGUUGUGUUGGGCUUUAAUCUGGACAACCGAGAGACUAAGACAAUACAUGUUGUACCAUUCAACUUGGCAAAUCUCAAAAAUAGACCCUCUAAAGUACAUGAUAGAGUUGACUGCUUUGAAUGGAAGAAUGACCCAAUGGAAAAUUGUACUUUCCAAAUUUUAUAUAAUCUAUGUGAACCAGAAGGCAAUAAAAGGGAGUGUAAUAGAAGAUUUUCUAGCCAGUAGAACUCUAAAAGUUUACGAGCCUUCGAAUUUCAAUUUCCCGAAUGAGGAUCUGAUGUAUGUUGCAACCACUAAAGAAUAUGCUCAAGAAGGACAUCCUUGAAAACUAAAUUUUGACAGAGCCUCGAACAUUAUGGGUAACGAAAUUGGGGUUGUCCUAGUAUCCCCAAUCGGAGACCAGUAUCAUUUUACUAGUAAAUUGGAUUUUGAUUGUACAAGUAAUAUAACAGAAUACGAAACAUGCAUUAUAGGUAUCUGUACAGCCAUAGAACGCAAGAUCAAGGUACUGGAGGUAUAUAGGGGUUCUGCACUAGUGAUAUAUGAACUCAAAAGAGAAUGCGAGACGAGGGACCCCAAGUUGACCAAUUAUCAAAGGCUGACUCUUGAAUUAAUUAAGGAGUUUGAUGACAUCACCUUCUGCUACCUUCCGCAAGAUGAAAACCAAAUGACUGAUGCCCUAACUACUUUAGCUUCCAAAGUCAAAGUGAAUAGACAAGAUGAUGUAAAACCUAUUCAGAUGAGUAUUUAUGAGGCUUCGACCCAUUGUUACAACAUCGAAGAAGAAGAAAAGGAUGAUCACCCUUGGUACCAUGAUAUACUGCGAUAUGUAAAGAAUCAUGAAUACCCUAAUUAGGAAAUCGAGAAUAAUAACAGGAUGCUAAGGAAACUGACUAAUGGCUAUGUCUUAGAUGGGGAGAUCCUAUAUAAAAGAAGAAAGGAUCAGGUGCUACUGAGAUGUGUGGAUGCCAUUGAGGCCAAUAAAAUGAUGGAAGAAGUCCAUGAGGGCGUUUGCAGAACACAAGCUAAUGGUUUCACAAUGGCCAGGCAAAUCAUGAGAUUCAGAUAUUAUUGGUCCACCAUGGCCUUUCUCUAUGUGGGGCAUGGAUGCCAUUAGACCGAUCUCGCCAAUAGCUUCCAAUGGGUAUCGAUUCAUCUUUAUGGUUAUCGAUUACUUCACAAAGUGGGUAGAAUCUGCUUCUUAUGCCAAUGUCACGAAGUCAGCAGUCAAUAAUUUCUUAAAGAAAGAGAUCAUAUGUCGGUAUGGAAUGCCAGAAAGGAUCAUAUCUAAGAAUGCAUUGAAUUUGAACAACAAUACGAUAUCAAAAGUCUACAGUUAGUUUAAAAUCAAACACCACAACUCGUCACCAUAUCACCCAAAAAUGAACGGUGUAGUUGAGGGAGUUAAUAAAAACAUUAAGAAGAUCGUGGGGAAACUAACAGAGACUUAUAAAGACUAGCAUGAGAAGUUACCAUUUUCCUUUUAUGCUUAUUCAACGUCUGUCAGAACCUUCACUGGGGCAAUACCUUUCUCAUUUGUUUAUGGAAUGGAGGCAGUUUUGCCCAUUGAAGUCGAGAUUCAUUCUCUCUGAGUUUUAUCAGAGUUGAAGUUAGAUGAAGCAUAAUGGACCUAAUCUCGAUAUGAUCAGUUGAACUUGAUUUAAGAGAAGAUGUUGAAAGCUAUCCGUCAUGGUCAGAUGUACCAAAAAUGAAUAAUGCGAGCUUAUGAAAAAAAUGUUCGCCUCAGAGAAUUCCAUGAGGGUGACCUGGUAUUGAAAAGGAUCCUACUAAUACAAAAAGACUUCAGAGAAAAGUGGAUGUCGAAUUGGGAAAAACCUUAUGUGGUAAAGAAAGCUUUUUCUAAAGGAGCACUGAUUUUGACAGAGAUGGAUGGCAAAAACUUGCCUAAUCCUAUAAAUUCAGAUUCAGUCAAGAAAUACUUCACCUAAAAAAAUAGGGAGAGGCCAAGGUGAAAACUCGCAAAAGGGUGCCUUGAGACCAAAGGGGUUUUGUGUUGAAAACCUAGGAAAGGGCAGCUUAAAUUUAGAUCGAAGAUUGAACAUGUGGUAGUCAUGUCUACUCAGAACGAGAAACAUUACAUCUUGGGGCUUCAAUAAAGUACUUUAGAUCUCCUGAACACAUAUCAAGCUCAAAAUGGUCCUCAAGAAGUUUAUGUAGAGAAGCUCAUGCUGCGAUAUUUGGGGCACCUAAUUUCAUCUUACUCACUCUGUAUUUUACCAAUGUUUGCUAUUUUGAUUAAUCUAUUUAUUUUAAGCUUUGCUCCCAAUAAAUUUCAAUCUUGUCAAUUGUUACAAGCUUUUUCGAGCAUUUUUACAUUGAAAUAAUGAUUAAUGGACCAACAACAUUCAAGUAAAAGGAUUUUUGCAUAUUGCUUUGAAAGGUUUCUAAAUAGUAUAAGGACCUGAAACAGGACCACUAGUUAGAACUAACCAAAUCUAAGUGUUGGAAAUAUUUGGGAACGAAUAGUUUAAAUUGUGAUUAUUUCUUCAAGUUUCCUGUCAAAGAUACCAGAUUUGAACAAGAAGGUGUGGCAAUACAUCAUUGAUGGAACCUUGACGAACAAUGAGUAAUGUCAACCUAAGCAUUAAAAAGUGAAUCAUUCUCGAAAAAUGACAUUCUGCAUGCACGUAAAUAUCAUUCAUAUACAUCUAGUUAGGAGAAUUUGAUUCAUCCUGAUCAUAACAACCUAAUAGGUUGGCAUAAAUAUAGGCCUAUGAAAUGGAAUCUACAAGUCAUGUUCCCUAGAGAAAUGUAUAACAGAUCAGUGAAACCACAAAUCCUGCACUCUUGAAGUUACAGUGGAGUAGAUUGAAGCUACCAAUCUUAUCUUCCUAAAGUUGCAGUGGAGUAGAUUAAAGCCACAAAUUUUAUCUCCCUGAAGUUGCUGUGGAGUAGACUGAAGUCACAAAUCUUAUCUCCCUAAAGUUACACUAGAGCAUAUUAAAACCACAAAUCUUAUCUUCCUAAAGUUGCAGUGGAGUAGAUUAAAGCUAAAAAUCUUAUCUCCCUGAAGUUUCAGUGGAGCAGAUUGAAGAUAGCGAAUCUUAUCUCCCUAAAGUUGCAGUGGAAUAGAUUGAAGCUACAAAUCUUAUCUCCUUAAAGUUGCAGUGGAGCAGAUUGAAGAGACAAAUCAUAUGCCUCUAAAGUUGCAGUGGGUCGAAUUAAGGGCCAAUUCUUCAUUGCUUUUGAAAAGUGCUUUUGAAAAGUGUUGUGGAAAAGUACUUUUGAGAAGUGCUUUUGAAAAAUUUGAGUGUUUGGUAUUGCUGUCAAAAAGUGCUUUUGAGAAAUAAAAUGUCCAUUUCAGACAUGAUAUUAUAAAGUAACAAAUAUGUAUUUAAAUAAUGUUCAAAUUAGUUAAUAUUAUGAUAUUUUAGCAAAAUAAUAAAAAAUAAUUUAUCAUAACUUAUUGUUUCUAUUUUAAUAUAUAAUAUUAAUUUUAAAUAUUUGUAAGUAAUUAAUAGUAAUUAUUUAUUAAAUUUAAUUAGAUUAUAUAAACUAUAUUUAAAUAUUUAAAUAUAAUAAUUAAAUAUUUGUAAUUAGAUAUUGACACAAUUGUAUUAUGUUAAAAAUUAUUUUUUAUUUUUAAUUAAUGCUUUUAACACAUUUGUAUUAUUUUAUUUUAAAUUAACAUAACAUAGAAAAUAUAAACCUAACAAAUUAAAAUAUUACAUAUAUUUAGAUUAAAGUUUUAAAAAGGGAUAAUACUUAUAUACCAAAUAUAAAUACUAAAAAAUUUGGGAGAAGACAAAGGUUAAAAAUGUAAAUAGAAGCCAAAAGUACUUUCGGCAAAUGGAGAAGUUAAAAAUGAUGUCUGUUCUUUAUAGGUUUUCAGGGAAAACUACUUUUACAUGCAGAAGCUCAUCUGAAAAGCAAUAAAGAACACAACCUAAAUCUACCAUAGCGAGUCUCAUCUCCCUAAAGUUGCAGUGGAGCAAAUUGAAGCUACGAAUCUCAUCUCCUAGAAGUUGCAGUGGGUUAGAAUGAGGCUACAUAAAAAAGAGGAGCACCAAAGAAGUCAAAAUUCGAUAGCACCAGACAAAAUGGGCCCUUCUUAAAGUCUUUAAUCCAUCCCCGUUACAUGACAAUGAGCAAAGAGAGGCAGCUGUAAAGGUCCAAUCUCGUCCAGAUCAAAACCAAAAAUAAAUAAACAAAAUAUAAAAACCAAAAAAUAAAAAAGUCCAUUUGCAAAAUAAUGGCCCAAAUACAAAACCCUAACCCAAACCCAGUGUUACACAAGCCCAAGCCCAACUAACCUAAAGUUUUUUGAAAACCCUAAAACCUUAGGUCUCCCUCUCAUGCCGCUCCUUGCCACGUCAGUUGGUGCCCCUCCCAAAGACACCCACGCCCCGAGGUCUGCUCCUCUGCGACCCUUGCACCAAAACGGCAAAGGCAUAGAUCUCUCUCUGCAGUUGACCGCACACCACCGCCUGCAAUGAGAAAGAAAUAAGGAUAGAAACAUGAAGCAAAAAUAGUAAAAAAGACAGAAGCAAAAAAUAGAAAACACAGAAGCAAACACGAAGAUUUGCAAUCACUCAGCUAUAAAAAGCCGGAUAAACAUAUUGUAAAAUAGACGAAAAAUACAAAGAACAAAAAAACAUUUAAAAUGAAGUUGAUCUUCUUGUUUUAUUUUUUUAUAUUUUGAAAAAGAAUAAUAAAUAAAAAAUAAAACGUGUUUACCUGAGUCGCUUUACAUUCCUUUGUUGUUAGAGGUCUUCUUCGAGGUGGAAAGCUCUAGAACCCUUUAGGGUUUGGCCUGGGCUUCGACGGCAUGGGGUGUGAAAGGCGCGUCGGCUAGGUGAAAGGGCUGAAAAUUUUCUUCUUCUUCUUCUUCUUUUUUUUUUCUUUUUCUUUGCAAAUGGUAGGCUUUGCCUUCAGCUCUAGCUGAAAGGGCACUGAUAAAGCCCGUUUUUGUGUAACUCUAGUGGCCACGGAGGGCUUCCGCUGACUCUAUAGCCAUAUCCUAGGCCGUGAUUUCAGAGAGAAAAAGGGAGAAAUGAGAGGAUUUUUUUUAAAACAUGGAGGAAGUGAUUUUUUUCUAAAAUUUUUGGCUUUUAUAGGCCUCCAAAACGGUGCCGUUUUGGGAUUGGCCUCAGACGUCCAAAACGGUGUUAUUUUAGCGAGACCCGAAUCACUCCCCAAGAUCCGGGUUUUUUUAGAAAUGGGAUAUUUUUAGUUUUAGUCCUUCUGCUUUUUAAAUACUUUUUAAUUUCGUUCUACUAUUUAUUAUUAUUUUUAUUUUGCCCUUUUGUUUUGUUUUUUGUGCAAUUUAGUCCCUCGACCACUGUGGACCCAUUUAGGCUAUACCACGUGUCCCAGGGCUUGGAAUAAUUACCCAUUUCAACCCUGCUACUUUUUAUGCGUCACAUUUUGGUCCUUUAUUCAUUUAUUUUAUUACAAUUUAGUCUUUUAAUUUCGUUUUAAUUCUGAUUUAAUCCUUGGUUUAUUUAAUUUCAACCUUUUAUGAAUUAUUUUAUUUAUUACUUCUUUACCUUUCUUUAAUACUCAAAAUUCAUGUUAUUUAUAUUUCCAUUUUAUUGUGCAUUAUUCGUCUUUAUUAUUAUUAUUUUAUUAUUCAGGUUAAUAUUAUGAUAGUAACUAUAAUAUAAUUAUCACUAUUAUUGCUAUAAAUUGUUGUUUUUUUACUAUCAUUAUAGUUGUAUUAUCAUCACUCACUAGUAUACCAUUUUUAUUUUUAUUUUAUUGAUUUAUUUAUUUGUUCAUUGAUUUACUUGCUUAUCAUUUUAAUAUCAUCUUUGCCUUUUUUACUCGUUACUAUAUUACUUUAUUUUGCUAACAUUCAUGUUGAGUAUCGCGUUAAAAUAUAUUCGUUCAUUUUAUUACUGGCCUAGAUAAAUAAAAAAGCAUAUCGUUAAAAGGUUGCACUCAUUUUACCAUAUGAAUAGGAAAUAUUCUUUUUUUUAAAAAAGACAAGGUUUAUUUUUUUGGAAUUAGAGGAGUCGUGCUCCGAACUUACGGAGUAUGACCUCUUUCUAAAACCGAAAUAGUUGAAUAUCUAUUUUAAAAAUAUAAAGAAAACGAGAUUUAAGUAAUGUCCAAAUGACGAUUAUUCUCGUUUUAAAGGGUUUAAGGCAUCAUAUCCUAACUUACGGGGCACGAUCUUUUCUUCUUGAUUAACUUGAAAUAAGCUCUUUUUGUGAAAAUCAAUUUAGUUAAGCGAUAUUUUAAUAUCAUGCAAAGAGGGAUCGUAUUUUAAGUUUGGUUCAAAUUUUUAGUUUUAGACAUCAAAACAUUAAGUAACCGGCUAGGUACCAAGGUACCAAUUUUGGGCGUUAUGAUGGUGCUUAACCUUCCUCAUAUGUAACCGACUCCCGAACCCACAUCCUUGGAUUUCGUAGGCUAAACAUUAUCAUUUUAGAAAAAUCUAAUCUUUUACCAAGAUGGUUAAAAUUUGAGGUCACCCAAUUACACCUAAUAAAAAGGAUCGGUGGCGACUCCAUUUUUAUUUUAAAAUAAAAAGUCGAUAAUCUAUUUAAACAAAUAUAAUAAAUAUUUUGCAAGUGUGCAAAUAUAAUAAAUAUUAUGAUAUUAGAUAUUAAGUUCAAGAUUCCAUUUAAAGUAUUAAUAAUAGGUAAAUUAUAAAAAUAGUCAUUUUUAUUUACCUCAGAUUACAUUUUAGUCACUUAUUUCAAUAAAAAAAAUUUUCAUGAUUUUUAUAGCUUUUCAACCGUUAAAAAGUUGAACCAUGUAAUUUCUUCUCUGAAACUUUUUGUGCACACUUUUCGGGACGUCUCGCAAGUUUUUGCGAUGCGUUGGAAAACCUCACAAAAAUUUGUUUAUUUAAAUCAAUAUUAAAAUAUAUGUUUAAAAUUAUGAACCCAUGAAAUUAUAAAUCUCAAAUUGGUAUCCUAAACAACCCAAGUCCUAAAUUAUGAACCUUAUAAUAAACGCUCUAAAAUUAUACUAUGGUUUAUAUUUUAUAUGGUAUGAAAUUAAAUGAUCAUAUAUUUUAAUAUGAUCAAAUGAAAACAGUGCAUUGGUUUACUAAUUAAACUAUUAAAUUCAAACAAUUAAUAGUUUGUUACUAAUUAAAAUGAAUUUAGAAGGAAUUUUUUAUAUUGAUGGUUUUUGAUGAUGUGUUUUGGAAGUCUCCUAACUUGGCUUUAUGUAGAGGAGAGGAAAUGAAUGAAGAGAUUUAGACCGAUUUAUGAAGAAUUUUGUUAAAAUGUUAAUAGGUAUAAGUGAACAGACACAAUGAAUGAAAAGCUGCAAUAUUAAACCAAAAGCAAUGAAUCUAUUCACCAAGAGAUAUAAUUGUUCAAAAGAUACAACUGUUCAUCAAGAGUCAGAACUAUUGUUUAAUUUGAGCAUCAAUUUAUCAUUCUAUCACUCAACAAUUUUGAACACAUUAUAUAGAAUAUAAACCCAUAAUUUAUUAUUCAAACCUUCAAUUUUAUCAAUAAAAUAACAUACCUCAAAGUUCCAAAAUAUCAAUUAUUUUUAAUCAACACAAUCUUUAUCGUUUGGGUUUUUGUAAAUUAUACAUGAUUCAUCUUUUACUCUCUUAAAACUAUUUUCUUAUAGGAAAAUAAGAGAGCUAUCUUUUUAAUAAAUUUAUACUCCACCCUCUUAAAUUAAUAAUGGUGAUCACCUACAUGUUAUGAGCACACUGUUAGCCCAAAACAUUUCGAUGUUAGGGUAUCUAUUUAGUUAAUUUAGUUUAAUGAGCUUUCUAAUCGCUUUUGGGUUUUCGGUCUUUUGACUUUGGAAGAUUCAUGUUCAUGCAACUAAGGAAUUCCUCAAGUCUGUUGAGAAGAAUGUGACUUGUCACAGGCUUGCUUAGCAAGUUGACUCAUCCUAGGUUGAUGUAAAUCGUGAUUCUGUGGUAACUUUAUAGGAUCAUUCGAUCUUUCCCCGAUGGUAAACUGAACUUGCUGAUCUCAUGUUGUACUUAUCAUUGUGAAGGGAUGACUCUUAUAGAUCACUAAGGAAGCCAUGAUUAUGUAAUCCAAUUCAACUGAGCUUAAUUGAAUAGUUUUAUAGCUUCCUUCCAUCUUAUCAUUGUGAGAACAAAGUACUAAUAGAGGACUUUUACUAGAAUGCAGAUGAAGUAAGGAAGGGAUUAGGAAGUGGCUGUCAAUGUGUAAUCUGUUUGGAAAUUAGUAUAUCUUAUAUUACUUUGUGUAGGCUAGAAGUAGAUAAAGGACUAAGAAGUAGCUCUCAUUGAUUUAUUGGUGUGGGAACUUUUUUAUUAGAUACGUGGUACUAUUUCAAUGACAAAACCAUGAAAUUGAUAAAGCAUUUAUUAUGGAAAUAAAGUUAAGUAAAACGUGGAAAAAAGAUUAAAUUACAAGUUUUGAAAAGUUUAGGGAUUAAAAUGAAAAUAUGACCAAAAUGAAAAAAGUAAGUUAUUGGUGAUGAAUUGACAUAUAUAAGAAUAGGUGGGGAUAUGUAUUGGUAAGAUGAAUUUUUUUAAGACUAAAUUGAAAAGAUGGGAAGAUAUAAAGACUAAAUUAUAAAUUUCCAAUUUUAUUGAAAAAAAGGUGAAAUAUGUAAUUUUGUGUUGGUGUGUGUUUUGUAGGUGAUUGUGUUGUUGUUGUCUUUAGGAGGGAUGUUCAAAUGGUUAACCGAACCAAAUUAGUAUUAAUUUAAUUAACCAAUUUUUUUUUACCUUUAACUGUUAACUAAAUCAAAAAAUUUUCAAAAAAUAUUAACCGAACCGAAAUUUAUAUGUUUAUUUUUUUAUUAAAACAAGUAUAAAAAAUAUAAAAAAUAAAUAAAUUGUUAAUGUUCAUUGACCGAAUUAAAACUACAUAUAAUUUGUAUUAUUGAUUAUUAAUUAAGUUAAUUACCCAAUUUCAAACUGAUAACCGGACUUUCAAAAAAUUAUUAACCAACCUCGGACCGAAUUAAAUCAAUUAAUCAACUAAUUAAUUGAAUUAGAUCGAUUCGAUAAGUUAACUCAAUUUUAACUGAAAUUUGAAUACCCUAAUAUUUAGGCAUGAUGUAUUGCUUCUUCUUUUUUUUUUAAUCUCUAACUUGGUUUUUCAUCCUUUAUGAGAUUUCAUAAAAUCUAAUAUAUAUUAAUCUUUGUAAACUUCGUCCUCCCGAAGUAAUGAAAUGGCAUUUUAGUAAAAAGAAAUUCCAAGUAGUUAUUACUAUAUACAUUACUAUCAAACUUUUGCUACAUUGCCACUUUAAUUUGUUUUUGGAAGAGGUUUUUUUUUUUUUUUAAUCAUCAUUUAUUCAUUAUAAUGGGUAGAAGAACGCCAAGAGUACAAGAGUGAUAGUUCCAAACAGACCACAGACAUCAACACCAAACGAAAGGGAAAAAAGAACAAAUACAACACAUAUCUUAGACCAUUUAACACUGCUAAUUGAUUAUCGUAACUUGCCUAUCAGUAUGCUCGAAAAUUAGUCAAGCAGUACAACCACAUAUAUAUAGGUAGAGAAAUGUCCAUUAUAUGAACUUACAUAACGGGAUACGAAGCUUUCAUGGCGAUACCACAUAAGCCACCUGGUGUAUUCGCGUCCCUUUGAAUCCUAAUAUAUCCUUUUUCACCCCAAGUUUCUCCCCAUGAAUUCUUAACCAGCCAGUAGUUUAAACCUUCUUCACUUGUUCCGUAUCCGACAACGGUGACUGCAUGGGAGAGAGCAUUGCCACAAUCUCCGGUAAACACUCCCCCGCUGUAAAACCGAAAGUCUUGUCCAUGGCCUUCGAUUGCAACUGAGACAGGUUGACUUGCGACGACCUUAAGCAACGCUUCUUCGUCGUUUUCAGGCACCAUUUGAUAUUCAUUGAUGGUGGCAACUUUGUUUAUCUGUUUCUCAGUGUCGCAAGUUUCUUGUGUUUCUUGAUAUGGGUAGCUCUCUUCAGUAGUUAUUCCUUGGUUUCGGAUAACGUAUUCGAAAGCAUUUACCAUUCGUCCACCAUCGCAACCUCUGUUUCCUCCAUCUGUGCUGCAAUCCAACAAUUGUUGUUCAGAUAAUGAGAUUAAACUACCAGUUUUGAUUUGGACUAUCCCUUCAAUGGCUGCCACUGCUGAAAAUGCCCAACAACAUCCUGCAAAGUAAACCAACAAUAACCCUUUGUUAAGUAUAAAACAAUUGCUUCUUGGCUGAGCAAUAUUUAUAAAAUAUUUUAUAGGAGUUGGGUUAGCAUACUAACAUAUUAUAGGGAAAAAUCAAAUACUGACACGUGGUUGUUAAAAAGUAUAUAAGUCUUAUUGAACAAAAUUAAUUUUUAUAUAUUGACUAAUAUUAUUUAUGUUAAUACAACAUCACAUAUGAUGGUUGAAUUAAGCAAAUAUAUUGCAGAUAAUUAUUUCCUUUCUACAAUGAUGUAAAAUUAAUUAGGGUGAGUUUGGAUGGGCAAUUGAGUGCUGUGUGUUUAACUUACUUUUUGUCUCAUACUACAGUAUCGUUACAGUAUCUAAUCUCACCGUCACUGUUAUUUUUAUAAUAACGGCAGGUAAACGCACCACCCAUCCAAACUCACUCUUAAUUUUAUAGUAAUAUAAGUGAAUUCCCUACAUAUAUAUAUACACUAGAUUUUGAGAUAUCUAUGAUGUCGAUGAAAAAUAUUUAUGUAAAAAAUAUAUUAACUAAAAUUUUAUAUAAAAAUUAAAUAAAAUUUUAAUUGAAAUAAUGAAAUUAAAGGUUUAAAAACUAAUGCUUUAAGCUUAAAUCCCAUCAUGUGUACUUUUAAUGAUUUUAUAUAUAAAAAAAACUCUCGUAAUAAUACAAGUUAGAUUGUAAAAAGAUGACUUUUUAAUUAGUUUCGACUGCAUUUGUGUUCGAUUGAUUUGUAACAUUAACUUAAUCAAUAGUUGUAUGUAAAUUGAGACUUACCACAUUGACCUUGAAACUUAACAGGAGUGACAGCACCUUGGACCCUCCAAUCCAAGUUUGUUGGAACAUCUGAGACGUUUUCAUACAUAAAAGAUGUUGAUUCGGACAUUGCCUUGCAUCUUGUAUCCAGUAUGAGCUGCAAUGAAUUCAUCUUGUGUCAUGUCUGCAAAUUCAUUGGGACUUAACUUAAAACUCCUAUUUCCGCCAUUGUUGAAGCUCUCAAUAUAUUCCAAGUUUUCCUUGAAUAUAUUAAGACGCUUCUCCUUCUCUAAUUUGCUCUCAUAUUUUCGAUUAUAAUCAACCAUCCAUUGCUCAUGUUUGUCAACAAUGAAGGUUUCAUGGAUUGUUCGGGACAUGGCAAGAGAUGCCAAUGUCCCAAAAAUUAAAAACAAAAAGACGUGGAUUAAACUCAUCAUUGUUUGGCAGAGAUACUACACUAAUUGAAAGGUCUAGCACUCAAUGAA